rnacentral:lncRNA from 1 species
GAAGGAGGACCUUAGCUAGGUUGUCUCCUAAAUUGCCCAUCUUUUUAUAUCUUUGCAUUCAUCUAUCUCAUCAUCGUCUUUGAUUUUAGAUGGUGAGGAUGUGAAAGUAACAGGAAGCAGUGGACGAUUGUUCACAGUGAGGCUUAGCACAUCAGCUCUCGAAUAAUGUCCUACCACGUCAAACUGGAACUUUGCUUUAGGAAUCUCUCCACGAACAUCUGCAUAUCAAGUGAUCAUAAAAAUAUUUGAUCAGCCCAUGAUAAAUAUCAUAGAGUAUCAAGUCUUCCAUAAAACUAUGUUUGCAGUCCCUUUAAACCUAAAGAAUUGACUCAUUUGCCUUAUCUGCAUACUGAAUUAUUUGGAUAUAUAAUCGGAGAAGUUAGGGCCAUACCAAGAUCAGCUGUGAAGAGGCCUUCUCCUUCAUAAUUCGGUCCUGCUAGAAUUUCGCCAUGGGGCGAAAUGAUGACACUACCUCCAGCCCAAACAAUAGAAUCUGGAGUGACAUCUUCUUCUGUAGGACUGUAAAGAUACUCAGGUGGAGGUGGGUAAUCUUUCCUCCGACAGAACUGGAUGGGUGAAAGAACAUAGCAUCCACCCUCCAUAGCGAUGUGUCUCAUUGUAGCUACCCAUGUAUCCCCGGAAUCGGCAGUAGGAGCACAAUAUAUCUCAAUUCCUAUAUAGAAUCGGUGUUUUGUGAUCAAUCAAUCCCAUAUCAGAGCCAUAAUGUAUUUCAAGCCUAUUUAGGCUAAAACCCUAAUAACUUAAAAAAGAGUACUGAAGUAUUUCAAGCCAAACCAUACUAGUUAGUGAAGAGAAAGAAAUGGUAAAAUAUAUACCUUUGCCAUACAUUGCUGUCCUCAGAAGCGGCAUUCUAUUUUCCCAACAAAUGACUGAACCAAGUUUUCCAUAUGGAGUGUCAUAAACUGGAGUUGUCGAGCAAUCUCCGAAACCCCAGACGAGCCGCUCCCAAUAUGUUGGCAUGAGUUUCCUAUGUUUUCCAAGGUAAUUACCUUCAGGAUCAAAGAAGAGAACAGUGCAAUACAAUGUGUAUCCAUCUCUCUCAAUAACACCUAUCACCAAGUAGACUUUGUAUUUCGCAGCCAUUGAUGCCAAUCUAUCAACUUCAGGUCCUGAAAAGAUAUUAAGUGGUUGAUUCAUCAAACGUGUCUUGUUUCAAUAAUUUAUUAAGUGGUUCAGUUCUUUAGCUAUUUAAGGAAAAGAGAGAGAGGUAACUGACCCGGCACAUUAAUGGCAGAAGCAUGGUACUUGCGGAAACUUUCUUUCCCUCUUGGCGACUGGUCGGCGAAGUUGUAUCCACGGGGAUACCCACCGAUAAAUGAUUCAGGAAACACAACCAGUUGGGAUCCCAGUGCAGCUGCUUCUUUCAAAAACCUCUCAGCCUUAUCUGCUCCCAAAAUCACAUUGCAAGAAUUAAUAAUUCACGACUUAGAAAGUAAAUUAAUUGGUUGAAUAGAGAGAAUCAAAAUUAACCUCCAGACAUCCCAAAUGACUUUUUGGUUGCUGAGAAAACUCAUGGAAAAAGAGACCUAGAUAAAACUCGGAACUUUCAUAUUUUCAGCUGUUUUGUAACUAAGAAAAGAGAAACCACCUCAACCCAACUCAUCCAAGUAAUUAUUCCUUGAUUGGCAGCUGAAAAUAUGUUCAAGCUUCAAUAAUCCUUUUCUUUCCUUCAGUUUCUCAGCAACCAAUCAACUCACAGAUUCUCUUACACAAGUUGCAGAAUUGAGAGAAAUGGUACGUUACCUAGAGUGGCAGGAGUAUCAUAAAAGACACUAGAGGCUUGAACAACGGUGGCUCUAACAGUUGAAGACAUUGCAGAAAUCGUAUGCCUUUUCGUUUCCCUUCUGUUUGAGGAUUCCUCACACAGCGUUCAGUAUUUAUAUAUAGCCCAAAAGGUUCUUCUGCCAUUACUUGAACAAGACGAAAAGGCUGGGAAAAGUCUGCCUUGGUUUUCCAUAUUGAUUUAAGUUAUCCGCAGACAUUGUGGACCAGCCACAUGACUUAAAACAAAUUGAAAAUAACUGAGUCAUCUGUGAAAUAUAUAUAUCUGUGAAAUAUAUAUAUAUAUAGAUUUCAUCUUUUAUACUUGAAUCAUCUCCCCCCUCCUUUUUUUUUUCCUAGUUUUGGCCUUAUUUUUUAAAAAUAUAAUAUUUAUUUUACUUUUAAUCAAUGGCUCAUAUUUCGAACAAGUGCGCCAGAUUUUCUGAAGUUGUAUAUAUAAUAAUCUGAUAGUGAUUAUAUUUGGAUAAAAAGAGGGACCCGCCCACUUGCAUGGAUUCUAUAUAGGACACAGACAAAUUGUCUUUAGUGGCGGCUGAGGAGGCUUUCUAUGACUUAAAAAAUAAAUAAAACAAAAAUAGUCAUUAAGAAAUCAGUGCCAUGUAGUUAGUGUCCGCCACUAUCUACACUUUCUUUAAAAGAACAAAAUUGUCAUUUUUUUUAAUCUCAGAAAUCACUGAAUCGUACAAAAUAAUAUAAGAUAAGAUUCAAUUCAGUCUUUUUUGGCCUCAUAAGAAAACCUUAGCCAACUCAAGGUGACCACUCCAGAAUCAAAAUAGGUUUUCUUUUUCUUCAAAAAAAAAAAAUAUAUAUAUAUAUAUAUAUAGUUGGUGAAAGAGGGUAUAAACAAAUAUAUGCAAAAAAAAAUUAUGAUGAUUAUAUUUGAAUAAAACAGAGGGAGCCCCCACAUGCAUGGAUUCCAUCUAGCACCCAGAGGAAUUGUCUUUAGUGGGGGCUGAGGCUUUCCAUGACUUAAACUAUAUAUAUAGGUAAAAACUAGGUCUAACUUUAUGUAUUGGACCCAACCAAAAAUUGAGUGAUUGAAUGGCAGCUCUAGUAAAAAAAUAAAAAAGGGAGAACCAUGCUUACUGUCACAGAAUGCUUGAAAUGAGCCCCCUUAUGGGUUUAUAUAGAGUUCAAGAAGCUUCUAGAGACUCCUAGAGCCAUCUACACUAAGUCAUUGAUGGGAAGAGUGUGGAAGGUUCUAGAGAUGCCUAGAGAUGUCCACACAUCUCUACACUAUAGUGGAAGGCAUGAGAGGAGUCCAAGGUUUUCUAGAGAAUUCUAGAAAUCUCUUAUAUAUUCUUGUACAUAGGUUUGUAUAGGAUAUUCUAGAAUCUUCUUGAGUUCUAAGGAACCCUCCAAGGUUCCAGAGAGUUCCAUUGGUAUCUAUAAAUAGGUGAGACCCUCAUUUGGCCAAUACACCACCCAAGAACCUAAUCAACCAAGCAAGUGAGUUCUCAAAGCACUUGUAAAGGUUUCCUUUGAGCAAUAAAAGCUUUCAUUCUUUAAGAGUUGCCUACUACGCCUUCUAAAGCUUCCAAGUCAUGAGCAUCUUAGCCUAGCAAGCUAAGCAUUGGGAGUAACGCUAACUUAGCAAGAUCAAGUACCUUGACUUGUCUAAGUGCCACAUGAGCUUAGGAAAAGAUUAAGUCUGUGACAAGUGGUAUCAGAACACGACUACGAAGCGGGCAUAGUAAAGGAAGCAUGUCGGGUUCCAAUGUAGAAGAGACUAGUGAGCAAAUCCGUGGGAGGGAGACCGAGCCUGCUGCACGGGGCAGGGGCGGGGAGGAUAAGUCUCGUGAUGUCGUUGCUAACAUGGAGGCAAGCUUAGUUAAGGUGCAUCUAGACAUGGCGGACACUCGGGAGGGGUUGGACUUGAUCGAGCAAGGCAUGAAGAAGGGCUUAGAGGAUCUAAGGGAGUAGAUCCAAGACGUUUGUGAGGGGAUGUUAGUCUCACAAGUUCAGCCAGUGUCACAUGAGGAGUUUGUGUCCUUCCAAGAAAAGGUCUUGAGCAUGCUUGCUAGCAUGGAGUCAAGGAUAGAGGCCUUGGUCAUUUGAAUGGAGUCCCGAGACCAAGUUAGGCAAGAGUUGGCCAUCUACAAGGAUGCUGUGUUGGCACGGGUCAUGGCCAUCCAGGAGGUAUCUAAGGUGGAGGAGUCGAAACCACAAGAGUUUAGUGGCAAGUGGGAUGCCAAGGAGUUGGACAACUUCUUAUGGCAUAUGGAGAGAUACUUUGAGGCUAUCACACUAAUUGAUGAGGUGGUUAAGGUAAGAACUGCAACCCUUUACCUUACUGACACAACUACUCUAUGGUGGCGUCGGAGGUUUGCCGAUAUGGAGAAAGGCAUUUGCACCAUAGUGACAUGGAGGACUUCAAGAGGGAAAUCAAGAGGCAGUUCUACCCCAAGGACGUGGCAUUUGCACCAUAAAAAUAUUACCAUAUUCAUUUUUAUGUUGAAUUUAAAUGUUUAAUAAUUUGUUAAAAAUAAAAUAACGUAAUUAUGAUAUAUGAUGAUUUUUUUUUUUUGUUAAUAAAUAUGUUUUCAAAUUUUAUAUCAUUUUUAUUUUUAUUUUUUUUCCAAUUCUAUUUUUAUCUCAUAUUUAUUUUCUUUAAACCCAAAAUUGUUGAGAAUGGAGGAAGAAAGAAGGCCACAACCGGUUCUUUCCUUAAGUGGUUAAGUUGAAUUUUUAUUUCAAAUUUAAAAUGGAUGGCCAAGAUGUAAUCUUGGACAUCCAAUGGCUUGAAAAACUUUUUCGGUAUGUACCGAAGAGGUACCGUAGAAUUUUCUAUAUAAUAAUCUACAAGUUACGAUAGUGAUUAUAUUUGGAUAAAAUGAGGGACCCGCCCACUUGCAUGGAUUCUAUAUAGGACACAUAAAUUGUCUUUAGUGGCGGCUGAGGCUUUCUAUGACUUGAAAAAAAAAACUAAAAAUAGUCAAUAAGAAAUCAGUGCCAUGUAGUUAGUGUCCGCCACUAUCUAUACUUUCUUUAAAAGAACAAAAUUGUCAAUUUUUUUUUUUUUAUCUAAAAAAUCACUUAAUCGUACAAAAUAAUAUAAGAUAAGAUUCAAUUCAGCCUUUUUUGGCUUCAUAAGAACACCUUAGCCAACUCAAGGUGACCACUACAGAAUCAAUAGAGGUUUUCUUUUUCUUCACAUAUAUAUAUGGUGAAAGAGGGUAUAAACAAAUAUAUGCAAAAAAAUAAUCUACAGGUAUGUUGAUUAUAUUUGAAUAAAACAAAGGGAGGCCCCCACAUGCAUGGAUUCCAUCUAGCACCCAGAGGAAUUGUCUUUUGUGGGGGCUGAGGCUUUCCAUGACCCAAACUAUAUAUAUAGGUAAAAAUUGAGUGAUUGAAUGGCAGCUCUGGUAAAAAAAAUAAAAAAGGGAGAACCAUGCUUACACUCUCGUUCAUUCCAACAAAUAUAUUGUUUAGGAAUUCUAAUUUUAAUAUUUCACCCCAAAUACAUAAUCAAUAAAAUUAUUCUUCAAAUAUGUAUUUUAAUAGCAACCAAAUUGAGAAUUAUAUAGUUAUCCCUUUCUAAAAUCUUUAAUGUAUUUGAUAUCCUCUCCAUAUCACGUCUUUGAUAUCCUACCUUUGACAUUUUUUUAUUUAUAUAUGUCGAAGUGACGAGACUUUCUCUACUCAACCUUUUUCCUUUCAGAUUUCUUUUCACUCUUUUAAUAAUUUCACAUUUAUUAACUUUAAUAAUUUUUUGGACACAUUAAAUAUAAAAUUAUAAUACAUAAUAAAUAACUAAUUAGAAUAAAUUAAAUGUAAAUACAAGUAUGCAAUGGGUAGAAAAUGAAAAUUUUAUCCUAUAAAUAGUACGCUUGAUAGUUUAAAAUAUUAAUUAUAAUAAUACAUUUGAUAAUUUAGGAUUUAGAUUUAAAAAUUAUGUUUUAUGUUUUAGAGGCCAAGAUAUAAGAUUUCCAUUAACCAAAGAUUUUUUUUAUGUGAAUCUUAAAUAAAAUGUUUGUUUAUUUUGCAAAUUCUUAUCAUUUGUAAAUAAGACAAAUAUAUUUUUAUCAUAUUAUUUUUAAUUUUUAAUAUUUUGUGUCAAAAUCAUCAUCAAUGAUGGUAAUCUUUAUUAGGAUAGAACCCUUAAACGUAUGAUAUGAUGUAACAAAUAUAUAGUUUAUUAUUUAUUUAAUAAUAUUCAAGUUUCACUUUUAUCUAUCCUUAUUCCAUGUAUUAUAUCUCAUGAGUAUUCUAGCCAAACAUUUAUUGCAUUAUACAUGACUUGAAUGCAUUAGGUAUAGACCCCCCAUUUUGUUCUCUUAGCACAUGCAUUAUGAGGUGUUCUUUCAAUACUCCACAACAAUUCCCUAGUGUCCCAUUACUACUCAUACUUUUUGAGCCACCUUGGAGACUCUGGUCGAGGGAUUUAUAUGGCUCCUCAUUGUGACCAUUGGUAACCUUGAGUUAGAUUUAGGUUAUUUUUUUCCUUUUUCUCUCAUGUUAGCCCUUUUAGGUGCACUUUCCGUUUUUAGGAUAGCAUAUUAGGCAUUUCCUAGGACACCAUGCCCCACUUAAGCUCUUAGGCACGUUUUACAUUAGUUCACCCAACCCCCUUAGGUUCACUUAGAUAGAUUUUUUAGGCUUAAUGUACUUAGGUUUGUUUUUUGAGUUGUGAUGGCAUGAUUCUGAGUUUAUGUGAGUAUUUAGUUUGAUUUUUUUUUUUUGUUUUUUUAAUUGCUUCAAUAUUUAGUUAUGAGAUUUUGACAUUUCAUUUUGUUUCAUCAUUAAUUACACUAGAUUAACAUUUGAAUUUUGAUUGCAGUAUUUAGCAUCUAUAUUAUUAUUAUGAAUUAUUUAUUUAUUUUUUGUCUAUUUUUUAUAUUUACUUAUCUAUUUAUUUAUUUGUUAAAAAAAUGCAUGAGGUUGCAUUUUAGUUUUUUUUUUUCCAAAAAUUGCAUGAAUUGAUAUUCAAAUUUCCUUAUAGAUGGAUAUGAGUUAUUUUAUUUUAAUUGGGUUUGGGUUGUCAUUUCUCAUUUUUGGGCUUUGUUUGUUUUGCAUGGGCCCAAGAGUUUUCUUAGGGUGGAAGUCUUGAAAGCUAUAUAAAAAGGGCACAGAAGCCCUAGGCAAUAGGGAGGACAAUCAAAGAGAGAAAAGGUGUUGCUACUUUAUUCUUUUUGUGCGUGUGUGUGUGUGGUUUCUUUCUUUCUUGAUUGUAUAUUGUUGGUGAGAGAGAAUUUUUCCUUACUAUGUAUCUACUAUAGGGCAGUUCAUUUGUUUUUUUAUAUUGUAUUCGUAUGUUGGAGUUGCCUUUGGUUCGGAGAGUCUAGAUCGAUUUAGGGUGGCAUUCAAGUAAGUUAUUUCUUCUUCAUCUCUUUAUUUGUAUUAUGUUUUUGUUCUUUUUAGGAUUUCUUAGAUUUAUCUUGUUUUAUAUUUAUUAUAUUUGUAAGCAUUUUGGUAGUUGAAUAUUUUAGCCAUUUCAUUUAUUCAAUUCUUUGCCUAUUUGAGUUAUAUGUUCAUUAUACUCUAUAUUUUGUAUGUAUGCACAUUUGCUAAACUUUUUCUACCCAUCUAUAUGUUUGUCAUGUUUAUUUAUUAUUUUGUUGAUAUGUGUUGACAUGUGUUUCUAUAUGGUCAUGCGAAAUGAAACAAAAUAGGCUUGGUUGCAGCACACAAGGGAAACGUGAAAAGUGAUUUCGCAUGACCAUGCGAAAUUUUCGCACAGUCAUGCGAAACCCUCCAAGAAGAUGAAAAUGAAGCUGAUGGACUUUCCACUUCGCACCAUCAUGCAAAAUUGCUAGGGGCUCGUGCAAAAUGCAUUUUCUCCAUAUGUUGUUUCAAGUUUUCUAUAUUUGUGCAAUUCCUGUCCUAAAUUUUCUAUAAUUUUGUUUAUGUUAGUCUUGUUGCCUCAUUUUUCAUUUUGUCUUAAUUUUUGUAUAAUUCUAUUAAUAUUAGUCUUGUUGCUUCAUAUUUCAUUGUCUUAAAUUUUUUAUAAUUCUAUUUAUGUUAGUAUUUUUGUCUCAUAUUUCAUUUCAUGCCAUAUUUGGGUUUUGAUUUAUUUUUCUGGCUUGAGUUUUCUUUCUUUUUUUCUUUUUUUUUACUAUGCAAUAAAAAUUUCAGAAAAAUCAGUUUUAAUAAAAUUUCUAGAAAAAUAGUUUUUAAUAAAUUCCAAAACGGUUUUCUUUAAUUAAAAAUCUAGAAUUUUGUUUCCCAUAAAAUGCAAAAAAAAAAUUGUUUUAAUAAAAUAAUAUGGAAGAACCAUUUUUACUAAAUUCAGAAUUUUGGUUUAAUAUAAAAUAAUUCAAAAAAUCAUUUUUUUUUAAUAAGUUCAUAAAAUUCAUUUUUUUAAUAAAAUAAUUCAAGAAUUUCAUUUUUUUUAAUAUAUUCGGUAAAUGGUUUUUAAUUUAAUAAUCCAAAUAUUCAUUUUUUAACAAAUCCAGAAAAUUGGUUUUUUAAUAAAAAUCCUCAAAGUUUGUAAAGUCCUAAAAGUUUGUUUGAUGGAAAUUUUGAAAUUUGUGUUUUAAUAAAUGUUCUUUAGAAAAUCAUUUUUUUAAUAAGUUUGAAAAUUCUAAAAUUUGUGUUUUAAUAAAUGUUCCUUAGAAACUCAUUUUUUUAAUAAGUUUGUUAACUGAAAAAUUGUGUUUUAAUAAAUAUUCUUUAGAAAUUUUUUUUUUAUAAAUAAGUUUGUUAAUUGAAAAUUGUGUUUUAAUAAAUGUUCUCUAGAAAAUCACGUUCUAAUAAAAAUUAUGAAAAUUUGUAAUAUCCUAAAAGUUUGUUUAUUGAAAAUUCUGAAAAUUCUAUCUUAAUAAAUGUUCUUUGGAAAGUCGUUCUUUAAUAAAAUUAUACAUUAUGAAAAUUGUGUUUUAAUAAAUGUUCUUUAAGAAAUCGUUUUUUAAUAAAUUUGUAAAUUCUAAAAAUUGUGUUGUAAUAAAUGUCCCUUAGAAAAUCGUUUUUUUUAAUAAGGUUGAAAUUUUUGAAAUUUGUGUUUCAAUAAAUAUUCUUUAGAAAAUAAUUUUUUUAAUAAGUUUGUUUACUAAAAAUUGCGUUCUAAUAAAUAUUCUUUAGAAAACCAUUUUUUUUAGUAAGUUUAUUUACUAAAAAUUAUAUUUUAAUAAAUGUUCCUUUAAAAAAAAUCAUUUUUUUUAAUAAGGCAUAUUUAAUGAAAAUGCUUAAAAUAAGUGUUUAAAUAAAUAUUUUCAAAGUUUUUCUUCAUAAAAGUCGUGAAAGUCAUAAAAGUCAUAAAAGUUCUCAAAUUUGAUUUAAUUAAAAUUUUCAAAAUAAAUGUUUUAAUAAUUGUUCUCAAAGUUGUGUCUUUUAAAUUUACUUAAAGUUUGUCUCAGUAAAAGUUUUAAAAGUUUUAAUAAGUGUCUUAAUAAAUUCUCAAAAUAAGUGUUUUAAUCCUAAAAAUUCUCAAAUUUUGUUUUUAAUAAAUUCCCAAAGUUUGCCUUAUUAAAUUCUAAAAGUUGCUUAAUAAAAACCCUCAAAGUUAGUCUAAAAAUCCACAAAGUUGUUUUCUCGAAGUUAGUGUUUUAAUCAAUGUCUCUCUUUUCAAAUAAAUUUGAUUUAUAAAUAUUUUUUUCACAAAUAAAAGUUGAAAAAUUUUGUUUUCUUAAUGAAUUGAAAUUUGGUUCCUGUCAUUAAAAUAAAUAAACCAUUUUUCCUUGUAAAAAUAUUUUUUUUCCAAAAGUAGAACUGAUGUUUCUUUAUAAUUAUCGAAUCUUCCUUUUUUUUAAAAAAAAAAAUAAAGUCGAAGCCAAUAUCAUUUCUUUGUAAAUAGAAGAUCAAAUUGAGCUUUUCUUUUUAAUAUAUUUGAAUUCAAUCAAAAUUAUUUUAAUAAAAUCAAGAAAAGUCUUCUUUUUUUUUAAUUAAUUUUGGAUGUGAAUAAAAAUCGAGUCUUUUGUAAAUAAAUUGAAACUUUGUGAGUAAAUAAGUUUGAAAUCUUUAAUUUGGAAUUGUUCCCAAUAUAAAUAAAUUUCUUUUGAACUUCCUUUGAAAUGUUGCAACUUGAACAAAUAAUUAAAUUAUAUUUUGUGCUCUUCACAUUCAUUAAUUGUGUACAUUCUUGUGUAAUCUUUUUCUCAUCUCAUGACUUAUAUGUAUCUUGUUGUCCUGUUAUCAGUAUCCUCAAUAAAUUAAUCAAUUCAUACUGACUCGUUUUGAUUUAUGUUUGCAAUUUUUCAAGAUGAUUGACAUAAUGUGUUUCAAAGGAAAAUCAAAUCCUUCUCACCAAGUAUGUCUUAAAAUAAUUUUUUUUUUUUUAUAACUUCAAAUUAGAAAUGUCUUCUUAGCUUUGAUAAUGAUCUUUUGUAUUUUUUUUUUUAAAUUGCAACGAUUUGAAAACAUUAUAGAAUAGAGUUAUUUAUAAACUUAUUUUUAUGUACAAAUAAAUUAUACAAAUAUGUGAAAUUAAUUUAUUAAUUUAUUAAAUUAAAAUUUAUUUCUUAUUUUUCUAAUUUUUUUUCUUCAAAUGAACUCAAAAUUGUAGCUUUUAACAUGUGAAGCUAGAAAUGUUUGGAAGGUAUAUAAUAAUGAUAAAAUAGGCAAUCAUCAUUUUCCACUUGCAAGAAAAUCAUAAAAUAGGCAAUGGUCAUUUCAAGAUUUGUAUCAUUCAUCAAACUAGUAAAUUUGGAAAUGGAACUCCAUUAGAUUGUGAAAAAAAACUACUAUAAACCAAAAAAUAUAACAAAGAAUAAAGAAAUUAGAAUAUAACUUCCACUUUGAAACUAUUGCUUGUAUGAACUAUUAUCCACUUGCCAACUUAACAGAAUUGACAUAGCCAUAAACCUAAUAUAAAAUAAUCAUUUUAGCAAUCUAGAAUAAUCAAGCAUAAUUUCAAAAUGCGUCUCUCAUGCUUACAAUGUUAUAGACCAAACAAACUAAAACAAUGAUUUUUCUCCACUGAUACAAUCUUAAAUAAAUUUAUUUUAGAAACAACAUAACCUAAUUGCCUAAUGAAACAUCAUUGAUCCAUAGACCAGUAGACAUUUUUCCUGAUUUCAUUUUUUGGCGACAUUAUCAUUUGUGUUAGGAGUUUUUCCUUGUACUUCAUGACCUUGUCCUAUACAAAAGAGUAUAUAAUAGAAUAUUAACGAAAAUUCAUGUUAUUUUAUUGAACAUAAAAAAUAAAAAAUAUUGUAUUCAACACAAUAUAAUACAUUUGCAAUUGUAUGAAAAAAUCCAUUGUUAUCCCAUAAUUGCAUAAACUUGAUUACAAAUAUGCCACAAUCUGUUCUACAAGUAGCAAUUAAGGAAAUUAAAAAUAAAUUAUGCAUCAAAUCAAUAAAUUUAGAACCUCAUUUGCUUUCCAUAGGUAAAGAGGAAUAAAAUUCUUGCAACUUAUGAAUUCAAUUGUUGCAAAACUUCUAAAACAACGAAUUUGAAUUUAGUCAUGUCCAUUGAUGGUCUUCUUUCUUGAAUCCCAAUGACAAUUGAUAGAACGCUUACCUUAACACAAUAUAAAAUUAUAAAUAUGGACAUCCUUAAAAAAUAAUGACAACAAGUCACAUAAGUAAUUGGAUAAUAACUAUAUUUACUAGUUUCUCUGUGAAGACAUCCAUUUGCUUUUUCCUUUCGUCAAUCAAUGAAUCCAACAACUCGAUUCUUUUUCUAAUGAAUAUUCAAAAUGUUUAAAUACCAAUGAUUUCUCCUGCAUAUUGGUAUGAACAGCUGAAAAAGAAAAAUAAAUAAUGAUUUUAUCAAGUUAAUUGUGUUCAUGUAUUUCCUGCACUAUACUUAAAAAUAUCCAACUAUAUAUGACUUUCAUUAAAUUAAAUAAAACAUGUUCAUAUGUGUACAACCGAGUGUUUUUAAAAUAUUUUCAUAAAUUGUCACAUGUAUUUUGGAGAAAAUGUACCCCUCUUAUUUUCCACAUCAAAUUGUAAUAAUAAAAAAAAUACAAAACAUACAUUAGAUUAAAACAAUCUACUUAAAACAAGAAAACCAAUCUAUAAUUCUUACAACAUAUCUUACCUCAAAAUGGGGAGAUAAGAAAUGCUCCCUAUUUCCUUUAUCCUUACCAUUCAAAAUUCGACAAAACAUGGUUACAACCUUCAUGUAAAUGAAUGAAAAUUAGAAAUAUAGUUUUAGAGUAAUUUUAUCUUAACUUCAUAUAACUAAAUAUGAAUACCUUAUUGUUAACUAAUUUGUCGGGUCCCAAGCAUUUUAAGUCGAAUCUUAUCAAGAAGAAAUCGUACAUGGAACACAAUAUUUGGCUACAUAGAAAUAAUUAUGAUGUUAUGAAUUAAAACUAAAUCUUUUAAAUGGUUGUCUUAAUUGUACUUGUUUAUACUGAAUCAAGUUCAACCUGACCUUUCAUCACGUGUAUCGUCCAAUGCAUAUGCUAAAACUUACUUUGCUACAAUGAAGACGUUGAAAAUUUGAUUGAUUGUUGUACCACAUAUGGUGAUUGUAGGGCAGUAGCACAUCGACGUAGCCGACAUAAACAUAAUGGAGGAUGUUCAGUCUAGUAAGGAAUAAUAACAUUCGACUUAACUUCAUCCUCAACUAUAUGUAUAGAAAAUAAGAAAAAAAAUUCAUUAACGAAAAUAACACACAGAGGAAAGACUAGCCAUUAUUAUGAACUCAUUAAUAUUUUGAUAUUAAAAAUUACUAUAAAAAAAUAAAGAUGCAGAAAGUAUAAUGCUAUGUUGCGCUACUGGCUGUGAGGUCGAUGGCCCUGCAUUAUCUUCACCAUGAGCGGAACGAUCAUUCAAUGGUGAUCCAUAUGCUAAUUUAAAAAUGGAUAACAACCAAAUUUUAAAAAAAAAUUAUAGAACAUUUGCAAUUCAAUUAAAAGUAAAAAAAAAAUUUAACAGCUAAUGCUAUAAAAACCUUAUUACCAUGUGGUGGUGAUGGGAAAGAUUCAUUGAUGUCAGGUUGGUUAUGACUUCCGCUUUGAUGAGAAGGUGAUGGGGUUUUGUUUUUAUUAUGCCGCUUUGCUAGUUUAUCAAUUGCUUCUUUCAUUGUUCGAAGCAAUUGGUGAAUUUGUUCCUCCACUACAUUAUACUCUGCUAUAAUUUCCUACAAAAUGGUACAAAGUGUAAAAGAUGUAUAUUAUUAUGCAUAACAUGUUUGGUUUACUCUUUAAAUAAAGGAAUAGAUGUAAAAGGUUCUCACAUCACUAGUCUCUUCUUCAACUUCAUCUACUGGAUUAGUAGGGUCUUCAUGUGCAUCUUCCCCCCUUUCAUCUUCCUGAACCUACAAUAAUAAAAAGAAUAUAUAAUUUUUUUAAAAUUAUUUUUCAAAUAUUAAAAUAAAAAGAAAAUGUAGAAAUAAAAUUUUGUUCCUUACAUCGACUAGUCCAAGGUCAUCAUAAUCCUGCAACUCUACAUGCACCAUUUUCUUCAUCAGGUCAUCACUCUACAAUGCACAUAUGGGGAUGGUGUGUGGCACCAACAUAAUUGGAAUGUAGAAUUUAUUUACAUAAAAAAGCUCAUACACAAAUAUUCCACACAUCAAUACGUUAUUUAGAGAACACUGUUUAAACAUAGAAAAUGAUAUGGAAACCUUGAGCAUUUAAUAAAAAAAGAUAUUUACCUACAAAAAAAAAAAGGUAACCUGUAAACCAUGAGCCUUUACCCAAUCGAAAAUGCCUAAUUCGAGCAACCAAUGUGUCAAGUACAAAUUGGUCCCAAUUAACAUUGAUGUCAAAGUUUCUAGCAAGCAAAGUACACCGCAACUCAUGACUACCAUCCAACUUCAAUGUUGGAGCAAGUAAUGUAGCACAUGAGAAGAAGAUAAACAAUUUUUUAAAGUCACCCAUGUCUUCCAUUGAGAUCAGCCUAUCUCUAAGGAUAGAUAGGUUUUCCAUCCUAUUAUUCCUAUUGGUAGGUGUAGACACUCCAUUUUGUAUAUCUAGUACUUGUCCUAUUAUGUGUUCGUUUGGUACUUUACAACAAUUCCCUGGUAACCCAUUAUUACUCAUGUAACUUAUCUUUUAUGAGCCACCUUGGAGACUCUGAUUGAGAGAUUUAUCUAACCUCAUUACAACCCUUAGCAACCCUAAUUUAGACUUAGGUAGUCAAUACAUGUCUAGCAUAAUACCCUAAGCUCCCAUUUUUACAACUUGGAGGGCUAAAUUGGGUAAAAUAUAAGAAUGUCAAAUAACAUGUAUAUGUGAAAUAUGGACAAAAAAAAAGGAAUAGAUAAAGGUAAUGAUUAAUUAUAUUUAUUAAGAAUAGUGAUUAACUUAAAAAAAAAAAUAGUUAACUUUUGUGAAAAUAUCCCUUAGAAAAGAUCAUGACUUUUAUGACUUCAUUAAGGUAAAUCAAUCAAGCUUCAAGAGCAAUUAUCGAUAAUAUAUUUGGAAAUAUGUAGUAUUAGCAUCCUUUUACAUCUCAUAGAUUGACAUUAUAGAAGAGAAAUGCAAUUAGUAAUUAUAAGGAAUAAAUGUUUUACAUAUGAACAAUUUGAUUAAAGAUGGAUAAAAGAGUAAAGAGUUUAGAUUAGAGAGAGAGAGAGAGAGAGAGAGAGAGAGAGAGAGAGAGGUUGUGCCUUACAAGAAAUGUCUAAACUAAAUAUAGGAUGUAUAUAAGACAUACUAAGGCCAAAAGAAAGAUAUAAAGAACAACUCACACCUAAGUAACAUGAUCAAAGCUAUUUAAAUGAAUCCUCAUUGCUUCCUUACCUAUACAUACAUCUAAAUUGUUGUAAAGGAUUGUAAAUAUUAUGAGUUUGUUCUUUUUUAGUACUACUUCAUUACUAGUGGAAUAAUGGACAAAUGAGUACAUUGUAUUCAUAGCAAUUUAGAUUAUAUUUUCAUAAGGUGGUGAAACAAACAUAUAUGGUAUCCUUCUCAACUCAACUUAGGAAUAGGAAAUAAUAACAAAAACAAUUAUAAGCUAACAAAAUUCAUAUAUAUAGGUAUAUAUUCAUGUGAGAGGAAGCCAUAUAGAAUCUUUACAUUUCAAAAAUCAAGUAAACUUUAAUUCAAGAAAGCAACUUAAAUGUAGGUAAGUCUUCAAAAAGUUUAGAAGAAGAAAAAAAUGUAACCUCAAUAACUAUCCACUUGAGCUAUUUUUUAGAUCAUUUCUUCUUUUGAGAUACAAAAAUUCGAAACCCCCUGCAAAAAAGAAGAUUACAUUAGUGUUUAUUUUGAAACAUGAAAACUAAAAUUAUGGUAGACUUACAUGUUCACAAUAUCUUUUAUAUCUUGGUAUGGUUGUUGUAAUAGCAAGUCUAAAUAGUAAACUGUUUGUAAUUUGAGGUCAAUUACAGCCAAAACCCAAUGAAACCUACAAUAUAUUAACAUAUAAUUUAGAUAAAUAGCAUUUAUAAGGCUAAGAAAUUAAAAACAAUUAUAAUUAACAACUUACCUUGGGUUAUACGGAAGAAAAAUCAGAUCUGCCAAUUUGGAGUCAAUUAGGCGAUCAACAAUGAUCUUUGCUCUUUUUUCAAUUUUUGGGGCUAUUGUUCUAGCCUUAGACACCAGUCCUGGAUGAACAGAUAUAAUUUUCUCAUGUAGUGUAUCAUCUAGAUGUUCAUGCAACCACCUAAUGAAAUAUCACCCAGUUUAGAAUUACUUAAAAAAUAAAAAAAAUAAACGGUUUCUACUUAUUUAUAUCAUGAAUAUAACAUAAAGAUUUACAACAAAAUCUCACCAAAUAUAGAAACAUAUACAAUUCAUAGUCAACUCUUUUGCAAAAAUUACAUCAUUCAUUUCAGUUGUCAAGAGGAAGAUUUGAAAUUUCAUCCCAAAAACAUUGAUUGGAAAGUCAACUUUGGGUGCCAGUUUACCCUCCAACAUUGUUGAAACUGUUUUAAAAAAUAAUUGUAUAUCUCUUGGAUUCUCAUAUUUGAUUUUCUUUGGGGAUGCUUGUAUCUUAUUCAUUUUAUUCUUCCUCUUGCCAAAAUCCUAAACACAUAAAUAGAUGCAUGACAUUAAAAUGAAAAAUAAAUAAACCAAGAGUGUAGGAAAAUAUAACUCAACUUUGAAAGUUUGGGUAUAACGUUAUUCCCCUCAACAUUUUCAUCAUUUAUCACAAAUGCAACAGGCCACAAAACCUCAUAUCCAACACCCUCCCUUAUUGUACUAAUGUUUUCAGAAAGUGGGAAUGAAAGAAGUGCAUUAGGUUGAAGAGGGUAAAGAAUGACCACUAAUAUAUCAGUUCUAUCAAUGGAAAUGUUUGAAUCUCACAAAUAAGUUCCAUAUGCAACAAUGUUUUCUUCAGUUUCAAGAGCUAAUUUGCAUUUAUAAACCUGUAAAAACAUAUUUUCUAAUCCUUCGUCUUUCAUUAUAGUUAUUUUAUAUAUUGUUUUUAUAAAUUUAACUUAGGAAAAGCCAUAUAUACCUGAGUUAGUGGAGAAGCUUUUUGAGUCCUUUCUGCUGAUAGGUUCUCCACAUGAGCACUAUAAUGAGUCUUCUCUCGUAUUUCUUCAUGUUCCAACAAUUGUUUCCUUAUGUUUGUGCUGCUCACUUCAGAGUGGGGUGUGAGGGGUUCUUUUUUUUUUCAGCUUUCAAAGAAAUGAUCUCUUCUUCCAAGCUUUUUACUUUCUCCCUUAGCAUCCUUUGACAUUCCUCUUCUUCAAGAGUUUUUAUGGGUUUUAGUGUGUUGAAUAAUUGUUUGGGAUUUUUUUUCCCACCUUUUCCUCUAACCCGUCCAGGAUGCUCGGAUGUACCCAAUGCUAAAGUGAGGAUAUCCUUUUGGCCAACACAUGUGAUCUUCCCUUCCUCAACAGCCUUUGCCAACUCAUCCUCCAAAAAUAUAUAAGAUGCUUCAAGAGUCAUAUUUAAUAAAAUAAAAAAACAAAUGAAAUUGACUAAAACUAAGUAUAGGUUUGACAACUUACAAUCUUUUCCGCUACAGGCCUCGUAACAUCAUCAUAUUCACCUUUUUUCAAUCUUUCUAGCUUCCACAAGACCCAUCUAUCAAUAGGUUUCCUUGAACCUGUCUUUUGCAUCUAUCAAAAAACAAAAAAGUGAAGCAAUUAAACUUUACAAAAGUAAAUGUCCAACAAAAUAAAAUACACUAAUUCAACUUACCAAUUCUUCUUGAAGUCUUGCAUAUCAUUUCCUACUCACUCAAUGAAUAUAAACGUAUUUUGCCCUCCUUUCUUUUCCUUUUUUUGGUUUAACUUGAAACUCUAUUGACAACCUAUUAGCCACUAACUUUCUCCAGUCUUCAAUUGGAAUGUAAUUAUAUUCAAUUGGUGGCUACAAAAGGUACUCGGGCUUAUCCUUAUAAGGCAGGUGUGGACCCCGCAUUUCGAUGGCUCGAAUGCGUUCCCCACUCGAUGGCGAGCUCGAUUUUUAUUUUGAAAAAUUGAUUUUUAUUGAUUAUUUGAAAAUGACUUGGAGUCGCCACUUAUUUUUGUUUUAUUUUUAAAGGGUAAACAAAAUAAGAAAGAAAAACCCUAAGUGUGACUCCUUAUUUUGGAAAAGGUGAUCUACGAAAAACCGGAUCGGGUUCGGGGGUCAGGUUACUUAUCGGGAAGGUACGGUAAAGACCGUAGCACCCCUCUAAGUCCCUAAAGUCGGGUCUCUACUACUAAAAUGAAGCUGACAUGGCAAUCAAUGAGAAAAUCAAUGAAUACUCAAAUCAAUCAUGCACAUAUAAGUAUCAAAACAUGCGUAUAGCAAGACCAGAAUAAGGACAGAUGCGUACCUGGGCAACGAUCUUCAAUGCGCUAUCAAGAAGUGAGAUUAGUGCACAAUUAAAGGAUGGUCACAUGCAUAUCAUAGAGCAGAAUAAAUCAUGUAUGGCACCCAAAUCAACCAAACAAUCCAUCAAUCAUAAAAUCUCAUAUGUUGGGCCCCCACCAAAGCCCGAUUGAUUUUUGCAUGAAUUAAUUCCAUAAAUUCCCUUGCUUGGAAUUACGGAAUUUUAUUCUAGCUUAUUUUAAAACAUUUUGAAAAUCUGAGGAGUUGUGAAAAUUGCUUGUCAGGGAGAAAAGUGACAGCAAAUUUUUAUUAUAAAGUGGAAACUUUUGGGAACCUAAAGAUUCCAAUGAGGAAACAUGAGAGAAUUGGAAUUAUUUGAAAAACCAGAUUUUUGAGAAAAUGCUUGCAAAAUGGGAUUAGGAACAGUUAUUAAAACAGAGAAUGAGGAAGUAAAAGGUGGUGGCACAUGGUCAAAGGCUGCAUGUCCUAGGUGGUCAUGCAAAGAAGCGGUCUCCUGUAGCUUUUGUAGGGUCCAUUCUCUCCCCACUUCUCAUCCCAUGAGUUCUUUACGAUCCAGUAAGGCCUGCCCUUCAUCCGGAUGGGAUCAUGGCCUGUUGAACCAUGCCCCACCAGUAACACUCCAUGAGCCAUCAUCUCAGAGCAUAUGUAUGGGCGUGACACUUCCCCAAUAUGUGUCUGCAUGAACACUGUAUUGAUGCCCACUACCAUUUGACCAUUUUUCACAAGAUUAGCAGCCAUCUGAUCUUCAUCAAGGAAUGAACCAAAAGCUUUGGCUGCAUCGGGCUUCUGGAGAAGAACUGUUUUGAUUGCAUUCAAUAUCUCAUCCACGGAUCUUCCUGUGCUAAUGUAUUCUGAAAUAACCUCCCAUCUUCAAGACAUUCCUCUGGGAUAUUUCAGCAUCCCUUUUAUCAAGAGCCCAACUUCUUCUCUAUCCCAAGGUUUCUCCUUAUAGUGUGAUCAAAAGAAUGAAGUUGGGGUCACUGAAUUCACCUUCCACUGAAGAGUAGAAAGCAUCAGAAGCCCUAUCCUCUGAAACGUCUUCACUUCAAGCACAUAUUUUAUCUCCUCCACCUGCAGGUCCAAGAGAAGAGGAGCAUCGGUUUUACUGGAGCUUGACUUUCUCUUCUCAGGGGCAUUUUCCUCAUGGGGACUCUCUAUCUGAUCUGUUGAUGCAGCUGCACUUUCUCCCUCAUUCUCAUGGCCAUCUAAUCUGCUUCCGCGGAUGCUGCAUCUGACACCACGGCCUCUUGAACGCGAGUGGAAUCCAGCUGGCAAUGGACCCAAUGGAGGCCUCUCAAUGGGUUUACUUUAAGAGCUUCUUGAGGGCCCAAAGGAUAUUGCAGGACCCGGACUUAGGACGCCAUCUUAUCCGUGUCAUGCUGAGGAAUUCGUUCUUUGUGGUAUCAGAUUGGCUACAGGAGGCCUUAUAGAAGUGAAGCUAGGGAUAUCUUCAGAAAUGGAACUUGGACCCUUCCCUUUGACAGGUUCAUCUCCAUGAGAACCAAAUUUUAUAAGCUCGGUAACUCCAGGUUGUUGAAUGAACUUCCCAGUCUCCUUGUCAUGCAACAAAGCACUUUUUGCUUCAGUUUCAGUCUCCACAGGUGCCGGGGCCGCUUCAAAUCCCACAACCUCCAUGAAUUCACCAUGCUCCUCCAAGAAAUAACCAACAACACUAGGUAGCAUUUCCAAUUCACUUCACGACCUUGGAAUGAGCAGUUGCUUUAUCAGUUUCAUGGCAGAGGGUGAGCACUGGAGCUUUCCUCUUGACAACACUUUACCUGGAAAGCGGAGAGUGGAUACCGGUAAUCCAUGAUAAAUAGAAACUUCCCCACUUUUCCGGACUGGAGGUGAUCUCCUCAUGUUGCUGGCCUAUAGAUCCAUCUUCUGGAGAAAACACCAGUUGAAAAUUAUCCACUGAAGCAACUGUCACUUGUCCACGGAAGUCCGAGCACCAGCAUACCCAGAUUGGUGGUUUUGGAAUAUAGGUUUGAAGAGUUUGAUGGGUGUGCAAGGUGUAGACAUGGGGCAUGAUAGCAAAGUGGUGAGAUGAGGUGAUAAUGAGUGUAAAUAGGCUUAGAGAGAAAGGUGAAUAAAUAUGGUGGGGGAGUAGACUGUUGACAAUGGGUAUGUAUGAGUCCUAUGCCUGUGGGUAUGGUGAGAGAUGAACUGCAAGUGAUGGGCAUGAUGUGGUGUGGGGUGGAUUAGUGGGAUGACAGUAUACAAAGAGAGCGUGGUGUAGAGAGAGAAUGCAAGAUGAUGAGUGCAUGUGUAGAUAUGGGUGUGGGCAUGGUGGUAUGAAGCGUGUGGUGGAUGAUGGACUGAAGGUGAUGGGCAUGACAAUGGGCAUGAACAGGGAUGGAGUCAUGUGGGCACGAGACGAGCAUGAGCGCGGAAUGAGUGUGAUGCAACCAUGCAUGGUAUGAAAAGGGUUUGGUGUAGUGAGAGAAAGUAGAUUAUUGGUGAUGGGUAUGAAUAAUGGCCGGGUUUGCAUGGUCCAUGCACUUGGAUGGGUGAGUUUGGGGAUGCUAGCAGAAGCCUUGGAAGGAAUACGGGCAGCCAUGCACGCGUGGGGUUUCAUGGAUAUCGAGUCAGGGUAUUUUGCUGGAGGAAGAGAGCAUGGGUCUGCACAAUAUGGGGAUUGGGAUCUCCUACGGACUCCCUAGCUAAUGGAGUUGUGAAAGGGAGACCAUCUGCUUUUCCGAUACCAGAUUAUGGGAAGUUCAGUGAUGGCUUCUCAAAAAUGGACCUUGAUGUUAACAAACCACCCUUGGGCAAUUUAGCAAUCCCUUCAUUCUCAGAAGACUCCGUCUCCAACAGACCAUAAUGAUACUGAACUAAUCCAUGUGAAACGGACAAGAAAGGCUCUGCUCGUGAAUGUUCCCUGGCAUAACCUCCUCUAGAAUGUCAUCAGACGAAACAAAACUAGAGAACCAGGUAUCUAGAACAAGUAAGUCUUCUCACUGGGCCAAACCCUCAACAAGCCUGUUGCAUUUCUCUGAUUUCUCCCACUGUUCUGCCAAAGUCUUUAUUUAUAAUAUAAUGGUUUAGAAAUAUCCUCCAUUAAUCACUCUGCCUUUGACCAACCCUGGUUAAGGAUCCAUACAUCAAAUCUGAUUACCACUUCUGGCCCACAACCGCUCGAGUUGAUAAUGAUUUUCCUCCAUAUCUACUCCUGUUCAUCUUCAUAAAAUUCCUUGGAAUCAUCAGUAUACUCACUGCAAUCUGUGGUAAAGACCACCACAUCCUCAUCGACAUCUUACUUUUUUCCUCUACGAAUGGCGCCUCACACUACUCACUAUUCUUUGGAUCUGAACCACUUUUUUUUUUUUUUUUUUUUUUUCAAAUAUUGGAUGUCAAGCCUCAACAGCAUAUAGUAGUCAAUUUGUACCAUCCCCAAUGUAUGGUAUGCAUGAUGCCCCGUGCUCAAAUUGCUCAAAAAGAACAGAGGAAUAUAGCUAAGAAAACAGGGCAUAGGAGAAAGGAACAAAAAAUAAAUCAAGGGCAACUGCAUUUCAGGACAUAUCAAUGUGUUCCCACUGGUGGAUGAAAGAUAUGAACAAAUUCAAAACAAAAAAUACGCCACAUAUGUUCAGGUGCCUAGCAACGAAAUAUGAUGCAAGUCCUCACCCAUUUUCUUAAACCAGGUUAAUGAAACAGCGAAAGGAUUAACAUCACAGAUGGAAACAUGACAAAUACAAACAACAUAUACACCCAGUGAAAUGAUAUUCAGAAUAAUGAAAUCAUACGGCUAAAUAUAAGCAUACCUGAAUGUGAUAGAUGUCCUACCCAGCUUUUCUUACUUUCUCUCUGUUUUCCUUGCCUUUCUAGCUCCGACAAUCGAAUCACCUUCUCUCUUACUCUUCUUUUCUCCCGCUUGAAAAACCUCCCUCUGGAAAUAUAUCUCUCCCCCAGCCAGACGACACCCACCUGCCUUGCAGUUGCAAGCCUCCAUUACCUUCAGAUUUUUCUGCCACCUUCCUCUUCUAGGCCCAUUUCCCCACUACUCUGCACCACUACCUUGCUAAUAACAGAAGACGCUCCUCAAUACAACGGCCUGCAGAUCCUCAUGCCACCUGUCAACCUUCCAUUGGCACUUCAAAAACAACAUACGAUUCUGCAUUGCCCUCUCAAAAGGAGACACGUGAUUGAGCAAGGCUCUUCCACGUGGCCAAAACGGGUAGCUGCAUGAAAGGCCCCAAAUGGGGGUCUACAAAUAUGCCCCUCUUUGGUAGAGUUCAUGAGUGUAAAGAACAUGAACACUGGAGUGAAAAGUAAGUGUGAGUAGUGAGUGAAAUGAAGUGAACUCUACCGAAGAAUCAAAGAGACCCCCAUAGGGAUAUUGGUGAAACGCGAAGUCACCCAGGCUAGUAGACGAACACAAAGGCUCUAAUCCUAAAAGAGAAAGAUGUCACAAAAUGCCUCUGCGGCCAUACUAAGGAUCCAAGCUCCCUCUAAGAUGUCUCCCGAAAGUGACUCGAAAAACCAAAUGCUAGAGGUGAGUAACGGUCGAGUCACCCUAGGGUACGGACAAGAAUGCGUCUAAAGGAGACUGCCCUAUGUGGACUACAUGAUGAAUACACGAUAAGCACAAAGUAACGAAGUGAGGAGGACGAUAAUAAGUGCAAAUCCAAUGAAGGUGAGACACGCAAUGCCACUGAAUAGGAAUGCUAGGAGCUGUGACUCUACAUGACAAGAUUGACUCUAAACACUAAACUAGGAAACAACGGCUCUGGAAGCCAACCAAAAACUAACUCUAAAAACUAAACUGAGAAUAACAGCUCUGGAAGCAAACCAAAAACUAACUCUAAAAACUAAACUAGAAAACAACAGCUCUGGAAGCCAACCAAAAACUAACUCUAAAUGCUAAACUGAGAAUAACAGCUCUGGAAGCAAACCAAAAACUAACUCUAAAAACUAAGCUAGAAAAUAACAGCUUUGUAAGCAAACCAAAAAAACUAACUCUAAAAGCUAAACUAGGAAACAACAGCUCUGGAAGCCAACAAAAACAAAAAAAAAACAAAAAAAAAAAAAAAAAAAAAAAAACUAACUCUAAAAGCUAAACUAGGAAACAACAGCUCUGGAAGCCACACAAAAAAAAAAACUAACUCUAAAAGCUAAACUAGAAAAUAACAGCUCUGGGAGCCUAAACAAGACGACAGUAAUGGCUCUGGAAGCCUAAACAAGAUGACAGUAAUGACUCUGGAAGCCUAAACGAGAUGACGGUAAUGACUCUGGAAGCCUAAACAAGAUGACAGUAAUGACUCUGGAAGCCUAAACGAGAUGACGGUAAUGACUCUGGAAGCCUAAACAAGAUGACAGUAAUGGCUCUGGAAGCCUAAACAAGAUGACAGUAAUGGCUCUGGAAGCCUAAACGAGAUGACGGUAAUGACUCUGGAAGCCUAAACAAGAUGACAGUAACGGCUCUAGAAGCCUAAGCAAGAUGAUAAUAACGACUUUGGAAGCCUAAACAAGAUGACGGUAAUGACUCUGGACGUCGAAACUAAAAAGUGAUGAUGAUGACUCUGAACGUCAAACUGAGAAGUGAUAAUGAUUCUGAACGCCGAAACCGAGGAUGUGACUCUGAAUGUUGAUCUGAAAAUCGAUGAUAGCUCUGAACGCCGAAACUGAGAAGUGAUGAUGAUGACUCUGAACGUCAAACUGAGAAGUGAUAAUGAUUCUGAACGCCGAAACCGAGAACGCGACUCUGAACGUCGAUCUGAAAACCAAUGACGGCUCUGAACGCCGAAACUGAGAGAAGUAGUGAUGAUGGCUCUGAACACCGAAGCUGAGAAGUGAUAACGACUCUGAACGCCGAAACCGAGAACGCGACUCUGAACGUCGAUCUGAAAACCGAUGACGGCUCUGAACGCCGAAACUGAGAGAAGUAGUGAUGAUGGCUCUGAACACCGAAGCUGAGAAGUGAUGAUGAUGACUCUGAACGUCAAACUGAGAAGUGAUAACGACUCUGAACGCCGAAAUCGAGGAUGUGACUCUGAAUGUCGAUCUGAAAACCAAUGAUAGCUCUGAACGCCGAAACUGAGAAGUGAUGAUGAUGACUCUGAACGUCAAACUGAGAAGUGAUAACGACUCUAAACGCCGAAACCGAGGAUGUGACUCUGAAUGUCGAUCUGAAAACUGAUGAUAGCUCUGAACGCCGAAACUGAGAAAUGAUGAUGAUGACUCUGAACGUCAAACUGAGAAGUGAUAACGACUCUGAACGCCGAAACCGAGGAUAUGACUCUGAAUGUCGAUCUGAAAAUCGAUGAUGGCUCUGAACGCCGAAAACGAGGAUGUGACUCUGAAUGUCGAUCUAAAACCCGAUGAUGGCUCUGAACGCUGAAACUAAGAAGCGGUGAUGGCUCUGAACGCCGAAACUAAAAGGUGAUGGUGUCUCUGAACGACGACAAAUGGAAAAGUGGCUCUGAACGCCGAACUGAAAAAUGUGACAUGAUGACUCUAAAUGUCGUAAACCGUGAAUGAACGGCAGCUCUGAACGCUAGACUGCAAGGAAACAAUGAGGGGGAAAUAUGCCCCAGUGUGGCAUGCCGCUGCAAACCUCAAACUACUAGAAAUGGCUAAAAGGGACUCUACGAGUCUCGAACGACGCACCACUGAGAGCUCAUGUCAACGAAGAGCUUAGGAACAAUGGUCAGUGAGGCGAAUACAAUAUAUCUCGGCUGAGUGAUGGAAACUGCGAUGGACAUGUGAGAGAACGAUCGGCUCCAUGGCUAAAUGAGGGAAAUAUGCCCCAGUAUGGCAUCAGAUGUAUCCGAUCUAUCCUGAUAACCCGAGAAUAGCACCGAUGGGACGCGUAACAGAUCUGAUAUGUACCCCACUGAAAUGAUGACGCGGGAAAUCCAGGCACCUAAGAUAACCCCAUCCAGGAAUCACGACUAUAUCAAAGAGUAUGAAUCUGGCUGAACGAAGUCAAGAGAGGCUCCUCGGAGUAUCCGGACAAAAUGAAAUCAAUCAUCAACCUGGCGUGUAUCUCAUGGCCGUGGAUGAUCAUGUAAACCAGUGGGGAUCUAUAAAUCUCGAUCAAGAUGGGGAAUAUGCCCCAGUGUGGCAUCGAAAAUGUAACAUGUCAAAAAAAAUCAGAUGAACUCAAAUCAUCUAUGCCUGCAACUGGCUAGAUGGCUCUCGAUAGACUCCACUAAGGAAUCAUCGUGAGGAUUGCGAAUAUAUCAUCAUCCCUGCAUACAUCUCGCAAAUAAGGAUAAGCACGCAACUCCCUCAUGAUCUGUAAAUCUCAUCCGAACGGAAAUAUGCCCCUGUAUGGCAUCGAAAUGCAGGAUAGGUCGGAGAUCAGAUAGCAUGGAAUCAUCUAUCCUAUAACAUGUGACCUCUGCGAAGAUCCAUAAAAAUCCUCCGAAACGGAAUAUGCCCCAGUAUGGCAUCUGACGUGCGACAAAUCAGGAAAAAACAGGUGACAUCGAAUCAUCCCUCAUCAAACACGUGAUCCUGGUAAUCCAAACACGGUCGAAACGGAUCUAAACAUCUGAGAAGUGUCUCCCAGAAGAAGAUGCAUGGCAAAUAUCUGGAUGUCGACUGAAUCUCAAACACCUGUCCACAUAGAAGCCGUAGAAGACGAUAUCUGAUCCCAUGGCCUCAGGGUGGUCUUAAGACACGGGACGUAAUGUAGGCUAGGGUGAUAGGGUGAUAGAAACGAAGGGAAACUAAGCUCAAAUACCCAAUGAUCAAAACCCAUGCCCUCGUGUGUGAAAUGCAACAUGUACAGAAAAUCCUGUGAGCCCUGGACCUGAGGGUGUCUAAUGUGAAUAUGAUGUCAAUGAGGAAACAAGUGAAGCAAAUCAAACUGAUAAUGAGAUAUGUAAUGGUGAUACGAAGGGAAUAUCAAACCCGAGAUGGGUCGUGGUAAGAAAAGAAUAAGAAGUGAAGUGAGAAUGACGAAUCAGAAGCGAAAACGAGGACGAUGAUAAUGAAGCGAAUAACAUCAAAAGGAGUGAUGAUCAACUCUGAUCAGACAUGGAAUGAUGUCACAUCAACUACGAACAUAAUGAUGGAACGGACAAUAACCCAGAGCUCCCAAAAGAAAGUCACUCAUCUCGCUCACAAAAUAUGCAACAAAAUGAAUACAAAGCCUGAGGGAUCCCGGGAAGCUCACAUACGAACUCCCGUCAACAAACAUACUCGAUCAAGUGGCCCUCGAAUAUCAAUACAUACACUCAGUGAUGGAUAACAAUACAUACCUGGUUUUUAUUUCUUUUUCCAUUUUUUUUUUUCUUUUUUUUUUUUUUUUUUUUUUUUUUUUACCCCCAAAGAUGACAUCAAAAAAGGAUAACAUACUCUCAAAUGUCAAUGUAACAUGAACUCUCUCUGAUGAUGUGACUUUCUCAAACUAAGGAUCCCUGGACCAACGUCCGUAUGAUAGAUAGUGGAAAUGACAUGACUACCCUCCAUGUAGUGAACUGAGGAAGAUCACCCCUCGGGGUGAAAGAAGAUGACGUGAAACGAACAGUAGAUAAGAUAAAGAAAAUAUGAUGAAUAACACGAACAGUGAGAUGAGAUGAAAUGCAAUGAUGUAGUGGCGAGCACAGAUAAUGAGAAGAACGUGCCCCUAGGUCCAAGGCUCAAUGAAACUCUCAAACAAUGCAUGCAUACACUAAAGGGCCCCAAUCCCGGUGUGAAAAUGUGAGCAAGGCUAUAAGAAAUGAAGGUUAUGAUGCGCGUGCGAGGCUCAAAUGGGCUAGCAAUGGACUAUAUAUAUCAGAAACGGGAUAAAGGGAUAUAGCUAACCGAAAUGAUAGCCACCCAUCCUGCGACCAUGGUCUCAAACAUAGUACCUCUUUAGCUGAUCCACAUUAGUCGGCUCUGAGAACUGGUUUCCAUCCAAAUCCAUCAACCAUGCGGCGCCCUCUGGGGACAACUCUCUGAUGAAGUAAGGCCCGCUCCAACUGGGUCUGAACUUCCCUCUAGGAUCUCUGAUCAAUCCUCUGAUGACUCUCAAAACUAAGUCACCUACAUGCAGUGGUCUGGGCUUGACCCGCUUUUUGAAAGCGCGGGCCAUCUUCCUCUGAUAUGCACGAACAUGGUCUGCUGCUCUCAAUCUCCUCUCAUCUAGGAGAUUGAGCUGAUCAAAUCGAGCCUGAGCCCAAUCCGUCUCGGGAAUCUGCUGCUCCAAGGCUACCCUCAAUGAACCCAUCUCGAUCUCAACUGGUAGCACUGCCUCCAUACCGUACACCAAUGAGUAGGGUGUGGCUCCUGUAGAGGUGCGAAAAGAAGUCCUGUAAGCCCAUAGUGCGAAAGGAAGCUUCUCGGACCAAUCCCGAGAAGUCUCAACCAUCUUCCGCAAUAUCCUCUUAAUAUUCUUAUUCGCGGCCUCUACUGCCCCAUUCGUCUGCGGCCUGUACGCAGACGAUCUAUGAUGCCGGAUGCUGUAUCUCUGUACUAAGGUGUCAACCUCUGCUCUGAAAUGCACCCCUCUGUCUGAAAUAAGCUCGUGAGGGACUCCAUAGCGACAAAUGAUGUGCGAUCUAAUGAAACUGGCAACUCCAGAUGAUGUCAAUCUCGCAUACGAGGCGGCCUCCACCCACUUGGUAAAGUAAUCAAUAGCUACCAGGAUGAACUCAUGACCACUGGAAGAUUUCGGCGAAAUCUUCCCGAUGAUAUCGAUACCCCAUACUGAAAACAGCCAUGGUGAAGUCAAUGCAUGCAACUCUGAGGGCGGCACGUGAAUGAGAUCUCCGUGUAUCUGACACUCAGGACAUCUCUGGACGAACUGACAACAAUCCGUCUCCAUAGUCAACCAGAAAUAGCCGGUCCUCAUGAUCUUACGGGCCAACAUAUGCCCUCCCAUAUGUGGUCCACAAACUCCCGCAUGAACCUCUCUCAUCACUCGAUCGGCAGAGGCACGGUCUAAACACAACAAUAGCAUCCCGUCAGCUGAUCGUCUAUACAGCGUCUCGCCGCAAAUGACGAAUCGGGCAGCCAACUGUCUCAAUGCUCUCUUAUCCUUGGCCGUGGCGACCUCAGGAUAUACGCCGAGUCUCAAAAAGUGAUAUAUGUCGUGAUACCAUGGCAAACCAUCAUUUGGCUCUACAUCAUCAAUCAAACAACAAUACGCAGGAGCAGAUCUCGACUCGAUCAACAAUGGUCGAACAGUGGCAUCGGCGGGAAUGUCGAUCAUGGAAGCUAGAGUAGCUAAAGCAUCAGCAAACUGGUUCUGCGCUCUAGGCAGAUGUGUAUAUCUCAUAUCCUCAAAUCUCGCGACCAGUAGCUCCAAAUACGCGUGGUAAGGCCUAAGCUUCACAUCUCUAGUCUUCCACUCGCCCUGUAUCUGUCUCAAUACCAGAUUGGAGUCACCAAACACCUCCAUCUGUCUAAUCCCAAGCUCGAGGGCUGUCUCUAACCCCAAGAUACAUGCCUCAUACUCAACAAUGUUGUUCGUGGCCAGAUGUUGAUUCGAGAAUGCCAAACGAACAGAUCUGGGAAUGUGAUCACCAUGAGGGGAUAUCAACAAAACGCCUAUCCCGUAUCCAGAAUGGUUGGCUGCACCAUCAAAGUACAUGCGCCAACCCGACAGACUAGUCACAGCUGCGACAUCCUCGUCUGGAAAAUCAUCGUCAAUAGCUCUGGCAUCAGAAACUGGUAAUGAGGCUAAGUGAUCUGCGACAAUGCUCCCUCUGAUGGACUUCUGAGUGACAUAAUGAAUGUCAAACUCAGUCAGAAGUACCAGCCAUCUCAUAAGGCGACCAACUAGGUAUAUCAAGACGAGGAAUCAAAGGUCCGAUCCUACAAAGCACGAAGAACGGAAUAAGGAUAUGGCUCGGGGAAUGUAUAGAAGAAAAGAUAAUCUGAACGGGAACAAGCAAAGCAUCCAAGUGAAGAUGAGCGGUCCGACCGUACUCAAAUUCGUCCUGAUCUCAGUGCACUCUCAUCUGGAGACUAAACAGAGGGAAAAUCGGAUCCAAAACUACGGCUACAGAGGCACGGAAAGCCCUCAGAUGCACCCACGUGUAGGGAGGGAAUCCUAAUCGAAGGAUCUAUGGCUCAACCUACAAGGUCAAGGUGGCUCUAAAUGGAUAAGGGUGGACUUUAAAAUAUCCCUAGCAGAAGCGAUCAUACCCUCCGGCGAUACGCAACCCUCUGCACGCCUCCGAAGAGACGGGGCGCUUCCAUGCAAGGUGGUCAUCACCUCCACACAUGCACUACCUCGCAUUCCAGGGGGUUUCCUAUGGUGAAACCUCUCAAACUCUCAACACUCAAUAGUCUACUAGCGUGCACAGUGAUGGUGUGGGUGCAUCCGAAACCCUAAGAAGCUAAAGCAGGAUAUGAAACACACUGGCCACAUAAAUAUCCAUGAAACCUAGCUCCGGGCUAUACAGGUCUUCAAUGAUCGGACUCCAAUCGACAUCAAAGUGUCGCUCUCCUCCAGAANNNNNNNNNNNNNNNNNNNNNNNNNNNNNNNNNNNNNNNNNNNNNNNNNNNNNNNNNNNNNNNNNNNNNNNNNNNNNNNNNNNNNNNNNNNNNNNNNNNNAGGCAUGUCAAGAAUGGCUCUAAUCUUGUCCGGAUCCACCUCUAUGCCUCGCUCACUGACUAUGUAUCCCAAGAGUUUCCCAGAAGUCACUCCAAAAGUGCACUUCUUGGGAUUCAGUCUCAAUCUGAACUGUCUGAUCCUCUCAAAGAACCUCUCAAGAGCUGCCAAGUGAUCUGAUCUAUCUCGGGAUUUCACUAUCAUGUCGUCUACAUAAACCUCGACAUCCCGAUGCAUCAUGUCAUGGAAGAGUGUGGUCGCUGCCCUCUGAUAGGUGGCUCCUGCGUUCUUCAAUCCGAAUGGCAUGACUCUAUAGCAAUAAGUACCCCACUCGGUAAUGAAGGACGUCUUCUCCAUGUCCUCUGGAGCCAUCAAGAUCUGACUGUACCCGAAAAAUCCGUCCAUAAAGGACAACAUCGAGUGACCUGCUGUACUGUCAACUAGCAUGUCGAUGUGUGGGAGAGGGAAAUCAUCCUUAGGACUGGCCUUGUUGAGAUCUCGGAAAUCAACACAGACUCUCACCUUGCCAUCCUUUUUAGGAACAGGGACGACAUUGGCCAGCCACUCCGGGUACUCGACCACUGAUAGAAACCCCACACUGAGUUGCUUCUGAAUCUCCUCUUUCACCUGCAAGCUCCAACGAGGGUGCAAUCGUCUCAACUUCUGCUUAACCGGUCUGGCAUGGGGCAGAAGUGGCAAACGAUGCUGGACGAUGGAUGGAUCAAGGCCCGGCAUGUCCUCAUAGGACCAUGCGAAAACGUCCAAGUAGGAUCUGAGCAACUGGAUGAGACUAUCUCUCUCAUCUGAGGAUAAAUCUGACCCGAUCCUCAACUCCCUAGGCUGAUCUGCGGUGCCGAAAUCAACAAUCUCUAUGUCUCCUAUAGCAGGUGAAACCCUCUGAUCAACGGGAUCCGAAUCGGAAACAGAAGAUGAGUCAUCAUCUGAGUCGUGCUGUGCAAUCUCAUCAUCAAUAUCAAAAAUCUGUGGUGUGGGUGAAGAUGGUGCAGAUAAAUCAAUAUCCCAAGAGACAGGCAGAUACUCAAAAAUGCUCAAAUCCAUAGAUGAAACAUCGGAAACAAUGUCAGAACAGGAGACGAACCCCGACAGAAUGUCAAAUGAAAGAGGUGGGUCCACAAAGUCGGACGCUCCCUCAACAAUGCCAACAUGGCUAUCAAUCAAAUCAUCAAAAACUAUAGCAUCCUCAACAAUCUCCAGAGUAGGGGUUGUCUGGAUCUCCUCAACGAUCUCGAUGAAAGACACCCCGAAAAGAUCGAAUGGUGAAGUGAGCCCAGGAUGAACUCUCUCCUCGAUCGGGCUCAAGCUCAGGGCGAGCAUCUCGUCGAUGUACUCGUCGUGUGGGACGGCUCCGUCCACUAUGUCUUCGACCCCAGCAAAGGUCCCAUGCUCAUCGGUCUCGUCCGGGAAGCAAAGCGUCAUAAGGCUCGUGCGAUCUGGAGACGAAGGAGCAAUCAACACAGAAGUCGAAGAGCCAGGAGCUCCGUCUCUCAAUCGUAACUGCUGGACAAGGCGCUGAAGCUCGACCUCCUGAGUGGUGCUAAGUCCUCCAAUGAUCAUGUCCGAACGGGUCAAUGGCUCUGAUGCCCUCACAAAAUAAUCAGAUAAGCUCCUGGUGUAUGGACGAAGAGGAUAGUAGAAAGGUGUGUGGGUCAGUCGAGCUCUCACUCUCUCCUUGCGCAAACGCGCCAUGUAGAGAUAAUCGGCCUCAGUGGGGAUGAACCCAAGUCCGAACGGUACGUCGUGAUCAGGGAUGGCUAUGAACUCGCUCGGUCCAUGCUGACGUCGACCCAACCCCAUGCCGGGUAGAUAGGACAUACUCCGCAUGAUAUCGAGCACCACUGUGCUCCCAUGCCGGUCAAAGGACAUGGCCACAAAAUCCCGGCAGAAAUCCUCUAUCUCCACAGUCUGCACCUCAUCGAAGGUGAAUCCAGUCAGAAAAAGAUCGUCAUCAGUGUGACUAAUCUCGAGCACAAGCUCGGCAGCAAUGAACAUGUCUCCCACAGACUGCACCACGACGACCUGACCAUCGUGAAUAAACUUCACCUUCUGAUGAAGGGAAGAAGGAAUGGCCCCGACUCUGUGGAUCCAUGGUCGGCCCAGAAGCAGGUUAAAGGAUGUAGGAAUCCUCAAAACCUGGAAUACAGCGACAAAAGUGGCCGGACCGAUCAGCAACUCGAUCUCCAAUGUACCCAUGACCUCCCUCCGAGUACUGUCAUAUGCGCGAACGGUCUGAGUAGUGGGACCAAAAUCAGAAGGAGCGUAUCCAAGGGCGAUGGCAGUGGCAAGAGGACAUACGUUCAGGGCCGAGCCAUUGUCCAAGAGGACAGAUGGGACUCGGCGGCCUGAACAGCCAACAGAUAUGUAGAGUGGGCGAGUGUGGUCUGAGCCCUCCGGUGGCAAGUCAUCAUCGGAAAAGACGAUACAAGUGGCUCUGCCAACCGUCAUCAUAUGAAUGAGUCCCUCGGGAGUGGUCGUGGUAUCAACUCUGAUCUGGCUCAGAGCUCGAGUCAGUGCAUCCCGAUGAGUACUGGAGGACGCUAAAAGGCUCCAGAUAGAAAUACGAGCCUGAGUGCUCUGCAACUGCCUCAAAAUCUCAUCAUUCUCUGCUCUGACCUCCUCCUGGGAUGACGUAUCCCCUAAGGGUCUAGCGGCAGCGGCUGGAGGUGGCUGUCUCACUACUCUCCCUCCCCGGAGGAUAUACUGAACGUCCGGAGUCUGAGGAUCAUCACUGUGUGGAGCCUGAACCUCCUCAACAUCUGGGAUCAGAAUGUACGGCGCCUGAACGCUAUAGCGCGUGAAUGUCAGAGGCUCGGAAGUGGCUGCCUGUACAGAUGCUGCCUCAGGAACUAAUCGGAAUGGAGCAGGAAUCUGUGGCUCUAGGGUCACCCCACUCGUCUCAUAAAUCCCAGCUGGCAUGAUAGGCUCCGGGUCUGAAUCAUCCCAACUCAACAUAUGGACAUGAUCAUCAGUCUCAUCGAAGUCCAAGAAAUGAAUACCACCGGCUGGUGGAGGAACUGCAUGUGUGGUGUGGGUCGGCAACGGGUUUGUGGUCACACUCGGCUGACCCAAGUGUACCAAACCCUGGUCUAUCAGAUCCUGAAUAGCAUGCCUCAGAGCGGUGCAUCGAUCGGUCUCAUGUCCAGGCCCCUGAUGAUAAGCACAGUGUAAGUCCAUCCUAAACUGAGCUGGAAUCGGCUGAGGUAGUGGUCGAGGAGUGAGAGCAGUCAAUAAACCAGCCUCCGUAAGCUUCCGAAGAGCCUGGCUCAACGGCAUGCCUAUCUGCGAGAACUGCCUCUGCGUCCUCAAAGCGAACGGAGCAGAAGUCUGCUGGGCUCCAGGUCGGGGAUAAGGCGCCGCAGGUCUCGCGGUGAACUGAGCAGCGUAGCAUGGCUGCCCUGUGGCUGUGUAGGAGACCGCGGGUCUCUCAAUGCCCUGAGUGGCAUAAGAAGGUAAAACCAAUGUCUGUGGCAUGUGCGUCUGAUCGUAAGCCGGCCGAGGUGCCCGUGGCCUGUACUGAUGAGAUGCGUAGGAAGAAUGAGGCUCGGAAAACUGUGGGAUCGGCUGAUGGCGUCUGAGAGGCCUCUGACUGGAUGAACUGAUAGCACCAACCUCUGUCGGUCUCGGUCCUACGAAUGGUUUCUUCCCCUUAACAUCACUAGGGGAAGAAUCUGCCCAUAAACCUCUCGUGAUGCCGUCCUCGACAUCAUACAAAGCCAUAACCAGAGACCCAAAAUCUGUGAACGGGACCCCGACCACAUGUCUGGCGAUCCCCGGCUGUAGGCUCCUCAAAACCAUCUGAAUCUGGUCUCUCUCUGAUGGUCUAUCCACUAUCUCAGCUAUCUUCCCGCGCCAGCGGGAAAUGAAAGAAGAAACGGACUCCUCUGUCCUCUGCCUCAGAGCCUCGAGCUCUCUCCUCGAUACGUCUACAACAGUGUUAAACGAAAACUGUCGUAGGAACUCCUGGGCCAAGUCAUCCCAUGUACGGCGUCUCGAGGACUCUAGAGACGCAAACCAGCGCUGAGCCGCCCCACUCAAAGAUAGGGGGAAAAGAGUGAUCAUCUGAGGCUCGUCCAGUCCAUGAGCCCUCAUCACGGUGCUAUAAAGUCUGAGGUGGAGGCGCGGACAACCAAUACCAGUGUACCUCUCAAUAUCUGGCAUCCUGAACUUAGCCGGCAAGCUGGCUACCGGCAUAGCCCCAAAAUCAUCCCAAACAACGGAUCCAUCUGACACUCUCAUCUGUCUCAUACACUGCUCGAUGCGGUUCAUGCGCGCAUGCGUGUCAUCAGCGACAACGGCCUGGGCGACUGCAAGUGGAGCGAUCCCAGAAUGCCCGUGUAAUACAUAUGGUGAUGUCUGAUGCACUGAAGGAACUGGUGGGGGUGGUGGAGGUGGCACCGGGUCAUAGGAUACCUCGUCCUGAGCGAUAUGUGGCCUGCUCUGCUGGUCAUUGAUCUCCUGCCUAAGGCCAGCCAGAGCCUCCUGGAUAGAAGCCAUGGCAGUCGUGAACUGAUCGACCGUGACAACCUGCUGAUCCAUAUCUGGUGUAUCUGAAACCCGAACUAAUCUGCCCUCUACUCUGAUCCACGAAACUAUACCCAGACUGAGAGUAAAAAUCCUGAUCCUGAAAGUACUCCUCCUCUGCUCUGAUCCACAAAAGGUAUAUCAAGACGAGGAAUCAAAGGUCCGAUCCUACAAAGCACGAAGAACGGAAUAAGGAUAUGGCUCGGGGAAUGUAUAGAAGAAAAGAUAAUCUGAACGGGAACAAGCAAAGCAUCCAAGUGAAGAUGAGCGGUCCGACCGUACUCAAAUUCGUCCUGAUCUCAGUGCACUCUCAUCUAGAGACUAAACAGAGGGAAAAUCGGAUCCAAAACUACGGCUACAGAGGCACGGAAAGCCCUCAGAUGCACCCACGUGUAGGGAGGGAAUCCUAAUCGAAGGAUCUAUGGCUCAACCUACAAGGUCAAGGUGGCUCUAAAUGGAUAAGGGUGGACUUUAAAAUAUCCCUAGCAGAAGCGAUCAUACCCUCCGGCGAUACGCAACCCUCUGCACGCCUCCGAAGAGACGGGGCGCUUCCAUGCAAGGUGGUCAUCACCUCCACACAUGCACUACCUCGCAUUCCAGGGGGUUUCCUAUGGUGAAACCUCUCAAACUCUCAACACUCAAUAGUCUACUAGCGUGCACAGUGAUGGUGUGGGUGCAUCCGAAACCCUAAGAAGCUAAAGCAGGAUAUGAAACACACUGGCCACAUAAAUAUCCAUGAAACCUAGCUCCGGGCUAUACAGGUCUUCAAUGAUCGGACUCCAAUCGACAUCAAAGUGUCGCUCUCCUCCAGAAUGCUCCCGUACAUCGAUAUAGCCCGUUGCUAGACCCUACUCCUAAUCUCUGGCUCGGUCAGAGAGCAAACACACAGAAGGUCUCACACUUGCAAUAGUGAGAACCGGGAUGAAAGGAAUGACCGAAACCAAGAGAGUUGGAGGUAAGGGGAUAUAUGUGCGGCCCACAUAGACAGGCAACAUGCAAUCAUGCAGAAGGAAGGCAGUCACGUGUCAUACAGUCAAGCAAAGUACAGGAUAUAUCACUCAUGUCCACACAAAAAGCUACAACUAUCAGGAUGAAUAGCUAUAUGAACAUCAUGCUCAAAAGACGAUCAAGAUAAUAUGCAAGUCAGAGAAAACAACACAGCAAGUCAAAUGAUAUACACCAGUGAAUCCAUGCAUGUGAGGUGAGCAGAAUAAUCAGGAAGAAACAGAAUCGCUAUACCAAGCAAAACAAGGUGAGCAACCUAUGAUAAUCGGCAUGUCAAUGUACCAAACUAAUAUAGCAAUGAAGUACAGAAAAAACGACAUCCGAAGCCCCAAAUCAAGAUGAUCAAUCAUAUCAAUGUCACAACACAAUAUCCAAGCAUACAUCAAAAACUCCCAAUGUGCAAUCAAGAGACAAGUACUCGCUGAUCGACUCAUCAAAUGCCAUGUUUGCUUCAUCUUAAGUUCAAGUUUGACCCUCUAUAGUUCCCCAGCGGAGUCGCCAUUUUGUGGACCCCGCAUUUCGAUGGCUCGAAUGCGUUCCCCACUCGAUGGCGAGCUCGAUUUUUAUUUUGAAAAAUUGAUUUUUAUUGAUUAUUUGAAAAUGACUUGGAGUCGCCACUUAUUUUUGUUUUAUUUUUAAAGGGUAAACAAAAUAAGAAAGAAAAACCCUAAGUGUGACUCCUUAUUUUGGAAAAGGUGAUCUACGAAAAACCGGAUCGGGUUCGGGGGUCAGGUUACUUAUCGGGAAGGUACGGUAAAGACCGUAGCACCCCUCUAAGUCCCUAAAGUCGGGUCUCUACUACUAAAAUGAAGCUGACAUGGCAAUCAAUGAGAAAAUCAAUGAAUACUCAAAUCAAUCAUGCACAUAUAAGUAUCAAAACAUGCGUAUAGCAAGACCAGAAUAAGGACAGAUGCGUACCUGGGCAACGAUCUUCAAUGCGCUAUCAAGAAGUGAGAUUAGUGCACAAUUAAAGGAUGGUCACAUGCAUAUCAUAGAGCAGAAUAAAUCAUGUAUGGCACCCAAAUCAACCAAACAAUCCAUCAAUCAUAAAAUCUCAUAUGUUGGGCCCCCACCAAAGCCCGAUUGAUUUUUGCAUGAAUUAAUUCCAUAAAUUCCCUUGCUUGGAAUUACGGAAUUUUAUUCUAGCUUAUUUUAAAACAUUUUGAAAAUCUGAGGAGUUGUGAAAAUUGCUUGUCAGGGAGAAAAGUGACAGCAAAUUUUUAUUAUNNNNNNNNNNNNNNNNNNNNNNNNNNNNNNNNNNNNNNNNNNNNNNNNNNNNNNNNNNNNNNNNNNNNNNNNNNNNNNNNNNNNNNNNNNNNNNNNNNNNNNNNNNNNNNNNNNNNNNNNNNNNNNNNNNNNNNNNNNNNNNNNNNNNNNNNNNNNNNNNNNNNNNNNNNNNNNNNNNNNNNNNNNNNNNNNNNNNNNNNNNNNNNNNNNNNNNNNNNNNNNNNNNNNNNNNNNNNNNNNNNNNNNNNNNNNNNNNNNNNNNNNNNNNNNNNNNNNNNNNNNNNNNNNNNNNNNNNNNNNNNNNNNNNNNNNNNNNNNNNNNNNNNNNNNNNNNNNNNNNNNNNNNNNNNNNNNNNNNNNNNNNNNNNNNNNNNNNNNNNNNNNNNNNNNNNNNNNNNNNNNNNNNNNNNNNNNNNNNNNNNNNNNNNNNNNNNNNNNNNNNNNNNNNNNNNNNNNNNNNNNNNNNNNNNNNNNNNNNNNNNNNNNNNNNNNNNNNNNNNNNNNNNNNNNNNNNNNNNNNNNNNNNNNNNNNNNNNNNNNNNNNNNNNNNNNNNNNNNNNNNNNNNNNNNNNNNNNNNNNNNNNNNNNNNNNNNNNNNNNNNNNNNNNNNNNNNNNNNNNNNNNNNNNNNNNNNNNNNNNNNNNNNNNNNNNNNNNNNNNNNNNNNNNNNNNNNNNNNNNNNNNNNNNNNNNNNNNNNNNNNNNNNNNNNNNNNNNNNNNNNNNNNNNNNNNNNNNNNNNNNNNNNNNNNNNNNNNNNNNNNNNNNNNNNNNNNNNNNNNNNNNNNNNNNNNNNNNNNNNNNNNNNNNNNNNNNNNNNNNNNNNNNNNNNNNNNNNNNNNNNNNNNNNNNNNNNNNNNNNNNNNNNNNNNNNNNNNNNNNNNNNNNNNNNNNNNNNNNNNNNNNNNNNNNNNNNNNNNNNNNNNNNNNNNNNNNNNNNNNNNNNNNNNNNNNNNNNNNNNNNNNNNNNNNNNNNNNNNNNNNNNNNNNNNNNNNNNNNNNNNNNNNNNNNNNNNNNNNNNNNNNNNNNNNNNNNNNNNNNNNNNNNNNNNNNNNNNNNNNNNNNNNNNNNNNNNNNNNNNNNNNNNNNNNNNNNNNNNNNNNNNNNNNNNNNNNNNNNNNNNNNNNNNNNNNNNNNNNNNNNNNNNNNNNNNNNNNNNNNNNNNNNNNNNAGAAAGGUGAAUAAAUAUGGUGGGGGAGUAGACUGUUGACAAUGGGUAUGUAUGAGUCAUAUGCCUGGGGGUAUGGUGAGAGAUGAACUGCAAGUGAUGGGCAUGAUGUGGUGUGGGGUGGAUUAGUGGGAUGACAGUAUACAAAGAGAGCGUGGUGUAGAGAGAGAAUGCAAGAUGAUGAGUGCAUGUGUAGAUAUGGGUGUGGGCAUGGUGGUAUGAAGCGUGUGGUGGAUGAUGGACUGAAGGUGAUGGGCAUGACAAUGGGCAUGAACAGGGAUGGAGUCAUGUGGGCACGAGACGAGCAUGAGCGCGGAAUGAGUGUGAUGCAACCAUGCAUGGUAUGAAAAGGGUUUGGUGUAGUGAGAGAAAGUAGAUUAUUGGUGAUGGGUAUGAAUAAUGGCCGGGUUUGCAUGGUCCAUGCACUUGGAUGGGUGAGUUUGGGGAUGCUAGCAGAAGCCUUGGAAGGAAUACGGGCAGCCAUGCACGCGUGGGGUUUCAUGGAUAUCGAGUCAGGGUAUUUUGUUGGAGGAAGAGAGCAUGGGUCUGCACAAUAUGGGGAUUGGGAUCUCCUACGGACUCCCUAGCUAAUGGAGUUGUGAAAGGGAGACCAUCUGCUUUUCCGAUACCAGAUUAUGGGAAGUUCAGUGAUGGCUUCUCAAAAAAUAUUGGUCCACCUUGAUGUUAACAAACCACCCUUGGGCAAUUUAGCAAUCCCUUCAUUCUCAGAAGACUCCGUCUCCAACAGACCAUAAUGAUACUGAACUAAUCCAUGUGAAACGGACAAGAAAGGCUCUGCUCGUGAAUGUUCCCUGGCAUAACCUCCUCUAGAAUGUCAUCAGACGAAACAAAACUAGAGAACCAGGUAUCUGGAACAAGUAAGUCUUCUCUCUGGGCCAAACCCUCAACAAGCCUGUUGCAUUUCUCUGAUUUCUCCCACUGUUCUGCCAAAGUCUUUAUUUAUAAUAUAAUGGUUUAGAAAUAUCCUCCAUUAAUCACUCUACCUUUGACCAACCCUGGUUAAGGAUCCAUACAUCAAAUCUGAUUACCACUUCUGGCCCACAACCGCUCGAGUUGAUAAUGAUUUUCCUCCAUAUCUACUCCUGUUCAUCUUCAUAAAAUUCCUUGGAAUCAUCAGUAUACUCACUGCAAUCUGUGGUAAAGACCACCACAUCCUCAUCGACAUCUUACUUUUUUCCUCUACGAAUGGCGCCUCACACUACUCACUAUUCUUUGGAUCUGAACCACUUUUUUUUUUUUUUUGUUUUUUCAAAUAUUGGAUGUCAAGCCUCAACAGCAUAUAGUAGUCAAUUUGUACCAUCCCCAAUGUAUGGUAUGCAUGAUGCCCCGUGCUCAAAUUGCUCAAAAAGAACAGAGGAAUAUAGCCAAGAAAACAGGGCAUAGGAGAAAGGAACAAAAAAUAAAUCAAGGGCAACUGCAUUUCAGGACAUAUCAAUGUGUUCCCACUGGUGGAUGAAAGAUAUGAACAAAUUCAAAACAAAAAAUACGCCACAUAUGUUCAGGUGCCUAGCAACAAAAUAUGAUGCAAGUCCUCACCCAUUUUCUUAAACCAGGUUAAUGAAACAGCGAAAGGAUUAACAUCACAGAUGGAAACAUGACAAAUACAAACAACAUAUACACCCAGUGAAAUGAUAUUCAGAAUAAUGAAAUCAUACGGCUAAAUAUAAGCAUACCUGAAUGUGAUAGAUGUCCUACCCAGCUUUUCUUACUUUCUCUCUGUUUUCCUUGCCUUUCUAGCUCCGACAAUCGAAUCACCUUCUCUCUUACUCUUCUUUUCUCCCGCUUGAAAAACCUCCCUCUGGAAAUAUAUCUCUCCCCCAGCCAGACGACACCCACCUGCCUUGCAGUUGCAAGCCUCCAUUACCUUCAGAUUUUUCUGCCACCUUCCUCUUCUAGGCCCAUUUCCCCACUACUCUGCACCACUACCUUGCUAAUAACAGAAGACGCUCCUCAAUACAACGGCCUGCAGAUCCUCAUGCCACCUGUCAACCUUCCAUUGGCACUUCAAAAACAACAUACGAUUCUGCAUUGCCCUCUCAAAAGGAGACACGUGAUUGAGCAAGGCUCUUCCACGUGGCCAAAACGGGUAGCUGCAUGAAAGGCCCCAAAUGGGGGUCUACAGCAGGAUAUACUUUUUCGUCAAUGUGUGCCUGAAUGACCUAAAACUAGUCCCAAUUAAUGAUAUGACAUUGUAUUUGCUAUUCUCAUCAACCAAGAAUACACCCGAAAAUAUAAGAUCUUGAUUAUUUAAUAAGCAUGUAAGGUAUACACAAAAUAUAGGAAAAUAAUUUAAGUACAUUACUAUAUACCUUAUAAGAAGAUCUUGAUUAUUUAAUAAUCAUGUAAGGUCUACACAAAAUAUAGGAAAAUAAUUUCAAUAGAUUACUAUAUACCUUAAUGCAAUCCCAUAAUUUCUCCUUCAAUUCCACAGGCAUUACUCUCCAAUCAAUAUGAUAUACUGGCACCAUGGUUUGUGUUAGCACCCCCAAGUAUGAUACAAGUUGUACAUAUCCCUCACCCACUCCCUCACCAUCAUCAUUAUAUUGAAUGUCAAUUUUCACUCAUUCACUUCUCUUUUUAGCAAUUUCAGGUUUUACAGUUGGGCCUCUAAACAUUUUUGGUGAAGUAAUCUUCUGUUUUCCUUCCUUUCCAUCCAUCUACAUGACAAUCAAAAGAAUAUGAUCAAUCUCAUAAUACAUAUAUAUAUAUAUCUUACAUUCAAAAGUAAAGCAUGAUAUUUUAAUAGUUACCUACUCUUUAUCUCUUCUUGGUUGAGACAUCUGUAAAGAUGUUGCACUUUUUGGCCAAGUUCCAAAUAAUUAAGAAUUAUGCACUACUAAACAACACUUGAAAAUGUAUCUCAACUAAAUCUAAAGAAAUUAGUUACAAAAUGAUUUCAUAAGUAGGAAUAAAUCAUUGUUGUACAAAACUUGCAAUACAUGAAAAUUAAUCUUAAAUCUCAAUAUAUAUAAAUAUGAUACUAACUGAAUUUAUUUAAAAUAGCUUAGCAAGUAUAUAAUAGUAAAAAUAUAUUUGAGAAUAAUAAAAUAAAAACAUAACAUUGUUGAGCAUCACAUUGUAGAUUAACAAUAACUCAAAAAUCACAUAAUACACUUAGUAGUCACAAAGCAUAACCCCAAAAAACAAAAACAAAAAACAAGAAAAUUGUAGACCCUCAAUUUUGUCCCUUUAGCACAUGUCUUUAAGUUCACUUCCAAUGCUCCAUAGUAAUUCCUUGGUGGCCCAUUGCUACUCAUACUACUUACCUUUUUUUUAGCCACCUUGGAGACCUUGGUUGAGGGGUUUAUCCAACUCCACAUUAUGACCUUGGCAGCCCUAAUUUAGACUUAGCCACUUUCCUGAACGCCUUAGGCCCACUUAGGUACACUUGGCCCACUAGGCGUCACCUUAAGCCCACUUAAGCACUUUUAAACCCAUUUUUUAUAUGACUUGCAUGAUUGCAUGGCCUACAUGACUUGUGUGGCUUAUAUGGAUUUCUUUAUUAUUUAAUUUCAUUUUAUUUUAUUUUAUUAUAAGUUUUCUUGGCUUUUUGGGCAUGAGGAAAGGGUCUGUCAUCUAUUUUGAAGGAGAAUCAACAGAAUUUUGAAAAAGAGGAGAUUUUGUUUUUAUAGGGAUAGCACAUAUAUUAUUUUCAUGGGGAAAUCGGUUACAAAAGGGAAAAAACUAAGAAAGGAAAGUGGAUUUCCUUUUUGGAUCACAAAAGUUUUUUUGGAGGGAGAUUUUUUUAUUGUCUUUGUAGAGAGACACAAAAAGGAAAAAAGGAGGGGAUUUUCCUCUAACAUAUUUGGGGGGGUUCUUUGGGAAGGCUGAUCUACGCAAAAAAUGAGAGGAAAAAAAAGCCACAGAUUAAGGGGGAAGGGACUCACGGAUUUGGAGGAGGAUUUUCUCCAUGGAUGAAGGGGGAAGGGACUCCCGGAGGAUUUUCUCCAUGGAUGAAGAGGGAAGGGACUCACAGAUUUGAUGAGGAGGAUUUUCUCCAUGGAUGGAGGGGAUGGGUAGCAGAAGAUGAGAGGCUGCUUCGAUAGUGUGAAUUUUUCUGGAAAGGGCCAAGGACCAUAGGAGAGGAUCAGGGACAGAGGCACUAUUACUUUGAGAAGCCCAUGAGUUCUUGAAGUCUCCAACAUAUCCCUUGAGGUAAGCUCUUUAGUGUGAAAUCCAAUUUAUUUUAUUUUCUCUGUUUCUUUUCCUCUUUCUUCUAUUGUCAUUAAGAUUUGCUACUGUUGAUUUUAAGUGUUUCAUAAAUUUGCCUGACUUCUGAUCCCAUUGUUGCUUCUUUGUUUGUGUUCAAGAAUCGUUCAAUUCUUCUUUGUGAUAUUUCAAAACCCUUUUAUUCCACCUGCAUUUAAGCCCACCGAUUCAGACAUGAAGUGUGGCUUUUUGAUAGUUCUUAUUUUCUUCAUUUAUGUUCUUUCUUUCUUUAUUAUUUUUUUGGCUAUUUUCUCCUUGCUCUUGGUGUUUGCACAUUCUUGGGCAUGGGACUACACACUUGGACGUCAAACCAUGGGAUGAUGAAACUGACAUGAAAGAGCUUGAGGCAACAUUAAUCAAAUCAAGAUUCGUGGCAAGACUAUGGCUGCUAUAUUGAGUUAGAUGUUUUCCAUAUGGGUUUGGUUCUCUUUCAUGAAUUUGCGGUUGGUUUAAAGUCUCCAAUUUUCUAUAUGGGAGAAGCAAUAUUAAGUAUUUUGGAUAUCUAAGUUUGUCUCUACUUCUGCAUUGAUUAUAUGUUGUGAGCAUGGUGGGUUUGUGAGGAAGGAAAUGUGUAUCAUUGGGGAAUUUUAAUCUUCAUAGAAUUACCACCACAGAGGACUACAGUGGACUAGGACAUGGUUAUAAAGAAUCCAGGCUAGUUCCCCAGUCUGUAAUUGCAUUGAUCAAUGAUAUUUUUGUCCAGUGGUUCAGUCAUCAGUAGUCACAAUUGCUUGUCCAAUGGUUCAGUCAUCAGUAGUCACGGCCGCUAAAAGGGGGAGGUUAACAACCAAAAAAAAAGAAGUGGCAAUUCCUGAACUAGAGCCUCCGAGAUGGUUUGUUAUAGACCUGCACUAUGUGAACUGGGGAACUGUUGUCUUUCUUCUGUUUAGUGUGGAAGUUGUACUACUUAAGCAAAUGAGAAAAAAGGGGUUUGAUAAUGGGUGUAUGGAAUGCUCCUACAUCGGUAAGAAUAUUUCAGGGUCUUCUCUCGCUGCUGAUGUUCUGGACUAAGGCAAGGAAGAGUGUUUUCUCAUCUAUGAUACUAUUCCCAAUGGAAGCUUGCUGCAAUAUCUGGAUGUGAUUGAUAACAAUGGGAAGGUCCUUGAAUAGUCUACUAGAGUUUCUAUCAUCAACGACAUUGCCAAAGGUGCCAGGUAUUUACAUGAGAAGAAAGUGAUUUAUCAAACACAACAUGGGCCCUACAAAUACUAGAAUGAAGAUGCAUCCAGAAUGAAGACCUCCUAGAAUCCAUACAAUGUUCCAUUGAAACAGUCGAAGUCCACUCCUUCAUUGAUGUUGGUAACACAACACGCAAAGCCUGUACUCAAGCUUCUCUAGUCUCUCCUCAAAUCCUAAUGCCCAACCUCAGUGGCUUAAUACAUCUGAAACUGAUGCCAAACGGAUCCCUGAUGAAGGAAAUUAUGGAUACAUACAAAAGAUUUAAGAAUCAGCUUCAUCAGUACAAGCCCCAGAAGCAGUUUGCUGGAAAUGUACUUAAGCUCCAUGAGCAGACCCGUAAGUUGCAGUCGUGUCUUUGAUCGAGUUAGUAAGCUGCUCUCCCUCAAGGUUCGAACCAGAUAAAGGCAACUGGAGUUACUGCUGGUUACACUUUAACUUCUUCAUGGCCUAUACAGUUGGAAUUGCAGAUGAUAUGCAAGUGCUCAUAUUGAUGGUAUCGCUACAAAAUACUCCGAAAUUGUCGAAACAAAAGUUAUUCAAGCAAAGAUGGCAAACUGCAAUGAGAGUCUAUUGAAGAUCUCAGAGAUGAGAGGUUUGCUGAGUUCAAUAAAGAUGGCAAGUAACUUGAUGCCGAUGUUCACCUCAAGCACGUUCCGCGAUGGUCAUGCUGCUGCAUAUGUAGUGAUUUUGAUGGAAGACAGUAAGCCCAUUGGUGAGAAAUCGUUUUAUAACUUCCCAGAAUGCUUGGGAAGCAUCCCUGCUGUUUAAAUGAACUUCCCGAGAAGUGCUUGUGUAACUUGCUAAGCUGGCUACCUGAGUUGAACCACUGUGAUAUCAGUGGGGGAAAGAAACAACAAAGGCUCAACGAAGAGAUUGUACCCCGGGAGUUCAGAACUGGUGGUUAUGCGUGACGUUAUUCGGGAUUUAUAAUCGAAAAGGCUUCCUACAUGGCCAGAAUACAGAGGAUGAUUGGUUUGGGAUUGAAAAGAAGAUGAUCAUUAUUCAUCAGCUUCAUCCAAUUUUGGAGACUUUCAUGACAAGAUUGUGGGUUGAAGCUGGUCAUGUCUUUUCUUCAAAACAAAUCUUGUUGCCUGCCAAAAGAGGGCUCAUUUCUCAUGUCAUAAAAAAUGCUCAUGUCCUUGGAGAAAUUUGUGAGAUAAAAUGCGAUUAUAGUUUGCUAGCUAAAACUCAUUUCCAAGGUGCCAAUUAAAUCAACUGCCAAAAAGUUCACAGAGCACUACUCUUUGGGAUUUCAAUUCCUAGUGAUAUUGGAUAUAGGGAGUUUGUUUGUGAUAUUUUGUUCGAGAUAGAGUCUAAAAACGCAGGUUCUUCUGACAUGAAAGCCAUUGAAAACUGACGUGAGCCACCGAACAUUUCUGCUCAUGACAAGAAGAGUUGUAGGAAAAGUUGGCCAGGUUGUCUGAUGACCAUUGAUGUCCAAUCAGUUCAACAUUUUCGGCUACAGUAGCACCAGUUGUGAGUGGCUUUCUCAAGACAUCGUUCCUGAUUCCUGAAAGCAUUUCAGAUCAGUAUGAGACUUCAAGAUGGAAAUUAAAGAAUUUCCCAUGACUGCCAGAUUCGGUAGUUUGAUUUGAACAGAAUGGCGUCUCGUGAUUUUUGGAAUCAUGCAAACGAAUACACCCAACAUUGCAAAUGGAUCAAUUUCCUAUGACCUGGAAUCUCAACUAACUCUCUGGGUUAGAGAAUUCCAGUCGUAGCCAUGUCAUGAUACUACAAGACACCAGAAUUUAAAUUCAAGCAGCCAUACAAGGUUUCUUCCAAGCUGAUAGCACCACCUAGCACAGGUUUUGAUACCUUAACCUGUGGACAGAGUUUGCUUUUGGGAACAUUCCAUAUACUCGAAAUGGCAUCAAUGUCUUCUAAGUCACUACUUUUGGAUCAGUAUUUAGAGCUAGAUCUUAAUAUCGUCAUGCUAAAUUGUUGCUUUUGGUUUCAGAGACAUGAAUUGCUUGGAUAAUGCAUCCGGCUUGGCAAUUAUAAUUGUAAUGUCAGUCAUCACCUGCCUAAUGUCUCUAGUUACUGGAUUGUGUUGGCACCAGAACAUCUCCUCUAUAAUUGGCUUCAUAUUCUUCUCUGGCGUAAUUGAAGCUUUCUACUUCUUGGCUUUUCUCAUCAAGUUCCUGGAAGGAGCAUGGAUUUCUAAGCCACUCCUGAACAUGCAUAUAGGAAUGGAUGACGAGUCCAAUAAUCGUGACAUGGUGAAUUCUAGUUUAGAAAUCCCUAAUGCAGGUGAUGGUCAUGCUAAUGCCUUUCAUGCUAGCGUUGAUAUUGAUAUGAAUGGUGCCAGCGCUGAAGAUCAAACUGAGUAAAUUGGGUCUACUGCUGAAUAUGGUACGGAUGAACGACAAUCAAGGCAAAACACUAGUUUUCUUGCUACUGAGAUCCACUACUCAUCAAAAAAACCUAUCCCAAAUCAGUCCAACAAAAGGUGGGAUCUCUUUUUCCUUAAUUUUGCCUUUUUUUAAUAGGCAAAAUGAGCAUAAACAAUACUUUAUAAGGUGUCAAUGAAAAUAAACGUUCUUUGCCAUCUCAAAACCUUUUUAUAAGAUGAAAAUUAAUGUAUCCAUCUAACCUCUUAAGUUGUUCCUUCAUUGCAGGAUCUAAAUCAUCAUCAAUAUCUCCAUCUUCCAAACUAUGAUUAUGGUGGUUUUGAAAAGUGUGAACCUGAACAAUGUUCGAUUCCCCAAUUGCAUGAGCUAUGACUUUCCAAGGACAUUCAUUAACUGUGCAAACAACUGUCAUGUGUUUCCUACUAUUCCUCUUGAAGCAAUAACGGAAUCUACCAGUAAUUAACAUCAAAUAAACGGCAUCACGGAACUCGACAGCAUUGGGGAAGGUAUGUCCACUACCCAUAAUGGAAUUUUCAAACCGCCUUGAGUCACGUUCGAGUAUAUUUGAUUCCGCACAUCUUUGGGAAAACCCAUAUGACUCAAUUGUAAGAGAGUUAUUACAGAUAUCAAUUGGCGGAUCACCACCGGAGGAAAGUAGGUGUGCCAAAUUCGAACCAACAAUAGGAGUAGGGGCACUACAAAUUUAAAAAAAAAAAAAAUAUAUAUAUAUAUAUAUAUAUAUAUUCAUCUGUCUACAUAUAUUUCAAAAGUUGAUAGACAAAGUGAAUGUGAUGUUGGUAAGGCUAUAAGUACCUAUUCGAUACUAUACAGGCUUCAACAACUUCACUUGAUGAUGAGACAUAGGCUCGACAAAACAUUUCGUUGAAUUGAAUAGUGCAGGCAUGUGAUAUUCUAUAUAGGAUUGGUGAAUAGUCUCAUAGUCUAAGAUCAUGUUUGGUAGAGAGACAAAUGGAACACAGAUUUAUGAGAGGACAAGAUUGAAAGUUUGCAUAAAGCAAUUCUCUAAAUUAAGGACAUUUUGAAUAGUUCACUAGGAGAUUACAAGAGGAAAGAGAGAAGUAUGGCUUACAAGCCCACCAUGCUUAUCUCGAUGUAUUUGGAAGUGAAGCAAUAAAAGAAUCUUUGAUGAUGUUGAUCAAUCAGAAUUGUAGCUGAACAAUGUUUUCCUAAAUUUUUUGUUGAAUGGUCUGCUAGAUCAAUAGGAAAUAGAAGCCUUUCUUUUGUAGAUUUCAUUUGAUAUUUCAGCUAGUACUUUAAGGAUCAAGGAGUUUUAUUUUCCCCCUUUUUUUUCUUUUAAAAUCCUUAUGAACAUCACAAGUACAAAGGAAGUGCCCUCUUCUUAGCAAUUGUUUCACAACAUUUUACGUAUCAAAACAUUUUUUUUCAUUCUCCAAAAUGCCAAAAAAAUAAUGUCCAAAACAUUGAUUUUUAUUUUUUUAUUAAUCAAUUAAAUAUAAUUUAAAAUAAAAUAAUUAGAAUUAUAUUUUUUUAAUGAUGAACCUUAACUAAUUUAAAUUAAAUAUAUAUUAUCAAAGAGUACCAUAGUCCAAUGGUAGCAGGGAUUGAACCCAAGCCACAAUUUUGAUUUAAUAAAAAUUAAGAUGGCUAAUUAAUAAUUAAUAAUUAUUUAUAUGGAGCAAAUUGUUCUCAUGAUUUGUUUCCCCUUUUGUUUUUUUUAUCAUACUAAAUCUAAAGCUCAAAAGGGUCAUCCACUUCUCUCACUCGGGCAUCAAGGAGCCCUUUUCUGAAGUUGCCCUCCAAACGAGAGAAUCCCUAAAAAGGCCCUAUUUUCCUCUGCAACUCUCAAUCCUUGUAGGUACUAAUCUAAUCACAUUAUUAAUUUUUUUUUAAACCCUCAUUUGAUUCCCAAGAAAAUCCAUCCCCCAUUUGAUUUCCGGGAAAAUUCAUCCUUGUUUGAUUUUCGAGAAAAUCCAUGCAAAACCCCAAGGAAAACAAAAAAAAAAUGCUUUUUUUUCCUCCCUAUGUUUUCUAGAUCUGUUCUAGGGGUCUCUUUGCUUUUGUGCCAUUGGGUUUAAAUUUCACAAACCCUAAAUCCACGAUUUUUGAGCUAGGUUGAAAAAUAUAACCUUUGCCUGCAAAUCGUGAUCAGAUUACCAAAUAGCAUCUUAUGUUUUUUUUUAUAUAUAAAAAAAAAAUUUGGAUAGAUUUUGCAUCAUGCAUGGGCUAUGCUGGUAGGAAAUAUCGGGAAAUUUCCCGAAAAUACGAUAAAAAAUACCGAUAAAUACCAAAAUAUUUCUCGAUAUUUCAAACACUAGUGGUUCUCAAAUUUUUUUUCCUCAAUGAUUCCCCACAAACAACCGUCUUGUAAACAUAAAUAUUUAAGAUAUAACAAAAAAAAAUCCCCAAAUAUUCUAAAUCACGGGGUCGUGAACAAUGCAAAACAACCUUCAGCCCAAAUAUUUUCUCAACAGCCAAACAAAUCCUUAAAUGGAAAACUCACAUGCGAUUAAUCCAAAAGAAAGAGGAAACUCCACUUCGGUUUCCAGAAACCUGAAAAAUAUUCACCUUUGAUGAAGAAAUAUGAAGAUAUGACUCAACUUUGGCUUCGUUGAAGGUUUUUGGAAGAUGGCUAUUGGGUUUGGGUGGUCAGCUCGUGAAGAGAGACACUAGGGUUAGGCCAAAAUGAGACGAAAUGAGAGGAAGUGAAGAGUCAUGAAAAUGCAGAGCAAACGAGCCAUGAAAAUGUAGAUUGGGUUAGGGCAAAAUGAGAGGAAGUGACAGAGAGUUUCCCCAAAUUUCAAAGUUUAUCGAGUCGGGUGUUCUAUGGGUUUUGCAAAUUUGAUAACUUUUAAGUUUUUGAUUUUCGUGUUUAUUAAAGGCACAACUCUCGGGUGACAUGGACACGAGUGAUGGUUGCUGAUAGGGAUGCAUGGAGGGGUAAUUUCGAAAAUCCAAUUAUAAAUUGUAUAUAAUGCAUGAAAAGGAAAAAAUUUCUUGAAAUAGUGGACAUAUCUUGGGUUAUGCAAACUUGGGUUUUGAAAACAAUAUUAUUAGGAAAUGGGGCUCUCGAAACACAACUUUCCCUAUUUUUUAUAUUCCAAAUAUAAUAGUUCAUGUUAAUUAAACUAAUUAAAUAAUUUAAUUAAGUUAAUUUUUUGAAUCUAAAUCUAACGAGAUUGAAAUUAACUAGUUGAAUCUAAUUCUUACUAGUUUGAAUGUGAAAAUAAAAUUAAAUAAUCAUCUAAAAUAUAACAUAUCCAUCUAUAAUUAAAUAAUCAAAUUAACCUAAGCUUAUUCAAUAAAAAUAUACAAAUUAAUUACAAUUGAAUGUAAAAAUAAUAUUAAAUCAUCCAUAUUGAAAAUAUACUAAUUAAUUGAAAAUACAUUAAUUAAUUACAAUUGAAAACAAAAUUAAUUACAAUUUAAAACAAACAUACCUUAAAAUAAUUGAAUAAUUGAGCAACCUUAGAAAAUUUUUGAGCAAUAAGAGAUCAAAUAAAGAAUGAAAUUAAAUGUGGAUGAAAUGGAUGCAAAAUGAGUUAUUUAUAGGAAAAUUUUGGGCCAAAAUAGCUAUUGAUAGAUGAUUUCACUAUUGAAAAACAGUUUUGGCCGUUGGAUCAAAAUCAGGGCGACAUAUGACCAUUGGAUCAUGAAAUAACCAUUGGAAUAUCAUCCCAACGUUGGACCAAACCCAAAUUCAAUCUGGGGAGUUAGAUCAAUGCAGGCAUGAUGUAGGCCGUUAGAUCACGCUGAAAAGAGGAGGCAAAUUUUCUUUAAAAAAUCGACGAUUUAUCACCGAUAUAUAGACGUUUUUCCAACAUCAGUGAUGAUUGAUUGAUAAAACCGUCAAUUUAUCGCUGAUCAGCGAUAUAUCGACUAGAUUUUGGCAAUUUUUUGUUUUUUUGCCUCUUCGAUAAAUCCCCACAAAAUAUCGUGUUGAAACUCUCCGAUACACGAUAUAUCGAUGACAUACCGCCGAUAUAUCUUUGUGUUCCUAGUGAGGUUGAUGAUUUACUAAUAUGUUUCAAGUGCACAAUGAGGGAUUAAUUCUUAUUGCACACUAGGGCAUAGCCAUUUUAAAUAUCUUUAUCAAAGUUAGUGGUUUGAUUUUUAGAGAACACUUCUUAUUUGUUGAUAUUGCUAUCACCUACAAAGUAUGGUUUUAUACAUCCCUAAUUCGAAACAACAACUAUCCAUUGCAUUUGAGCAAGGUGGAGAUGUUGUUGGUUAUUAUUGCAUGCUAGGGCAUAGCCAUCAUCAUGGUUUUCUAAUCAAGUUAAUGAUGCAUUGACAUUAUGACGGAUUGAUCUAGUUUGGUUGUCUUCAUAGUUUAUUUUUGUCAAUGAAUGGCAUUGUCAUGGAUGAUUUAAAUACAUUAAUUCGAACACAUUCAUUUUGAAAACAAUCCAUGAACACAUUCCAAAAAAAGAAAAAGGGUAUCUAGGGAAUGGAUCAAUGCAUGUAUACUGAUUAUGUUCUAUAUCAUUGCACUGAGAAUAAUGAAUAGGUCUCUUAUGACUGCAUUAUGAUUCGAUAAGACAUUGUCAUAGUCUCCUAAUAGAUGUUUUACUUUAGGGCUUUAAGAGAAGGAAAUGAUCAAGCUUCUUUAUCAUGCAUGCAUGCUCUCAUCAACACAAAGUUGAGGCAUGUCAUUCAUCAAUAUAGAUCAGAAUGAGCCUAAAUAAAUCAAAGUUCUAAGUGGAAAAUGUUCAAUAUAGGGUUAUACAUCUAAGUGUAACAUGAUCGAAUUUUAUUCAAAUGUAUAAACUAUAAAUGAUUACAUACCUUUUUUUUUUUCCGAAUUCGCUCAUACCAUUAAGAUUUUUCAUCCACAAGAUACAACCUAUAUUGCAAAAAAUUAAAAAUUAAAAUAAAAGUGAAAAAAAAUUGUAUUAGAAUAUUAAGAAAACUCUACUUAUAAAUAUAAAAGAAUCCAAUUGUUUAAUAUUAAAAAAUCUCAAAUUUAAAAUCUAAAUAUUGAGGGUAAUUUUCUAUUUUUCCAUCUCAUAAUGAAUGAAACUCUAAUAUCUCCCUGCUAACUUACUAAAAGGGUCAUUAUCAACAUUUUUCACCUUAGAGCGAAUGUAAAAUUAUAAAAUUAUUAUCUGAGAACACCCACUUUACAAAUUAGAGAAAAAAACCUAAAAUAAAAAGGAAAAGUAUACCAUAAGGAAUAUUUAUUUCAAGCUCUUUAAAGUACUGAGAGCACCCAUUUUACAAAAUUGUACUCAAGUCAUGUAACAUUUGAAUCCAACUCAUUGAAACUCAUCAUUUUGUCUCAAAAAAGGUUUUUCAUUUUUUUAUUAUUAAAAAAAACCAUAAGCAGCUGAUUGUAUUCAAGUAAUUCAAUGGAUAGCCCUCAAAGGUAGGCAUCAAUUUAUCAGACAUUCAAACUAAACCACGGCAUCAAAAGAUUAUAACGAUAAGAAUAUAUAUACCUCCAGGCGAAGGAGCCAUUGAUGCUAUUAAAAGUUUGUUCUUCAAAAGAGCUUUAAGAAGUGAUCGAUUGUUCUUCAAGAGAGCUUCCAAAGAGCUUAGGGGGCUUUUUCUGUAUCCAAUUUGUUGAUCUCACUCUCAACCAACAGUAAAAGAAUAAACCUAAUCAGGAAAGAUUAAAGCUAACCAUAAAAGAACCAAACUCACCUCAGUAUAUAUGAGUUGGAUUUUUUUCAAGAGACAAUGAAAUAGAGAUGCUUCUGAGAGGAGAGGGUGAGGACAUGCAAAUGAGGAUUUGUGUGAAGAAAGAAUCGUUUACUUUCCAAAGGGACAUGCGGGCUUCUUCACUAGGAGGAUUUAAGUCAACUGGGAAUGGAUUUAAACAGCUCCAUGGUAACAAAAAUAAAUAAAAAAAUAAAGAAAAAUGUGUCCUCCAACAGUUUAUUGAUACAGUAAAGUGGACAUAUUACACUACCAUUAUGAGAAAUGACACAUUUGAAGGAGAGAGUCUUUUGAUAUAAUUGAGGCAUUAAAGUUUAAGCACUCUAUCUAACUUAUAAUCUUUAUAAAAAAGAAUUUCACGGAGACCAACUCAAAUGUAUAAAUAGCUUAUACAUUCCAACAUAAAGCAACAGCUGAUGGGAAACUGUGACUUCAAGGAGUUUUGGGCUGAAAGAAGGGGAAAGUCCCAUUAUGGUUUUUAGUCGAAUAAACAUGUUGACAGAUUCACACAAAAUCGGGCGGUUCGUCUGAUUCGACGGUCUAACUCUCUGGUUAGAUGAUUCAAUGGCGAUUCAAACUCAGAACAGUCCAUUCCGGCGAAUCAGACCGAAGGUCGGACCGAUUUUAAAACUAUGCAUUCACCAACGAAUCUGAGAAAAUCAAAAUUAAUUUUUACAAGCCGAAUUCAUAAGAAGACGAGAAAGGGAGUCAUCUCUGAACAGUAGACACAGAAGAACUUUAUUGAAAUUGGUGUUGCUUUUUGAAAGAGACGAAGUCGGCCAGCUACUUGGAAAGUUUGACUGGACAAGACUUUGAGUUGAUUUGAUGGGAGGUGGAGCAGUUUAUUGGGACUUCAAAAAUAUUUUUCUCUUCCAACCGUCCUUAGAUUUAAAAUAUUUUUUAUCAAAAUAUUUAUUUAGAAUUUUUUUCUUAAUGGAAUCACUUAUUAAAUACUUAAAAAAAAUUAAUAAAAUUUCCUUAAAAGUUUAAACAUCAUAAGAUAUUUAAAUUUUUGAAUGACCAUGUUUCGUAUUUAUGCCCAUAAUAAUUUCAUAUUAAAUUAAAAUAAAAUAUUUUUAUUUUAGUUAUUAAAUAAUAAAUGAUAUUUAAAUUGAAUUUAUAAUUAAAUGAUUAGUAUCAAAUUUAUUUCUUUUUAAGAUAAACAAAACAAACUCUACUAAUACUAAUAGUAUUUUGAUCAAACCUGAAGCAAUGGUCAUUGUAAGUAUAUUUCCCACCAAAAUAAUAUAAAAGUAAACAAUAAUACCCUUAUUAACUAAGGACAAAAUAAAUUGGAGUUCAACUAUUUUUUUAUUUUAUCCAAAUUUACCAAAAGACAUAAUAACUCCAUUUUUUUUUCGAAUUUAAAGAUUCAAAUAUGACAAAUAUAUAAGAAUUUAUAUAAUUUAAAAUAAGAUAUAAAAAACAAUUUUUAAAAUUUUCUAUUAAUUUUUUUUACCUCAAAUAAGCACUUAAUUUUUUUUUAGAGCAUUUACUAUAAAAGAAUUUAAUUCUCACCUAAAUAGAAGUAAAAAAUAAUUAUUAUUAUUAUAAAUUAUUUAUCUAAAAUUAUAGUAUGAAAAUCUUAAUAAUUUUUUAUAUUGAUAUUAUUAUUUUAAAUUUUUAUUAUUAUUAUUAUUAUUAUUAUUAUUAUUAUUAUUAUUAUUAAUUUUAAUUCAAUUAAUUAAUUUAUAAAUUCCUAACUUAUGUGAAACUUUUAUUUUCUAAAUUUAUUUUUACGAAUCUUCUAUUUUCUUUAUUUAAUUAAACUAAAUUUCUUGGAAACCUAUUUCUUUUAUUAGUAGAACUAAACUUAUUACUAUUAUAAAUUUUAUUACAAUCAUUCAACAUGCUUAAUCCUAUUAGUAUUUUUAUUAUUCUUUAUUAUUACUAUUUCUAACACAUUCUUACUCACGCACAUUAUCAUGUAUCAAUCACUUUCCAUCCACUGUAAUUACGUAUCUCUUUCACUUUUCCUAUAGCUAUUUUUUUUUCUUUUUACUUUUUUUUUCUUAUUUUCAUAUUAAAUCCACCGCCAUUUUUUUGUCUAAACACCUACAAGCACGCGCAGAGUGGCCACCCAACCCAACUCAUUCCUUGCAUCAUCAUAUCAUAUGCACAUAAUGCAACGUCUCCUCAGAGGAUGAUGUUAAUUGUCAGUUGUCACUCAUCAUUUCAUACUUAAAUGCCAUUACAAAUAGAAUUAGUCCAAGAUCUUAUUGAAAAUCUAGUCUCUUCUAAAAGGGAGAAUUGUGUUUUGGGUCCAGCUGAGCCCAAAAAUUAAGAUAAGGUCUAUGUAAUUGACCUAAUUAAUGAUAAGGAUAUUAGAUGUUAACAGACGAAAAGACCCUUUACUUUUUCAACUCAAAUGGUUGUAAAUUAAUGGGUUUCACAACUGGUAAACUUGAAAUGUCAUGUCACCAGAGUGAAAAUUUUGAAUCUUCCUACCCCUUUCUCUCCCUUCGUAAACAACAUAUGCACAAACGAUGUCGACUAUGACUGUCCCCCAAUCGCUUUCUUCAACAGCCGAGGAUUGUGAGCAUUUCAGAAAAGCUUUUGUAAGUAUUUUAUCAUGAUCAUUCCCAAAUCCAAAUGACGGGGGUCUGAAUUAUUUGCUGAUAUUUUGAUUUGAUUAGGUUGAGGCGUUUAUAGGUAUUUUAUCAUCAUCGUCCAGAGUGAAUAAAUGGGUUUCGUCCAAACGGUGAGCUUUGGGGAAGAAUAUUGUUCGGUGAUGAUGCAAUUAAUCUGGAAUAGCUAUCCUUCGGAUCAAAAAUAUUUUGAAAGCAAAGAAGUUGGUCAACCUAACGAAACAGAGAAAAUGAAGAACUCCAAUGAAGAUAUAAACCGGCCACAACUGUGGUCGUGAUGAUGGCAGUGGCCCAACAACCUCGUGUGAAUAUGGAAAUAUGUUAAAUAGGGUAUAUGCCUUAUUGUUGGGUAAGUUUCCAUUUUAUAAAUUGAUGGCUUCCACCAACUGCUAUGUCCACCAAUUGACUACUCAUUGUUAGCAUAUCAAACAUCUAUGUAGUCCAUCAGCUUCAGUUUUAGUGGGUUGUGGGCCAUAUGGUGCACCAGUUGGACAAUGCAAAACCUCCGUUCUCUUUGAUGAGUCCAGACCUCUAAAAAGCCUCGAAUGUAACUAUUGUUCUGUGGCUGACAAACACUGGGCAAGGUGUAUAUGCAUAAGGUGUUGUGUUCCUUUGGAACAUUCUAGGUUAUUCCAUUUUUUACAUUUUUCCUUUUCGUUUUGUAUACCUUGACCUGGUUACAUGAUGCAUGCACAGUUAAUGCUACUUUUGGUCUUAUUGUCUUUCUAUGUGGCUGGAGACUUUUGUAAUCAGGCUUUAUAAGCUCUAGAGGCUUGGGGCUCAUAGAAACUAAUAUCAUGAGAUUAAUUUAGGAUCCACUCUCUCAGAAUCUCUCUUGCUCUUUGUGUUAGCUGUAAGUUCAUGACUAUUUCACAUUCUAUUAAAAAUUCUAUUAGCUAUCUUGAUUUUAUCAAAAUCAUUCUGCUUGAAUUCCUAAAUUUUCUUUUUGAAGAUUUUUCUUGUCUUAGCCCACUCCACCCAACUUUUCCUUUCUUGUUCUUUUGAUUAGUAUCUGAAACAAUUUUUAUUUCGUUGAUCAAUGUAUAUUCUUGCAACAAAUGAAUUAAAAAUUUAAUUUGUGCCCAAUUAGUUUGGUGUAAAUUUCAUCCACAUUUAUCUCAUGUAAUUUUAAUUGGAAAUAUUUGGUGUUUAUGGGAAUAAACAGGAAGCUUGAAAUUGCUAAUCAUUGGCAUUAAAUUGAAGCAGGUUUAGAAAUGAAAGUUCUGGAUCAGGAAAGAAUGGAUGAGAAGGAGAAUUGCGGACAGAAGAAAAUAAUGUCUCCCUGUUUGGCUCUGAAGAAUUGCUUGGAGGAGAAAAGGGUGACUACUCUAAAAGUCAGCCACAGUUAGAAGCAUUUUGGUCUUCUUUAGAGUUUCCUCGUAAAUUAUAGACAAUUGUUAAGCCUGGUGCCACAUGUGAUGUUUAAAAAGUUGUUCACUAGUUGAAUGGAACCCAUCUUUAGGCAUGUUUUUUAUUGAAUAAAAUAUAUGUUUGAAUAAUAAUUUGCCAUGCUUAACAUAUAAUCUUCUUCUGAAUUCUAGUUGGAAAGUUGGAAUUAGCUUCGAAUAGUUUCACAUUAAUGGACAAAUUGCUGUUUUUUUAAUUUUCUUGUAUUGUUAAAAAAGUAUAGGGAACAAAUUGAUACUUCAAUUUUUCCUUAUUUUAUUAACCAAAAGAUUGCAAACAUGAUUAACCUAUGCAUGAGCAGACAUUCAAUAGUGGUUGUAUGGAAUUUUUGUCUGUGUACAAGACAUUUACACUAAGUGUACAAGAUAUAUGUGCUUAAUGUACAAGGGUGUACAAAGGUACCUAUGUUGAAGUAUUUGCAAUCGUUUUAAAAUCAUGUCCAUUUUGAAAGGAUGAGGAACAUUCCCUCACACACAUUCCUUGAUCACGCACUCAUCCUGUUCAAUUUUAUUACUUCAUACAUGUUGAUUGGAUGACCAACCACAGUAAUGAUGAAUAGGAACCUAUAUUGGGUUUUACUUCCCCCUUUUCCCUUAGGCAUCACAUUGGAACAUGAUAGCUCACCCAUAUGCACGCUUUUAGUUUUAGGUAUGUCAAAUUUUUUCCAUUGUAUAAGACAUUUAAACUAAGUGUACAAUGCAAAUGUGCUAACUGUACAAGUGUGUACAAUGCUACCUAUGUUGAAGGAUUUCAAAUGGUUUUGAAUAAAUUGCUUGCUCAUUUAUUUUUUUUAAGGGGGACAUUCCUCAUAGUCAUUCCUCAUUUCCCUUCGUACACAUUCAUUGGAUGAGAUAACACACUUAUGAUGAAUAGGAACCUAAAUUGGGUUUCAUUUUCCCCCUUUUAAUUGAGCCAUGACAUUGGAAUGUGGUUAACCCGCCAAUAUGCACUAGUUCUAUUCUAGCUAGGUUGAAUUUUUGCAAUUGUACAAGGCAGUUACACCAAGUGUACAAGACCAAUUUACUAAAUGUACAUAGGUAUACAAGGGUGUCUAUCUUAGGGGAUUUCAAGUGAUUCUGAAGAACUUCCUAUCUUACUAUUUCCAAUCGUGGGGGACAUUUCUCGCACAUAUUGCUUGACAACACACUUAGUGCAUGCAUUUUAUUUGAUGUCUACUAUGUUAAUUCCUUCUAUUAGCUUCCCUAGUAAUGAUGAAUAUGAACCGAAAUUAGGGUAAAGUUUUUUUUCAUUUUCCUUAAUCCAUGAGAAUGGAAACAUUGGUUACCCACCCAUAUGCACUCGUUCGGUUGUGCCUAUGUGGGAUUUUGUGACUGUACAAGGCAUUUACACUAAGUGUACAGUGCAAAUGUGCUAACUGUACAACUGUGUACAAUGCUACCUAUGUUGAAGGAUUUCAAAUGCUUUUGAAAAAAUUGUUUGCUCAUUUUUUUUUCUAAGGGGGACAUUCCUCAUUUCCAUUUCUACACAUUCAUUGGAUGAGAUAGCGCGCUUGUGAUGAAUAGGAACCUAAAUUGUGUGUCAUUUUUCCCCUUUUCAAUGAGCCAUGACAUUGGAACGUGCUUAACCUGGCCAUAUGCACUAGUUCUGUUGUAUCUAGGUGGAAUUUCUGCAACUGUACAAGGCAUUUACACUAAGUGUACAAGGCCAAUGUACUAAAAGUACAAGGGUGUACAAAGGUGUCUAUCUUACUUUUUCAAAUCGUGGGGAACAUUUCUCACACAUAUUGCUUGAUAACACAUUCAUUACAUGCAUUUUAUUUGAUGUCUACCAUGUUAAUUCAUUCUAUUAGCUUCCUUAGUGAUGAUGAAUAUGAACCGAAAUUAGGGUAAACUUUUUUUGUCAUUUUCCCUAGUCCAUAGUAAUGGAAACAUUGGUUACCCACCCAUAUUCACUUGAAAAUAUGUACCUAUUAGGGAUUUGGUGACUGGACAAGGCAUUUACACUAAGUGUACAAAGCAAAUGUGCUAACUGUACAAGUGUGUACAAGGCUGCCUAUCUUGAAGGAUUUGAAAUGCUUUUGAAAAAAUUGCUUGCUCAUUUAUUUUUUCUAAGGGGGACAUUCCUCAUUUUCCUUUGUACACAUUCGUUGGAUGAGAUAGCACGCUUAUGAUGAAUAGGAACCUAAAUUUGGUGUCAUUUUUCCCCAACUCAGUGAGCCAUGACAUUGGAACGUGGUUAACUCGGCCAUAUGCACUAGUUCUGUUGUAUCGAGGUCAAAUUUCUACAACUGUACAAGGCAUUUACACUAAGUGUACAAGGUCAAUGUACUAAAAGUACAAGGGUGUACAUGGGUGUCUAUCUUACUUUUUCCAAUCGUGGGGAACAAUCCUCACACAUGUUGCUUGAUAACACACAAUUGCAUGCAUUUUAUUUAAUGUCUACCAUGUUCAUUCAUCCUAUUAGCUUCCCUAGUAAUGAUGCAUAUGAACCGAAAUUAGGGUAAAAUUUUUUUUCAUUUUCCCUAGUCCAUGGUAAUGGAAACAUUGGUUACCCACCCAUAUUCACUUGAAAAUAUGUACCUAUUAGGGAUUUGGUGAUUGGACAAGGCAUUUACACUAAGUGUACAAAGCAAAUGUGCUAACUGUACAAGUGUGUACAAGGCUGCCUAUCUUGAAGGAUUUGAAAUGCUUUUGAAAAAAUUGCUUGCUCAUUCCUCAACUGAAAUGAUAAUAACCUUUCAUUGAUUGAUAUCCACGUGGGCCCUCCUCAUGAUUGUCUUCAACCUGAUAAAGGGUAUGUGUUUUUUUUUUCCCUUAGUGAGAAAGCAAAUAAAGGCAUAAUAGAUAUAUGAGUGUGUUGGCUACUAAGUAGGUACUGGUUGGUGUUUGAUGAUGUUAAAAGCCUUUAUAAAGCAGCCUCUAGUAAGCACUGAUUUUGAGAUUUAAGUUCUUUUGAAUUUGAUCAUUUUUCCCUUUCUUUUCCAAGGUUUUUCUUUCCACCUUGGUUUUGUGAAGAAAGCUUGCAUUAUUGGAAUGAUUGUUAUUUAAUGUCGUUGCAGUUGCAAAUGACACAGCUAUUCACCAAAUCCCAACCUCUGUUUUGAAUCUGAGACAAGGUUAACAAUUCGUAUAGUUCAAGUUCUUCAUGGCCUUCUAGAGAGUGAGCAUGCAGCACAUGCAUAAGCAAACAAUAGGGCAAAAGCUCUUUCUGUUCAACUACAAUCCACACAAGGAAAACUUGAUUUACUUCAGCAACAAUUAACAUCAGUUUCUUUGAAUAAAACAGCAAUGGACGGUAAGCUCAACACUGCUUCCCAUGGAAAAUGUUUGAGAGUAGAUGACUUUGACCUGACUAUUGAAUCUGUUGAAGAUAUGGAUGGUAAUGAAAGAAUAACAAGAGAAAAUAAGAUGUCAACGAUCACAACUAGCCCUCUGAAGUUCACGCAGUCAGAAGAUGGUGUUUAAAUAUUUAAGGCCAACGAGGACAACAACAGCCAACAUACGAACCUAGAGGACUAUACAAAAUUCAUUGUGCUGAAACUUAUGAAAGAACUCACAAAACAUCAUUAUGGGGCUGAGCUGCUUCAGUUCAGGAAUCCCAACAAGAGAAACAUCUUGCUUUGUAUGAGAAACACGUGCUUUAAAAAUUGUAACCUGUCUAUAAUCUAACAAGAAUUGACUUGAUAGAUUAGCUUUUUAACCAAGUACUUAGUGCUGAAGAAGGUGUUUUGUGCUUGAACGGUGUCAUUCCCAUUAGUCCAAAAUUUUGGGAUGAUGAUCGCCAUUUUUCGAUGUGCUGAAUGAUUACUUUUAAGGUGUGGAGCUACUGCAUUCUGAGAAUGGUUAAUAAUAAUUUUUAAAAUCAUACAUAAUAAAUUUGAAAAUAAAGACUAAUAAUUUUCAAGUGAUUAUGGAUUAUUCUUGAGUUCCCCUUUUCUCUUGUCUGAACUUGCUAGUUCCCAAUACUAAAGUAGGAGUCCAGGGAUAAUUUCAACACAAAUAUUAACUAUAAGUCUCUGACAAACCUUAUUCUUAUUACCACCCAACUAACCUAAGGGCAAAGUGGGUUCUUAUUACCAAGCCAUGAGCAAUUUUGCCCACCAAAAAACCUAGGACAAAAAAGGGAAAAAGCCACACCAACAUGUAUGAUAACAAAUAAGAGCAACCAUACACUCUAUUAGGCAUAGACAUCUAGGUUAGUGUGGAGGUACUCUUCCACAACCUUGUACAUCCCCAUGGCCUUGUCUUUGCCGGUCUUGAUGUCCUCGUCCUUGAGCUCAAUAUUUGAGUGAUAAUGGCUAGUCAUCUUGCACAUAGAGCCUGAGCCCGAUGCCUUGAACUUUACCUCGUUUGAAAUGGCCUUGUUUUUACACUCUUAAUUGCCUAAAUUUCCUUUCUAAGAGGCUUCAUUUUCCAAUUCUAUUUCCUUUCACACCUUCAAUGGGAAUUUAGGAGACAACUUUUAGUAUUGUGUCUUAGUUUGAUUGAAGGUAAAAUUGAAACCCAUAACAACCCUGACUUGUUUGAACCCCAUGUCAGAAAAAGUAAAAAGAAAAACAACAAAGUGUAUAGAUUCUUCAAAUAGAUGUAUCUGUAAUUGAAACAAAACAGGUGGAACACACCCGUGAACUCACCAUUAACAUUACAAGCAACUAGAAUUAUUGCUGCCUUGAACUAGAUAUCAUAGAGAACACCAAAAGAAAAUAUCUAUAUAUAAAACAUAAAAUCUUUGAGUAAUCACAAUGCUACUUUCUAUUCCUAAUUUUCCGCUUCCCAUCUGUGGGAACUGGGUGCCUUCCAUUCCUGUGCUGUAGGGUCCCAACCCCAUUUGAUAGUUUCCAUGAUGGUGAAGGGCCCACGGUAGAAUUCAAAUUCCUGCAGGAAAAUUUUGAGAACAUUUUGUCAGUAUACAUGGGAACUUACUAGGUAACAAUAGUUGAAAUGAGAAAUAAAUCAGUUUGCAUUACCUUAGUUCUGGACUAUUUGCUGGCUUUGUAUUAGGUUUCUUGAUUUUUGACUCAAUCCCAUUAAUCAUGCAAAUUAUAUUUGCAUUAUUGAAUUGCCAAAGCAAAACGGCAUCAGAAGAAGCACUGAUGGCAGCAUCCUCAUGCAAAUCAUCAUUAUUAGCAAUGUCAUAACGAUUGUUUUCCAUGAAUAUGUUAUAUGAUUGAUCCGGGAAUAGCUUUGAAGAAUUUGAAAUAAGUUUUUGGUAGAAAGCAUCAGGCAAGUUCCUAUUCUCUGUUUCCCAACAUCCUAAAGGGUUUGGAACUCUAGGUACAACAUCUUGCUUAUUCACCAUAACCAUAUAUACCCACUAACUAGAGCCAAUGUCUUUGUCGUCCUCCAAAUAAUUUUGCACAUUACUAUUGACUGGAGGCCAAGGAGGUGAUUUCCCUAGUAACUCCUUAAGAUCAAAGCUUUGGUUCUUUUGCCUCAUCAUGGAAUUGCUGCGUGCCUACAUAAUCAGAACAUCAAACUUGAAUUCUGGUUUCACAAAGACUUGGAUGCAUAAUAAUCAGUCAACUAAAAUAAAGCCAUUGUUUGACAUCUACCUAGACCACAUCUAUGUGGAACCUAAUCAUACAUGAACUAGAAAUUACUUUUUAUGAAAAUUUCCAAUGAAUGUGAUAUAAUACAUAGUUUAUGAUCAUCUUCAAACUUAGGCAUGGCGUGUCAUGAUUAUCAAGAAAUAAAGGUUCCCUCACCAUCAUCAAUUUGCUAUCAUUCAAGUUUAAAUACACUUAUGUUAUUAUUCAAAGCUAAAUAUCAAUGAUUGGGGUAAAGAAAGAGGAAUAUCUCAUCAUGAUUAAAAAAAUAUUUACCUCGAUGUUGCUUGCAUCCCACAUUGGUUGCCUGCAACUAUUUUGAUCAUCUAACAUAUCUCCAGCCCGCUUGUUACAAUGAAAAGGUGAUAAAUCACUGGUUUUUGUUAUGUAUCUUUCAGAACUGUUUGUUUUGGUUCUCCUUUUUCCUUGCCAGAGCUGCCUUUAGAGUAGCAAUCUGAAAUAAUAGUUCAAAGUUUUCAGAAGAAUAAAUAAGAAUUGAGAAGAAUGAUAAAUAAUGAGAGCAUUCAGAACCUGUUCUUUCAGCUCUUUCACAUCUACACUAUCCUUGUUUACACGAGUAGCACUAAGUUCUACCGUGGCAAAUUGCUCUGCAAAUUUAACUGUGCUAAUUGUUUCUCCAUCCGCAUCCAGUUCAGGGCUAAUGUGAACAAACAUUAGUGUCUUAGCUUGCCCCCUUAAAGAGAAUUACAAUCUAAAAGCCAUAUUAUAAUUUUAAAAAUAAAAUUAAAGAAAACAGAAUCAAAUAUGAAGUUCAUACUCUGAAAAUACAUUAGUUUAUUCUUACCAAGUGAGUCUUGAAGAAGUUCUGUUAGUUUACUAUUCCUAUAAGGGACAUGUGGACUCUUCUGGGCAAGGGAAGAGAUGACAUCCCCUAGAGCAGAGAGAGAUCUGUUAAUAUGAUGUUCCUCCUUUAGUCUAUCUCCAGUGACCUCAGAUUUGUCUACUCUCCCACUGUCGGCCAGAUCAACAAGAUGCAUACAGCCAUGAAGAAUAGUUCCUGACAUCAAGUCUCUUCCCUGAACAUGAACAGUUAGGCAUAUGCAAGUUGAUUGAAAAUCAAGUGAGCAAAACCAAUAGAGAUUACUAAAAGAGUAUUCCUAGAUAAAUAUAUAAAGGAAUAUGAUCAUACCUAUGAGAGCAACUAUUAUGGUUUCAUAUGUUCACAAGUGGUAGAGAACCAGGGUUUUAAUUUCUAUGCAAUUUUGAAAAUUCAUUCUAAUAAUAUUUAAUUCUCCCUGUUUACUUACAAUGCAAUGACAAUCAACUUAAGUCAAAAAGCAGUCAAACUCCUACUAAUCCCAUAAUCCCAGUGUUCAUUUCCGCAUGUGGCACCAUAAAAAAACAUUUAAAGAAGUACGUUUGUCCACCAUAAAUUACAUACAAAUGUGCUAACUUUAUACAGUCUCGUCACAAAUUACAAUCCCCAUUAAUCCAUUCAGACACGGUCUUGGUGUGCAUUUUGUGCUGAAAACAACAUACUCCCCAUAAUCUUCAACCUAUAAUGUUUCAAUUUCCCCUGCAUUCAUUCAAGUUGAUAGCAACAAAUCAGCAAAUUAAUUAAUUAGGCUUUUGUAACUAUUUUAACAUUAAUGAGAUAGUCAUAGAUAAUUCCUCCUAUGUACCACAUCGAUUGAUUUGGAGAACCUGCCCAUUGACCACAACUCCAUGAAUUUCAUUACAAAAACUCCGCAAUCGUGCCUACGUCAAUAUCAUUAUCAAAACGUUAUUAAGUAUGGAAUUAUAAAUAAGAGAGGAACUUAAAAUAAGUUGCAAUCCAUUUUAACAUCAUCCCGGACUGCAAGGUCAAUACUCACUCAUUAGGUUGGAGAGGUACAUCAGGUGUUAGGAAAUUGAAUGUCCUCAAAUCAUAAGGUGAUACCUCUUUUUUUUUUGUGCAGCCAACCAUAGGACAACCUUAGCCUGAAACAUUUAUUAACACAACAAUUGAAAUUUUUAUGGGAAGACAUACUUAACAAAUUAUUAGUUGUUACUUGUUACUUUACCAAAUUUUGUUGAAUUCCACUCAAAGUUGUCUUCUUCCUACCAGGACAAGAAUCUAGCAAUUGGAUUCUCUUGUUUGAUAGGUCAUAUAUGCACAGUGUCCAAUGGUUCUUUAUGAGAACCGGUAAGAAGACCUACACCAAUAGACUGCCAUUAAACAUACAUUUAAAUAUUGUACCUUCAUGCAAUAAAAAUACAAAUCCAAGCAUUAAACACAGGAAUCCACCUUGUUAACAUUGACAUAUGGAAUAUCCAUCUGAUACACAUGUGGUUCAAAGCGUCCUAUAACUGCCUCCCUCACUAAGUGUUUUGCCUAGGAGUGGAUUACCAUUUCCUGCAUAUCAAAUAGGGGAUAACAUCAGGUUUGUCAUUGUAGGUAAUGCCUGGUUCAAGACAUGAAAUAAAGUUAAGCAAUGAUUUAAUGGAAUAGUCAUCAUUACAGCUAUGUAGGGGGAUAGAAACAGUUUCGUCUUCGGUUUAUGUUCAUACUGCAACAAUCUACAGUAGGCAUCGACGACCUGAUUUUGUAGAUCAUAAAAGUGUAAGCAACUAAUUAUAUUAAAGCCACACUUUCACUUUCAAACUUAAAAUAAUGCAUAAAGAGGGAUAAGAAGUCAUAUGCACGUCGUUCCCUAUCCAACCAUUCCCUUCGAAACAGCCCAAAUUGCCUCUGGUUAGGAUAGUGUCAUGCAUAGACACUAGUUCCUCACUAUUGCAAACACAUACAAUUUAGUUUUUGUGUUAUCACUAUCAUACAAUGAGAUGAGUGUCUCUGAAGUAUGUUACCUAGCAUCCAAAUCCUCUCUAAAUACCAGUGCAGCUGCUUGUUUUAAGUCCAUUCUGAUGGCAGAUUGUUUAGUUUGUGGUUGGGAUAUGUAUGGGGACAACAGGUUUGGAGCCAUUCAACGCACUCGUCGUCUCUAGACGUUCCUAUUUGUGGGGACAACAUUACCUUUUGGUUCUUCUUCACCAUCUGCAAUACGAGAUUUAGAACUAGUCAGCAAAGGUAUACAUUAUGAUUGAGUACUUGAGUUGUUAACCAUAUGGGUGUUUGCAUAAAUUUUAUCACUUACCGCUUACUACAUUAAUGGGUACACUGGGCUGCAACUCAAACUCAGGGGCAACAACGCGAUCUGGUGUGUCUAUCACAUGGUCUGCAGCAUGUGAAGCCAUGUACUCAUCACCAAGAAAUGCAUGGUCAUCGACUGUGGGAGUGUUGGCUGGUGCAUCGCCAGAGUGACCACCAGCAUCUGAAUUUACCCCACUAUGUCUUCGAGCCCCUAACUUAUGCAUAAGGCCACGCAUUAUUCUCAGCUGCUACUGAAUGCCCCAUUGAUAUUGGUCGAUUGCUCGUUCCGCAUCAUGAUAUUGAUGUCAUUUUUCCUAUCACAUGAUAUUGAUGUCAAUCUUUGAGCACAAAAUAUCACAACAACAUAUUUCUUUAUAGUUAAGAAUCAAAAAUAAAUUACAAUGACAAUGAAAUGAACAUUUAUUAAUUUUUUUAAAAAUUAACAGCUUACAUCACUAUUUUCAGCAUCAACAUUUGUGUCAUGGUCCACAUUAGUCUCUACCUCCAUAGUUCUUUCUACAGUUGGAGAUCUCUAGGACGCCUAUAAUUAGCAUUGAAGAUUAGUAAUUAAAUAAUGAGUGUUAUGCUAGUAAUGACAAUAUAUUUAUGCAUGCAUCACUUACAAAAUCAACCUCAGCAUGUCCGAAUGCUCCAAACUCCUUUAUCUUAACGACUAGUCGCCGCUUAAUCAAAUCAUCAGUCCAUGUCAAUGCUAGGGGCACUAUAAUGGGGACUUGAACUGAAGGAAUUUGGAAUUUAAUGACAUAAUGCAGCUGCAUAAUAAAUACAAACAUCAGUAGGCAAAUGUUACUUAGUUGUGCAAUAAAAUUAUAUAAAAAAAUGGAAGACAAAUACUGAAUAAGUUCAUUACCUGUAGAAAUAAAACACAGCCAUGUACCCAAGAGGUGUUAGACUGUUGGUAUCGCCUAAUUCCCUUAACCAGUUGGUCAAGCACAAACUAGGCCCAAUUAACGUCAUUUCAGAAUCCAUCCUCAUGGAUGGUAUGCCACAAGUUACGGCAACCAUUGAGCCUAGACGUGGGGGCCAACAAUGUGGCACAUGCGUAGUAAAUGAAUGCUCUACGAAACUCCUCGCCUACAGGUAAGUUCAGGAGUUUCUCCUUGCAUGCCCGAAUAGUCCUAAAUGGAUGCUCUGAUGAUGUAAAGGUCACCUGCAGAAUCCGCCCUUCUGUUGGGAGGCCGAAAAUGAGGCCAACAUUGAUGGCUGUAACAGGAUAGUGUUUCUAAGCUGAGAACUCUAUCCGUCUAAAUCCAACAUUGAAAUGUUGGAUUAGAAAGAUACAGAUGUUGUGGCGCACCUCUGUGCAAUUUAAGUUUAAGAGACCUCCAAAUUGGAGGUCUCUUAUGGCUUGUAUUUUUUCCUCUGGUAAACGGUUGCAGAGUUUCUUAAAUCGUGCAGUUGAGCAUCGUGUAAACAUUGAUGGGCCCUGCAUGCAAUGUUUGACAACAUGGCCAUGUUAGGAAUAGCAACAUCAUUGCAGUUGGUAAUGCAAAAAAUAAGUGAAAAAGUAAAGAUGUCAUUUCUCAUAGUUACAAAGACUUGUUUGCUUGUAUUUAGAAAUAAUAUACAGCAGGGUAAGACAUGAGAUGGGGUUAGGUGCUAUUGACAGUGAGAUAUCCUAUAAGAGAGAGGAUUGUUAGUUUAUGAAUAAGCUUAUAUAGAAUAGACAAUAACAGUAAAACUGUACAGAAUAGACUAUAAAAGUACAAAAAUAAAUAUGGGAAUAUUACAUGAUAUAUAAAAGAAGGAAAUCAAGUCAAUUUAUGGAAAUAAAUUGACUAAUUCUAUUAGAGAAAGAAACCAUAAACAAAUCAAUGAAUAAUCCUAUUUAAUUCCCAUUUAGAUUGUAAGACAACUUGAUAGAACCAAAAUCAUUGGUAAUGAAUUUGUGAUCUUCAACAACAAUGAACAAAUGGAGUAAACAGAAAAUGCUAUGGAAAAGUAGAUUUCUUUCAUUGCCUUAACAUGGUUACAAUAAAAUGCUUGAGAAGGUGGAAAUAAAAGCUCACUAACUCAAAGGCCUUUUCUUCGUAUUCCCUCGCACACACUAGGUUUUGUGUCAGGAAUAAUCUUUGCAAUAAUUGUAUUCCCCCAAGUGUUUUCCACUAUACCUAACAACAUACUGGUUGCUAAGGGCCUUGCAUUCAUGGAUGUGAGCAAGGAAAAAAACUUAAAGAGAUCUCUUUGUUUUCCCUGUUCUUUUCAUUCUUCUGGCUAUUUAAAAGGGGUCUAACCUGCUCCUUUUGAUACUUCUGACAGACACAAAAUCUUGAGGAACUACUAGAGCAAGCACUUUGCUAUUGCCAUUGAACAUGGACAAGGUUUGGAAUCCAAGCUUCCGUUGAGAGUAUUCCCACAUGGUAAUUACUAUCAUUGAAUAAUUGUACACUAUCUUCUAAUACCAUGAAUCAUGUGUUCGGCCGAAGUUAAUUCAUACCUAAGUUGUUAGCUGAGUGAGGAUCCAUGGGAAAAUAAAUGAAAACUAGGACUCUAAAUCUAAACUUCUGAAAGUUUUGAGGCUUGAAUCUGAUUCACUGGGCAUAAUAAUCUAAAAUUUGCAAAAUAGAGGAAGUGGUCAUUUCAAAUUAGGUACUGAUACAAUAUGAACUGCUACUACAUAAUUUUUUGUAGAAUAGUAAACAAAGAGUAUCUUUGCCCUUGAAAACAAGAAUAAAUAAGGUGAAUCCAUGAGUCUUGGAGAAUUAAAUGAAUGAAGAGGAGUUUGGAAACCAUAAACUCCAACUGGUAGAUGGCCAAUACAACAAGAACAUCAACUAAGGUAAUAAACAUCAAACAUAGUUUCAAGUAGAGGUUAUGACACUGCUUGUUACACUUGAAACUUCAUCAGCAGUUCUCCUUCAUUACCACAACAGUUUAACUAGCAUUAAGUUAUGUUUUAUGCCAAUGCAUCAGUCUUAAAACCAAAACAUAGUUCACAACAUACACUUAUAAUAUCCUGCUUAAUUACAAGUUUUUUGUUUGCCUAAGAAAUCAAAAUUUUAAUAUCAGGCAGGACUCGACUAGAGUUUCAACAGCUUGGUUGCAUACCCAUUUACAGAUGCCAAAUUAUUAGAUAUUUGAGAAUAUUCUGAGGCUUUAAUUUCAAGACUUAAACUUCAAGAAUUACAAAAAUCUUUAGAGAGAGAGGACUUAAUUAUUUGGACAAUAUUUACAACAACAAUAAUAAUCAUCAUCAUCAUGAAGAUUGAUGUUUCAGUUCUAAUGUUUCAGUCAGUUCAUGCACCAAAUCUUCUAUCAAUUUCACAUGGAGCCGACCUAUUCAUCCACAUUCACAUUUGGUUGAGCGAGAUAUUGGUCCAACACAUUAAAAUACUGCCCCAAAAGGAGAAUUUCUGCCUUAUCGCCCUGGAAUCCCAACUAUUUAAUUGAAUUUUUUUUGAGGUACAAGUCAAGAAAACUUCUGCAAGGGAUUACAAUCAUAUGUGCCAGAUUUUCACAGAGAGCACCAUUUCAUAUGUUUUAAAGGCUGGAUAUACAGUUGAGAGAAUUAGAGUGCGUUUGGAAAUGUUUUUUCUCGAAGUGUAAUUAAAUAAAAAGUUUUCCUUUCUCAUAGAUUAAAAACAUAAAAUAUGAAAUUUUUGAUAAAAUGGAAACCACUAUUUGGGGUGGGUAAGAAUAGCUAAGAGAUUGUAUGCAACAAAAAUCAUGAAGUUAGCUCAAAAUGGGAAUGAAAUUUUUAUUCCAUUAUAGAGUAUUAAGUGCAACCAAAUAUUGAAAUGAAUCUUUGUUAAGAUUUUCUAGAUACCAUUCCAUUCUUAGCAAAGGAACAGUCUUAUUAAUUCUAAAGUAAGUGUUAAGUACCUAAAGGAGAACAAAAAUAAUAUAAAAGAAAAAAAUUUUAAGAAAAUAAAUUGUAAACAUUUAUUUAUCUUCUUUUCCUUGAUUUUCUUAGCAAUCAAAUAAGAAAACAAUUUUAUAAAGUUAGAAAUAGAAAAUAUGAAAUUAAUAAAAUUGAAAACAUUAUUUAGAGGUGGAAUGAGAAAAACUUAGAGAUGUUGAUGAAAUAAAAAUAAUGAAUUAAAUUAACAUAAAAUUGGAAUGAAAUGUUCAUUGCAAUUCAACUUAUUAAAGUACAACAAAUAUUAGAAUGAAUAUUCAUUACCAUUCUAUAACUAGGAAACAAACACAAGACGAACUGAAUGCCUCAAGCAACAUCAACUAUCCAUUAGUUUGAUUUCCAGAAACUAGAAAUCCAAGAUUCACCUAGGAAAGUGUAAGAAGUGAUCUGAAGUAAAUAGAAAUCUUUAGUGCCAGUUAGAAAGUGAGGCUACUAGAUUAGCAGUAAUCUCUAUAUCUGAGCAGCUCUUGACAGUGAACCGAAGUUGAGCGUAAAAAAUAACUCUUGGUCCGUAUAGAAAAUCAAAUUUCAUUUUUUCACUCAAAUAAGCUAAACAAAGGCCAAAGAGGAAAAUAAACACAAUCAAAUUUCAUUCAUUUGGAGAUUUAAAAUUUGGGGAAAGAGACUCACUUCCUAGGGUUAUUUAUCAUUAGUCUCUGACAUGCAAUUUUGAUUCGAGUAUGGCAAGGAUUUCGGUGAGCGAGUUGGUUGUUCAUCAGCAAUCUAGUUGCUGACUCAGCUCCUAAGGUUUUAUGCCUUUGGAAGAAGAGUUCAAUGGCCAUCACUAGCAACGUCUCUCAACAUUGAGGGUUGAAAAGAGUGAAUAGAAGAAAAAUGUCAAACAAUUAGUAAGAAAACAAAAUCACAAGUCAUUUGAAGAUUCUCACCAGUGGGUUCUUAAUAGUUUAAAGUAAGGAAGUGGCUCUUAGUGGGUUAUUGGCUAAAACUGGGGCUACCUAGUAAAACCUGUUGAACCGAUUCCAAACCGGUUCAACCGAUUGAGAAAAAUUCUAAAAUUUAACAAAAGAUUCCUCGAAGAAUAAGGAAUCCAACAAAACAAAAAAAACAGCGCUCAAUUUCGAGCUUGGAUGAGGGAGAACCGGUCAAAACAAUGCAAUGUGUUUAUAAAACGGGGCUGCUUAGCAAAACCUGUUUAACCGGUUCCCAAACGGUCCAACCGAUUGAGAAAAAUUCUAAAAAUUUACCAGAAGAUUCCUCGAAGAAUAAAUAAUCCAACAAAAAAACGACACUCAAUUCUGAGCUCGAAUGAGGGAGAAUCGACUAAAACAAUGCAAUGUGUUUAUAAAACGAGGCUGCCUAGCAGAACCUAUUGAACUGGCUCCCAACCGAUUCAACUGAUUGAGAAAAUUUUUGAAACUUUACUAGAAGAUUCCUCGAAGAAUAAGGAAUCCAAAAAAAAAUGAAUCUCAAUUCCGAGCCUGGAUGGGGGAGAACCGGCCGAAACAAUGCAAUGUGUUUAUAAAAUGGGGUUGCCUAGCAGAACCUGCUGAAUCGGUUCCCAACCAGUACAAUCAAUUAAGAAAAAUUAUGAAACUUUACCAAUAGAUUCCUAAAAAGAAUAAGGAAUCCAACAAAAAAAACGACGCUCAAUUCCAAGCCCGGAUGAGGGAGAAUCGGCUGAAACAAUGCAAUGUGUUUAUAAAAUGGGGUUGCCUAGCAGAACCUAUUGAACCGGUUCCUAACCGGUACAACCGAUUGAGAAAAAUUCUGAAACUUUACAAGUAGAUUCUCAACCGACAAAACAGCCUCCAUACCAUACACUAAAGAGUAAGGUGUAGCUCCUAUGGAGGUGCGAAAAGAGGUACAGUAUGCCCACAAUGCAAAAGGAAGUUUCUCUGACUAAUCUCGAGAAGUUUCAGUCAUCAUCCUGAAAAUUCUCUUAAUAUUCUUAUUCGCAGCCUCUACUGCCCUGUUGGUCUGUGGCCUAUAUGCUGAAGAUCUAUGAUGUCGGAUGUCAUACUUUUGCAACAAAGUAUCUACCUCAACUGGGAAGUGCACCCCUCUAUCUGAAAUUAAUUCAUGGGGAACCCCAUAGCGGCAAAUGAUGUGUGACCUGAUGAAACUAGCAACCCUAGCAAAUGUCAAAGAAUAAGGAAUCCAAAAAAAAAAAAAAAAAAACGGCGCUCAAUUCCGAGCUCGGAUGAGGGAGAACCGGCCAAAACAAUGCAAUGUGUUCCUUGUAGAAGGCCAAACCCGAACCACCCAACCUUAUUAAAACUAAGGCCACGGAUCUCAUUAAACAACCAACAAUGCAGCCUCCCUGAACUCAAGAAACCCAACUGGAAAUUCAGCCACACAGACAUCCACAUGCGGCCACCUAAAUCUCCUGAAACCAAACUGAAAUUUCAUUCACUUGAAGCCUUCCACCUACAGCUACUUAAAUCCCAUGGAACAAACUGAAAUUUCAGCCUCCUAUAGCCUAUGAAUCCAGUUGAAAUUCAGCCACCUAUAGCCCCCUCUCCCCAAUACAACUACUGGAAUCACCAAGAAGCAAACCGAAAUUUCAGCCACAUGGGGCCUCUACAUAUAGCCACAAGACCCAGGGUUUAAGUCCAGAUUAUUGAUGGGUAGCCCCAAAUUUAAAAAACAGAGAAGGUCAUGGAGACCCUUUCUCAAUACAAAGCAAAGGAGGUUUCAAGAAAAACCAAGUGGCAGAAAUGCCCAUACCAACAUAGCCACCUGAAUCUAGCAUUUAAGAAGUUCCUCAAUCCAAAGCUACAAGGCCAUAAGAAUCCUUCCCUUAACAAUCAAAAGGUCACAAUGACCUUCAACCAAAACCAAAACUAAUGAAGGCAGUGACCCUAUUACUCACACAUCAAAAGUAGGUCACACACCCCCCAAUUCUUUAUCAGAACCAACCCAAAAUGAGACAUCCACAACUAACAUAAAAAAUGAAACAUGCAAUAGUUACAUAUCAAGAGCAUCCAUAAAGCUUACCAGAUUGUUCUCCCCUCAAGCAGAAAUUUGCUUGGCUUCAAGGCCGUCUUUCCUUCAAGUUCUCACCAAUCAAGAGCUCCUUACUCUCUUCCCUCUUUGCUCACUUCACGUGCACCCAAAACUUUCUUAAAUGCUCAAAACCUUCUCCACACUCUGUUCUUUUCCCUCACCAAACUUGGACAAAGUUUUGUCCCUUAGAAAAAAAUGCAAAGGAAAAGGUCCUUCUCUAUUUCCAUUUUGCCUUUUUAUACCAGAACCCCUGCUCCUCCCACUUCCACCUUCGUUUUUCCCUCUUUUAGCUCUGGAAAGUGCCCCCAUCAACCUCGGAAUCCAUCUCCAUAAACACUCCUCACAGUCACGAGGUGAGCUGUUCUCUCCACAUUUACUCCAUUGCUUCACCACCAAGAAUCCAUAUGGAUUCAUGGUGGGCUAUAAGGAACCUAAACCAAGGCUCAAAAUGGACCCAAAAUAUUUCCCAAGACCGAUUUGGAGCUUAUGGGCCCUAGUCAUGUAGGAUUUGGGCCCCAAAAUCAGUGCUCUAUACAAGUUGGCCCAACGAAUUGGUUGAACCAGUUGAUAAAAAAAUUGAAAUUUUGACAGAAUAUUCCUUGAAGAACAAGGAGUCCAUAAAAAAAAUGGUGUGUGAUUCUGAGUUCGGAUGAGGAAGAUAUGAUCGAAACAAGCUCAAGUGCUCCGUAUUCGAACCUGCUCCUAUGAACUCUGGCUAAACUAAAGAUUUGGGGAGAUCUCACUUCCUUCUUUUAGCAUGAUGUGAAAAACUAAGGAAUUGGUCAUGACAACACUCCAAAAUGAACUACACACUCACACUACAUUGGANNNNNNNNNNNNNNNNNNNNNNNNNNNNNNNNNNNNNNNNNNNNNNNNNNNNNNNNNNNNNNNNNNNNNNNNNNNNNNNNNNNNNNNNNNNNNNNNNNNNUGACAACACUCCAAAAUGAACUACACACUCACACUACAUUGGACCGCAGAUGAACCUACACAAGGCUCGAAAAUCGAUCAAGCCCAAAAGGGGGUCAUGGUGGUGCCAUAAGGAAAAAAUUGGGUGCAUGUGACAUCCCUAAGAUAAAUGCAAGUGUCGAAGGACAAAAUUGAGGGUCUACAGUAUUACAUUUUUCAAAGAGAUUAUGGAUGUCAUGGAAAACUCUUUAAAGAUCUCAAAUUUAUCAAAUAAUCAAUGGCUCGAUGAUAAUACACUGUUGUUGAUUCCAAGAUUUUCAAAUCCGAGUGGGCUGAUGGUGACUCACAAAACUGUUCUUCAAUUCUGUGGUUCAAAUUAGUGGACUUCUUUAAACCACCUUUCAAAUUGGACAGUUGCAUAGAGGACAAAACUGCUUUUGAUGGAUUUAAAGCUCUUCAAAUCCAUGAACUUCAAAGGUUUUUAGAUUCGUCCUCAAAGCCUAUAUAAGGCCCCUAUUUCUCUUUAGAAGGCAUCAACAUUUUAGUAGGAAAAUUGAGAGCAAACAAGUGAGAUAUCCUCUUGAGUGAAUGACCUUGUAAUUGAGAAAACUCAAAACUCUCAAAGUGUUUGUAAGGCAAUGUUUGGGCCUCAAAUGAAAUGGUAGCAAGGGAGAAAAUCAGGAAAGAGAAAAACAACCAAUGUCUAGGGCUAAAACCAAAUGCUUUGGAGGUAGUAAAAUUAGGGUAGGAUACGUGGAAUUCCAACUUAGAUUUUUGUGAUUUUGUUUUUUCAUAAUCAGUAAAGGCCAUUUUCGAAAAUAUUAAAAAUUCAUAUUCUUCUUCUCAAUUUUGACACUUCCUUUAGGUCUUAGGCUUAAAUGACGAGAACUUAUAUGGACCAAAGAUUAAUUUUUGGGCCUAGCUGGAUCCAAAACACAAUUCUCCCUAUAUUAUGUACACCUGAAACAUUUUUCAAAUUAAUUUUAUGAACUAAUUUUGAAAUAUAUCUUCAUAGCAUCUACACAAAGCAUAUAUAUUGUGUAUGUACUAUUAAUAAAAAUUUGUUUACAUGAAAUUAAAAAUAAUCAUGUUUUAAAAUAAAUAAAAAAAUUAUAUAUGAAAACCUAAGAAUAUACUAUUAUUUCAAUAGAGAUAAAAUUGUUAAAAUACUAAUAAAUUAAAUAUCUUAAAUUGAUAAAUUAUAUGAAUAAAUAAGAAAAGAAAAAAAAAAUAUAAAAAAACAACAUGCAAACAUGUGAAACUAAAAAGUUCAAAGGCAUGAAAUUCAAUAUGGCAAAAAUUCAAAAAAAUGGAACCACAUUUGCAUUUUUAACUUCAUACAUUUACAUUUAUUUUAUUUUAUUUUAAGUUUGUCUUAUUUAUAUGUUAUACAACUCUAUUAUUUUUAAAUUAUUAAUUUAUUGAUAAAUAAAAUAGUAAUUAUUAUUAUUAUCAAUUUAUUUUUGUUUAAGUAAUACUAGAUCCUUAAGUUUACAUGUAUAAUAUUUUUAUCAUUAAAGUAUAUAUUUUUAAUUUCAAUAAUAAUUUUUAAAAGCACUGAAACUUCAAUAGUGAAGUCUUAUUUGGCAAUUACAACAUUAUAAAAAUGAAUUCACAUCUGGCAAUUGAGGUUUUAACUUAAAUUUUUUUUAUAAAAAUGAUAACAUGGGUCCUCCAUGUCAACAAAAGGGGCAUUUUAGACAAAAGUUUAGGAAAGUGGUUAAAAUAAAAUUUUCCCCAUAAUAGGGCUAUUUUGGCCCAAAACACUUCAGAAAAAAAAAAAAAACUCCUAAAGUUUUUGUUCCUUUCUCAUUCUCAUUAAUGUCUAAUAUUGGAGCGAAAACAAAUGAUUAUUAAAACCUUAUAGUCCUAGGUACAUUCAAGCACAAGAAUCAAAAUCAUCAAAUCCAUUCCUAUUAAAAAAAAAUUGGGAUGAAAACAUAAUAUUGAUUCUCUUUCCCCAUUUUUAUGUACCAAACAUGGCCUAAACAUGUGAGAUAAAGAAAAUGAUCAAGCUUCUUUAUUAUACAUGCUUUCUUAAAAGAAAAAAAAAAAGUAGGCAUUAAUUUUAUGCAUUGGUAAUGAUCAAAUUGAACCUAAAUAAAUCAAGUUUUAGGCAAACAUCUAAAUAAACUUGACUUUAUUAGCACAAACAUGAAAAUAUUUAAUAUGGGUUUAUAUAUCCAUGUGUAACAUGAUUGAAUUCUAUUCAAAUGUGUAAAAAUAAAUAAUUAAAUAAUUACAUACCUUUUUUUCCGACUUUGCUCAUGCCAUUAAGAUUUUUCACCCACGAAAAACAACCUAUAUUACAAAAAAUGAAACAAGAUGAGCAACAUUUUUAAUGCUAAAGCAAAUGUUAAAAUUAUAAAAUUAUUAUCAUUGGACACAUACUUUUUUAAACAUAUGAGCAAGCUAAUUGAAAAUAAUAAAUAUAAAAAACAAAGAUUUUUUAUAAUGCUUAUAAAUAAGUUAAAACAACAAAUAAAAAAAAUAUUAAUAUACUAAAAAAUCCAAGUUUAUGAAAGGUAUUAAGAAUCCAGUGUAUAAGUUGAACAAUUAAAUAGGAAUUUAAAAUUAAAAUAUUAUACCUUAAAUUGGAAAUAGCUAGAUACUUGGUGUUUAUCAGAAUCUUAUCUCUACCCUAUACAGAUCAUAAACAAAUUAAAGAAAAAAAAUAAAAUUAGAAGGAAAAAUAUACUAUAAGGCAUAUUUAUUUCGAGCCCAUCGAAAUACUGAGAGCAACCACUUUACAAAAUUGUAUUCAUGUCAUGUAACUCACUGUUUUUUCUCAAAAAAAGUUUUUUUUUUUUAUGAAAAAAAAAAAAAACAUACCUAAACUGUUGAUUGUCUUGAAGUAAUUCAAAGAAUAGCCCUCGAUGUAUCAUAAAUUCACAUUAAACCACAAAAUCAAAAGAUUGUAAAGCUAAGAAUAUAUAUACCUCCAGGGGAAGGAGCCAUUGAUGUUGAAAGCUUGUUCUUCAAAAGAGCUUUAAGAUGUGAUUGUAAAGCUAAGAAUAUAAAUUCACACUAAACGACCUUUCUCUGCAUCCAAUGUUUUGAUCCCCUCUCAAACAUUAACGCUAACCACUACCUCGGUAUAUGCUUCGGAUUUUUUCCAAGAAAGAAUGAAAGAGAGAUGCUUCUGAGAGGAGAGAGAGAGGACACAUUUGUAAAGUGGACGUAAUACAACCUCUACCAUUAUGGGAAAUGACACAUUUGUAGUAUCGGGGUUUGUGGUAUUGGAACUUUCAGAUAAGGAAUUUGAAAAUUUUUAAAUAUAUAAUUAAAAAAAAAAUAGUCGAAUAAGAAAGUCCUUUCAAUAUGAUCUUUAUGAAUAAUAAAGAAAUGUUUGCAUGAAGAUCAACUCAAUAUGAUCCGUAUGUUCUAAUUAAUUUUCUUUUUCUUUUUUUUUUUUCAUAUUAAUUUUAUUAUUAAUUCUACCACCAAUCCUGAGAAGAUCAAAAUUAAUUCCUACAAGCCUAAAUCAUUGAAAGACCUUUUCUCGAGAAAAGAGAGUUCAGAGAUAUUUAUGAACCGAGAGUGGAUACAGAAGACCCUUAUUGAAUGUAGGGUUUCUUUGAAAAGAGACGAAGUCGGUCAACAUCUCUGAAAAGUCUGAAUGGAGAGGACUCUGAGUUGAGUUGAUGGGGCAGCGGACCAGUUUAUUGGGACUUUAACAGAGAUAUUUUCUCUCUAUGACGCUGCCCUUUGAGCUGUCUCCACUUGCAACUUUUCUUUUGUACCAGACCAUCCUAACAAACAAAAAUUUAAAUUUAUAAAAUAUAACUAUUUAAAAUUAAUUAAUAAUUUACAUUUUUUAAUUAAAAUUACUACUUUUAAUGUUUAAUAACAGUUUUUUAAUGAUAUAAGUAUUAUUUUUUAUUAUAAUAAAUACUAUUUUUAAUUGAGGAGUAUAUAAAAUUUGAAUUAUUUAAAAAAAUUUUCUAUUUUAUAAAUAUUUUUAUAUAAAUACAUCAAAACUUUUUUUUAUUUUUUCAAAUGAAUAUAUAUACAUAUAUAUAUAUAUUUUUUAUUUUUUCAAAUGAAUAUAUAUACAUAUAUAUAUAUAUAUAUAUAUAUAUAUAUAUAUAUAUAUAUAUAUAUAUAUAUAUAUAAUUGAUUCUUUAAAAUAUUUUAGACAUUUUAAAAUUUUAUCCAAUUCCUUUUUAUAAAAAACCAUUUUUUAACAUUGAGGUCAUUUCCAAAACUACCCUCAAAUGUUAUUUCAUAUGUAAAACCAAUUCAAUCUUAUUUUAUGUAUUAAUUUUAUUUUAUGAGUUCAAAUAAUAAUAGCAUAAUAAUAUAUAUUAAGCUACAAUACUAAAAUAUUUUAAUUAACAUUAAUAUUUUAACAUUUUGGAUUGGAAAUGCUCUAAUGAAAGAUAUUUUGCUGCCCAUUGCAUUAAAACAAGCAUUUGACAAAACAUUUUAUCUUACAUAUUGGCACAACAAAAUUUCAUUAUAAAUCUACAAAAUAAUCCAUCACAAUGAAUAUGCAAACAUUUUCACCAUGAUUUCCAACCAUGUUUCCCUAUGAUCACUACUAUUUACGAGGAAAGAUUUAAAACUUGUUUGUCAAAAUUGAUUUAUUAAUUAUAGUUUUAAUUAAUAAUUAAUCAAUUAUUAAUUUAUUUUUUUUGUUAUAAAAAUUAUACUUCAAGGAUUUUAUUACAUGUUCAUGGUUUUACACUAUUCUAAAUAAAUCAAAAUUUAGGUAAAAUAAAUUCAUUUUUCUUAAGAUUUAAAUUAAAUACAAAUGCAGCUUAAAAUUCCACCCAUUACCUCCCUUAAAAUACUAUAACUAUUCAAGUUAUACACUACAAUCAAACAUAUUACAAAAAAAAAAAAAAAUCAUUAGUCAGAUUAAUUCAAGAGGUAGUGUAAAGCAUAGUAUGUUAAUUUUGACCAAGUGUUGCAUCCAAUUCUUAUACAAAAGUCUAUAUAUUACAAGAAAUUAAAGUGAGAAAAGGAUUAAAAGUUUAAAAACAUGGGAAUGAUAAACCCCAAGUAAAUAUCUAUUUGAAACCUUGUCAAAAUUUGCCUCAAGUUGACUUUUGAAUUAACUUUACUAUUAUAAUCACUACUACAAAAAUAAUAUAUGAUGUUACUAUUUAUGGUGUCGCAUUUAAAAUAAUGACACCAUUGAACUUAAAAUUUAUAAAGGUGACACAUCAUAUAAAAAAUCUUCAAUUAGGAUAGUUAGAUGAUGCUAAUUUCAGAUUUACGGUGUCAUUUUUUGGAAGUGACACCAUAUGAAAUAAAAAGUUUUAAAUUUUAUAACUCAAUGGGCCCUUUUUAAAAAUAGUGAGUAGGAACAAUUUAUGAAAAGUCCAUUGUUUCCAUAUAUACAUUAACUAAUAUAAAAGAUCUUGUUGCUUAACCCUAACCAUCGUUUUCUUCUCUUUCUUCUCACACCCAUGGUCGGCACACCCAUAAUUGAUAUUCUUUGCUUCGUAAAAUCUCGUGUAAGUCAAAUCUCUUAUCUAUCAUCUUCAUUUUUUUUUAUUAAUGCAAAAACUUUGUAGUAUAANNNNNNNNNNNNNNNNNNNNNNNNNNNNNNNNNNNNNNNNNNNNNNNNNNNNNNNNNNNNNNNNNNNNNNNNNNNNNNNNNNNNNNNNNNNNNNNNNNNNNNNNNNNNNNNNNNNNNNNNNNNNNNNNNNNNNNNNNNNNNNNNNNNNNNNNNNNNNNNNNNNNNNNNNNNNNNNNNNNNNNNNNNNNNNNNNNNNNNNNNNNNNNNNNNNNNNNNNNNNNNNNNNNNNNNNNNNNNNNNNNNNNNNNNNNNNNNNNNNNNNNNNNNNNNNNNNNNNNNNNNNNNNNNNNNNNNNNNNNNNNNNNNNNNNNNNNNNNNNNNNNNNNNNNNNNNNNNNNNNNNNNNNNNNNNNNNNNNNNNNNNNNNNNNNNNNNNNNNNNNNNNNNNNNNNNNNNNNNNNNNNNNNNNNNNNNNNNNNNNNNNNNNNNNNNNNNNNNNNNNNNNNNNNNNNNNNNNNNNNNNNNNNNNNNNNNNNNNNNNNNNNNNNNNNNNNNNNNNNNNNNNNNNNNNNNNNNNNNNNNNNNNNNNNNNNNNNNNNNNNNNNNNNNNNNNNNNNNNNNNNNNNNNNNNNNNNNNNNNNNNNNNNNNNNNNNNNNNNNNNNNNNNNNNNNNNNNNNNNNNNNNNNNNNNNNNNNNNNNNNNNNNNNNNNNNNNNNNNNNNNNNNNNNNNNNNNNNNNNNNNNNNNNNNNNNNNNNNNNNNNNNNNNNNNNNNNNNNNNNNNNNNNNNNNNNNNNNNNNNNNNNNNNNNNNNNNNNNNNNNNNNNNNNNNNNNNNNNNNNNNNNNNNNNNNNNNNNNNNNNNNNNNNNNNNNNNNNNNNNNNNNNNNNNNNNNNNNNNNNNNNNNNNNNNNNNNNNNNNNNNNNNNNNNNNNNNNNNNNNNNNNNNNNNNNNNNNNNNNNNNNNNNNNNNNNNNNNNNNNNNNNNNNNNNNNNNNNNNNNNNNNNNNNNNNNNNNNNNNNNNNNNNNNNNNNNNNNNNNNNNNNNNNNNNNNNNNNNNNNNNNNNNNNNNNNNNNNNNNNNNNNNNNNNNNNNNNNNNNNNNNNNNNNNNNNNNNNNNNNNNNNNNNNNNNNNNNNNNNNNNNNNNNNNNNNNNNNNNNNNNNNNNNNNNNNNNNNNNNNNNNNNNNNNNNNNNNNNNNNNNNNNNNNNNNNNNNNNNNNNNNNNNNNNNNNNNNNNNNNNNNNNNNNNNNNNNNNNNNNNNNNNNNNNNNNNNNNNNNNNNNNNNNNNNNNNNNNNNNNNNNNNNNNNNNNNNNNNNNNNNNNNNNNNNNNNNNNNNNNNNNNNNNNNNNNNNNNNNNNNNNNNNNNNNNNNNNNNNNNNNNNNNNNNNNNNNNNNNNNNNNNNNNNNNNNNNNNNNNNNNNNNNNNNNNNNNNNNNNNNNNNNNNNNNNNNNNNNNNNNNNNNNNNNNNNNNNNNNNNNNNNNNNNNNNNNNNNNNNNNNNNNNNNNNNNNNNNNNNNNNNNNNNNNNNNNNNNNNNNNNNNNNNNNNNNNNNNNNNNNNNNNNNNNNNNNNNNNNNNNNNNNNNNNNNNNNNNNNNNNNNNNNNNNNNNNNNNNNNNNNNNNNNNNNNNNNNNNNNNNNNNNNNNNNNNNNNNNNNNNNNNNNNNNNNNNNNNNNNNNNNNNNNNNNNNNNNNNNNNNNNNNNNNNNNNNNNNNNNNNNNNNNNNNNNNNNNNNNNNNNNNNNNNNNNNNNNNNNNNNNNNNNNNNNNNNNNNNNNNNNNNNNNNNNNNNNNNNNNNNNNNNNNNNNNNNNNNNNNNNNNNNNNNNNNNNNNNNNNNNNNNNNNNNNNNNNNNNNNNNNNNNNNNNNNNNNNNNNNNNNNNNNNNNNNNNNNNNNNNNNNNNNNNNNNNNNNNNNNNNNNNNNNNNNNNNNNNNNNNNNNNNNNNNNNNNNNNNNNNNNNNNNNNNNNNNNNNNNNNNNNNNNNNNNNNNNNNNNNNNNNNNNNNNNNNNNNNNNNNNNNNNNNNNNNNNNNNNNNNNNNNNNNNNNNNNNNNNNNNNNNNNNNNNNNNNNNNNNNNNNNNNNNNNNNNNNNNNNNNNNNNNNNNNNNNNNNNNNNNNNNNNNNNNNNNNNNNNNNNNNNNNNNNNNNNNNNNNNNNNNNNNNNNNNNNNNNNNNNNNNNNNNNNNNNNNNNNNNNNNNNNNNNNNNNNNNNNNNNNNNNNNNNNNNNNNNNNNNNNNNNNNNNNNNNNNNNNNNNNNNNNNNNNNNNNNNNNNNNNNNNNNNNNNNNNNNNNNNNNNNNNNNNNNNNNNNNNNNNNNNNNNNNNNNNNNNNNNNNNNNNNNNNNNNNNNNNNNNNNNNNNNNNNNNNNNNNNNNNNNNNNNNNNNNNNNNNNNNNNNNNNNNNNNNNNNNNNNNNNNNNNNNNNNNNNNNNNNNNNNNNNNNNNNNNNNNNNNNNNNNNNNNNNNNNNNNNNNNNNNNNNNNNNNNNNNNNNNNNNNNNNNNNNNNNNNNNNNNNNNNNNNNNNNNNNNNNNNNNNNNNNNNNNNNNNNNNNNNNNNNNNNNNNNNNNNNNNNNNNNNNNNNNNNNNNNNNNNNNNNNNNNNNNNNNNNNNNNNNNNNNNNNNNNNNNNNNNNNNNNNNNNNNNNNNNNNNNNNNNNNNNNNNNNNNNNNNNNNNNNNNNNNNNNNNNNNNNNNNNNNNNNNNNNNNNNNNNNNNNNNNNNNNNNNNNNNNNNNNNNNNNNNNNNNNNNNNNNNNNNNNNNNNNNNNNNNNNNNNNNNNNNNNNNNNNNNNNNNNNNNNNNNNNNNNNNNNNNNNNNNNNNNNNNNNNNNNNNNNNNNNNNNNNNNNNNNNNNNNNNNNNNNNNNNNNNNNNNNNNNNNNNNNNNNNNNNNNNNNNNNNNNNNNNNNNNNNNNNNNNNNNNNNNNNNNNNNNNNNNNNNNNNNNNNNNNNNNNNNNNNNNNNNNNNNNNNNNNNNNNNNNNNNNNNNNNNNNNNNNNNNNNNNNNNNNNNNNNNNNNNNNNNNNNNNNNNNNNNNNNNNNNNNNNNNNNNNNNNNNNNNNNNNNNNNNNNNNNNNNNNNNNNNNNNNNNNNNNNNNNNNNNNNNNNNNNNNNNNNNNNNNNNNNNNNNNNNNNNNNNNNNNNNNNNNNNNNNNNNNNNNNNNNNNNNNNNNNNNNNNNNNNNNNNNNNNNNNNNNNNNNNNNNNNNNNNNNNNNNNNNNNNNNNNNNNNNNNNNNNNNNNNNNNNNNNNNNNNNNNNNNNNNNNNNNNNNNNNNNNNNNNNNNNNNNNNNNNNNNNNNNNNNNNNNNNNNNNNNNNNNNNNNNNNNNNNNNNNNNNNNNNNNNNNNNNNNNNNNNNNNNNNNNNNNNNNNNNNNNNNNNNNNNNNNNNNNNNNNNNNNNNNNNNNNNNNNNNNNNNNNNNNNNNNNNNNNNNNNNNNNNNNNNNNNNNNNNNNNNNNNNNNNNNNNNNNNNNNNNNNNNNNNNNNNNNNNNNNNNNNNNNNNNNNNNNNNNNNNNNNNNNNNNNNNNNNNNNNNNNNNNNNNNNNNNNNNNNNNNNNNNNNNNNNNNNNNNNNNNNNNNNNNNNNNNNNNNNNNNNNNNNNNNNNNNNNNNNNNNNNNNNNNNNNNNNNNNNNNNNNNNNNNNNNNNNNNNNNNNNNNNNNNNNNNNNNNNNNNNNNNNNNNNNNNNNNNNNNNNNNNNNNNNNNNNNNNNNNNNNNNNNNNNNNNNNNNNNNNNNNNNNNNNNNNNNNNNNNNNNNNNNNNNNNNNNNNNNNNNNNNNNNNNNNNNNNNNNNNNNNNNNNNNNNNNNNNNNNNNNNNNNNNNNNNNNNNNNNNNNNNNNNNNNNNNNNNNNNNNNNNNNNNNNNNNNNNNNNNNNNNNNNNNNNNNNNNNNNNNNNNNNNNNNNNNNNNNNNNNNNNNNNNNNNNNNNNNNNNNNNNNNNNNNNNNNNNNNNNNNNNNNNNNNNNNNNNNNNNNNNNNNNNNNNNNNNNNNNNNNNNNNNNNNNNNNNNNNNNNNNNNNNNNNNNNNNNNNNNNNNNNNNNNUUGAUAUACAAAUAUUAUUGGAUGAUGUAAUAUGUUACAAAUUAAUUCAUAAGCAUUAUGAAAAUAUAAGUUAAAUGUAAUAUGAUUAUUAUAUUUAUGGACAAUUUACACAGGUUAGUCUUAUUUAUUAAUAAGCAUUACAAAAAUCUACAAACUAAUCAACAAAAAACAACCAUAUCUUCCAUAAUCAUUUACAAUGAUGUGACACCAUAAAUUAAAGGUGAUACAUUUAACGUGACACCAUAACUCAAAGAUGAUGCAUUUAAUAUGACACCUUAUAUAUUUCAUACAACUCUAUAUCAAAUUAAGCAUCACUAAAAAUAUAUGGUGUCUCUUCUAAAUGUGUCACCAUUUAUUUGCUUUGGUGUUGCUUCCAAAUACAUCACCAAUUGAUACCCUCUAUGGUGUCAGUGGAUAAGGUGACGCUAUGUUGUAGUGACACCCUAUGUUUAUAGUGACUUAUUAUAAAUGUCACCAUAUAUCUUUUUCCUUGUAGUGAAUGGAAGUAUAAAUUUUAAAAGGAUUCUCUGUGAUUAUAGGAUUUAAUUCUAAUACUCUUAUACGUAGCCAAGGGUCAUUGGACUCAUGGCAGCACACAAACAUAUCCCCUUGUAUCUAUGGAAAUUGACAUGCAAAAUACAAAUAUUUCCUCUUACAUCCCUAUUGUGUUAUAGCAUGAGUAUGAAUGUGUAUUGUCAUCUUAAGCAAACUAAUGUUGUUGCCAAUUUUUCUUGGACGCUUUUUUUAAAAAUAAAAAUAAAAUAAUGUAAGGCUAUAUAGCAGAUUCAAUUGAUAUUUUUUUCAUCUUGUCCUACAUAUGAAAAUUACAAGUAGUUCAAGAAUCCUUGUUGAAUGAAAUUGACUGAAAACAAAUCUUAUUUAUGUAAAUUCUCAAAUACUUACAACAAGAAGCCCAAACCCCCACCCCAUCUUCAUGAACUUCAUAACAAAAUACUAUAAUCCUCCCUAUGAAAUAGAACUAAUUAAUUUAAUAUCAAUAAAUCCAAAUUGCUUUCAACAUCAGGCACAAGGAGGGAUUUGAAAGUUUGUGGUUUUAUACAAUAGAACCAUCUAGAGGGAGGUUGAAUAGAUAAUCUUUUAUUAUUAGCUCAAAAACUUCAAUUUUUAUUUUAUUGUAUUGAGUUAUAUAAUUGUUAAUGUUUAAACAUCUUAUAUCGUAAAACUACUUGGAGGUGAUUUAGUGUCUUUAUGUAUUGGCAAUUCUAGGUUGAAAUUUUCAUUGUAUUCGCCUAACUCAGUUACUUCAAAUCCUUCUUCAAACUCUUGUCAUUCCUAAAUUGCUCAUAAUUGAAGAUUGUUAAAGGAGAUAGUUGGUGUUCUUGAGGCAAUUGAUGAUAUUAAACAUUGAUCAACCGAGUUUUAAACUUUUAUUCUUUUGCUGAAAAUUGGAGUUGAAGUUUAAGGAUAUCAAAUUUUGUAUUUAAAUUAUUUGGAUCAAUUACUAAUUGAUCAUGCUAAAAGGUAACAAUUUAUGUUGUAACAUGAAUUUUACAAUCUCAUCUUAUCUAUUAGAAUUUGAUCAAAUCUAUAAAAUCUUUAUUUUUUCCAAACAAAUCUGAGUUAUUAGAUGGAGAUUAAAACCUUAGUAUUUAAGCCCCUUUUUUUUAGAAAAGGCUUUAACAAUUGUAAGAGCUAGGUGGCUUUCUUGAGCUUCAAAUUCUUUAUCUAUUUUGGGAUGUUUGGUUUGAUUUUUUUUUUUAUUUUUUUUUUAUGGGUUUUAAGUUAAAAAUCUUUCAAAAUGAGUUGAUUCAAUAUAGGUUUCAUUCACACUCUUGCAUUUGUCAUCUUUAGGAUAAAAUCUAAAUUUCUUCUUAUGUAGGUUCAAGAAAAGGUCGAAAGUUUGGUGUGAACUUUAAGUAUGCUUUAAAAGAAGAAAGUGGGUAACUUAAGUUUGAAGGUACUAGGCAAACAAUUCCAAAGAGGAUUGAAGGUUUGAGUUAAGUAAAUCCUUGUAUUCAGUUUUUUUUUUCAUAGUGUUUGUUUUUUUUUAUCAUCUAUAGGCCUGUGAUAGUUUACCUAUUCAAAGGUUUUGUAUAUUAAAUCUUGUUGUUAUUAUCUCUUUAUUUCUAUCUUAUAUUUUCAUUAGUCUAUGUUGUGUCUAUGAAAGUUCCAUUGAUUUGUUAUAUAUGUUGGUUGAUUGAGAAAAUGAACUAAAAAAUGAUCAUUUAACCUUUGGCAUAGUAUGAAAUAAUUUAUGAUUUAGUAUUAAUGAGAAUUAAAACUUUGUAAAUUAUCAAAACUAUGUAGAUUUGAGCUCAGAUGUUGAAGCAUCUCUUAAAGGCAGUUGAGGUGCUCUCAACACUUGACUAUCACUUGAGCAUCUUUUUAAGACUCUAGGGUAUGCUUGAAGCUCAACUUCAAAAUUUUAUUUUUUGAUUAAAAUAAACACCUACUUUUUCAAUUUUCAUAUUGUCUACUUCAUGUAUUCUUAAAUCAUCAUUAUCCUUUUUGUAACUCCCAAUAUUUAUUAGCAUCUUUCUGAGUUGAUUCUACAACAAUCUUGCAUCUUCAAAAGAAGUGGAAGUCAAUGGAACCAAAUUGUCAACCUAAUCUAAAUAGAUUAAUGUACCAUCACUUUAAUUAGGAUAUAAUUAAUCAAUUAAAAAAAUAGCAUUUAAUCAUAUAAAGAAAUAUAUGAUUUAUGUGAAAAAACCACCAAUAAAGCAUCCUAGAGACCUUACAUAUAUAAAAGUCAUAGGGUUCAUAGAUUGUCAAGUUAAAUUCACUAAAUAUGAAGAAUAAGUACAUAGAUUUAGCUAGUAAUUAUUACUCUCCCUCAAACUUAUAUUGGUAGUCACCAAUUCUCAAUUCCAUAACAUAGUUACUUCCAUGCUGCUUAGUGGAUUGCUCAUGACCUUAAGGGAAUGUGAUAGACAAUGUGAACUAAAAACAAGGCAAGCUCAUUAAGAUGUUCCUUUUUAAUGCAUAAGGUGUGCAAUAAAAUGAGAUCGAGAAUCCUAUGCUUUGAGAGAAGGAUACUACAGUAAAAAAUGGUACCCAAAUACUAUUGAAUGACAACAUAGCUCUUGUUGCUCCUUUAUUUUUAUUUAUUUUAUUUUUUUAUUUUUGUAAUUAUCUCUUUUUUUGUUUUGAUAUCAACAUUAGAAAUAUAGAAGUCCAGAAAUUUUUUUUAGUGCUUGCAUAUUGAAGGUUCAUGCUAUAAGAGUUGGAAAAACUUGAAUAGAAACUCCCUUGAAUGAUGUAUCAAAGCUCAAUGUAUCAAUGUUAACAUAAACAUUUGAGUAGAGUAGGAUAACAUUUCUAUGUCAUAUGAAGAAAUAUACUAAAAGGGAACCAUGAAUACGAUUGGAGAAAUAUAUAUUAUAAUUUAGAGGAUUAUUAUGGUCUAUUGGUCAUAUUCAAAUGGAAGUAAUAUGGUAAUCAAUAUUUCCAUGUCAUUUGAAGAAACAUAAUAAGAGGGAACCAUGCAUGGAUAUGAUUUGAGAAAUAUAUAUUAUAAUUUAGAGGAUUACUACCUUAUAUUGGUUAUAUUCAAAUGAAAGUAAUAUGGUAAUCAAUAUGUAAUCGGUAAGAAAAUAGGUUAUGAACAAGUCAUAUUAUAACUACCUCAAAAAUCAAUAAUACAAGGAUGAAAGAGGUAUACUGAGGAAGGGUCACACCUAAAGGAUCACUUUAUUAGCACAAGUAGGAAAAUGUUAACAUAGGGUUAUGCAUUUAAGUGUAACAUGAUUGAAUUUUAUUACAAUGUCUAAAAUUUAAAUAAUUGCAUACCUCUUUUCUGAUUUUGCUCAUGCCAUUAAGAUUUUUUAUCCACAAGAAACAACCUAUAUUACAAAAAAUGGAAAAAUUAUUUUAGAAUAGUAAGAAAUUUAGGGUUCUUAUAAAUAAAAAAGAAUAUAAUUUUUUAAUACUUAAAAAAAAAAUUCCAAAGGUAAGAAUCUAAAAGCCUAUUUGAUUGUGUGAUUUAAAAACAAUUUUCUGUUUUUAAAAAUAGAAAAUUGUUUUUAAAAAUUUCUAAUUAACAUUGUUGGGUUGUCAUUCUCUAAAAACAAUUUUUAAAAACAAAGUGAAAUAGAUAAUAAUUUUUAGAGAAUAAAUAUGAAUUGUUUUCACUAGUUUUUACAAAUAAAAGAAAAAUGUGGAUUCAUUUGGGUUAUGUUUUUUUAAACUUGUUUUUUAUUCUUCAACUUAAAAAUAAUUUUUAAAAACAAAUUUAAGAAAAUAUGGCCAAAAAAACCCUAAAUGUUUACAGUAAUUUUCUAAUUUUUCAUCUCAUAAGCAAUCAAACUCUAACAUCUCACUAUUAACGUAUUAGAAAUGCAUUAUCAACUUUUUAAGUGAUACAACAUUUUGCAUAUUAAAGGGAAUGUAUAAUUAUAAAAUUAUUUUCAUAGGACAAAUACCUUUUUAAACAUAUGAGCAACCUAAUUCUGAAAAAGAGAAAAAAAGAAUGAUAAAGAGCACAAUAUUUUUUUUUUGUAUAGUGCUUAAAAAUUAGUUAAAACAACAAAUAAAAAAUAUUAAUUUACUGAAAGAUCUAAGUUUUUGAAACAUAUUAAGAAUCCAUUGUGUAAGUUGAACAAUUAAACAAGAAUUCAAAAUUAUCCUAUUGUAUUUUAAACUGGAAGUAGCUAGAUACUCACGAGGUUUAUCAAAAUCUUGUCUCUAUUCUCCAUAGAUCAUAAAUAAGUUAAAGAAAAAAUAAAACCAAGAAGAAAAAAAUACUAUAAGAUAUAUUUAUUCCAAGCUCGUCGAAAUACUGAGAGCACCCAUUUACAAAAUUGUAUUCCCGUCAUGUAACAAUUGAAUCCAACUCAUGUGACUCAUUGUUUUUUUUUUCUCAAAAACAAGUUUUUUUAAUUGCAAAAGAAAAAAGACUUAUCUGUUGAUGGUCUUGAAGUAAUUCAAAGGAUAGCCCUCAGAGGUAGGUACCAAAAACCACAAUAUCAAAAGAUGGUAAAACUAAUAAUAUAUGAAGAGUCGGUACAUUAAGUGAGAUUUUUUUAUAAGAGUACUGUAGUUUUAGAAAAUAAUUCUCAAACUACCGUAGUAGGAAAAAUAAUUCCAAAUCCACCGUAAUUUUUGUCAGGUAUGAAAGAUGAAUUUUUUUUUUAAAUCGUCUCUUCAAAAUACUAUUUAUAACAUUUUAAAAAAAAAUUUUAAAUCAUCUUUCUAAAAUAUGAGAAAUUGUCUCUUGAAAAUACAACUUUGGAAAAAAAAAAGAAGAUGAUUUUCAGAAGAAAGAAAAACUAAGAAGUAAUAAAUCAUCUCUUGAAAAGACGAUUUUUCACCAACAAUUUUCACAAAAAAAAAUUCAUAAAAAAAAGAAAAAGAGAAAACUUCAAAAAUCCAUUUUUCCAUUCCCUACUAUACUUAUACAAUAAUACAAUUAUUAUAAAUAUAUAUUAUAAAAUUAAUUAAUUUUAUUUACUAAAUUUAAUAUUUUUUCUAUUAUUUUUUUCUAAAAAAAAAAUUAUUAUUAAUUUAUUAAAAAAAUAAAAAAUUGAGAAAUUGUCUCUUGAAGAGACGAUUUUCACCAAAAAAUAAAAAAAAAGAAUAAAAAUAAAAAUUCAAAAAUCAAUUUUUCCAUUCUCUGUCAUACUUAUACAAUAAUAAAAUUAUUAUAAAUAUAUAUUAUAAAAUUAAUUAAUUUAUUUACUAAAUUUAAUAUAAGAUAAAUAAUAUUUAUCUAUUAUUCUUUUUUCUUUCAUUUUGGAAAAAAAAUAUUAUCAAUUUAUGUGAAAAAUGAGUUUAAAAAAUAAAUUUAUUAUUAAUUUAUUAAAUAAUUAUUUACAAAAUAAUUAAUUUUGUUUUUUUAUUUUAAAAUUAAUUUUAUUAUAUAAAUUUUAAAUUUUAAAAUAUUAAUCUUUAAGUUAAAAUUUUACUAUAAAAAAUGAAUAAUUUCACAUAUUUUUAGGCGAAUUUUACUUAUCAUAAGGCCUCCACUACACACAUCAUUUCCCCUAAUCCAAUAAUGCACUACACCCAUAGACCAUAGGAGAAUCUUACCUAGUACACUCUAUCACUUCAUACACUAUUACACUACAAUUCCAUUACAACACUCAACCAAUUUGACAAGAGUUUGAAGUAUUGUCAUUUCUUUUUAAAUGUUUAAAUACUCCACCAAUUUGAUCGUUUCAAGUAUUGUCAUUUCUUUUAAAACAUUCAAACGUGUGUAUAUAUAUAUAUAUACACACACCCCAUAUCCUACACACUAUACCCAUUCUACCUCUUCCCAACUUCACUUACAAUAUAAAUCAAUUUCAAACUUCUUCAUCCUCAUUUUCUCUUUCUUCCCCAUUUGAAACCAAGUUUUUCACUUUCCAUCGCUUUUAUCCAAAUCUCCCAUUUCUCUUUGUGGAACUUCUGGGUAUAUCUCCUAUUUUUUCUUCAAACACUCACACUGUUUAUCUUGAAAGGUAAUAUUUUUGCUUUAUUUUUAUUUCAAAUUAUUUUGUAAUAUAUGGUUUUUAUUAUUAUAUAAGUUUUAAAAUUUAUUUGGAUUAUGCAAUAUUUGUUUGAAUAAUAUUUAUUGGAAAUUAUUAUUUUAAAUAGAUUAAAUCAUUAAAAAAUAAAUAAAAGUUAUAUUAUUUUAUUUUUAGAUAAUAUUUUUGCCCUUGUUUCAUAUUUAUUUUGUAAUGCAUGAUGGAUAUUUAUUGUUAUACAUAUAUUAAUUUAUUGGAUUUAUGUUAAUUUUUUUAGAAUAUUAUUUGUUGUAAAUUAUCAUUAUAUAAUUCAAAAAAUAAAAGUGGUAUUAGUUUAUUUAAUUAAUAUGGAAUAAUAGGAUUAUUGAUUAUGUUUAUCAAUCAAAUAAUAUGUUUUAUAAAAUAAUAAAAUUAAAAAUUAAAAAGAAAAUAAAAUAUUAGUAAAAUGAGAAUGGAAAAUAAUAAUAAUAAAAUAAUUAUAUAUCUAUGUAUUUGCAUAAAAUAUUAUUUUAAAAAUAUUAAAGUCUAAAAAAUAGAAAUACAACAUUAUCUGACAUUAUGAAUUUAUUCUAUAUAUUUUUUUAAAAUUAAUGUUAGCCUUAAAUCAUUGAAAAAAUUGUUGUAAAAAUAAAAAUAUAAAUAAAAGUAGAAGUAAAACUAAAAUGUUAUUUGAUAUAUUUAAAUGAAUAUUUAAAUGUAUAGAAUAUAAAAUAAAAAAGUAAUGGUGUAUAAUAUAAAAUAGUAACCGUGCGUAUUAAAUGUAUAUAAUAUGUAAAUUUAUAUUUAAAAUGUUAAAUAAUAGCCAUAUUGUGGAUCCCGCAUUUCGGCUCAUGCGAUUUCCACUCGAUGACAAGUUCGAUUUUUAUUCGAAAAUGAUUUUAUUUAUUAAAAAAAAAUAUGACUUGAAGUCGCUACUUAUUUUUGUUUUAUUUUUAAAAGGGUAAACAAAAUAAGAAAGAAAACCCUAAGCGUGACUCCUUAUUUUGGAAAAUGUGGUCUGUGAAAAACCGGAUCAGGCUCGGGGGUCAGGUUACUUAUUGGGAAGGUACGGUAAAGACCGUAGCACCCCUCUAAGUCCCUAAAGUCGGGUCUCUACUAAUAAAAUGAAGCUGACGUGGCAAUCAAUAGGAAAAUCAAUGGAUACUCAAAUUAAUCAUGCACAUAUGGGAAUCAAAAGCAUGCAUAGAGAAUGAACAGAACGGGAGUGGAUGCGUACUUGGAACAUGAACGAGCGAUACGUUAUCAUAAAAAUAGAGUCGGUGUACAAUAAAGAAUACAAAACAUGUCACAUGCAUUACCAAACAAUGAUUAAGCUGUUCGAGGGAGGAUUGAAAUUUAUUCGAGGAUUGGAGUCUUAGAGAUUAUUUAAAAAUCGAAUUUUUAGGAAUUAAAUAUAAGAAUGAGAAUUUUAGAAAUUAAAUUAGAAAUAAAUUGGGACUUCGAGAUUUAUUCGAGAAUUGGAGAUUUGCAAAAUAAAUUUAAGGACUGGAAUUUCUAAAAUUAAAUUUGAAAGAAAUUGGAACUUUGGAAAUUAUUUGGGAGUUUGGGAUUUUUAAGAAUUAUUUGAGAAUGAAUGAAAAUUCGAUUUGAAAGAAAUUAGAGUUUCAAAAUUUACUUGAAAGUGAAAUUUUAGAAAUUAAAUUCGGAAUUAUGGAAUUUUUGGAAAAUUAAGUCUUAAAAAUUUGAAUCUUGGAAAGUUAAAUUUAAAAUUAGAAUUUGAAAAUUAUUCCGAGAAUUGAAUUUUGAAGAAUUAAAUCUAAAAAUUGGAGCUUUGGAAAAUUAAAUUAAGAAUUUGAGUUUUGAAAAUCAACUUUAGAAAUUGAGGAUUCGAAAAAACAUUCAAAAGUGGAGACCUUGAAAAUUAGAUUUAAGAAAAGAAUUUUGAGAAAUUAAACUUUGGGAAUAAAGAUUUUGAAAGUUAAAUUCGAAAAUUAAAAAAAAAAAAUGGAAAGUUAAACCUUGAUAUCAAAGAGGAAGAAUUUGAAUAAAUGAAUAAAUAAACAAAUAUAUAUAUAUAUAUAUAUAUAUAUAUAUAAAAGAAUAAAAUGGAGGUGGUCGUUGGGGGUGCGGGCCAAGGGUGGCCCCGUGAAGUGACAUGAUCACCUCAUGAUUACCAUCUCCCUAAACUUUAAGCUCCGCCAUACCAAAUAACCGCAAUCAGUCCAACGGUCUCUGAUGAUCGAGAGUUGUUUCAUCAAGAGAGGGUAUUUCUCCAUUGAUUUUAGGAACAUGAGGAAUAGAGACCAUCUGAUUUAAUAUUUUGCCUACUUCACCAUCGAGUGCAUUCUCAUCUGUCAGAUCUAGAGAAUAUGACCAACCCUCCCCAUUGUGUGACUUUUCGUCAGGACUAGAACAUGAACUAGAAAGUCCCAUACCAUCUAUAUCUUUCUGGCCGCUCUCAUGCCUAAAUCCAUAAUUUUCCAUAGAUUGAUCGGGCCAUUCUUUUGGAAGAAUAGAUACUUGCAAAUCCUCUACCACUUCAUGUGAAAAUCUAGCUGUUUCGUCAAUAGCAAGUUGUGAUAGUUCUUCUUAAAGAGCAUGUUCGAUAAUCUCACCAUUCUCCGCAUUGCCACAUUCAUUAUCAUAACGAUCUUCCUUUAAAUGUUAUCCAUCAUAAUAACUUACAUCAUUUUGCACAAUGGUGCCACCAUACCCGCACUUAGAAAACGGAUCAUCAUCAGAAGCCGGAGACCCCACCGAACAACAAUAGGAUCUUGCCCACAUGCGAUCAUUUGCAAUGAUAUCAAUGUCGGCUGCAUUGAUCUUGACAGCAGCUAAUUCUUUCUCCUUCAUUCUCAUGGCAUUCUCGUUAGCAUCGGUCGACAUAAUGACAAUAAGCAGUUUUUGAGGUUCUUCUUGAAUUUUAUCAAGGAGAUAUCGUCCAUCCAUGCAGCUGCCCCAUUAUUUUACUUUGACCGGGACCUGAAAAACUUGCCUCACUAUUCAUUCCCGCAUNNNNNNNNNNNNNNNNNNNNNNNNNNNNNNNNNNNNNNNNNNNNNNNNNNNNNNNNNNNNNNNNNNNNNNNNNNNNNNNNNNNNNNNNNNNNNNNNNNNNCAAGCAUGACAAUAUUAAGAUCCAACUCUAGGUAUUGAUUCAAAAGUAGUGGCUUAGGAGGCAUCGAUAUUAUUUUGAGUGUAUGGAACGUUCUCAAAAGUGAACUAUGCCCACAGAUCGGAGUAACAAAACCUGUAUUAGGCAAUGCUGUCAGCUUGCAGGGAGUCUUUCAUGACUGCUUAAACUCGAAUUCGGGCAUCUUAAAGUACCACAACAUGGCCAUAGUUGAAACUCCCAAACCCGAAGAGAGUUAGUUGAGGUUCCAGAUAAAGAAAAUUGGUGCGCUUGAGCUCAUCAGGUGCAGAAGGUAUGACCUUAACCGAUUCGGUGGGUUUGGGGUUGUAAGGUUUAGUGGUUGGAAUGUUUUGGUAAGAAGAAUAGGAUGAGAGACUAGUUGAGCUAAGGGAUCAAAGUUGAGUUGUAUCUGAUGGGUGAUCCAGAUGACGGUUUUCUUCUUGUUAAGUGCAACAGAUGAAAAGUUGGAUGGGGUAUGAGGAGUAUUUGGCUUUUGGUUUAUGCUCGGUAUAGAACAAAUGUCAUGGGAAUGCGUUGAAAGGAUGCUAGGGAAUCGUACGUACGUGUACACAGCAUCUGCGUGGGAGGCUAGAGAAAUAAUGGGUGGGAAAAGAAAACGGGUCAAACGUAAGGGGUGAUUUGAAGAUAGUGAGAGAAUGAAAUAAGUGUGUAUGCUUGUGGUGGUUAUCGAAAAUGUGAGGGGUGGGGAGUGUGAUAGCUUCAAUGGGUAUGAGAAUAGGGAUAAGCCGACAGGGAGCACGAUAGAGGGUGGAUUUUGCAAAAGGUCUUGUGGGCCAUGCAAAGGUGGAAGAGAUGGGGUACAUGGUAGGUAUUGAAAAAUGGUGUGUGGUGUAGAGAGAUGAAACGGGAGGUGAGCAGUGAGUGGGAUGUAGGGGUAAAAGGGUGGCCAUGCACACAUGUGGAGUAAACCCAUCAAUAUUGCACUUCCCAAUUCAUCCCGUGGCCGAUGAAUACAACAUCCCGGUGCUACUUCUCAUACCCAUUUUGCAUUUUCUGAAUGUCAACACCUGAAUAUAGCUUUGAAUGCUGAAAAGGUGGCGACAAACACCCGAUCAUGAUAGGAUGAUGGCUCUGAAUGUCAAGCUGGGAAGGAAUGGUGGCUUUGAAGGCCCAAACCGAGAAGAUAUGGUGGCUUUGAAUGUCAAACUGCGGAGAAUGAUGGCUCUGAACGCCCGAAUGUGAGAACGACGGCUCCUUGAACGCCUGAAACUGUGAAGAGGUAGUGGCUCUGAACGUUGAACUAAAAAGAGAUGAUGGCUCUGAAUGUCGAAACUGAAGAUGCAAUGAUGAUGGCUCUGAACGCCGAAACUGAAAAUGUGACUCUUAACAUCAAAUUGAAAAUGCGAUGAUGGCUCUGAACGCCGAAACUGAGAAGCGACGAUGAUGGCUCUGAACGCCAAAACCAAAAAUGCGAUGAUGAUGGCUUAGAGUGCCGAAACUAAAAAUGCGACUCUGAACGUCAAGUUGAAAAUGUGAUGAUGAUGACUCUGAACACCAAAACUAAGAGGCGAUAAUGAUGGAUCUGAAUGCCGAAACCAAAAAUGCGAUGAUGAUGGCUCUGAACGCCGAAACUGAAAAUGCGACUCUGAACGUCAAGCUGAAAAUGUGAUGAUGAUGGCUCUGAACGCCGAAACUGAGAAGCGAUAAUGAUGGCUCCGAACGCUGAAAGAAAAAAUGAGAUGAUGAUGGCUCUGAACGCUGAAACUGAGAAGCGGUGAUGAUGGCUCUGAAUGCCAAAACGGAAAAUGAUAUAAUGACCCUGAAUGCCGAACUAUGAACAUGGCUUUGAAUGCCAAACUGCGAAUAAAUGGUGGCUUUGAACGCCAAACUAAAAAUAAUAGCCAUGAAUGCUAAGCAAAAACAACGGCUGUGAACGCCAAUGAUAACUAUGAAUGUCAAGCUGAGAAANNNNNNNNNNNNNNNNNNNNNNNNNNNNNNNNNNNNNNNNNNNNNNNNNNNNNNNNNNNNNNNNNNNNNNNNNNNNNNNNNNNNNNNNNNNNNNNNNNNNCAAAAACAACUGGCUGUGAACGCCAAUGAUAACUAUGAAUGUCAAGCUGAGAAAGACAACUUUAAACGUCGUAAUUGAGAGGACAUGGUGGCUUUGAACACCAGGCUGAAAAUGGAUGACUUUGAACAUCAUAACCGAUAAUGGAUGGUGGCUCUAAAUGCCAAACUGUAAGGAAAUGAUUAGGGGGGGGGGGGGGGGGGNNNNNNNNNNNNNNNNNNNNNNNNNNNNNNNNNNNNNNNNNNNNNNNNNNNNNNNNNNNNNNNNNNNNNNNNNNNNNNNNNNNNNNNNNNNNNNNNNNNNAGUCUCAUGACCCGCUCGAUGAAAUCACGAGGUUUGUCGGAGUGUCGCAAUAAGCCGAACUCCUCUAACUCAUAAUGCUCUGCCGAAAGAAUCUAUCGUCACCCCGAACGGAUAAUCCGAUAGUCUUAGGGAGUAGUCUGGUAAGAGACAUACCACGAUCUUGACAUAACAAUCUACUGAAUAGUCUUGGCUAGUGAGGCUAUCAAAACCCGAAUAUCGUGCUCCACUGAAAGCUCAUCUCGACGAAAAGCACAGGAAUAGUGACCAGUGAAGCAAAUGCAAUAUCUCUUGACUGAGUAAUGAAAACUAUAAUAGAUCUGUGAGAGAAUGAUCAUCUCCAUAGCUAAAGGAGGGAAAUAUGCCCCAGUAUGGCAUCAGAUAUAUCCAAUCUGUCCUAAUAACUCAAGAAUAACUCUAUGGGGACAUACAAAGGAUCUAACAUGUACUCCACUGAAAUAGUGACGCAGGCAUCCACGCGCCUGAGAUAACUCCUUCUAAGAAUCACGACUAUAUCAGAAAACGUGAAUCUGGCUGAAAGACUCAAGAGAGGCUCCAUGGAGUAUCAGGACACAAUGAAAUCGAAUCAUCAACCCGAUGUGUAUCUCAAAAUCGAGGGUGAUCAUGCGAAUCAGUGGGGGAUGUACAAAUCUCGACUGAAAUGGGGAAUACACCCCAGUGUGGCAUCAUAAAUGUGACAAGUCGGAAAGUCAGAUGAGCUCAAAUCAUCCAUCAUCGAAUUCGUGAUCCAAGUCAUCCAUGUCUAUAACUGAAUCAGACCCACAGAUCAAAGGGGCGUCUCCCAGAAGGAAAGCAUGAUGACAUCUAAGUGUCGAGAAGUGCAGGCCUAACUGGGCAAUUCCCAAGAGGCUCCAUUGAGGAAUCAUCAUAAAGAUACCGAAUAGAUCAUCGUCUCGAUGUACGUCUUGCAAAUGGGGAUAAGCGCGUAACUCCACCAAGAUCUAUAAAUCUCAUCCUGAAUGGUAAUAUGCCCCAGUAUGGCAUCAAACAUAUGAUAGGUCGGAGACCGGGCAACAUGAAAUCAUCUAUCAUCGAACAUGCGACAUCUGUGAAGAUCCAUAAAUCUCAUCUAAAAUGGAAAAUAUGCCCUCGUAUGGCAUCAGGUGCAUAAUAGGUCAAAAGAACAAGUGACAUGAAACCAUCUCUCAUCAAACAUGUGACCUCUGUGAAGAUCCGUAAAUCUCAUCUGAAACGGAAAUAUGCCCCAGUAUGGCAUCGGAUGUGUGACAGGUCAGAAGAACAAGUGACAUGAAACCAUCUCUCAUCAAACAUGUAAUCCUGGUCAUCCGAAUCCAUAACUGAAUCAUGCCCACAGAUCUAAGAUGUACCUCCCGGAUGGAGAAGCAUGAUGGCAUCUAAGUGCCGAGAAGUGCGGGCCUAGCUAGAUGGCUCUCGGCAGGCUCCACUGAGGAAUCAUGAUAAGGUAACGAUCAUGUCCACGUCUUAGUGAGCAUCUAGUAAGUGAUGAUGAUCGUGCAAGUCCAUGAGGAUCCAUAAACCUCUAAAUGAAAUGGGAUAUGCCCUAGUGUGGCAUCAGAGGUACGAUAGGUCAAAAAUCGGGUGACACCAAAUCAUCCAUCGUCAAACACAUAAUCCCGGUAAUUCGAACACAACUGAAUCGGACCUACACAUCAAAGAGGCGACUCCUAGAAGAAGGAAGCACGACGAUAUCUAAAUAUCAACCAGAUCUCAAACACUCGUCCAAGUAGAGGCUGUCAAAGAUGACAUCUGAUCCCAUGACCUCAGGGUGGUCUUAAGACAUGGGACGUAACGUAGGCCAAGGUGAUAAGGUGAUAGAAAUGAAGGAAAACUAGACUCAAAUACCCAAUGAUCAAAAACCCACGCCCUCAUAUAUGAAAUGCAACAUGUAUAAUGAAUCUCGUGAGCCAUGGACCUAAGGAUGCCUAACAUGAAUAUGAUGUCGAUAAGGAGACAAAUAAAGCAAAAUGAACUGAUAGUGAUAUGUGUAAUGAUGAUGUGAAGAGAGUAUCAAACCCGAGAUGGGUUGCUGUAAGAAAAGAAUAAGACGUGAAGUGAAAAUGAUGAAUCCAAAGCGAAAACGAGGAUGAUGAUGAAACAAAUAACACAAAGAGGAGUAGUGAUCAACUCAAAUCAGACAUGGAGUGAAGUCACAUCAACAAUGAACGUAAUGAUGGAAGGGACAAUGACCCAGAGCUCCUAAGAGAAGGUCACUCAUCUCGCUCUCAAAAUAUACAAUAAAAAUGAAUACAAAGCAUAGAGGGUCUCAGAAAGCUCACAUACGAACUCCCAUCAACAAACAUACUCAAUCAAGUCACCCUCGAACAUCAACAUACACACUCAAUGAUAGAAAAUAAUACACAUGCGUUUUGUUUUUUUUUUUUUUACAUAUAUACAAAUGUACACACCUUGAACAUGAACAAAAUAAGCCUAAAUAUGAUAUCAAUAAUGGAUAGACGCUAUCUCGAAAGCUAAGGUAACAAAAACCCUCUUUGACAAGAUAACCUUUUCAAACUAAGAAUCUCUGAACCAGUGUCCGUUGGAUAGAUAGUGGUAAUGAUAUGACUACCCUCCAUGUAAUGAACUGAGGAAGAUCACCACUCGGGGUGGAAAGAAUAUGAAGCAAAACAAGUAGUAGAUAGAAUAAAGAAGAAUAGAUGAAGAACACAACCAAUGAGAUACAAUGGAAUGCAGUGAUGCAAUGAUGAGAAGAGAUAAUGAGAAGAAUGUGCCCCUCGGUCCAAGGCUCAUGAAACUUCCAAACAAUGAAUGCAUACACCAAAAGGGCCCCUAUCCCGGUGUGAAAAUGUGAGCAAGGCGAUAAGAAAGAAAUGCUAUAAUGCUCAUGCGAGGCUCAAUGGGCUAGCAACAGACUAUAUAUCAAAAGGGAAUAACAAGGUAUAUGGCUAACUGAAAUGACGGCCACCAUCCUACGACCAUGGUGUCAAACAUAGUACCUCUUUAGCUGAUCCAUAUUGGUCGGCUUUGAGAAUCGGUUUCCAUCUAAAUCCAUCAACCAUGCAACAUCCUCUGGGGUCAACUCCCUGAUGAAGUAAGGUUCGCUCCAGUUGGGUCUGAACUUCUUUCUAGGAUCUCUGAUCAAUCCCCUGAUGAUCUUCAGAACCAAGUCACCUAUCCGUAGUGGUCAGAGCUUGACCUGCUUUUUGAAAGUGCGGGCCAUCUUCCUCUGAUAUGCACGAAUGUGGUCGGCUGCUCUCAAUCUCCUCUCAUCUUGGAGAUUGAGCUGAUCAAAUCGAGACUGAGCCCAAUCUGCCUCGAGCAUCUGUUGCUCUAAUGCUACCCUCAAUGAACCCAACUCUAUCUCGACUGGUAGCACUACCUCCAUAUUGUAUACCAAAGAGUAGGGUGUGGCUCCUGUAGAGGUGUGAAAAGAAGUCCGGUAAGCCCACAAUGCGAAAGGAAGCUUCUCAAACCAAUCCCGAGAAGUCUUGAUCAUCCUCCGCAAGAUCCUCUUAAUAUUCUUAUUCACGGUCUCUACUGCCCCGUUCGUCUGCGGCCUGUACGCAGACGACCUAUGGUGUCGGAUGCCAUAUUACCGCACUAAAGUGUCAACCUCUGCCCUGAAAUGUACCCUUCUAUCCGAAAUCAGCUCAUGAGGGACUCCACAGCAACAGAUAAUGUGUGACCUGAUGAAACUAGCCACUCCAGAUGAUGUCAAUCUCGCAUACGAAGCGGCCUCCACCCACUUGGUGAAGUAAUCGAUGGCGACCAGGAUGAACUCAUGACCACUGGAAGAUUUCGGCGAAAUCUUUCCGAUGAUGUCAAUACCCCAUACAGAAAAUGGUCAUGGUGAAGUCAGUGCAUGCAACUCCGAGGACGGCACGUGAAUGAGAUCUCCAUGUAUCUGACACUCGGGACAUCUCUGAACAAACUGGAAACAAUCUAUCUCCAUGGUCAACCAGAAAUAGCCAAUCCUCAUGAUCUUACGGGCCAACAUAUGUCCUCCCAUAUGUGGUCUGCAGACUCUUGCAUGAACCUCUCUUAUCACUCUAUUGGCAGAGGCUCGGUCCAAGUACAAUAAUAGCAUCUCGUCAGCCGAUCGUCUAUACAAUGUCUUGCCACAAAUCACCAAUCCGGUGGCUAACUGUCUCAAUGAUCUCCUAUCCUUGGCCAUGGCAGUCUCAAGAUACACGCCAAGUCUCAGAAAGUGAUAUAUGUCAUGGUACCAGGGCAAACCAUCAUCUAUCUCCGUAUCAUCAAUUAGACAACAGUACGCAAGAGCAGAUCUCGACUCGAUCAACAAUGGGCGAACGGUGACAUCAGUAGGAAUGUCAAUCAUGGAAGCUAGAGUAGCUAAGGCAUCAGCAAACUGGUUCUGCGCUCUAGGCAGAUGGGUAUAUAUCAAAUCAUCGAAUCUCCCAACCAGUAGCUUUAAAUAUGCGUGGUAAGGCCUAAGCUUCACAUUUCUAGUCUUCCAUUUGCCUUGAAUCUGUCUCAAUACUAAAUUGGAGUCACCAAACACCUCUAUCUGUCUAAUCCCGAGCUCUAGGGCCGUUUCUAAUCCCAAGAUACAAGCCUUAUAUUCAACAAUGUUGUUCGUGGCAGGAUGUCGAUCCCAGAAUGCCAAACGAACAGAUCUGGGAAUGUGAUCACCAUGAGGGGAUAUCAACAAGACGCCUAUCCCGUAUCCAGAAUGGUUGGCUGCACCAUCAAAGUACAUGCGCCAACCUGAUAAACUGGUCACAACAGCCACAUCCUCGUCCGGGAAGUCAUCAUCAAUGGCUCUGCCGUCGGAAACUGGUAAAGAAACUAGGUGAUCCACGACAAUGCUCCCUUUGAUGGACUUCUGAGUGACAUAAUGGAUGUCAAACUCGAUUGGAAGUACCAACCAUCUUAUGAGGCGACCAACUAAGGCGGGUUUGUCAAACAAAUAUCUCAGAGGAUCUAAAUGGGAUAUCAAGUGCACUAAAUACUCUAUCAUAUAAUGUCUCAGUUGGCGUGUGGCCCAAACCAAUGCCAAACAGUAACACUCAAUCAUGACAUAUCUUGUCUCAUAGUCUAGCAUCCUCUUACUCAUAUAAUAAAUAGCUCGGUCCUUGCCUGAAUCAUCAAGCUGAGCUAACAUACACCCCAAUGCUACGUCUGAAACUGAUAGGUAUAGGAGUAAGGGACGACCUGGUGUAGGAGGCGCCAAGACUGGAGGUGACAACAAGUACUCUCUGAUCCUCUCAAAUGCACGCUGACACUGAUCAUCCCAAAUAGUAGGUUGACUCUUCCUCAAGAGUCGAAAAAUGGGCUCACAGAUGUCUGUCAAUCUGGCAAGGAAUCUGCUGAUGUACUGAAGUCUACCUAGGAAGCCUCUGACCUCUCUCUCUAUCCUCGGUGCAGGCAUGUCAAGAAUAGCUUUGAUCUUAUCCGGAUCUACCUUUAUGCCUCUUUCAUUGACCAUAUAUCCAAGGAGUUUCCCAGAAGUCACUCCGAAAGUGCACUUCUUGGGAUUGAGUCUCAAUCUGAAUUGUCUAAUCCUCUCAAAGAACCUCUCCAGAGCUGUCAGGUGAUCUGGUCUAUCUUGGGAUUUCACUAUCAUGUUGCCUACAUAAACCUCGACAUCCCGAUGCAUCAUGUCAUGGAAGAGGGUGGUCACCGCUCUUUGAUAAGUGGCUCCUGCGUUCUUCAAUCCGAAUGACAUGACUCUAUAGCAAUAAGUACCCCACUCGGUAAUGAAAGACAUUUUCUCCAUGUCCUCUAAAGUCAUUAAGAUCUGAUUGCAUCCGGAAAAUCCGUCCAUAAAGGACAACAUCGAAUGACCUGCCGUACUGUCAAUUAGCAUGUCGAUGUGUGGAAGAGGAAAAUCAUCCUUAGGAUUGACCUUGCUGAGGUCUCGAAAAUCAACACAGACUUUCACCUUGCCGUCCUUUUUGGGAAUAAGGACGACAUUGGCCAACCACUCCGGGUACUCGACCAUUGAAAAAAAUCCUACACUAAGUUGCUUCUGAAUCUCCUUAUUUACCUGCAAGCUCCAACGAGGAUGCAAUCGUGUCAACUUCUGCUUAACCGGUCUGAUAUGGGGCAGAAGUGGCAAACGAUGCUGGAUGAUAGAUGGAUCAAGGCUUGGCAUAUCCUCAUAGGACCAUGCGAAAAUGUCCAAGUAUGCUAUGAGCAACUGGAUGAGGCUAUCCCUUUCAUCAACAGAUAAAUCUGAUCCGAUCCUUAACUCCCUAGGCUGAUCUGCUGUGCCGAAAUAAAAAAUCUCUAUGUCCCCUACAACAUGUGAAACUCUCUGAUCAAUGGGAUCCGAAUCGGAAAUAGAAGAUGAGUCAUCGUCUGAAUCAUGCUGUGCAAUCUCAUCAUCAAUGUCAAAAAUCUAUGAUGUGGGUGAGGAUGGUGCGGGUAAAGCAAUAACAUGAGAGACAGACAAAUACUAAAAAAUGCUCAAAUCCAUAGAUGAAGAGUCAGAAACAUCGUCAUGACGGGAGACAAAUCCCGAUAAGACAUUAAAGGAAAGAGGUGGGUCCACAAAGUUGGACGCUCUCUUAACUAAGCCAACAAGGCCAUCAAACAAGCCAUCAACAACUAUAACAUCCUCAGCAAUCUCCAGAACGGGGGCGACCUGGAUCUCCUCGACAAUCUCGAGGAUGGACACCCCGAAGAGAUCGAAUGGUGAAGCGAGCUCAAAUGGGGCUAUCUCCUUGAUUUGGCUCAAGCUCAUCGCGAUCAUCUCAUCAACAUACUCGUCAUGUGGCACGACUUUGUCUAAUAUGUUGCUGCUCUCGAAAAAUGUCCAGUAAUCAUCGAUCUCAUCCGAGAAGCAAAGCGUCAUAAGGCUCGUGCGAUCUGGGGAGGAAGGAGUGAUCAACGCAGAAGUUGAAGGGCCAGGGGCUCCGUCACUCAAUCGUAACUGUCGGACGAGGCGCUGAAGCUCGGCCUCCUGGGUGGUGCUAAGUCCUCCGAUGAUCCCAUCAGAUAGUGCAUGUGGCUCCGACGCCCUCACAAAGUAAUCUGUUAGGCUCAUGGUAUAUGGGUGAACAGGAUAAUAAAAUGGAAUAUGGGUCAGUCGAGCCCUCACCCUCUCCUUCGGCAAUCGCUCCAUAUUACGAUAAUCAGCCUCAGUGGGGAUGAACCUGAGUCCGAAUGCUACGUCGUGAUCAAGGAAGGUCAUGAACUCACUAGGCCCGUACUGACGCUGCCCUAACCCCAUGCCGGGAAGAUAAGACAUACCCCUCAUCAUGUCAAGCACUAGAUACUGUGCUGGUCGAAAGAUAUGGCUACAAAGUCUCGACAGAAAUCCUCUAUCUCCAAAGUCUGCACCUCGUCGAAGGUGAAUCCGAUCAAAAAAAGAUAGUCAUCAGUGUGACUAAUCUGAAGUACAGGCUUGGCAGAAAUGAACACAUCUCCUAUAGACUGCACCACAACGGCCUGGCCAUCAUGAAUAAACUUCACCUUCUAAUGAAGGGAAUAAGGAAUGGCCCCAACUCUAUGGAUCCAUGGUCGGCUCAGAAGUAGGUUAAAGGAUGUAGGAAUCCUCAAAACCUGAAACACGACAACAAAAGUGGUCGGACCAAUCAAUAGCUCAAUCUCCAAUGUACCCAUGACCUUCCUCUGAGUACUAUCAUAUGCGCGAAUGGUCUGAGUGGAGGGACCGAAGUCAGAUGGUGCGUAGCCGAGGGCAAUGGCAGUGGAAAGAGGACAGACGUUCAGGACCAAGCCAUUGUCCAGAAAGAUAGAUGGGACUCGGCGGCCUGAACAAUCGACAGAUAUAUAAAGUGGACUUGUGUGGUCCGAGCCCUCCGUGGCAAGUCAUCAUCGAAGAAUACAAUGCAUGUGGCUCUGCUGGCCGUCAUCAUAUGAAUCAAUCUCUUAGGAGAAGUGGUAGUAUCGACUCUGAUCUGGUUCAAGGCUCGAAUCAGAGCAUCACGGUGAGUGCUCAAGGAUGCCAACAGGCUCUAGAUGGAAAUACGAGCUUGGGUGCUCUGUAGCUGUCUCAAAAUCUCGUCAUCCUUUACUCUGACCUCCUCGAGAGCAGAUAUACCCUCAACUAACCUAGCUGCUACGGGAGGUGGCUGUCGCAACACUCUACCUCAUUGGAGAAUAUAAUGAACAUCUAGAGUCUGAGAAUCAUCAACACGCGGAGCCUGAACCUCCUCAACAUCCGGGAUCAAGAUGAAUGAAGUCUGGACGCUGUAAUGUGGAAAAAUCAAUGGCUCAACAAUGGUAGUCUGUACCGAUGCCGCCCUGGGAACUAAUUCGAAUGAAACGGGCAUCCAAGGCCCCAAAGUCGCUUUGUCCAUCUCAUAAAUACCAUUUGACACAAUAGGCUCUGGGUUUGAAUCAUCCGAACUAAGCAUAUGAACGUGAUCAUCAAGCUCAACGAAGUCCAAGAAAUGUAUGCCAUCGGCCGGUGGAGGAACGACAUGUGUAGUGUGGGCAGGUAAUGGGUUUGUGGUCACAUUCAGCUGACCCUGACCCAAGUGCACCAAACCUUGGUUGAUCAAAUCCUGAACGACAUGCCUCAAAGCAGUUCAUCGAUCGGUCUCACGUCCAGGCCCUUGAUGGUAUGCACAGUGCAAAUCCAUCCUGAACUGAGGUGGAAUAGGCUGAGGAGGUGGCCUAGGGGUGAGAGCAGUCAAUAACCCGGCCUCUGUAAGCUUCCGAAGAGCCUGGCUCAAUGGCAUGCCUAAUUGUGAGAACUACCUCUGCGUCCUCAAAGCAAAUGGAGCAGAAGCCUGCUGAGCUCUGGGUCGGGGAUAAGAAGUUAUGGGUCUCGUAGUGAACUGAGCAGCAUAGCACGAUUGUCCUAUGGCCUUGUAUGAGACAGGUGACCUCUCGAUGCCUUGGGUGGCAUAGUAAGGCAAAGCCAAAGUCUGUGGCAUAUAGGACUAAUCAUGAGUCGGACGAGGCGCCCGUGGCCUAUACUGCUGAAGUGGAUAUGAAGGAUGAGUCUCUAGAAGCUGUGGGACCGACUGAUGGCGCCUGAGAGGUCUUUGACUAGAAGAACCGAUAGCGCUCACAUCAACUGACCUCUGUCCUCCAAAGGGUUUCUUCCCCUUAACAUCACUAGGGGAAGAAUCAGUUCACAAUUAUCUCAAGAUGCCGUCCUCGACAUCGUACAAAGCCAAAACCAACGAACCAAAAUCUAUGAAGAGUACCCCAAUCACGUGUCUGGCAAUCCUGGGCUGUAGGCUCCUCAAAACCAUCUGUAUCUGAUCUCUCUCUAGAGGCCUGUCAAUGGUCUCGGCAAUCUUCCUACGCCAACGGGAGAUGAAGGAUGAAACUGACUCAUCUAUCCUCUACCUCAGAGCCUCGAGCUCUCUCCUUGAUACAUCCAUCAUAGUGUUAAACGAAAACUAUCAUAAGAACUCCUAGGCCAAGUCGUCCCAUGUCCGGCAUCGUGAAGACUCUAGGAAUGCGAACCAGCGCUGGGCUGCCCCACUUAGAGAUAGCGGGAACAAAGUGAUCAUCUAUGACUCAUCCAAUCCGUGUGCUCUCAUCACUGUGCUAUAGAGUCUGAGGUGGAUGCGAGGACAACCAAUGCCCGUAUACCUCUCAAUGUCCAGCAUCCUGAACUGAGCCGACAAACUGGCCACCAGCAUACCCUCAAGAUCAUCCCAAAUAGCUGAUCCAUCUGACACUCUCAUCUACCUCAUAUGCUGCUCGAUACGGUCCAUAUGUGCAUGAGCGUCAUUAGUGACUGUGGUCUGAACGAUUGCAGGUGGGGCAACCUCAGAAUGCCCAUGCAAUACAUAAGGUGAGGCCUGAGGCACCAUUGGAACAGGUGGUGGCAGUGGCUGUGGCAACGAAUCAUGAAGAGUCUCAUCAUGAACUACGAGUGGUCUGCUCUACUGGCUGCCAAUCUCCUGCCUGAGGCUAGCCAAAGCCUCUUGGAUAGAAGCCAUGACGGUCGUAAACUGAUCCACUGUAACAACCUAUUGAUCCAUACUCAAUCUCUCGGAAUACCGGACUAAUCUCCCCUCUACUCUAACCCAAGAAGACGUAUCCAGACUACGAACAAAGAUUUGAUCCUAAAAGCGCGAAGAAAUGAAUAAGGAUAUGGGACGAAGAAAGCACAGAAGAAAUGAUAAUCUGAAUGGAAACAAGCAAGACAUCUAAGUGAAGGUAGACUUUCUGACCAUACUCAAACUCAUACUAAUCUCUGUACACUUUCAAUUGAAGACUAAAAAAGGAGUAUCGGAAUCCAAACUGUGGCUACAGAGGCUUUGAAAGUUCUCAGAUGCACCCACAUGUAGGGAGUGAACCCUAAUCGAAUGAUCUACGGCUCAACCUACGAGGUCAAGGUGGCUCUAAAUGGAUAUGAGUGGGCUUUAAAAGAUCCCUUAAGCAGAGGCGAUCAUACUGAUUACUACUCAAAAAGUGCUAUUUGAUAGCUUAUAAUUAAUCCUUUUAAACACUUUUGAGUAGUAGUUUAGGCCUUUUAACUCAAUUGGCAUGUUAAGGACCCUUGAAAGGAAUUUUAAUCACUUUGUGUAAGUUUUGGUGUUUUUGUUAGUAAUUUGAUCAUCAAAGCAAGUCAAGACUGAGGAGAGCUAUGAGGAAUCUUGGGCAAAGCUUAGAAGUCAUUUGCCAAGAGUAAAUCCGGAUUGCAAGGAGAAAAAGUAAAGAGAAUCUGCCAAGAAGCAUAUUCUUGAUGACAGUCGUAUCAGCCACUUUUGGAGCCUCUUAUGAGGUCCAAUUGAUGCAUGCUAUAUACCAUUUCAAAGCUCAGGAAGUCAACAAUCCAAUGCUACAAACGGUGUAUAAUUCAGAGUUGAAACGAAGAAGUUGCAGCCAUUGCAAGCCAAUCACUCCGAGCUGAAGGAAGCAUUUUGCAAAGUGCUGCGAAAUCACCCUUUUGUUGCGAAGUGAUUCCGCAGCCUUUUUGUACAGUAGGGUGUAUUUCCUUCUGAAGUUGCCCGACAUAUACCGCGAGAGGGAAGUUGGGAACCUCAAGGUGGAAGCCAACUUCGCAGCCCUGCGAAGAUAGCAUGUUGUUGCGAAAUGAUUUCGCAGCCCUCUUGAGUGUCUGAGAAAUCUCGCAGACACCAUUUUCUCUUGCGAAAUGGUUCCUGGAGCCUCCCGAUAUUUGCUACCGACAUUGGGAGAUAUUUUACAUCAGAUUUUUGUUGUCUAAAUCCCAAAAUACUCCUUGUAAGCCACCAAUUACAAGAUUCCUUAGCUUUUAAGUUAGUAAAAAGAGAAAAUAUCUAUGUAAUAAUUAGUUUUAUAUUAUGUUCAUAUAUAUACCUCUCGGGAGCCUGUUCUCAGGGAGGAGAUCCUUUUGUAAAGUUUUGGGUAAGCAAGUAAAGUUUAUUUUUUUCUACUGCCUUACCUUCUCACUUUGUAUUUUUUAGUUAAUACUAAGUUAUGAACUCUCUGAGGAGUUUUCCCCAGAGAAUGAGUAACUAAACCUCUAAUUCCUUGGAGCUAAGGUUGCCGGGGAAGGUUCCAAGUGCAAGAAUGCAAAGCUUUGUGGUUUUAGCUAGUAAUGAAGAGGAAGUGAAAUCCUUUAGUGAUUUCUAUGUUUUUAGUUAACUUAAAACACCUUAGAGUCACCUGGGCCAACACUUGGUAAGGCAAGUGAUUUCCAACCAUGGAAAUGCACUAGUUUACCCCUUGCAAGCCUCUGGUAGGUGACUUCAGGGUAGGAUUUUCUAGAAUAGCCAACACUUGAUAAGCUUUUGGACUCCAAGGAGACAUCCAUUAGUUAUCUCUUGCGAGCUUUUGACGGGUAAUCCAAGGUUAAGGAUCACCUUGAAUGGUUAAGGCUUAGUGAGAGGCUUAAACCAUUGCAAGUUGCAUCAGUGAGAGAAUUAAAGUGAAAUCUAAUUGAAGGAUGAAUCUGUACAACACCAGCUAGAGAAUUGACUAUAUGUUGAAUCUCUAACGCGAGGAAAGGAACCAUCUGACCGGAGCUAGGUCUUUUGCAUAAGGAACCACCCCAGUGAACCUAACUCUCCAAGGAAUGCUUUUCUUCCUAAGUUAUUCCGAGUACUUGUUAUGUUAGUUAGUUUAAAUCUUUACCAAUCAAAGUUUGUGUUUUAUGUCUUAAGCUAACCUUGAAAUGAAACAAGACCAAUUCACUUGGAAUUGGUAUCAUUGAUAGCUUGCUAAUCCUUCCCAGUGAACGAUCCUAGAGCCGCUAUACUAUAGUAGCUUUUUCUUUGCUACCCUAGUAUAUGGUGUUAUAGGUUAUAAAUUUUGUUGAUUACUCCCUCAAUCAAGGAGCACCAGCUGGACACGAAUCAGCUGAGACACCAAUUGGGCACGAAUCACAUACCCUCCGACAGUAUGCAACCCUCUGUACGUCUCCGAAGAGACGGGGCGCUUCCAUGCAAGGUGGUCAUCACCUCCACACAUGCACUAUCUCGACAUCCCAAGGGGGUUUCCUAUGGUGAAAACCUCUCAAACUCGCAACGCUCAAUGGUCAACUAGAGUGCACAGUGAAUGGUGCGGGUGCAUCCAAAAACCCUAGGAAGCUAAAACAGAAAGAUGAAACACACUGGCCGCACAAAUAUCCAUGAGACCUAGCUCCGAGCUAUACGAGUCUUCAAUGAUCGGACUCCAAUCGACAUCAAAGUGUCGCUCUCCUCCAGAAUGCUCCCAUACAUUGAUAUAGCCUGUCGCUAAACCCUACUCCUAAUCUCUGGCUCGGUCAGAGAAUAAGCACACAGAGGGCCUCACACUUGCAAUAGUGAGGACCAGAAUGAAGGGAAUGACCGAGACCAAGAGAUUUGGAGGUAGGGGGAUAGAUGUGCGGCCCACAUAGACAGGCGACAUGCAAUCAAGCAGAGGAAGGGUAGUCAUGCGACAUGCAGUUAAGCAGUAGACAGAAUACAUCACUUAUGCACACACACAAACUAUGACGAUCAGGAUGAAUAGCGACACGAACAUCAUGCUCAAAGACAAUCAAGAUAGUAUACAAGCCAAAGAAAACAACAUGGCAAGUCAAGCGAUGUGCAAUAGUGAGUCUAUAUAUGUGAAGUAAGUAGAACAAUCAGGAAGAAUCAGAAUCGCUAUACCAAGCAAAACAAGAUGAGCAGUCUAUGAUAAUCAGCAUGUUAAUGUACUAAACUAAUAUAGCAAUGAAGCACAGAAAAAGUGACAUCCGAAACCCCAAUCAAGAUAAUUGAUAUAUCAAUGUCCCAAUACAAUAUCCAAGCAUGCAUAAAAAAACUCUCAAUGUGCAAUCAAGAGACAAGUACUCAUUGAUUGACUCAUCAAAUACCACAUUUGCUUCAUCCUAAGUUCAAGCUUGACCCUCUAAAUGAUCCCCAACGGAGUCGCCAUUUUGUGGACCCUGUAUUUCGGCUCAUGCGAUUUCCACUCAAUGGCGAGCUCGAUUUUUAUUUGAAAAUGAUUUUAUUUAUUAAAAAAAAAAUAUGACUUGGAGUCACCACUUAUUUUUGUUUUAUUUUUAAAAGGGUAAACAAAAUAAGAAAGAAAACCCUAAGUGUGACUCCUUAUUUUGGAAAAUAUGAUAUGUGAAAAACCGGAUCGGGCUCGGGGGUCAGGCUACUUAUCGAGAAGGUACAGUAAAAACCAUAGCACCCCUCUAAGUCCCUAAAGUUGGGUCUCUACUAACAAAAUGAAGUUGAUGUGGUGAUCAAUAGGAAAAUCAAUGGAUACUCAAAUCGACCAUGCACAUAUGGGAUCAAAACAUGCAUAAAGAAUGACCAGAAUGGGAGUUGAUGCGUACCUGGGCCACGAACGAGCAAUGCGCUAUCAUAAAAAUGGGGUCGGUGUACAAUAAAGAGCACAAAACAUAUCACACGCGUCACCAAAUAGAACUUAAAAUUGUUCAAGGGAAAACUAGAUUUUUUAAAUUUUAUUUGAAAAUUGGAGUCUUAGAGAUUAUUUGAAAAUUGGAGUUUUAGAGAUUAUUUGAAAAUUGGAUUUUUAGAAAUUAAAUAUAAGAAUGAGAAUUUUAGAAAUUAAAUUUGAAAAAAAUUGGAAUUUUGAAAAUUAUUUGAGAGGUUGGGGGUUUUUUUUUUUAAAAAAAAAUUAAAUUACGGAAAUUGGGACUUUAGAAAUAAAAUUUUGAAAGAAAUUAGAAUCGAAAAUUGUUUGAGAAGCAGAAACUAUGAAAAUUGAAUAAAAAAAUUGGAAAUCUUGAAAAUCAUUUUAAAGCAUAAUUUUUAGAAAUAAAUGAAUAAAAUGAUAAUAAUAAAUAAGUAACGGAAUAAAUGCGAGAAUUGGAACAUUGGAAACUGAAAAAAAUUAAGUUCGGAAAUUGAAAAAUUGGAAUUUCAAAUAACUAAAUUUGGAAAUCGAAAUUUUAAAGAAUUAUUUAAAGACGGAAUUUCAAAUAAAUGAAUAAGUGAUUAAAUAAAUUAAUGAAAUAAUAAUAAUGACGAAAUAAUAAAGAUUAGGUAAAUAAUUGCGAAAAAUAGAAUUUUAGAGAUUGAAGAUUGAAUUUAGAGAUUGAAAAUUUGAGAAAUUAUUUAGAGAUGAGAUUUUAAAUAUAUGAAUAAGUGAAUAAAUAAAUGAACAUGAUAAUAAUAAUAACGAAAAUAAUCAUUUAACAACUGAAUGUGAAUAGUGAAAUUUUUUAGAUUGGAAAUUAAAUUUGAAAAACGGAAUAUUGAAAAAUUGAACUUUAAUUAUUAGAAUUUCUAAAAUAAAUGAAUGGAAUAAUAAUAAUAAUAAUGAAAAUAAUAUUUAAAUGAAUGAAAGUGAAUAGUGGAAUUUUUUAGAUUGAAAAUUAAAUUUGAACGUCAGAUUUUUCAAGAAUUGGACUUUAGUGAUUGAAAUUUUUAAAAGAAAUAAAUAAAUAAAUAUGGAAUAACAAUAAUAAUUAACAAAAAUAAUAUUUAAACGGAUGAAAGUGAAUAGUGAAAUUUUUUAGAUUGAAAAUUAAAUUUGAAAGUUAGAUUUUUGAAGAAUUGAACUUUAAUGAUUGAAAUUUUUUAAAGAAAGAAAGAAAUAAAUAUGGAAUAAUAAUAAUAAUAAUGAAAAUAAUAUUUAAACGAAUGAACGUGAAUAGUGGAAUUUUUUAGAUUGAAAAUUAAAUUCGGAAGUCAGAUUUUUGAAGAAUUGAACUUUAAUGAUUUGAAUUUUUAAAAGAAAUAAAUAAAUAAAUAUGGAAUAAUAAUAAUAAUAACAAAAGUGAUGUUUAAACGAAUGAACGUGAAUAGUGGAAUUUUUUUAGAUUGAAAAUUAAAUUCGGAAGUCAGAUUUUUGAAAAAUUGAACUUUAAUGAUUGGAAUUUUUUUAAAGAAAUAAAUAAAUAAAUAUAGAAUAAUAAUAAUAAUUAACAAAAAUAAUAUUUAAAUGAAUGAAAGUGAAUAGUGGAAUUUUUUAGAUUGAAAAUUAAAUUUGAAAGUCAGAUUCUUGAAGAAUUGAACUUUAAUGAUUAGAAUUUUUUUAAAGAAAUAAGUAAAUAAAUAUGGAAUAAUAAUAAUGAUUAACAAAAACAAUGUUUAAAUGAAUGAACGUGAAUAGUGAAAUUUUUUUAGAUUGAAAAUUAAAUUCGAAAGUCAAAUUUUUGAAGAAUUGAACUUUAAUGAUUGGAAUUUUUUAAAGAAAUAAAUAAAUAAAUAUGGAAUAAUAAUAAUAAUUAACAAAAAUAAUAUUUAAAUGAAUGAAAGUGAAUAGUGGAAUUUUUGAGAUUGAAAAUUAAAUUUGAAAGUUAGAUUUUUAAAGAAUUGAACUUUAAUGAUUGGAAUUUUUUAAAUAAAUAAAUAAAUAAAUAAAUAAAUAUGGAAUAAUAAUAAUAAUUAACAAAAAUAAUAUUUAAAUGAAUGAAAGUGAAUAGUGAAAUUUUUGAGAUUGAAAAUUAAACUUGGACCUUGGAGAACUAGACCUAAAAUUAGAACCUUAGAAAAUUAUUUCAUGAAUGGAAACUUGGAAAACCGAUUUUUUUUUUUGUUUUUUUAAAAAGAAAACAAAGUUUAGGUAAAUUGAAUUUUCGAGAAUCAAAAUUUUAUAAAUCGAAUUUAAAAUUAAAUUUUAGAAAAUUAUUUCGAAAAUGAUAUUUUGUAUAAUUAAAUUUAAAAUCUUCAUAAAAAUCAUAUUUGUAUCAUUAGAAAAAGGACUUAAGAGGGCCAAAUACUUGGCCCAUUAGGGCCUACACUAAUCUGGCCUAAACUUAGAGGAUGGGGCUUAAGGCCCACCUGAACCAAUCUAGGCCCACAACUUAAAGCUUUGGGAGCCCACCAACAAAAUGGCUACCAUGAAGAUCAAAGGGUGCCACCUCCUCAUUUUUUAAAAGCUAGAGGGAUGGCUAAUGGGUAGCAGGUUAGCGGUGAAGAAUAGGGCCUGCAUGUCGAUGAUGGCUGUGAUGAAAUAGAGGAAUGGAGUGGGAGUUGCUGCCCAUGAACUACCGCGCGGGCAAGCGGACAAGAGCAUGGGUGCGGUGGAGGGCUUCGUCGUCUUCACCGCCAAGCGCCACUACCUUACCGCCACAAGUGCCGGAGGAGGUGAAACAGAAAGCGGAGAAGGGGACAACUGCUCCCCCGCCGACGCUAUCGUCCAUUUUAAUGACGACUCUUGGAGGCGAACCCAGCGGCACCUCUCUCGGCCAUUUUCACGAACCCUUCACGCUCUGCUCGGAGCUUCUUGAUGCUGCCUUUGAUGCGACUUUGGAGCUACGUCGGCGUGGCUGCGGGAGUGAGGAAGACUGCCACCUUAGGAUCUUUUGGAUCGAGCGGCCCAACCUUGGCUGUUAGGCGGUAGUUGUGUGGCUGUCCAUGAAGGAUGGGAACGUGGCAAUGGAGGAAAAUGGGUACAUAAAAAAAAAGGUGGGUAUGAAAGGUAGUGAAGGCAUGAAGGGUGUUUAACUUUGGAUUUGGGUCCAUGCGCGUGGAUAAAGUUGAUGGUGAGCAUAUGUUGGAGGGGGUUCUCGGUAGACAAGAGUCUAAGAUUUUCAUGGAAGUUUCAAAUGGAUCCUCAGGAACAGAGCAGGUUCCAAAGUCAUGCUAAAUUCAUUUUCUUGCUAUACCCGGUGGGUGAGGCGAACAACGAGCAUCCAUGCUAUUAAAUGAAUAUCAAAAUAAAUAAAAAAAUUUGAUACCUUACUCAUUUAUAAGAGAAAACGAAGAAGCGAAAAAGAAGAACAAAACAGAGCAAGUGAAGCGAGCUUAGGCUCAACAAGGUCCAAUCCUCAACAAGUGACGUUCAAGACCAGCAAUGGCAAAUGAGGAAGAAUAAAAAAUAAAAAUGAAAUGAAAUAAAAGAAAUCUGAAAGCAAAGGCAUCCAAUAUGGCCAUACCUGAGUUUCCCUAGUGAAGCUUUGUCUCGCUUCCUUUGACUGGUUUUUUUCUCCAGCUGCUUUCCCCCCUUCUGAAAAGUCCUUCGUUCGAGCUCACCCUUUUUUCUCUCUCCUCUCGUCUGGCUUCUCCUCCAAGCUAUUACCCACUCCCUUGUUCACCGAUCAGCAAGCAUGUCAUCUUCAACCACCACCAUGGCUAGCAAUGCUCCUUACCACCCAUCUAUGCAAUUGGUUCUCGGCAUAAGGAAGGGUUCCCCCACUCGUCUAAGGUGCUGCCCGCUCCUCCAGGUGGUGAGAAAGCAUCCUCCUAAUGCUAUAAAAUCCCUCAAAAAAACUAAUAGCCUUUAGUUUUUAAAAAGGGGUCUACACAUUUAUAAUUACUAAAUAAAUUAUUUUAAUAUACAAAUUAUUACUCUUUCUUUUUAAAUUGAUUAAUACUAAAAAAAAAUAUAUCUCUUAAUGUUGAAAUUUUUAUUGAAAUUUAAUUUUUUUUUUUAUUUUAUUCCUUUUACAAUGAAAUUUUAAAUUAAAUAUUAAUAUUUUUAAUUUUAAAAUUUAUAUAAUAAAAUUAAUUUAAAAAUUAAAAUAAAAUAUUUAGUAGUAUUUGGGCUUUGUAGUAUUGAAACUUUGGUAUAAGAAAUUUGAAAAUACUUCUAUAAUUAUUAAAAAAAAUUAGUAGAAUAAGAUAGUCCUUUCAACAUAAUUGAGACAUUAAAUUUUAAGCACUCUAAAAUUAUAAUCUUUACAAAUAAUAAAGAAGUUUUUGCAUCGAGACCAACUGAAUAUGAUUUGUAUGUUCUUAAUUUUCAUUUUCUUAUCUUUUAUCUUCCUAUACCUACAAGCCUAUUUAGAGAAAGACCUUUUAUUGAAAAAUGAGAGUUCAGAGUUAUUUCCCUUUGAAAAUAGAGUGGAUCGGAAGGUCUUUAUUAAAUAUAGGGUUUCUUCUAAAACGAGAUGAAGUAAAUUAGCAACUCUGAACAAUCUGAAGGAAAAGGAAUUUGAGUUAAGUUGAUGGGGCGUGCGACACUUUAUUAGGACUUUAAGAGAUAUUUUCUCUUUCACGCUAUCCUUUGAAAUUGAGUUGUGUCCGUUUUCAACUUAAUUUUUUGCUCUCUGUUUUUCUAAUGAAAAUAUAUCUUUUGUUGGGAGAAAAUAUUUUGUUGAAUAUAUAUAUUCAAAUGGAAGGUAAGCAAAAAAAAAUGAUAAAAAAUGGGUGUGAUGAAAUUUCAAAUUAUUGAUCAUCAUAUGUAUUUAACCUAAAUCUUAAAAAAGUGAAUGAAAUUAACUCGUUAAAUUUGUUCAAUACCACUUUUUAUAAAUAAUUUUUUAAUCAUGUAGCAUUCAAAACAAAAAACAUAUAAUUAACGAUAACAUGAAAUUAUUAAAAUAUUUAAAAUUAAAUAAUAUAAAGAAACAAUAAAAUGGUUCAUUUAUAUUGUUAGAACCAUUGUUUUAAAAACUGGUCACUCCGAUCGGUCGGAUGGUCCAUCAAUGCCCUUUCCAGUCUGAUCUAGGGAAAUGGACAGAGACAACUGACAAUCAGACCAUCGACCAUUCUUCAUGGACCAGUCAAGGUCAAAACCUAAAUGGCCUUGCCCAAAUCCAUUAAUUCCUAACCCGUUUGCUUGUUCCCAAGGUUAACUGACAUACCAUCGACCAUUCUUCAUGGACCGGUCAAGGUCAAAACCUAAAUGGGCUUUGCCCAAAUCCAUUCAUUCCCAACCUAUGUGCUUGUUCCCAAGGUUUGUAAGUAUAAAUACCCAUCUAUUGGCCCAAAUUCAUUAUUUCAAGCCCAUUUGCUUGUUCUCAAGUUCUACAGGUAUAAAUACCCUAUAAGUGGUUUAUAGAUUUCCAAUGUGGGAUGAGUUUUGAUAAUAAUGAAAGGAGCUUUGCAUGGUGGGGAAUUGAACCUAGGACUUAUUUUUAACAAAAUGUUAGCACACCACUAUGUUACAAAGCUAUUUGAUUAAUAAUUUGAUAAAUAUCUAUAUAUCUGUUUUUUAAUUUCUAUCAUAUAAAACAUUUAAACAAAUAUAAAUAUUUAUAUCUACUAUUAUUUUUAUAAUAAUUAUACAUAUCCUAUUUAAUAAAAUUUAAUAUAUUAAUACAUUUAUAUUUAUAUUUAUCAUUUAAUUUGACAAAUUGAACAUAAAAAAUAAAAUAUUAUUAAAAUUUUUAAUAAAAUAUAUUUUAAUUUAUUUUAAUUUUAUUAAAAUAUAAAUUAUAUAUUUAUAAUGUCAUCGAUUUGAUCGCGGUUUGACCACUGGUUCAACUAGUGAACCAUGAACUGGUAACUUUUUCGGUUCAAUAUUCGAUCCAAUUUUGAAAACAUUAGUUAAAACUUUUUUAUUUAUAGAAAAUGGUAAUAUGCUUUAAAGUUGUAGGAUGUUAAAAGCCCAAAUACAUGCCUACAUAUUUUCUUAUUUAUCUCCUAGUAUUUUUACCAAGUGAUAGAUAUAUUGGUGGCCAAGCAUUAUCAUCAUCAUUAUUUAUCUCCUAACAUCUUUAUGAAGUGAUAGGUGUAGGAAGAGUGUAAAUAAUUUUUAUUUUUAUUUUAUUUUAUUCUAUUAGUUUUAUAUUUUUUGGGAAGAGUCCUAUUGGGAAUUAUUUUUAUUUUAUUUUAUUCUAUUAGUCUUAUAUUUUUGGGAAGAGUCCUAUUGGGAUUGUGCUAGUGGAGUCCCAUUCCUUUUAUAAGUAGAAUCCUCUUCCACUUUGAGUUAUCUUUUGAUUACAAGCAGAUUCCCAUUAGGAUUGUGUUAAUGACCUAUAAAAGCAGGUCACCUUUUGCUCUCUAUAUGCCAAUACCAAUUUUUCAAAGAAUUUUUCAGAGCGUUUUUCAACCAUCUAUUUGGAUGAAUUUUUUCAAAAACCCGAACUGUAUACAUCUCACUUACAGAAUGCACCCAAGGCGACAUCUAGGUGUUGAAUCCCGGAGAUAGACCAUUGGUACCCUAGUGUACCGAAUUUGUCUUCGAGUAGGAUGAAUCUAUUUCAAGGACAGUGUUUGUCAUGCCUCAUUCGAUAAGUUUUUCUUCUUAUUAAUUAUGUUCUUUGUUUGUGUCUUUUGGGCUAGUCAUUUGUUUCCAUACCCUUAAUCCAACAAUCUUGAAAUAUAUCCAAAUGUAAGCUUCUCUAGUUCACACCCAUCCUAACACCUCUAAAAUUGAUCCCUUCAAUGGGACAUUCUUUAAGAGAUGGCAGGAAAAGGUUUUCUCUACAAUUGAUGUAGUGAACUUAGGACACAUUUUGACUGACCGAAUACCAAAAGAUAGUUCUCAUUUGUUACCAACCUGGGAAAUUGGAAAUAAACAAGUUAGGCAUGCUAUUCUAAGUACCCUUUCUAAUGAACUUUUUGAUAUUUAUUGUCAAUUUAAAGUUGUAAAAGAAAUUUGGGAUGCAAUGAAUAAAAAAUAUAGUUUGGAAGAUACAGGAACUCAAAAAUAUGCCAUAGAGAAUUUUAAAAAUUUCCAAAUGACUGAGGAUAGAGAUGUAUCAUCUCAAAUCCAUGACUACCACUUGUUGAUUAAUGACUUAGCUAUUGAAGACAUUAAAUUACCCGAACCUUUUGUAGCUGGUUAUUUAGUAGAGACUUUUCCAGAGUCUUGGAAAGACUACAAAAAUAACAUGAAACAUAAAAGGAAACAAAUGUCCCUAGAGGAUGUCAUAAUCUAUAUUAAGAUUGAGGAACAAAACCGAAAUAGGGAUAAUGCUGAGAAAGUUAAGGACUUGUCUUCUAAGGCUAAUGUAGUAGAAGAAAAACCUAAACCCAAAAACAAUAGGUCCAGGAAACAAAACUCUAGGAACAAACCCAAUGCAUCAAACAAGAUCCAAAACCCAAUUAUUAAAAAGAAAAAGAAAAAGUAAGGAUCUUGUUUGACUCUAAUAAAAUAGUUUUAACCAAGAAUGAUGCAUUUGUGGGGAAGGGCUAUUGUAAUAAGGGUUUAUUUAUGUUGAAUGUUUAUGAUAUUAUCAAUAAUAAUGCAUCUUCUUCUUUUUCUGCUUACAUAGUUGAUUCUUGUGAUAUUUGGCAUGGUAGACUAGGACAUGUGAACUUUUCAUAUAUGAAGAAAAUGGUUGAAUUGAGUUUAAUCCCUAAAUUGUCCUUAGAAAACCAUGGAAAAUGUGAAUCUUGUGUAGAAUCUAAAACCACAAAGAAAUCUUGCAAAUCAGUUGAAAGAGAAUCAAAUGUACUAAGUUUAAUACACAGUGACUUAGGAGACCUAAAAAAUACAAUGACUAGAGGUGGUAAACGAUUCUACAUAACUUUCAUAGAUGACUACUCAAGGUAUACAAGGGUAUAUCUUUUGAGAAACAAAGAUGAAGCAAGAUAUGCUUUCAUCAAGUACAAAAAUGAAGUGGAAAAUCAACUAAGUAAGAAAAUUAAAAGACUUAGAACUGAUAGGGGAAGAUAGUAUGAGUCCAACCUCUUUAAUUCUUUUUGUGAAGAUCAUGAGAUCAUUCACAAAAAUACUCCUCCUUAUUCUCUUGAGUCUAAUGGAGUAGCAGAAAGGAAAAAUAAGACCUUAAAAGAAAUUAUGAAUGCAAUGUUGGUAAGUUCAGGAGCACCCUUGAACUUAGGGGGGAAGCUAUCCUAUCUGCAUGUCAUAUUCAAAAUAGAAUACCUUAUAAGAAAACUGGAAAAACUCCUUAUGAGUUGUGGAAGGGUUAUGCACCUAAUAUAGCAUACCUGAAAGUGUGGGGGUGUUUAGCUAAAGUUCUUUUCCCUGAACCUAAAAAAUGAAAACUAGGUCUUAAAACCUUUGAUGCAAUGUUCAUUAGCUAUGCUGAGAAUAGUGCGACAUAUAAGUUUCUUGUUACUAAGUCAGAAAACAGUCUUGUAGAUGUCAAUACUAUUAUGGAAACAAAGAAUGCAGAUUUCUUUGAAAACAUCUUUCCUAUGAAACUAAAUGGUGAACAACAAGUUUAGAAAACAAGUAGAGACAAGUCUAUUGAACCUUCUGAAUUUGAACCUAGAAGGAGUAAAAGUGAUAGGAAAGAAACAAACCUUGGAGAUGGUUUCUACACCUUCCUAAUAGAUGAGGACCUUAAUCCUACAAAGAAGCUAUAACUUUUCCUAAUGCGCCAUUUUGGAAAGAGGCCAUUAACAGUGAAAUCGAAUCAAUCAUGUAUAACCAUACGGGGAGUUAGUAGAUUUACCUCCUGGUACAAAGACUAUUGGUUGUAAGUGGAUCUUUAAAAGAAAGUUAAAAUAAGAUGGGUCCAUAGAGAAGUAUAAAGCUCAUUUAGUUGCCAAAGGCUUUAAACAAAGGAAAGAUGUAGAUUACUUUGACAACUUUGCCCUUGUGAAUACAAUAGCAUCAAGUAGAGUAUUGAUCACUCUAGCUUCCAUUCAUAAUUUGGUUAUACACCAAAUGGAUGUUAAGAUUGCAUUCUUGAAUGGGGAUUUGGAAGUGGAAAUUUAUAUGGAACAACUUGAGGGUCGUGUAGUUCCAGCGAAGGAGAAAAAGGUGUGUAAGUUGGUUAAAUCACUAUAUGGGUUAAAACAAGCUCCCAAACAGUGGCACAACAAGUUUGAUCAUGUGUUAGUAACUAAUGGAUAUUCCAUUAAUGAUGCUUAUAAGUGUAUCUACAGUAAGUAUGAGGAUAACACAUGUGUAGUCAUCUGCCUUUAUGUUGAUGACAUGCUGAUCUUUGGAACUAGCCUAGAGGUUGUGUGUGAGACCAAGAAAUUCCUAGGUCCUAAGUUUGAUAUGAAAGACCUAGGAGAGGCAGAGGUGAUUUUAGGAAUUAAAAUAACUAGAACACCUAAUGAGCUUAAACUUUCUCAAGAGCACUAUGUAGAAAAGAUCCUAAGGAAGUUUGAACGCUUUGAUUGUAAACUAGUGUCAACUCCUUAUGAUCCCAGCUCACUACUGAAGAAAAAUAAAGAACAUAGUGUUGCCCAAAUAGAGCAUGCUCAGAUCAUAGGGGACCUAAUGUACUUGAUGAACUGUACUAGACCUAACAUUGCUUAUGCAAUAGGUAGAUUGAGUCGAUACACCCAAAGUCCUAAUCAGGACCAUUGGACUAUUGUUCGUAGAGUCCUUAAGUAUUUGAGAGGCACCAUUAGUGAUUUAGUGGAUUUCCAAGUGUCCUUGAAGGAUUUAGUGAUGCAAAUUAGAUCUCGGAUUCAGAUGUGAUGAAAUCCACUAGUGGAUAUGUUUUCAUAUUUGGUGGAAGUAUAGUUUCUUGGAAGUUUACCAAGCAAACUUGCAUUACUCGGUAUACUAUGGAGGUUAAGUUAAUUGCCUUAGAAAAGACAAGUUUUGAGGCUGAGUGGCUUGAAAACCUCUUAGCAGAUAUCCCUUUAUGGACGAGACAAACCUCGCCUGUGUCUAUGCGUUGUGAUAGCCAAGCUACAAUUGCUAAGGCUAAGAGUAAAAUAUUUAAUGGGAAGAAUAGGCAUAUAUGGCUAAGGCACAAUAUUGUGCGGUAGCUUCUUGAAACGAAUUUGUGAGGUCAGAGUUGAAUUUGGUCGAUCCUUUGACCAAACCACUAAAUAAGAAACUAGUGGAAGAAACAUUGAGGGGGAUGGGGCUUAUGCCUAUUACAGAAGUUAAGAGUGGUGGUAACCCAACCUAUUAGAAUGGAAAUUCCAUGAAGUAGGUUCAUAUGGGUAAUAACAAAUCACUUGUUGACUUGAGGUGCUAUAUCAACUCUAAUUGUAUGAGGGUCUAUCCCUAUGGUGUAGAUAGAGCGUAUUUUGCAUUGAUUAAGGUUGAGUGUUUACUCUUAAUGAAUACCAUAUUCCUUAUGGAUGGUAUGUUUAAAUGCAUAACAUACUUGAUGGAUUCACCUAUAUGAGAGUGGAGCCGGGGCCGCUUCCUAUGAGAACUUAGGUAGUUUCUCUAGAACUCUCAUGAAUAUCCAGGUAGGGCGCAUGGCCUAUUUGUGCCAACCCAUUUUGUACAACUCGUAGUGUAAUUGAGAAAACCAAUGUGGAUAAAAGUUCAUUGAGUUACAUCAAGAAACACUGGUUCAUAGAAAUUUAUUUUCACCCUGUUUUGUGAUUCAAUACCUAUUUGUCUUAAGACUAGUUCAUAGCCUUUGGGUACCAGUACUAAUGCAUUGGAUUUUUUUUCCUCAAAAAAUAAAUAAAUAAAUAAAUAAUCACGUUUACACUUUGUGGGGGAUUGUAGGAAAAGUGUAAAUAAUUUUUAUUUUUAUUUUAUUUUAUUCUAUUAGUCUUAUAUUUUUGGGAAGAGUCCUAUUGGGAUUGUACUAGUGGAGUCCCAUUCCUUUUAUAAGUAGAAUCCCCUUCCACUCUGAGUCAUGCUCUGAUUACAAGUAGAUUCCCAUUGGGACUAUGUUAGUGGCCUAUAAAAGCAGGUCACCCCUCGCUCUCUAUAUACCAAUACCAAUUUUUUAGAGAAUUUUUUUAGAGAGUUUUUCAAAUAUUCUUUUCAUACAUCUAUCUAGACGAAUUUUUUCAAAAACCCGAGCUGUACACAUCUCGCUUACAAAGUGCACCCAAGGCAAGAGCUGGGUGUUGAAUCCUGGAGGUAGACCACUGGUACCUUAGUGCACCGAAUUUGUCUUCGAGGAGGGUGGAUCUAUUUCAAAGACAAUGUUUGCCACACCUCAACCGACAAGGCGGCACAACGUGCACAACCAUUUUUUGAUUUUUCUUUGGGAAUUUUGCUUUGUUUAGGAACUUUGCUAAAAUGGGCACUUGACCUUGAUGAACAUUUUUCCUAGAUGGACACUCGGCCUUGGUGGGCAUUUUACCUAGAUGGGUGCUUGGCCUUGAUGGACAUUUUGCCUGGAUAGGCACUUGUUCUUGAUAGGUAUUUGCUUAGAUGGGCAUGUCACCUUGUUGGGCACUUGGCCUUGAUAGACAUAUCAUCUAGAUGGGCAUUUUGCCUUGAUGGGCACUUGGCUUUUAUGAGCAUUUUGCCUAGAUGGGUAUUUUACCUUCUUUGAUCUUUCAUAGGUUGGAACUCUAUAGGUGGUGGGGUUGUGUUUUGGGUUGUAUUUUCCAGGCACACAUGUGUAGGGGUAGGGAAAUGCUGCAUUUCCUCCUGGUUUUAGCUCUAGAUGUGCUUAUUGCCAUGCACACAUGUAAGUAUUGUUCUGCUUCUUCUUCUUGUGUUUAAGGGUAAGUUGAGUUUUUUUUCGUACUCUUACAUUUUCUCUCCAUCUUUCUUUGUCUUUAUUUUGUUGUGCAGAUGAAGUGUGGCAUCAAGGAUUUUAGUAGGCGGAAAGGUGAGCUUCACUACCACGUUGCUGAAACUGACCAACUGAGGUAAGUCAGGUACUUUUUUUGCAGCUAAAGCUUUUGGUUGGGUGCUUUCUUGGCACUUGACGAUUUGACCGAGUGCUUCUUGGAACCUAAGGCUAUGGUCGGGUGCUGUUCGGCACCUAAGACUUUUUGGUUGAGUGCUUUUUUGGCACUUAAGGCUUUGUUGGGCUCUAUGCUUGGCUGGGUACUACUUAGGCACCCUAGGCUUUGUUGGGCACUAGGCCCAACUGGAUGCCACUUAGGCACCUUAGGCUUUAUUGGGCUUUAAGCCUGGUUAGGUGCUACUUGGGCACCGUAGGCUUUGUUGAGUGCUAGGCCUAGCUAAGUGCUACUUGGGCACCCUAGGCUUUAUUGGGCUUUAAGGUUGGUCAGGUGCUACUUGGGAACCUUAGGCUUUGUUGUGCUCUAGGCCCAACUAGGUGCCACUUUGACACCUUAGGCUUUAUUGGGCUCUAAGCCUGGUUAAGUGCGACUUGGGCACCUUAGGCUUUAUUGGGCACCCUAGGCUUUAUUGGGCUCUAAGCUUGGUCGGGUGAUAUUGGGCACCUUAGGCUUUAUUGGGCUUUGGACUUAGCCAGGUGCUACUUAGGCACCUUAGGCUUUGUUGGGCUCUAGGUCUGGUCGGGUGCUACUUGGGCACCCUAGGCUUUAUUGGGCUUUAGCCUUGGCUGGGUGCUACUUGUGCACCUUUGACUUUGUUAUGCUCUGGCCCUGAUCAGGUGCUACUUGGGCACUUUAGGCUUUGUUAAGCUCUAGGCUUGGCCGGGUGCUACUUAGACACCUUAGGCUUUUAAAGUCUAAUGCUUCUUUAUACCUAAGGUUUUUUUUUUUUUUUUUUUUUUUUUUUUUUUUUUUUUUUUGCGGUCAUGCGAUGCGUAACAUAUUUGAUUUGAAAAAUACAACAGUUGACGAUAUUGCUUCCCCAUUUGGGGAUCUUUGCUUUUAGAUGGAUUAGGCCAUUUGGUAAGAGUAGGAAGUUCUUCUUUGGUAGAUCCACCAGCGCCUCUUUGUCCACUGAUAGUGUCUAGGCAGUUGCAUUGAGUCAGGCCACCAAGAUCUAGUUCUCCCUUUUGAUUCGGUUAACAAGUCUUCUCAGUUUGUCCAACUACCUUCGAUACUUGUUAGCUACGGUUCAGUUGUUUGUUGUGGCCACUCAUAAGUUGUUGGGAUGACACUCUCACCAUCAACAUAGUUAGCUGCCAAUGUAGUCACCAUGGUUGGCUUUUGUUUCAUUCCCAUAGAUGAUGCCAAUUGUUGGUGCACAAUCUUUCUAGAUGUGAUGAUUUGGUGACUAUCCGGGUCGCUAUCCAAUCUUCUAUUGUCACCUCCUCUAUUGGUGGGUGUCUUGGUUCUCUAGGAAAAUGAUAUUUUUUUUCCUUGUUCUUCUUUCUCCUUUAUAGGUUAGAGUUAGACGUUGGAGGUUGUGUGGAGUACACGAUUAGCUUGGCAGGUUUGUGUUAGGCAGUGUGUGGUCGACUAUCCCUAACGCUUCAUGUUGAUGUGACAAGAUGAUGUUUUCCUUAGAGAUUUGUUCCUCAUACAUGUCUUGUUGUUGCCUUUGGUAUUCAUGCCACAUGAUCCAUGUUGGCAGCCUAAAAACUUCUUCCCAGUGACCAAUUUUUUAGUUCUUCUAGGAUCAGUUGGAGUGGGCUCUCGGAUCACUAUAGGUUUAAAUAGAGUCGGGAUGACUUCUCGAUCGGGAGACAAUAUUCAGCCGAUACAACAUCCGGGUACCCCUUCUUGGCAAAAUUCGGCACCCUCAGGAGGCAGCUUUUAUAGCGAAAUCUGCCACCCCCGACCCGAGUAAGCAGGUAGACCCACAGGUUGGCUGGCUUCUAUGGUUUGUACCUCCAAUUAUAAUGGAAGUAUAAAUUUUAAAAAGAUUCAGUGAUUGUAGGAUUCAAUUCUAAUGCUCUUAUAGUAGCCAAGGGUCCUCGGACUCAUGGUAGCACACAGACAUGUCCUCUUCUAUCUAUGCAAAUAGUCAUGCAAAAUACAAAUAUUCCCUCAUACAUUCUUAUAGUUUUACAUGUAUAUGAAUUUAAUUAUUUUAUGUUCUGACUAGUGAGUAGAAAGUGAGUUAAGGUCUCCGACAACAAGGUCUCCAAGCAACCAUAUUUCCCCAUUUUAACCUCGCUACUGCCAUUGAUGCGGUAGUAGAGUAUAACUGGCACAUAUAGAUAUGCCAGAAGAGCAAUCGAGAGCAGAUAGCUUCAAAUUCUGAAUGUGAGGUUCAGUUGGAGACUGGUUUUAUUAGCCUUUUAGAUAUGAUUUGAACCUCUAUUUUAGACAAGAACUUGGAGCUUCUGAAUAUAUGUAGUACAACUCCUUUGGUCAUGUAUAUAUGUGCAUAUUGCGUUGAGAUAGACAACAUACAAUCACUUGGCAACACAAUAUUAAAACUUUCAGAAUAUCACAAAAUUUGAUUGAUGUCAAAGACUCAUUCUGGACAUUUAGGAUAGGAGGUUACAAUAAAGCCAUUAACUGUACACAUAAGUUCAUUUGCAAGAAUUGGGAACCAAUUUAGAAGGUCAAGUAUAUUCGCUGUCAACAAGAAUGACGCCCUCCGAUUUAAGAUCUCUACUGAGGAGGAACCCAGUUUGAUCAAGAUUCUAGGAUCAAACAACAGAGUCAAAGUCAAAUCAAGAGCAACGUUCCAACUUGUCAUGAAGACCAAGAAUAGUAAUUGCUUUUGAGCAAGCAGUGAAAUUAUUUGCAAUCAGACAAUCAUCUUCUUCUUCAAGAAAUGCUGUAAUGAAAUUCUUACCAGUUGUGUCUGAUUCUUCGAAACAUGAAGUUAGCAAACAGAUUGUUCAUAUAUAAUGUCAGUUGGCAUAAAUGUAGUGUUCAAUCACCAAGCCACAAAGAUGAUACAACAGAACAGUUGCAGCAGGAAAACUUGGUUGUUUAUUCAAAAUCAAGUAAAUCUCUAGGUCCCUCAUACCACGAUUGCUCCCAAUAUUUAGGUCUUGGCGUAGACAAUUCCUUUCGUGUCUAUGUGGACAGAACAAUGCUUGGUGUUCUAGUUGUUGUCUUUCACCAUGGUCUAUAGAAAAAAUGUCCAGAAAAACAACUAAUGAUCAGUAGAAGUGUAAAAGGGAAGAAAGAAAACUACUGAUAGAUUGGAUCAUGACAGAUAUUUAUUUUUCCUAAAAGAAUGUAAAUGUAUGGUUGCUCUUUGAGUACAGCUCUCUACAGCACAAAAAUAAGGCAAUCAAAUGAAACAAACCAAGAAAACAACAAUAUUAAAAGAGUUAUGAAAUAUCACCAGAUGAGAUCCAACAGUAAAUUAAGAAACUUUAUAUAAUCUUGUUUACCUUAGGGCCAUGUCUGGAGGAGUUCCAAUUGUAGGCCUAGGGCCAAUGUUGAUAGGCACAUGCCCAGAUCUUAGACACCCUCAAGAUGAACAGUAGCAGCUACUCUAGGCGCUCCUACUGCACAGGCAAAAAACAAGUUAGUCAAUGUUUCUUGGCUAUUGGCUUUGGCUUGGACCUUGGUGGUUAUGUCAAUUUUAGAUAAAUAUGUUAAUAAUCCAAUGACUAUACUCCAAGAUUGAUGAUAUAUAUGCAAUAUAUCAAUUUGGAAAUGUCGAUAUAAACAUUUAAGGAAUUUAAAUUAGUCAAUUUUCAACAAUCUAGCAUUCAAAAGUGUACAAAAUGGUUAUAACUUGAAAGUUUGAAUAUAAACUGAGGUACAAUAUUCCUAUAGGCUCAAGUCUCCCUAGAACAAGGCAUCACAUCACAUAUUUAUGUGGCCUUAUGUUUGAGGUAAGCACCUUAUCUAUUGGCGAGUUCAUCAAUAAUAAGCUUUUUGCAAGAAAUUGGAGACCUAAAAUUACUCUAAUACUUCUUUUAUUGAACAUUAAAUUUUCUUAAAAGUGUUAUCGAUUAUCAAACAUUUAUAUCAAUGGUGGAAACUAGUUUGCUACCAAAGUGAAGGUCAAAGUCCUAAUUAUCAUUUCACUAAACAAUGUAAUAUAGUAUUAUACAAUUAUUGCUUUUAAAAGAAAAUUUACAAGCUAACUAGCGAAAUUUAUGAUUAUACCUUUUUCCGACUUCACUCACGCCAUUGAGCUUUAUAAUUUGAUGAAACAAGCCUAAAUCAAAAUUAUACAAAAAAAAAUAAAGAAUUGGAGAAAACAAACUUGUAAGCACUAAAUUUUGUACUUUAAAAGAGGAAAUAGGAUGCCAAUUGUAGGUUUAAUUUAAAGAAACCUUAAAAAAAUAUUUUUAAAAUUAUAGGAAAACCCCCAUACCUUAGAAAAGAUUGGGGCGAACAGUCUACCUUUUGGCGAUGUUCACAUCUUGAGAGGAAUGACUUCUUUCUUAGUAGAUCUGAUGAUGGUGUUGAUCUUUGGGAAGAGAUGAUUAGAAGGCUACGUUGAAUUUUAGUGAGUGAGAGAGAAAGCAACACCCAAAACCCUAAAGCAAAAAAGGAAUUAAUAACUUAAAUAGAUUCCAUUUUUUCCUUAUGACAUGUCUACCUUAGUAAGGUUUUUAUGGCAGUGAUACCAUUUGGAUAAUUAAGUCAUUGAUUUUGAUGGAUCUUUUCCAUUUGAAUUUUUAAUAUAUAAACUUAAUCUUUUUACUUGGGGUAAUAUAUUUGGUAUUUUAGGAUUUCCUUUUUAAUAAUAUGCUUUUAGUAGAUGGUUUAACUAUGUCCUAGUGUAAUAAGUAGUCUUGCAUUACAUUAUCUACUAUGGAGUAGGAGUGUGUUGCUUGUUCAAGGGAUGUAUGGGAAGUUGUUUAUUUGAUGAUAUACUUUCAACACUUAGAGUCACGACUUGAGCUAAUAAGUUUAUCAAGAUCUAAGCAUUGAUGGUGUUGCUACUCUAUUGUAUAGCAAGGAUCCAAUUAGUCACAUUGUAGGACAAAACACUUAUAGACAAUUGAUUCUACUACAUUCAAGAUAUUGUUGCUUAAGGGGAGGUAGAGUCAAAACAAGUAGACAAUUGAUACAACUACACACACAACAUAGAGACAAAACACAUGAAUAAUACUAUGGUUGAAUAAAUUAAUUGGAUGACAUCAAGCUAACAUUGAUCUAGUAUAAUUAUUUGGAGCCUAAAUGAGGGUAUGAUGAGAUGAUAAUUAUUUUGUCAUCAACAUAGUGAACAACAUAAAUUAAAAUCUUGAAAUGUCACCUUAGCCAACCUAGUAGAAAUGAUUCAUCAAAAUAUUUGAAUGUGAGAUCUUAAAUUGGUGUUUGACAAAUAAAUAUGGUAAUAAACAUAUAUUAAGUAUAUAUGAAGUGACCAAGCUGAGAUUUGUAUCAUGUUAUUAUAGGGAAUCCCGAAUCUCUUUGUUCCUUAUCCUAUGAUUAGGCUAGGUACAUGCGAAUCUUUCUAAGUUUUUCUAAAUCGUAUGAACAAUGGAAAAAUUGUGUUUUAAAAUAAUAACAAGAUUUAGAAUUUGCAUUAGAAAACAUUACCUUAGAUUUGGAUGUUCCCAAAUCUAAUUCACGUAGUAAAGGAGAAGAUUGAAGUUUUCAGAGGUCUUGAACACCCAAGAUCUUCCACCAGAUGACUUUUCCUUGAUUUUAGAUCUUAAUUGGUGAAGAGGAAGGAAGACUAAAAAGGCUAUGGUUCUCUCUCUCUUUGAAUAGUGAAAAAUGGCUCACUUCAAAAAAGUAAUGAAAACCUUAUUAUUUAAGGGGUAUUUAUUGGGUUCCCUAAUUGGGUGUAAGUGACUUAAGCGUACUAAAGGUUUGAAUCAUUUAAUUUAGCUCAAAAUGAGUCUUAAUUGAUUAAUUAACCUAACAUAGUUAUCUAAUUAAUUAAUUAGCUAAAUUUGGAGACUUUGUUCACUUACCCCUAUGCAACCUUGCAUAAUUACCAAAACACCCUUAUACGUAAAAGUGAACCAAGAGUUGUGUCAUCAAGGUAUAUGAGCUUAGGUGGAGACCAUUGAGACUUAUAGGACAGUACUAGCUACCCCAAAAUCUAAUUUUGAAGUUGAUUUAACAUUUCACUAUAGAGAAUCAAUUGCACUAUAAUACCUUAUGUAAAUAACAAUGAGAUGCUAAGUGGUCGAGCCCAUGACUUAUUAUCCAUUGCAUUCAGUCUCCCUAUGAACUGGUGUUUGUAGUCUAAUAAGGUGAAAACUAUCAACCUUUCAAGACUACCUCUACUAUCUUUGAAUUACAAAUCCUCUUAUUAUGUAUUUAAUUGAUAUAUCUUAAGUCUCCAAGAGUCUAUGUCAAGUUCCAUUUAAGAAACUACUAUGACCAUAGUUUACAUGAACAUACCUCCUUAGGAUCACUUAAGGGGACACUCUGUCUCAAUCCUCUUAGAUUUCAUGGUACUUCUGUUACAAAUACUCAUUGUCAUAGACUUGGAUCAAUAGUGAACCAAUCCAUAAGGAACAUAUCUUACGAUUUCAUUAGUAGGUCAAAGUCACUACUAACUUUAACACAAAUUCUAUAUUCUCUCAAGGUUAAGAGAUAAAACAAUGAAGCAACUUGGUGAAAUCAUGACUAUUUAAUAGCUUUAUGUCAUGAUUCACCAUAAGUCUUGUCUAAUGUGUAACCAUAUGCACUAGUAUACUCACCAUGGAAAACCCAUCCUGAUAACCAAGACCAACCAUUCCUCUAAAUAUGAAGUAGCAUACUAUAACCUCUAAUGGGUUACCUAGGCCUAUGAAUCGGUUGUGAACAAGUCAUUUACUUACAAUGAAUCCAUUUCUUAAAUUUUUUUUGCAACUCUUAAUGCACUCAAGUCCUGUACAAUACAAGAUAUAUAUAUUAAAAUGCUUACAAGGUAUAAUGUAUAGGAUUAGGAUAAAUAAAAGUGAACUAAAAGUUUAUUAAUAAAUAAUAAAAUUUUAAAUUUAUUACAUCGUGUCAUGCUUUUAUGAAACCUUUAAAAUACUAAGAGCAACCUUUCAUAAUCAUGAAUUAAACUUUAGUUUCAACUUCUAUCAAAGGCUAAAUGAGAAAAGCUAUCAUAGAGGAGGCCUCAGCCAAUGGGUAAGAUGCACUGUUAUACCAAACAAUAAGUGGAAAAUACAAUUUUAUUAAUACUUGAGAAAAAAAAAAAGAAAGAAAUAAAAGGAAGAUUUUACACUCAAACCAAGCAUUUAUUUAUAAUGAAGUGCAGUCUCCGUACGCACAUGUGGACUUAUUGGAAAAUCAUACAAAUUAUUGAAGGACGACCUUAGCUAGGCUAACAGUCUCCUAAAUAGGCUAUCUUUUAUAUAUCUUUGCAUUCAUCCAUCUCCUCAUUGUCUUUGAUUUUAGAUGGUGAGGAUGUGAAAGUAACAGGAAGCAGUGGACAAUUGUUCACAGUGAGGCUUAGCACAUCAGCUCUCGAAUAAUGUCCUACCACAUCGAACUGGAACUUUGCUUUAGGAAUCUCUCCACGAACAUCUACAUAUCAAGUGAUCACAAAAAUAUUUCAUCGGUCCAUGAUAAAUAUCAUAGAAUAUCAAGUCUUCGAUAAAACUAAGUUUGCAGUCCUCUUAAACCUAAAGAAUCAACUCAUUUGCCUUAUCUGCAUACUGAAAUAUUUGGAUAUAUAAUUGGAGAAGUUAGGGCCAUACCAAGAUCAGCUGUGAAGAGGCCUUCUCCUUCAUAAUUCGGUCCUGCUAGAAUUUCGCCAUGGGGCGAAAUGAUGACACUACCUCCAGCCCAAACAAUAGAAUCUGGAGUGACAUCUUCUUCUGUAGGACUGUAAAGAUACUCAGGUGGAGGUGGGUAAUCUUUCCUCCGACAGAACUGGAUGGGUGAAAGAACAUAGCAUCCACCCUCAAUAGCGACGUGUCUCAUUGUAGCUACCCAUGUAUCCCCGGAAUCGGCAGUAGGAGCACAAUAUAUCUCAAUACCUAUAGAGAUGUACAUUCGUAUUUUGUGAUCAAUCAAUCCCAUAUCAAAGCCAUAAUGUAUUUCAAGCCUAUUUAUAGGCUAAAACCCUAACAACUUAAAAAAGAGUACUGAAGUAUUUCAAGCCAAACCAUAUUAGUUAGUGAAGAAAAAGACAUACCUUUGCCAUACAUUGAUGUCCUGAAAAGCGGCAUUCUAUUUUCCCAACAAAUGACCGAACCAAGUUUUCCAUAUGGAGUAUCAUAAACUGGAGUAGUCGAGCAAUCUCCGAAACCCCAGAACAGCCGCUCCCAAUAUGUUGGCAUGAGUUUCCUAUGUUUUCCAAGGUAAUUACCUUCAGGAUCAAAGAAGAGAACAGUGCAAUACAAUGUGUAUCCAUCUCUCUCAACAACACCUGUCACUAAGUAGACUUUGUAUUUCGCAGCCAUUGAUGCCAAUCUAUCCACUUCAGGUCCUGAAAAUACAUUAAUAUGAGAUCAAAGAUGAAAUAUGUAAGCUGAUGGCUCAUCACAAAGCAUAAGUAGAUUUUUUUUUUCUUGGUUCAUUCAUCAAACGUGUCUUGUUUCAAUAACUAAUUAAGUGGUUCAGUUCUUUGGCUAUUUAAGGGAGAAAGAGAGAGGUAACUGACCCGGCACAUUAAUGGCAGAAGCAUGGUACUUGCGGAAACUUUCUUUCCCUCUUGGCGACUGGUCGGCGAAAUUGUAUCCCCGGGGAUACCCACCGAUAAAUGCUUCAGGAAACACAACCAGUUGGGAUCCUAGUGCAGCUGCUUCUUUCAAAAACCUCUCAGCCUUAUCUGCUCUCAAAAUCACAUUGCAAGAAUUAAUAAUCCACGACUUAGUAAAUUAAUUGGUUGAAUGGACAGAAUGAAAAUUAACUUCAAGAGAUCCCGAAUGACUUUUUGGUUGCUGAGAAAACUCAAGGAAAAAGAGACCUAGAUGAAACUUGAAACUCUCAUAUUUUCAGCUGUUUUGUAACUAAGAAAAGAGAAACCACCUCAACCCAACUCAUUAAAAUAAUUGUAAAAGCAGUAAUUCCUUGAUUGGCAGCUGAAAAUAUGAUCAGGGUUCAAUCAUCCUUUUCUUUUUUUCAGUCUCUGAGCAACCAAUUAGAUCACAUAUUCCAUUACACAAGUUGAACAAUUGAAAGAAAUGGUACGUUACCUAGAGUGGCAGGAGUAUCAUAAAAGAUACUAGAAGCUUGAACAACGGUGGCUCUAACAGUUGAAGACAUUGCAGAAAUCGUAUGCUUUUUCGUUUCCCUUUUGUUUGAGGAUUCCUUACACAACGUUCAGUAUAUAUAUUGCCCAUGAACAUGAGGUUCUUCUGCCAUUACUUGAACGAGACGAAGAGGCUGUGAAAAGUCUACCUUGGUUUUCUAUAUUCAUUGUGAGCUUUUCUCCUCAUCACAAAUUUUGAAGUUAUCCGCAGACAUUGUGGACCAGCCACAUGACUUGUACAAAUUGAAAAUGACUGUAAGAAAAUGACUCAGCCAAUUCAAGAUAUUUGUCAUUAAAAGAAUAGUCAUUAAAAGCACAAGAUAUUUGUCAUUUUUUUUUUUACAAAAACGACUGAGUCGUACAUAGUGUUAUGGUUAUAGACGCCCAAAAGAAGUCUUUUUGUGCCUUGUAAGAAAACCUUAGCCAAUUCAAGAUGACCACAGAAUCAAAAUAAGUUUUAUCGCUUUCUUUUUUUUCUACAGGUACGAUGAUUAUCUUUGAACGAAAAGAGGGAGCCGCCCACAUGCACAUAAAAAGGGAGUAAUGAGUGAUUCAAUGGCAGCUAUGGUAGAAAAAUAAAAAGGGAACUAUGCUUACCCUCACGUUGAUUCAAGCAAAUAUAUUUUUUAGGAAUUCUAAUUUUCAUAUUUCACCCCAAACACAUAAUCAAUAAAUUUAUUCUUCAAAUAUGUAUUUUAAUAACAACCAAAAUGAGAAUUCUAUAGUUAUCCCUUUUAAAAUCUUUAAUAUGACAAGUCAUCAUUUGAUCUGUUUGAUAUCCUCUCCAUAUCAUGUCUUUGAUAUCCUAACUUUGACAUUUUUUUAUUUAUAUACGCUGAAGUGAAUACACUUUCAUAUUUCUUUUUAUUCUUUUAAUAUUUUCAUAUUUAUUAACUUAGUCAUUUUUUUGAAACAUUAACAUAAAAUUAUAAUAUAUGAUCAAUAACUAAUAAGAACAAAUUAAACAUAAAUAUAAGUACGGAAUGGACAGAAAAUAAAAAAUUUAUCCUACAAAUAAUACACUAUAUAGUUUAAAAUAUUAAUUAUAAUAAUAUAUUUGAUACUUUAGGGUUUAGAUUAAAAAAUUAUGUUUUAUUUUUUAGAGGCUAGGAUAUAGGAUUUCCAUUAACCAAAGAUUUUUUGUAUGAAUCCUAAAUAAAAUGUGUAUUUAUUUUGCAAAUUCUUAUCAUAUAUAAAUAAAAUAAAAUAAAUAUAUUUUUAUCAUAUUAUUUUUAAUUUUUAUUAUUUUGUGUCAAAAUCACAGUCAAUGAUGGUGGUUUUUGUUAUGAUAUAGCUCUUAAAAGGAUGUUAUGAUGCAAUAAAUAUGAAGUUUAUUAUUUAUUUAAUGGUAUUUUGAUUUUACUUUUAUUAAUCUUUAUUUCAUGCAUUUUACCUUAUGAGUAUUCUAGCUUGACAUUUCUUGCACUAUACAUAACUUGGGUGCAUUAAAAAUUGCAUGAAAGAUCCAAGUUAUAGGUUCCUUGCAAGUAAAUGAUUUGUUCACAACCGCUUUGUGAACUUAAGCAAUCCAUUUGAUGUCGUAGUUCACUACCUCUUCAUUAGAGGAAUGAUUUAUCUUGACUACCAAGAUAGAGUUCUCAUGGUGAGUACACUAGUAUGAUGAGUUAUAAUUUAUAAUGUAAGGUUGUUGGGUAGUCAUAACUCACUAAGUUGUUAUAUUGUAUUAUCUUCUCAACCUUGAGAGGAUACUGAACUUGUGCCAAAGUCUAUAAUUGUUUGACCUAUGGGUGAGAUUCUAAAGUGAUUAUAUAUUCCUUACAGAUUGGUCACAGUAGAUAGAAGUCAGUAGUAAUAAGUAUUCUCAAUACAAACAUCACGAUAUCUCAUGGAAUUUGAGAUAGUGUUGGGUCAUAAUAAGGACAUGUGAUCAUGAAAUCUAUGGUCGCAUUAAUUCUUUAAAUGAAAUUUGAUAUAUGCUUUUGUGAGUUAGAGUAUGCUAGUUGAUCAUAUAAUAAGAGAAUAUGUGACUCAAGAAUGGUAUAGGUAAUCUUGAAAGGCAAAUAUCUUUCACCUUAUUAGAUUAUAAACACUAAUUCCUGGGGAGACUAUAUGCAAUAGAUAGCAGGUCACGAACUUAAGCACUUUGUGUCUUGUUGUAAUACACAUAGGGUAUUGAAGUGUAGUUGACUUUCUAUAGUAAGAUGUUGAGUCAAUUUUAAAAUUUGAUUAUAAGGGAGCUAGUACUAUCCUAUGGGUCUUAGCAGUCCUUGCUCAAGUUCAUAUAUCUCAAUGGCAUGGUUUAUGAGGGUUGGAUUAACUCAUGAUUCACUUAUGUGCAUAAGGCUGUUUUGGCAAGUAUGCAUGAUUACAUAGGAGUUUGUUGGGACAAAACCUUAUAAAGUAUGACAUGAUGUAAUAGAUUUAGUUUCAUUAAUAAAUUUAUUUAUUUACUAUUCUAGUUCCCUUGUAUUAUCCCAUUGGCAUUAAUUGGUUAUCAAAGUAUUUACACCCAUAUCACUUGCAUUGUACAUGACUUAGGUGUAUUUAGAGUUGACCAAAAAAUCCAAGUCAUGGGUUCUUUGCAAGGUAAUAAAUAGUUUAUAGUAGGUUCAUGGAUUUGAGCAAUUUAAUAGAGACUAUAGUGUACUACUUCCCAAUUGGAGAGAUGACUAGUCUUAGUCACCGAGAUGACUUUCCCAUGAUGAGUGCAAUAAUGUGUAUAGUUACACAUUGGACAUGACCUAUGGUGAAUCAUGACAUUAAUUGUUGGGUAGUCAUGAUUCACCAUGAUACUAGAUUGUAUAAACUCUCAACCUUGAGAAAAUAUUGAGUUUAUGCUAAAAUCAACAAGAAGCUUUUAUCUAUGGGUGAGAUCCUAAUGUGGUCAUAUAUUCCUUACAAAUUAGGUUACAGUUGAUGAAGGUUGGUGGCAACAGGUAUUCUUAAUAGAGACAACAUAAUAUCUUAUGAGAUUAAGACAACGUGUCUCUUGGGUGAUCCUAAAGACAUGUGAUCAAGAUGACUAUGACCAUAGUAAUUCCUUUAGUAGAAUUUGACAUAUGCUCUUUGUAAGCUAAAGUAUGUAAAUUGAUCAUUAAUAAGAGGAUUUGUAACUCAAGGAUUGGAGAGAUAAUUUUGAAAGGUUGCCAUCACUACCUUGUUAGAUUACAGACACCAGUUCACGGGGAGUUUACAUGCAGUAGAUAGUAGGUCAUAGACCUAAACUUUUCCUUAUUGUAAUUAUAUAGGAUAUUGGAGUGUAGUUGACUUUCUUUAGUAAGGUGUUAAGUUAACCUUAGAAUUGGAUUCAAAGCGAGCUAGCAUUUUCCUAUAGGUUCCAAUGGUCCCUGCUCAAUCUCUCAUUUAAUGGUGUCACAUUUGUUUAAGGUAUUUUAGGUUUGUAGUUAACAAGUGUGCAUUAGGGGGAAUUUAAUAAAAAUACAAGGUUGGACUAGAUAUUGUGAAUAGACUUUCUAGAUUGGCCUAAUUUAUUAAUGGAUUCCAAUAUGGCUAAUUAAUUAAUUAGGAUCUAAGUGAGUUAAAUUAGGUAACCUAAGCCCACUUUAGGCUUAAGUCACUAAAGUUCACAAGGAAGCUUAUAAAUAACUAUUUAAAGCUUAUUGGGUUUUAUGAGUAACUUAAGCUUGCCUUGGGUUUGGGUAAGUUAUCAUAACCUAAAAAAGUUCUUAAUUGAGCGCUUAGAUUAAUCAAUUAGCUUAGUCCAGAAAUACCUUUCACCAACUCUAUUGGAAACUUUGAAUUACUCCAUUUCAUGAUCUAGGAUCAAAUAGGGUGCAUGCAACUAUCUUUAGGUUUUUCUAGAUCUAAUGCACUAGAAAAAUAUGGAUAUAAAAUCCAUAAAAUGUACUAGAUUUAUAGAUUAAAACUCAUACCUAUGAUUUCAAUGUUUCUAAAUUAAAUCCAAUCCCUAAAAGAUAUCAAAGAUGUUUUAAAAGUCAUCUAUCAAACAAUUUUCCACCCAAUCUCUCCCUCCACAAAUAGACCCUAGCACAAAAAAAGGUGAAUGCUGGAAUUUUCGUCAAUUAUUGGAUCAAAACAAAAUUUAUAACCUAAUUCACUAUUCUAUAGCAGCUUGUACCCGAUCAAAAAGUGGUUUUAGUACAAACUAUUGUAGUAUAGUGGUUUUUAGGUGUCGUCCACUAGGAUGGAUUGUUCUCGGUAAUUAAGGCUUGAAUGAGAUGAUAAGAAAUUAUUGCAAUCAAGUGAAAAUGAUUUGACAAUUCAUGAUAAAAGUUCAACAUAACAAUGAUUUCAAAUUUAGAGGAAAAUGAAGGGUAAAAGAGAAGAAAAUUAAUAGAAGAUGAAAUUCUUGGAGGUAGGAUUUUCUAGAAAAAAAUUUCCACGGUGAAUAGAUGUUGAGAUCUAAUUUUCAUCAAGUUAGAUUGAAAACCUAAAUUUUCAUCUAAACCAAUUUUUGAUUUAGCUUUAGGUCUAGAUCUAAUUUCUCUUCAAAUUAGGUCAUUUAAUCCAAGAGAUCAAUUCAAAUUAUAUAUUCAAUUCAUCUUAAACUAUCUUCCAAUGAUUCACAUAAUGCAACUAUUCAAUCUCAUCAAAUCUAGCUUUAAGAAUUUGAUGAAUCUACCUAGCUUGCAUUGUAGUAAUCAUCCAAGACAAUUUGAAGAGAAAAAUCCUCAAAUUUCAAUUAAUCAAUCAAUUGGAUCAAAUUACCUUUUCAAUUCAAGCUCAUUUCUCUAAUUCACCAUAGAUUUUGCCUCUAGAUCCUCCCUCCUUUGAGAAAAAUGAGAUUUAGCCACUCAUGCUUGGAGAUUUUGCCUCACAAAACAUUUUUGGCUAGCGAGAAAAUGAAGGAAAGUGGAAAAUUCUAGAGAAAGAGAAAAUAUGGAAAAUUCUACAAUUAGAAAAUGUCUAAUUUUUUUUGAAAAUGAGUAAAUCAAGUUUCUAUUUAUAGGCCAAGGUCAAGAGGACACUUGGCAUCAUCUAAGAGGUCUUUUAAAGGCUUCUUCAUCAAGAAAUUUGGAGUUUAGUAAUAAAAUGUCCAUUUCGCAAGAGAUCCAGCACUUUCACACGAGCUCCAUCAAUUUCGCAUGAGUGUGCGAAGUGGAAAAUGCAUCAGCACCAAUUUCGCCUUCUUAGAGCAUUUCGCAUGACUGUGCGAAAUUUUCGCAUGGUCGUGCAAAAUCAGCUUCAAGAUUUCCCUUUGAGCUGUAGCCAAAAUUGCCUUCUGGUCCAUUUCAAUUUUAUACUCUGUGUUUUUGGGAUGAAUGACAUGUGAAAGUUGGAAUUUGCUAAAAAAAUAUACAUAUAUUUUUUUGAGUUAAUGUUUGUAAGCAUAAUUCUCCCAAAAACCGGUCAUGCUUCAUCAUAUUGUAUGUUUGUUUUUUUUUAUAAUGUGUGGUUAUUCAUCUUUAUAUUUGUGUAAUGGAUUGAUAUCUAUAAAUUAAGAGUAUCAAUUGAUAGGUAGAUGAAUCAAUUGAUUGGGCAUCUAAGAGUCUUAUGUGUAGAAGACUAAAAUUAUAAAUGGGGAGUUAGAAAACUUUUCAUUUAUAUGAAUAGGGUGUUACAAUUUUUGUAAUCCUAUCAUUAUGAGAUUUAAUUUGUAUAUAAAGUUUAUGAGUAAUGGAGGAAGAUGGAAAAGUAUAACCUAUGCAAUUAUAUAAAUGCAUUCAAGUUGGUAACCCACAAUUAUCCAUUAAUUUGUACAUAAUGUUUGUAAAUAAUGAAUAUAACUCCCGUGUAGUCUUUGAUGCAUGAGAAGACUAAGAGAUAUAAAUCUCUUUUAUAAGAUCAAGAUCCUAAGUCAUACUCUCAUUCUUAUGUCUUUUUGUUAUUUUACUUAUAACAACAUAUAACACACAAGUGACCCGUCUACUAUAUGAGAGUAGUGAGUUGAAGAUCUUGAGCAAAACAAUUCACAAGAUGACUCAAGCUCACUUCAAAAGUAUUAUCAAUAUCAUGGAUGAAGGUAAAAAUAUGAUCAUUAUAUUAUCAUUGCUUUAGCAUUUAUAUCUAUUAUGUUUUAUGCAUCCAAAAUUGAUUUUCCAAAAUAAUUGUUUUCACAUAAAGUUUAGUUAACAUGUACUUCUAUUUUAAAAUUUUAAAAUUUUAAAAUAAAUUUGCAGAAAUCACUUUUAAAUGUUUUUUUAUAAAAAAAAAUUUAAAAUAUGAAAGAAUCACAUAUUUUUUCAACUUUGAAAAAUAGACCUAAUAAACAUAUUUAACAUUUAUAGCAAUUAAAAAUUAAUUAAUAUUUUUUAAAAAAAAAUUAAAUAAAAGCAAUGGUGUAUCCAAAUAAUACCUUAUUCACCCAAUUUAGUUAUCAUAUGCCUUUAGUACCGAAGUGGCUGACUAAAUUUUUUCUCAAGGUAUAAUAAUGCUAAAAGAUCUUUAACCAAAACAUGGACUUCACUCUUAUUUCUUCCUACCACUUUAAUUUCACCCAACUUCACCUAUAGAAGCUCAUUCAUGUCUUAUCUUGUUUGUCUAGUUUGAACCUCAUGUUGCUCAAGUCCCAAAAGGAAUAAAAUUUCAUUCAGAAUAUAAUUAUGCACAAAAUCCUCAUUAGGGUUAGAGUUUGCUCCUUCAUUAAUUAAUUAUAAUGGUUUAGGGUCAGAAUAACAUACUUUAUUAUGUUAAAGUAUCCUAAACUUUGUUAGCAAACACAUAUGGCUGAAAGCGAAGAAUGAUCAAGAGUCCAAGUACUAACAAAGGGCACUUAUGAACCAUAGGUUGAGGAAAGUGGCUUGAGCCCAAGCUUGGGGCUUAGGUUAUUUUUUGUUUAUGCAAUACUUAAAUCCAAACUUAAAGGUGACAUUAGAAACAUAUUUCAAUCUCAUAUUUUAUCCUCUUAACUAUUGGACCUAAUUGCACUCGACAUGGAACUUGUUUAUGCAUUUUGGGAAUCACAUGCAUUUUAGUCCCAAAAUAGCUAUGCAACUUUUUUUUCCACCUAAUUAAGUUCAAAAUUAAGGGGGUGUUUGGUAAAACUUAAUACCUUUUACUAAUGACUUAAAUUGACUUUAAGUUAAAUUAUAUUUAACUUGCUAACUUAAAACUUAUUAUUUAAUUCUUACUUCAAGUAUUAAGGUUGUUUAAUAAAAUUAAUUUAAAACAUAUUUUAAAUCAUCAAAUUGAUAUAUUAUCCUCAUAAAUUAUAACUAGAGUAUAAGAGGUUGAGUGACAAUGAAGGUCGUGGAGUAGUAAAGAAAAUUGUGGAGGUAACUAGGAUAAAUGAGAAUAAAAAAGUAGAAUGAAAAUAUAAAUUUUAAAAUAAGUUAAUUGGUUUUACUUUUUCUUAAAAUUAUUUUUGAUUUUAAGUCAUACCAUUAAAUUAUUUUAAUAAACAUAAUUUACUUAAUAACUUAAAUUAAAUUAUUAAGUUGUUAAUUUACCAAACACCUACUAAUUUUCAAAUUCUAAGUUUAGCUUUGCUUUGCAGUGAAUGCAUUUAGGAUUAUCAAAGAGGUCAUCAAGGGUUUCAAACAUAUUUUAUUGCUCAACUUCUCGAAGAGGGACUUCAGAAGAGAAGAUUCCAUAAUUCUAGUUUUGUAUGCGAUUGUAUGUAUCCUACCACAUGGAGACGAUUCCUCAGCAUGCUGAUUUAUUAUUAAGUUCAUGUGAAUUACGUAUGGAAUUCCAAUUGAUGUGAACAUAAAAUUAAUUGAAUUAUGUGACAUUUUUUUUACGCAGAAUAAAACAUAUACAGUUGGAAGAUAUCUCGAGAUUCUGAUUUUAUAUCUGGCCCUCAAAAUUCUAUUUCACUGUCAGGUUGUGGACGUUCCACCCAGCUGGAGCAGAUCCCUUGGCAUGCUGAUAUGCCAACUAUUGAAAAGUCUGCACCCAUUUUCUAUAUUCAUGAGCUUUUCUCCUGUUCGAAUUAGUUUUGAAGUUAUCUACAGACAUGACUUGUACAAAUUGAAAAGUUUUAAUUAGGGCAGCAAAAGUAAUCCCUUCAAUUUUAUUAUUAUUGUUAUUAUUAUUACCUUAUAAAAAGAAUUUACCCAAUCAAAAGUGAUCGCAUAGUCAAAAUAGAUUUUAUUUUUUCUUAUCUUACAAUAAUAUAAAAAAAUAUAUAUAUACUUUCAAUCAAUGUCUCAUAUUUCUAACACGUACGCGCUCUAGAAUUUCUCGAAUUGUAGUCUAGAGUGUCAACUUUUAGUGUUUGAUCAAAAAGGCCAUAAACAAAUAUAUGAAAAAAGUAAUCAACAAGCAGAGGAUUCUUUUUGAAUAAAAAAGACCCACUUACAAGCAUGGAUUAUAAAUUGUCUUCAGUUGCGGCUGAAACUUUCUAUAUGACUUUAAAGAAAAAAGAGGUCAUAAAUAGAUAGCUGAGAACAAGUUGAGGGAUUCAAAGGCAGCUAUGGUAUAAAUAUUGUUUUAUAAAUUAAACCUUUUGUACCGCCUCUACAAAGGAACACAAAAUUGAGAGAUUCAAAGGCAGCUAUGGUAUAAAUAUUGUUUCAUAAAUUACUUUUCAAAUUUAAUUUGAUAGCAAAAAUUUAAAAUAUAAAAGUAUAAAAAAUUUGUUUCAUUCCCAAAAUUUUUGCAAAUAAAAUUUAAAGUAAUAAAUUAACACCAUGACUCUUUUCACAUCUUAUUCUCAUUUCUAUCAAAGCAAUGAUAGUAAUUGUCUUAUCUAUAAAUUUUAAAUGAUGUAAGAUCAUUGAAUUUUUAUUUUCUUUUAAACUUCUUGUUAUGUAAUUAUCAAACAUAUUUUUUUAAGACAAGAAAAAAAUUACACCGAACAAAUAGAUUUGAUACUUAGAAUAAUUGAAAACAUAAUUCGUAUUUUCCAUUUUUAAAAAUAAUAAAAGCAAAGGUGUUUCAAAACAAUACCUCAUUUGCUCAAUUAAUUAUCACAUUUCCUAAGUACAAAAGUAGGCAAGUAAAUUUUUGCUCAAGUUACAAUAGUGCUCCAAAUCCUUAUCCAAGAUUUUGAUCCUAUUUCACAAUUGUUUUUUAAAACAGUUUUUUUCUUCUCUACAACAAAAAAAAAAAAAAAACAAGAAAAUGUGUUUGAGAAUUGGAAAAUAAAGUGUUUUCAAAAAAACAUAUGUUAGUUGUUUUUAGUUUUUCUUCAUUAGCUUUUUUGAAGGUUGUUUUUAAAAAUAAUUAUACAAAUAUGAAGAAUUAUUAAAAAUAUAAUUUUAUAGACAAAAGUUAUUUUAAAAUUAUAUGCACGAGUUUUGGAAAGUCUUGCAAAAUAAGCAAAACUAUAGGAAAAAUAUGCAAAUAAAAUUUGUAUUAAAAUCAUUGGGGGCCCCCGCAUUUCGGCUCAUGCGCUUCCACUCGAUGGUGAGCUCGAUUUUUAUUUUGAAAAAUGAUUUAUUAUUUGAAAAAUGACUUGAAGUCGCCACUUAUUUUUGUUUUAUUUUUAAAGGGUAAACAAAAUAAGAAAGAAAACUCUAAAUGUGACUCCUUAUUUGGAAAAGGUGGUCUGUGAAAAACCGGAUCGGGCUCGGGGGUUAGGUUACUUAUUGGGAAGGUACGGUAAAAACCGUAGCACCCCUCUAAGUCCCCAAAAACGGGUCUUUACUAAUGAAAUGAAGCAAUCAUGACAAUUGAUAAGUAAAUCAAUGGAUACCGAAUGAAAAUCGAAACAAAAUACCCAAAUGAAUUUGAGAGACAAAGAACGUACCUGAGUGACGAGCUGAUUUAUUUCAUUGGAAACAAAGGUUAGUGAACAAACACAAAUGAUCGUGUGCAUAUCAUAGAAUAGAACAAAUCAAUCACAUAUAGCAAUCAAAUCAAUCAAUCAUAAAAUCGCAUAUGUUGGGCCCCCACUAAAACCCAUUUAUUUUUGCAUGAAUUAAUUCUGUAAAUUCCAUCACUCGGAAUUAUAGAAUUUAAUUCAUGCUUAUUUUAAAACAUUUAAAAAACAGAGGAGAUGUGAGUAUUGCUCAUCAGAAAAGAAGAUGGCAACAAAGUUUUAUUAAAAAUGGGAUUUUUGGUACCUAAAACUCUAAGGAUGAAAAUUUUGGAGUUGAGAUUAUUUAAAAAGUUAGAAUCUGAAAAAUUAUUUUUAAAAAAAGAUUUAGAAAGUUAUUUUCAAAACCAAAAGGGAGAAAUAGGAGGUGGCAUGUGGCCCAAAGGUGGCCAUGCGGAGGUGGCCAUGCAAAAACAUUUUCUUCUGGGCCAAGGGAGAGACUGCGCUAUAGGGAUCAAUGGUAUUGUUGGGCUUGUCAUAACUCUAACCAGGAUAGGAUCCCAGCCACAUAUAGCUGUAACUAGGUUGCUACAUUGAAAGAGUACCAAGAGAGGCACCCUAGCUUAACGGAGGUCAGGCCUGGUAGCCUUGCGGAGGAUAUCUCUAACCAUUGCCAGAUUUCUGAUAUGAUUCUCACUGAUGACUUCGUUGACCAACUGUUCAGCAAACUCAAUCUGUUCACUGGUACUGCCUAUGUGUGCAAUUCUCUCCAUUGAUAUGUCACCAGAAAGGAAAUGCAAAAGUAUAAACUAGAUACGAGCUCCUGUCUUGGCUUGCAUAUUUCUAAUGAUCUCACCGCCCUUACCAACUAUCAGACCAACCUUGUUGUUUGGUACUUUCAUCACGAGCUGUCCAAACCCAGUCCAACCAAUUAACCUUCAAGAAAUUAUGCCAAACCUCUUUGCUUAUAUCUGUUGUGUCAUUCCAUAAGAAUUGAACGCACCCAUAUGUAAGCACCCGUGAUGUGUCGUCACACUCCAACUGCAAAUUAAAUCGAACAAGACCUUUCAUGGAAGCAUCUCUGACAUCUAAAUGAGACCCUGUCAAACCUUGAAUUAUCUGGAGUUCAUCAAGUGCAUCAUCAAAUGCUCUUCAUUCAGAGUGUCCAACUUAGCAAUAGCUUCAUCAAAAACCUAUUUAUCCAGAUUACAAGCAUGAUCCAGGGGAUUCAGAAUCUUAUAGUAAAAGACGGAGAAGUUAAGUGCAAGCCUCAAGCAGAUAAGACGGGUUGAAGCCAAUUCCACAGCUGCAAUAUCCUACGCUGAUUUUAUAAGCUACGAGAGUGCUCUCCGUCGCCUCUCUCAUCUCGGCUCCGGUCUUGAAUGCUGAUAGAUAACAACGAUAAUCGCUCUUCAUCUUUAAACAAAGCGACUUUGGGUCACUAGCCAUAGCCGAAUGAAUAAGCUACGAAUCCAGCAGACGAAGAGUAUCGUCACAGAUGGAGGAUUGUUGAAACAUAACACGCAUAUAAUGGAAACAGACUCGUGUUGGCUCCUGCCCGCUCCCAAUGGGUAUGGCCCUCAUGCUCAUUGACAUGUUCGAAGACGUCAACAAGCGCACCAUAGACCUUCUGUAGGCAGAGGAUUGGGUUUAAUGGGUUUAGAAAGAAUUUGUGGCAUGUAUGGGUAUGGAAAUAGGUGUGAAUGAUAGCCUUGCAUGCAUGAGGAGUGGUGAAUAGGUUGAAGAGAGUGGGUUUAGAGGAUAGAAAUAUGGGUAUAGUUGUGGGUUUAGAAAAUGGGUACAGUAUUAGUGGGACGGGUAGUGGAAAAAUGGAUUGGAAGGCAUUGGAAAAUGAGGUCUCUAUGGUGGCCAUGCAUGCGUCAAAAAAUAGAAAGGAGUGCAUGGAGGUUAAAUGGAAGGAUGAAUGAUGGAAGUAGCAGCUUGGGUAGGUGUAAGCUUUGGAUUUGGGUAGGUAAAAAAAAUGAGAGAUAGGUAUGAGAUAGCCAAUGAGAGAUCUGCACCAUUUGGCAUUGUGAUCGCUCGGUUUUUGUCGUUUAUUGGAUCAAAACAAAAUUUAUAACCUAAUUCACUAUUCUAUAGCAAUUUGUACUCGAUCAAAAAAUGGUUUUAGUACAAACUACUAUAGUAUAGUGGUAUUUAGGUAUCGUCCACAAGGAUGGAUUAUUCUCGGUAAUUAAGGCUUGAAUGAGAUGAUAAGAAAUGAUUGUGAUCAAGUGAAAUUGACUUGAAAUUGCAUGAUAAAAUUCCAAAAUAACAAUGUAUUCAAAUUGAGAGAAAAAUGAAGUGUAAAAGAGAAGAAAAUUAAUAAGAGGUGAGAUUCUCGGAGUUAGGAUUUUCUAGAAAGCAAUUUCCAUGGCGAAUAAGUGUUGAGAUCUAAUUUUCAUCAAGUUAAAUUGAAAACCUAAAUUUUCAUCUAAACCGAUUUUUGAUUUAGCUUUAGGUCUAGAUAUAAUUUCUCUUCAAAUUAGGUAAUCUAAUCCAAGAGAUCAAUUUGAAUCAUAUAUUCAAUUCAUCUUAAAUUAUCUCCUUAUGAUUCACACGAUGCAACUAUUCAAUCUCAUUAAAUUUAGCAUUAAGAAUUUAAUGAAUCUACCUAGCUUGCAUUGUAGUAAUCAUCCAAGACAAUUUAAAGAGAAGAAUCCCCAAAUUUCAAUUAAUCAAUCAAUUGGAUCAAAUUACCUUUGCAAUUCAAGCUCAAUUCUCUCAUUCACCAUAGAUCUUGUCUCUAGAUUCUCCCUCCUCUGAGAAAAACAAGAUUUAGCCACUCAUGCUUGGAGAUUUGAUCUCAUAAGACAUGUUUGGCUACCAAGAAAAUGAGAGAAAAUGAAGGAAAGUAGAGAAUUAUAUAGAGAAAAGAAAUCUGAAAAGUUCUACAAUUAGAAAAUGUAUCAAAAGUCUUUAAAUGAGUCAAUCACAUUUUUAUUUAUAGGCCAAGGUCAAGAUGACACUUGGCAACAUCUAAGAGGUCUUUCGGAUGCUUCUUCAUCAAGGAAUUUGGAGAAAAUACAUUUUCGCACGAGCCUUAGCAAUUUCGCAUGAUGGUGCGAAGUGGAAAACCAUCAGCUUCAUUUUUGUCUUUCUGGAGCGUUUCGCAUGACUGUACAAAAUUUUCGCAUGGUUGUGCGAAAUUGCUUUUCACUUUUCCCUUAGUAUGCUACAGCCAAACCUAUUCUGUUUCAUUUCACAUGGUCAUGCGAAAUUGAAAAACAUGUUUUUUCGACUCCUCUUUGCAAUUCUUUCCAUUUCUUCAUUUUUAAUCCACCUCUACCACUUUCAAUUCAACUCCAAAUCCCAAUCCAAACCGAUUGCAUUGCUUAUUUCAUUAUGCAUUUGGAUCAUCAUCAACUUUAUUUGUUUUCUUCAAUUUGGUUCAUCUCUUUUGUCACCAAUUUAUCAAAAUCAUACCUUAAAAUGACUUUAAAACUUCAUAAAACUUGUUAGUAACUAUUGCAAGGGCAAAAACAUGUUAAUUGAGUGUUUUAGGCAUAAUUACUACUCAAAAGAUGUGAAAAUCAUGAGAAUUAUUAUCUAAAAUAUGCUCUUUUUGAGUAGUAAUCAUUCCCCCCAACCAACACAUUGCUAGUCCCUUAGCAAUUGUAUGACAAAAAGAAAGAAAAAUAAGGCCAAAGAAAAGAAAUCAUAACUCACAUAAGCAAAUCAUUUGAAAAAAAAAAUGUUUGAAAUUUCCAUAGCAUAAAUGGUUGAUAAACAAGCACACCCUACUAUCCAUAGGUAUCAACAAAAUCCCAACUUAUUUACUAUCUCUAAUAGAAAUAAUAUCAUGCUAAUCAAGGUAUCAAAAACAUAUCCAUCUUCAUUUCCCAAACAAUCUUUGUAAACAAGUCUUGAGUGUAAUUAAGCUAGCUCCCGAAUAUAGUACUCAAAACUAAUCCUCCCCCCAACCUAGCUCAAUUUAUCUCAAACAACAAAAAUCACUCUCUCAUAGGUUAAGAACACACCUAUCUUUAUUUUAUUAUUAUUUUUUUUACAAAUGACUUAUUGUAGGAGUGCAAUGCUAAAGGUAUCUCCAAGUAUAUGGUCCAUGUAGCGGGGAUUCAUCGAUGACUCCCAAUCAUAAGGCAUAGGGCACCAAGUUUAUAGGACUAUUUAACUAGCCACUAACUCCUCAGACUUCACCCCGGACUCCUCAAAUUAGGAUCCAAUACAUUAACACCUACAAUUGAGUUCAUACCCCACCUAUCCACCCAUGUAACAAGCAUUGAGGUCGGUGGCUCCCAACCAAAAUGGCUUAGGGCACCAGGCUUUAAAGACCUUUGGGCCAUAUACCCCUCGGACCUUGCUCAGGUUUCAAGGCAAGCAUAACUCAACAUUUUUAUUCAUCAACUCUUUUUUUUUUUUUUUUUUCAAUUGGGCACAUUGGCCUCUUUUUAAGGUGUCUCAACUCAGUUCAAGAGUAAUCAAUGUUACAAGAUAAUUAAGUCUAAGUCUUAAGGUUAGAAUAGUUUUUCAUCUUAUAUCUGGGGUCUAGAGUGCAUAGUAUGUGUCAAGACUCAAAUAGAAAUGACAAUUUGGAAAAUGAAGACUUUAAAGUCAAAUCAACUUUAAUUCACAUAACCAAUCUUCUAAGAUCAAGCAAAUAAGCUAGUAUUCUAAAUCAACUUUUUUUAAGUUAGGUUUGCUCAUUCAUCAAUCACAAAUGCUAUAGUCAUCUCAAAAAAAUCUCACCAAAUAAGUCACAAAUGUGAUUUAUGAAAAAAAAAAAUUAUAGAAAAACUAAUAACAUAUUUCCUUCUCUUCAUUUUUAACCCUCCCCCAACCUAACUUGUACAUUGUCCUCAAUGUGUAAUGAAAAUAUACAAAGAAAGGAAGGAAAGAUACCUCAAUCUCUCAUGAAUUUCAGUUUCAAUAGCUAAAACAAAAAUAAGAUCACACAUGAGAAUUGUUGGAUAUGAAUGACAUAAGAGAAGAAAAUAUGAAAACAAAUCUAUUAAAAACCAAAAAAAAAAAACUAUGUUAGAGACACAAUGUAUGGAGUAAAAUCAAGGUAUAGAUGAUGACAAUGUCCAAAGAAAACAUGAUUUCAAUGAUAAGUCAAUGAUUCUCAUGGAGUUUUUGAAAAUUUCAGACAAGUGUGCAAACUAGACAAGAAGGUGGUGUGUGUUGCAACCACUUUUUCUUUUGAAAUAAUUUGGCACAAUCAUGCGGAAAUUCGCAUGUACAUGCGAAUUGGUCAAGAGAGCUUUAUCUUAUUAUAGUCUUCAGCAUAAUUUUCGCAUAGUCAUGUGAAAAUUCGCAUGUUGAUGCGAAAUGGAUCUGAGGCUUAAAACUGUUGUAGUCAUCCACAUUAGUUUCGCACAGUCAUGCGAAAACUUCACAUGAGUGUGUGAAGUGGUCCAGAUGGCUCAUUUUACUACAGUCUUUAAGAUGGAUUUCGCAUAGUCAUGCGAAAUGCUCUAGAGGGUUCAUUUUUACAACUAUCAUUUUCAGUUUUGCACAGUCAUGCGAAAAUUUUGCAUGACCAUGCGAAUUGUGACAAAGACUCAUUUUGUACAUUUCCGAAGAUAUGAAAACUCCCCUAUUUUGGCAUGACUGUGUUAUUUUGGCAUGACCUCCCUGUUUUGGCAUGACUAUGCAAAAUGGUGAUGGGCCAUUAAAACUCUUUUUUCCUUUGCUUCAUGCAUUCCAUCCAUCCAGAAAGUCCUUCAAAACACAAGUCAAAGAAUUGAGAUGGAUUUAUUUAAUGGAAACUAAAAAAAAAAUCAAAAUCCAAAGGAAAUGAUAAACCAUUGGGCUAGCUAGCCAUUGACAUGACUAAGCCCAUUAACCUUUGCAUCAAUACUCAAUUUGGAUAUGGCUUGCAAACAAUGAAUGGACCAACUCCUUGGUACUUAAGCUUUCCCAGAAAAAUAUGUGGCUUGAAAUAACCUUCUUUGAACUUGUUCUUUUGAAUAAGUUGGUCAUGCCAUUCCUUGAGUUUCUUUUUCAUGGUCUUUGGAUUAUUUUUCAUACCAUGCUUCAUUUUUUUCACUUUCUUGAAGCUGAAAGACCAUUUCAUUAACUUCAAAGGUUGAAUUUCUUUAUUGAUCCUCCAAACUUCAAUCCGUUCAUUGGAAAUUGCUUCACUAAGUUUUGAAAAAUUAUCUUCAACCUUUUCUUUCACUAGCACUUUCAUAGGCAAUUCAAUCAAAUAAGCCUCCUUAAGUUCCUCCUCCUCCUUGGUACCAUGCUUCUUAUAUGAAUGAAAAAUGUUUAGCUCAAUUGUCAUGUUACCAAAGGUAAGUUGCAUCACCCCACUUCGACAAUUAAUUAAUGCAUUUGCUGUGGCAAGGAAAGGUCGGCCAAGUAUAAUAGGAACAUGGUUGAGUCCACUAGUUCCUUGUUUCAUAUCAAGCACCACAAAAUCAACCGGAUAAUAGAAGAUAUCGAUUUGGAUCAACAUAUCCUCAAUAAUUCCUCUUGGAAACUUAACCGAUCUAUCCGCCAAUGAAAGUGUGAUGGAAGUAGACUUUAGUUCUCCAAACCCCAAUUGCUUAUAUACCGAGUAGGGAAGAAGAUUCACACUUGCCCCCAAGUCUAAAAGUGCUCUUUUCACAAAAGUGUUGUCAAUCUUCACCGAGAUAGUUGGACAUCCCGGAUCCUUAUACUUGAUUGGGGUUUUACAUUGGAUGAUUGCACUAACUUGUUCAGUCAAGAAAGUUUUCUUUUUCAAAUGCAUCCCUCUCUUUAUGGUACACAAAUCCUUAAGAAACUUGGCAUAGGUUGGAAGUCUUAUCAUGUCAAGGAGUGGUAUAUUGACUUUGACUUGCUUGAGAACUUCAAAAAUUUCUAGAGCAUUAUUUACCACUUUCUUGGAUUGAAGAGCCAUAGGAAAAGGUGGAGCUAAGAGCAUAUCUUUCUUCUUAACCUCUUCUUUAACAAUCUCAUCUUCCUUUGAUCUAUCAUCCUCAUUCACCUCUUUCCAUUUUUCUUGUUCUUUCACAUUUUCCUUUUGUUCCCCUCUUUUAUUCUCUUUUGGUUUUGGCAUAGGUUGAUCAACUUGCUUACCACCUCUUAAGGUAAUGACUGCUUUGACUUCAUCCUUCUCAAUAGAACUUUCACUUGUCUCUCCAAUUUCAUGGACUCCACUUGGAUUUUGUUGGGGUUAUGAAGAGAAUUUUCCUUUUUCUUACACUGUAUGCAUGCUUGUGAGUUUAGAAAUAGCAAGCUGCAUAUUAUCAAUCUUUUGUGUGAGAUUGGUUUGCAAGCUAUCAAAUUUCUGAUUGAAAGAUGUCUCCACAUGAUCUAUUCUUUGGUUUACUUGAAUAUUGAUAUUCUUUUGAUCACCAAUAAAAUCACCCAAAAUUUUACUCAAGCUUACAAUAGCUUGCUCAACCAAAGAAAUUUGUUGUGGAGAGUCUUCCAUGACUUGUUGGCUUUGUGAGUAUUGACUUGAAGAAAAUUGUUCUUGUCCACAAUUCCAUGACAUGUUUAGAUGAUUCUCAACAAGUCUUUCCCCCAUAGCUAGUAUUGUAGGACAAUCACUCACUUCAUGUUCUAUAGAUUGACAAUUAGAACAUUGCUCCUUGUAAAUUGGAUUAUCAUAUAUUGCAUUCACCACAUGAAAUCCCUUAGCUUCAAGUUCCUCUAGCCUUUUUGUCAAAGCUACCAUUUUAGCUUGUAGAUCAACAUCUUCAUUCAACAUAUACAUUCCUCCAUUUGAAUUGCUUUGAGACUUGGACUUGUGUAAAUCCCUUUCAUGUGGCUCAUUCCAUGACCUUAAUAUUUUAGCCACAUAAUUCAAGAAUUCAAAAGCUUCAUCGGGACUUUUGCUCAUAAAGCCACCUCCACACAUGGUUUCUAGCAAUUGCUUCAUAGUUGGCGACAUGCCCUCAAGAAGUAACUCACCAACAUCCAUGUGUCAAAACCAUGAUGAGGACAAACAUUGAUUACUUCCAUAUAUCUUUCCCAACAAGCAUAAAAUUUUUCAUUGUCCAAUGCCACAAAGUUGGUAAUUUGCCUCUUCAAGCCACUUGUGCGAUGUAUGGGGAAAAUUUUCUUUAAGAAGGUUGUUUGUAGUUCCAACCAUGACCUUAUGGUUUGGGGCCCCAAUGAGUUGAACCACAACUUAGCCUUAUCCUUCAAUGUGAAUGGAAAAAGCUUCAAUCUCAUAAGCUCAAUGGAUGUGUUUCCCUCAUGAAAUGUAUGAAAAACCUCUUCAAAAUCCUUGAUGUGAGUAUAAAGAUUCUCAUUCUCCAUUCCAUGAAAUUGAGGUAGAAGGGGUACCAAGUGAGUUUUUAUCACAAUAGCCUCAUUAGGAAGAACUAUACAUGAUCCCAUGCCUAUCCUUUGAGGAUGCAUAUAUUCUCUCAUUGAUCUAGACAUGUGAGAAUUGCCAUUGUUUGGUCCUUGUUGAGUUUGUUGAUUUUCCCCUUGAUUUUCCAUUUCCUCAACAAUUGGAUCACAAAACAAAGAUGAUUAGCAAUAUAAGUUUUUUUUCAAUCUCUCCCUUGAAUUUUAUUCUCAAUGUAGUAUGCAAUGGAGAGCCUACAAAACAAGCUUAGAAAAACCAAAACAAACCAAGAAGAACAAAAAGAGAAAUAAAAGAUAAAAAUGGAAAAAAAAAUAAUAAUAAGAAAAAUGGAGAAUCGAUAAAGAGAACUUCACCAAUCUUGUGAUGUGGAUCACAAGGGCUAAUCCUCACCAAAAAAAAAAAUGCCUCAAUCACCUAGGCACCAUCCCCGGCAACAGUGCCAUUUUUGAUUGCUCGGUUUUUGUCGUUUAUUAGAUCAAAACAAAAUUUAUAACCUAAUUCACUAUUCUAUAGAAAUUUGUACCCAAUCAAAAAAUGGUUUUAGUACAAACUACUGUAGUAUAGUGGUAUUUAGGUAUCAUCCACAAGGAUGAAUAUUCUUGGUAAUUAAGGAUUGAAUGAGAUGAUAAGAAAUGAUUGUGAUCAAGUGAAAUUGACUUGAAAUUGCAUGAUAAAAUUCCAAAAUAACAAUGUAUUCAAAUUGAGAGAAAAAUAAAGUGUAAAAGAGAAGAAAAUUAAUAAGAGGUGAGAUUCUCGAAGUUAGGAUUUUCUAGAAAGCAAUUUCCAUGGUGAAUAGGUGUUGAGAUAUAAUUUUCAUCAAGUUAGAUUGAAAACCUAAAUUUUCAUCUAAACCGAUUUUUUAUUUAGCUUUAGGUCUAGAUCUAAUUUCUCUUCAAAUUAGGUAAUCUAAUCUAAGAGAUCAAUUUGAAUCAUAUAUUCAAUUCAUCUUAAAUUAUCUUCCUAUUAUUCACAUGACGCAACUAUUCAAUCUCAUUAAAUCUAGCAUUAAGAAUUUAAUGAAUCUACCUAGCUUGCAUUGUAGUAAUCAUCCAAGACAAUUUGAAGAGAAAAAUCCCCAAAUUUCAAUUAAUCAAUCAAUUGGAUCAAAUUACAUUUGCAAUUCAAGCUCAAUUCUCUCAUUCACCAUAGAUCUUGUCUCUAGAUUCUCCCUUCUCCGAGAAAAACGAGAUUUAGCCACUCAUUCUUGGAGAUUUGAUCUCACAAGACAUGUUUGGCUACCGAGAAAAUGAGGGAAAAUGAAGGAAAUUAGAGAAUUAUAUGAGAAAAGAAAUCUGAAAAGUUCUACAAUUAGAAAAUGUAUCAAAAGUCUUUAAAUGAGUCAAUCACGUUUCUAUUUAUAGGCCAAGGUCAAGAUGACACUUGGCAACAUCUAAGAGGUCUUCCGAAUGCUUCUUCAUUAAGGAAUCUGGAGAAAAUACAUUUUCGCACGAGCCUUAGCAAUUUCGCAUGAUGGUGCGAAGUGGAAAAUCCAUCAGCUUAUUUUUUGUCUUUCUGGAGCGUUUUGCAUGACUGUGCGAAAUUUUUGCAUGGUCAUACAAAAUUGCUUUUUACUUUUCCCUUAGUAUGCUGCAGCCAAGCCUAUUCUAUUUCAUUUCGCAUGACUAUGCGAAAUUGAAAAACAUGUUUUUUCGACUCCUCUUUGCAAUUCUUCCCAUUUCUUCAUUUUUAAUCCACCUCUACCACCUUCAAUUUAGCUCCAAAUCCCAAUCCAAACUAAUUGCAUUGCUUCUUUCAUUAUGCAUUUGGAUCAUCAUUAACUUUAUUUGUUUUCUUCAAUUUGAUUCAUCUCUUUUGUCACCAAUUUAUCAAAAUCAUACCUUAAAAUGACUCCAAAACUUCAUAAAACUUGUUAGUAACUAUUGCAAGGGCAAAAACAUGUUAAUUGAGUGUUUUAGGCAUAAUUACUACUCAAAAGAUGUGAAACUCAUGAGAAUUAUUAUCUAAAAUAUGCUCUUUUUGAGUAGUAAUCACAUUGCAACACCCUUAUUUUGUUAUACCCAUUUGUAUGCUUAUCCUUUACAUAAGGAGCUUGUCUGACACCUUUAUAGAAGCGGACAAAAAGCAUGGCUUGCUUGUAGAUCCAGUGCAACUUUCAGUAACACCCAACCCCUAUCAUUUUGACCCAAAAGGAUCUAUACCUAUGAUCAUUGAACUCAUUCCAUUUUGAGAACAAUCUUCAUGAACUCAUAAACGAAAUAACUUAUUGAAACUGAAGGUAGCACCUGUGGUAAGCCGAUUUCAAUAUAUCAUGCACACCAUAGAAAAUUGCACCUGAAGGUGCCAUACUUAUAGUGGAAGGCACCAAACCCUUGUAAAUGGAGAAGAAUCCUUCAGUUCGGAUCAUAUGGAGGAAAUGCCAAUAACACUACCCAAGGCUUUACCACCCGGUGCCACCAUCUUGGUCUGGAUUUAACAUGGUACCCAAUAGUAAGCGGAGUAUGGUAGUAGUAAUUCUAGCUGCAUCACCAGCAAUUGUCUUAAUUAGCUCAAAUAUAUGCUUCUGUUCACCAUGAACUAUAUAUUCCAGCUUUAGUCUCCUUUGAUUGCAUAUCAUUUCCUCCACAAAACUUUCGUUUACUAUCAUCAAACUGCCAUCCUAUACCACAAUGGUCCCAUCAACCCUACUGACCAUCCAAAUGUCAUUAAAUGAGCUAGAAGCUGGGGACUCUCAACAGCAAGAGCACCUUGAGGUUGAAUGAAUUUAGAAUAACCCACUGAAAACUCUUAUAUAGCUUCUUUAGGUGGAGAUGAGGAAGGAGAAUAGCCAAAAUAGAGCACAACAGAGUGAGCAAAGCAUUAAGUGGGAUCCCCCUUUCAUAUUGAAAUCAAGGGGUUCCAGCCAGUGGUGCAACAGGAGAGUUUAAAACAAAGAUCCAAAUGAGAGCAUCAAUAAACUCCCACCAUGGGAGUGAGCCAUAUUCAAAAAAACAAAUAUAAGAGAAAAGUAAUGCAUCAUCACAUACCCAGACAAUCGUCCAAUGCUUAGAAAAAAAAAAAAACCAAAACAACCAGAGAAGAUGGAAGAUAAAGAAAACAGAGUGAUGAGUGAAAAUAAUCCAAAAAGCUAUAUCAAAUGUACCUAGAAAUGCUCUUUCCAAUUUUCUUUUCUUCCCAACUACCUUCAGCAAACUAGAUUUGCUUUCUCUCCUCUGCUCCUAAUCAAACUACACCCUCAAGCAAUCUGAAAAAUGCAAUCCUCUCUCUCACAACCUCAGCGCACCAACCAUCUCUACUUCUCUCAUUGUUGCUCCAACUCCUUACAAAAAUAUCCCCUCUUUGUCUCUCCUCCCAAGCUCUUUCUCUCUCUCUCUCUCUCACUUCUCCUCAGCUAUGCUCUCUCAAUCCCUCUAAAAAAAAACAUCCUUCUCUCGCUCCUCUGUAACCUCAAACUUUUCUCUCAAGCUAAAGGAAACUUCUCCCCCCGAUAUCUCCUCUCCUCCCUAGCAACCAAAAAUACCCCUCCUCUGCCAGAAUGCCUCACCUUCUCUCUCCUACGCUCCUCCAUAACGGCCUGAAGAUUCUUAUGCCAUGCAUCAGCCGCUGAUUGCCUUCAGAAAAGAUCACUGCCUAUCCAUCCUCUCAUGCACAUGUUGCCAAAAAUAAAAAAAGGUGGUAAAGAAUGCUCCCUAAAAUGCCCUUACCUAUAAACCAAAACGAGGGUUUUACAGGCGCACAAUAUUUGUGGAAAAAUAUUCUUUGCUGAAGAAUAUUUUUUAAAGAUCAAUUGAAAGCCUAAAGCAGCUUGUUCCCAAAUGAAUUUAUUGAAUGGUGAAAAACACGUGUGUUGCGAUUUUUUGGAUUUGUAGGGGGUAUUUUAUAAAGCUUUUUUCUCUUUGUGAAACUCCUUUUCAUAUGUGAAAUUGUUUUAUUUUUAUUUUAUCAUUUUCAUUGAAGGAAGUUGCAAAUAUUUAUAGAUAAAAUUUUAAAAAAUAAAUUUAGAAUUUCUAAGAUUUGAUUACUUAAUUAAAAAAAAAAAUUGGUUUCUUGAUUUUAGCAACUUGUCUUCUUCAUUAAGGAAGUUUGCUAACAAGAGAAUAUUUACUUCUCAUUUUAUUUUGACUUCAAUUGGAAGACUUGUUUCAUUUGUUUACAAAAUUUUCCAACAAGAAAAUAUUUAUUUCUAAUUCUCUUUUGAUUUCAAUUGUUUGAUUUGAUUUGAUUUUGCAAGACUUUAUUUUAUAGCCUUCCAAAUUUCACUACGUGUCAUUUUUUGAAUUGAAUGCCACAUGCUCAAUAUAUAUGACUCAUCACUUAUUAAGCCUGAGUUUUGUUGAGCUAAAGAGUUACAAUUUUGAAGACUAAUUUGGUAGUAUUUUAAUCCACUAAAAUUUUUUGUCUACAAAUGCCCCCUCUUCAAAAUAGAUCACACACAUGCAUUGUAAUGUAUAAGAGGUGAGUCUUGAAGUUAGCCUUUUGAAUCUUCAAUAUCCUUCUUUGAUUUUUUUUUUCGAAGAAAUAUUUUAAUAGGAAUUUCCUAUUCAAAAUACUUUUCUUCAACUUUUUUCGAACAUUGCUUUAUUUAUUUAUUUUUUUUCUACCUCGUAUCAAAGAAAAACCUUGUGUUAAUGGGAAAGCUUCUUAUUUGAACAUCUAUUGUCUUUUCUCAUGGUAUUUCACUUCCAAUUUGUCAACCUAGAAGAAGUCCUUCACCCUAGCUUGUUCAAUUGCAUCUUAGACUUGGUCACAUGCCUUUAACUUGCAAUUCUUCCUCCACUUUGUCUUUUUCUUUUUUAUUUGUUUAAAAAAUAGUACAAAAUAUUUGAGCAAGACCAUAAGCAAGAGAAGAGAGGUGGUGAAUGGAGCACCAACUAACCUUAGGUCAAGAUCUUGAGCAAGAGAAGUAAGGUGGAGCGUAGAGCACAAACUUCUCUAGAGCAUGGUAGGCAUACCAUCAUGGAGUUGUCUUCUGCAUGGAGCAUGGUAGGGCAUUAUAUAUAUGAUAGGGUGGGCCAUUAUGUAACAAUGAAGAACAAAAAUCCAUGGUGUACAAUUGGGAACAACAAUUCAUGCUAUCAAGCUUCAACCUUUUUUUUUUUGUUUUUUUUUUAAUCCCUAUCUCCACCCCCCGACCCAAUAUUUUUUCAAGUUUCCAGAUUCCUUUUGAUUCUUUCUCAUUUUAUUUUUUUCAACUCUUUUUUUUCCUCCCUUUUUAACCAUUGUUUUUAAGGAAGAAAUAGAUUCACCAUCCCUUACCACAAGGUCAAUCUCCAUUGCUUGCAAAGACAAAUUUGCUUUUUGGUGUUUUUUUUCUUCAAAAAUUAUCUUAACAUUUUAAGAUAUAUAUAUAUAGAUAUAGAUAUUUAAAAAACUUAAAUAUCCAUAAUAAAAAUAAAUAUUUAAGGCUCUUGACUUGUUUAAAUUGGCUUGACUUGGAUACUUAGCGGGACCAUACUUAACACCCAUGUAGAUGAGCUAUAAUCUUGAUGGUAGGUUGUGUUGUAUUUUUUGACAUUUAAUGUGGCUUAAGAGUUAAAGUCUUCACUCAUGCAAAUUAGCUUGGUUUGGAUGCACAAUGGUCUCUAACUUCUUAAUGCUUAAUUAAACUUGGAACCAUAUUUAACACCCAUGUAGACAAGUCAUAAUCAUGACAUGGAGCACUAUUUUAUUUUAACUCUUAAUGCAACUUAAAUAUUAAAGUCUUCACUCAUACAAAUUAACUUGGGUUAGAUGCACAAUGGUGUUCAACUUGGUAAAAUUAAUUAAAAUUGAAACAUUUAACACCCAUGUAAACAAGUCAUAACUUUCACAUGGAACAGUGUUGUAUUUUUAGCUUAAUGUCGCUUAAGUGUUAAAGUCUUCACUGAUGUAAAUUAGCUUGGCUUAGAUGCAUAGUAGCAUUCAACUUUUUAACACUUAAUUUAAAUUCAUACCAUAUUGAAAACCCAUGUGGACAAGACAUAAUGAGAAAAUAAAUGGCUAAUCUAAAUAGAUAAAAAUACCUAACAAGGAAGGAGGGGGGUGAAUUGGAGUUUAAAAAAAAAAUAUAUUUUUAAACACAAUAAAAUUAAGUACAAGAAGCACAAAUAUAAAGAGAUAAGUUAUAGAAAUCAAACUCAGAUUUAUAGUGGUUCGACACUUCCUUGCCUACAUCCACUCUCCUCAAACUCCUAACCGAGUGAGGGUUCCACAUAUACUUGAAGCUUCAACCAAGCUUCUAAUCACUUUUUACACUUGGAUUUUAGCUCCAAUGGGCUCUUACACAUUCUCUUCAAGUCUCUACUCACUUGAAGAUUUUAACACACAAUUAACAGUUUGAAACUCUCAACCUAGCUCAACAAUGGCUCAAAUACAACUCAAGGCUAGGAUGAAUCACAAAGGUGCAUUAAAUAAUAUGCAAAUGAAGAUUUAAUGCACUGAGAAAAGAAUGAGAGCUUUUAUGGCAAGAACAAGUAGGUAAACAAAUCAAUGGAGGUGUUCUCUUACUCAUAAAUGAAGUGGAACUCUCAAUUUAUAGGUUUCUAAUCUCGGAAGCUAAAAAACCAAAAAGUAACCUCGAUUGGUCGAGUUAGGGGUCGACAGGUUCACUAGUCGUUAGAGCAUUAAAUGCGUGGCAGGUGAUCGUUACCCUCGACCGGACCUUGACUGGGAAGGCAAAUCUCUCAACUGGGAAAGAAAGGCUAUUGGAAGAGAGAAGGCUUUUUGCAUCUUUUGACUAGACCUCAACCGAGAAGGAGCAACUGAUCGACCAGUACCCUAGCCGGUUGAGCCGGUUGGCCAGUGCCUCAACCAAUUCACCAUUUUUUGGCCCUAAAACCUAUCUUUUUGUGGUCUUUUUUGCUUCUAACACUUAAACAAGGUCUUUAGGUAAAAUAAUAUGUCAAUUUUGAAACGCUUUGCCUAAGGUUCAUUUGAUAGAACUCGGAUUUUGAUGGAAAUGUGACUUUAAUGCGUAAACCGAGUUUUAAAAGAUGUAUGAAAUGAUAUGAAAAUUCUAAGUACACUCAUGCAUUCAUUUUACAUAGUUUUCUAUAAUUAAAAAGUCUUUCAAAAGUCUUGAUCUUGCAUCCAUUAGAUCAUUUGAUUAAUUUCCAAAUUAAUAUUUGAAAUUCUUUAUAAUUCAAACCAAUUAGUAACUUAACCAUGGUUUGUUAUCAUCAAAACAUGAUUAGGAGAACCCUUGGGCUAACACAUAACAUUGUAGCAAUGUUAUAUUUUUUACACUUAAUGCAGUUUAAGUUCUAAAAUCUUCAUUUCUAUGAAUUGGUUCACCUUGGAUGCAUAGUGGUGUCUAAAUUAUAAUACUUAAUUAAAAUUGAAACCAUAUUUAACACCCAUGUAGACAAGUCAUAACUUUGACAUGGAGUGGCAUUGCAUUUUUGACACUUAAUGCAACUUAGGUGCUAAACUUUUCACUCAUGAGAAUUGGUAUGGGUUGGAUGCAUGUGGUGUCGAACUUUUUAACACUUAAUUAAAAUUGGAACCAUAUUUAACACUAUCUAGAUAAGUCAUAACCUUGAUGUGAAGCGACAUUGUAUUUUCAACACUUAAAGCAACUUAGGUGCUAAAGUCUUCACCCAUGCAAAUUAGUUCAUCUUGGAUGUACAAUGGUGUCCCAUUUUUUAACAUAUAAUUAAAAUUGGAACCAUAUUUGACACUCAUGUAGACAAGUCUAGCCAUGAUGUAAAGUAGUGUUGUAUUUUUAAAACUUAAUGCAGCUUCAAUGGUAAAGUUUUUACUCAUGUGAAUUGGCUUGAUUUGGAUGCACAAUGAUGCCUAACUUUUUAACAUUUUAUUAAAUUUGGUAUCAUAUUUAACACCUAUGUAGACAAGUCAUAACCUUAAUGUAGAGGUGCUGUAAUAUUUUUGGUACUUAAUGCCGCUCAAGUGCUAAAGUCUUCACUCAUGUGAAUUUUUUUGGUUGAGAUGGACGUCUCUAACAUUUUAACAUUUAAUUAAAAUCAGAAUCAUAUUUAACACUCAUGUAAAAAAGUCAUAACCUUGACACAUAGUAAUAUGCAAUGUUUUAACAUUUAAUAUGACUUAAGUGCUAAAGUUUUCACUCAUGUGAAUUGGCUUGGCUUGGAUGCAUAAUGGUGUCUAACAUUUUAACACUGAAAUUAAAAUUAGAGUUAUAUUUAAUAAUCAUGUAGACAAGUCAUAACCUUGACGAGAAGCAAUAUUGUCAUUUUGACACUUAAUAUUGCUUAAAUGCUAAAGGCUUCACUCAUGCAUAUUGACUUAGCUUGGAUGAACAAUGGUAGCUAACUUUUUAACACUUCAUUAAAUUUGGAUUAUGGUUAACAUCCAUGUAGAAGAGUGAUAAACUUGAUGCAAAGUGAUGUUAUAUUUUUGGUACUUAAUAUAGCUUAAAUACGAAAAUCUUCACUUCUAAUAAUUAACUUGGCUUGGAUGCAUAGUGGUGUCCUACUUUUUAACUCUUAAUUGAAAGUGAAAUCAUAUUUAACAUCCAUUUUAUGCUAGUCAUAAACUUGAUAUAGAGCAAUGUGCAACUUUUUAACAUUUAAUGCAACUUAGGUGCUAAAGUCUUUACUCAUAUGAAUUAACUAAACUUAGAUGCAUAUUCGUUUCCAACUUUUUUAAUACCUAAUUAAAAUUAAAACCAUAUUUAAAAACCAUGUAGACAAAGGCAUAAUCUUAACAUGGAGCAGUGUAUAACUUUUAGCACUUAAUUAAAAUUGGGAUUAUACUUCACAACCACAUAUUCCUCCUCCUAUUUUUCAAUUUUUUCUUGUGGUGAUGAUUGAACUCAACUAGUUUGUCCAAGUUACCUGCAUACCUUAACAGAGAGGGGAUCAAGUCAAACUUAGUUCAAAGUAUUUUUUUAAUAUCUAACUUUUGCCAAGGCUAAUGAUUUUAAUCUUGAAAGCUUGUCUUAACUUUUGACUAUAUAUGUAGUGUUUUCAAGUUUCAAUUUAGCGACCUAUGAAUUGUACAAAUUGAAAAUGACUUCACUCAUGUGUAAAAAUAAAAGAUAUUCAUUCAUAGUUUUAGGGCAACGAAAAGUAAUCGACCCUUUUUUGCAUUAUUAUUAUUAUUGUUGUUGUUAUUAUUAUAAUUAUUAUAUUACCUUAAAAAAAAGACCUUCUCCAAAAAAUUUAAUCUACAAGUACUUGGAUUCUAUUUGAAUAUAAAAAGAGCCACUCAUAUGCAUGAAUUAAAUAUAUGUCCCAUGGAUAAGUUGUACUUAGCCACGGCUGAAGCUUUCCAUUAUGACUUGAAGGGAAAAAAAAAGAGAGGAGAAUAAUGUCAUUAAAAAACUGAUUGCCAUGUGCCUAUGCCUGCCAGUAGAUGGCUGAAAACUAGUUCUAUUCUUUUGUUUUUGCCUCUACUAAUGAACCAUAAUUGAGAGAUUCAUUGGCAACUAUCGUAUAAACAAUGGUUCAUAAAUUACUUUUAAAUUUUGAUAGCAAAGACUCAAAAUGUAAAACCAUAAAAAAUUUGUUCUAUUCCCAAAUUUUUUUAAAUAAUAAAUUAAUGCACAUGACUGUUUUCACAUCUUAUUCUCAUUUCUAUCAAUGCAAUAAUUGUAAUCAUCUUAUCUAUUAACAUGGCCUAGAGCCAUAGAGCUUCCUUUUCUUUAGUCCUAGAGCCAUUUCAGCUAAGAGUAGUCUUUCCUUAGCAUUUCCGGUCCAAAGCUUCCAUUUCUUUAGGCCUAGAGGCAUUUUCAGUCCAGAGCUGCUGUUUCUUUCGGCCUACAACCAUUUUCAGCCUGAAGCUGCCUUUCUUUAGCAUUUUCAGCCCAGAGCUACCUUUCCUUGGCAUAUCAGCCCAAAGCUUCUAUUUCUUUAGGCCUGGAGCCAUUUCAACAUACAACAUUGGUUUCUUUGGCCGGGCCUUGAGCCCUUUUCAACCCAGAACUGUCAUUUCUUCUAAAUAACUUCUCUUUUAAAAAACUUCAAUUUGUCUUUCCAAUAAAAAAAUUUAAGGCUUUGUUCUAGGUUUCAAGAAGCUGGCAUAGAAAAAAAAAAGGAAAAAAAAAAUUCUUGAUGGCAUAAAGUAGGACAUGGCCGGGAUAGUUUGAAAUACAUAAUUUUCCCCAUUCAAAUGCAAAACAUAUUAAAAGAACAUUUGGCAUGAUUUUAUGAAGUGAUUCUAUCUUUUCUAAUACUUCAAAGUUAUGAAGUGAUUCUAUCUUUUCUAAUACUUCAAAGAUAAAUUUUUUUGAAGUAUUAGAAAAAUUAGAAACAUUUCUUAAAAUCACUACCCUUAACUAUAUUUAGAUACUUUAACCAUUUCAAAUGCUACAUGUUGUUUCCUUCUACAUUUCCUCUUUAUUUUGUUUUUCUCUUACAUUUUUCCUCAAAUUUUCUAAAAACCAAACAUAACCUAAAAGAAAAGAUAAUUUGACUUAUUUUGAAAGUUCUUUAUAUAUAUAGUUUAUAUGGAAAAUUGUUUCAUGUUAAUUUAAUAAAGCAUUUAUAAUAUUGAGAUCGCUCUUUCAUAAUCAUAAAUUAACCUUUAGUUUCAACUUCUACAAGAGGCUAAAUGAAAAAAGCUAUCACAGAGGAGGCCUCAGCCAAUGAGUAAGAUGCACUGUUGUACCAAACAAUAGGUGGAAAAUACAAUUUUAUUAAGACUCUGAGACAAAAAAAAAAAAAAAAAGGAUGAUUUUACACUCAAAACAAGGAUUUAUUUAUAAUGAAGUGCAGUCUCCAUAUGCACAUGUGACUGCAUUUACAGCAUAAAGAAAGACAAGGAAAUUAACAAAUGUUGGACUCAUUGGAAAAUCAUACAAAUUAUUGAAGGAGGACCUUAGCUAAGCUAACUGUCUCCUAAAUUGCCCAUCUUUUAUAUAUAUUUGCAUUCAUCCGUCUCAUCAUCGUCUUUGAUUUUAGAUGGUGAGGAUGUGAAAGUAACAGGAAGCAGUGGACGAUUGUUCACUGUGAGGCUUAGCACAUCAGCUCUCGAAUAAUGUCCUACCACAUCGAACUGGAACUUUGCUUUAGGAAUCUCUCCACGAACAUCUGCAUAUCAAGUGAUCAUCAAAAUAUUUGAUCAGCCCUUUUAAAUAUCAGAGAGUAUCAAGUCUUCCAUAAAACCGUGUUUGCAGUCCUUUUAAACCUAAAGAAUUCACUCAUUUGCCUUAUCUGCAUACUGAAAUAUUUGGAUAUACAAUUGGAGAAGUUAGGGCCAUACCAAGAUCAGCUGUGAAGAGGCCUUCUCCUUCAUAAUUCGGUCCUGCUAGAAUUUCGCCAUGGGGCGAAAUGAUGACACUACCUCCUGCCCAAACAAUGGAAUCUGGAGUGACAUCUUCUUCUGUAGGACUGUAAAGAUACUCAGGUGGAGGUGGGUAAUCUUUCCUCCGACAGAACUGGAUGGGUGAAAGAACAUAGCAUCCACCCUCAAUAGCAACGUGUCUCAUUGUAGCUACCCAUGUAUCCCCGGAAUCGGCAGUAGGAGCACAAUAUAUCUCAAUACCUAUAGAGAUGUACAUUCGUAUUUUGUGAUCAAUCAAUCCCAUAUCAAAGCCAUAAUGUAUUUCAAGCCUAUUUAUAGGCUAAAACCCUAACAACUUAAAAAAGAGUACUGAAGUAUUUCAAGCCAAACCAUAUUAGUUAGUGAAGAAAAAGACAUACCUUUGCCAUACAUUGCUGUCCUUAGAAGCGGCAUUCUAUUUUCCCAACAAAUGACCGAACCAAGUUUUCCAUAUGGAGUGUCAUAAACUGGAGUUGUCGAGCAAUCUCCGAAACCCCAGACGAGCCGCUCCCAAUAUGUUGGCAUGAGUUUCCUAUGUUUUCCAAGGUAAUUACCUUUAGGAUCAAAGAAGAGAACAGUGCAAUACAAUGUGUAUCCCUCUCUCUCAAUAACACCUGUCACUAAGUAGACUCUGUAUUUCGCAGCCAUUGAUGCCAAUCUAUCAACUUCAGGUCCUGAAAAUACAUUAAUUUGAGAUUAAAGAUGAAACAUGUCAGCUGAAGGUUCAUCACAAAGCAGCAUAAGUAGAUUUUGUUUCAACAACUUAUUAAGUGGCUCAGUUCUUUAGCUAUUUAAGGGAGAAAAAGAGAGGUAAUUGACCCGGAACAUUAAUGGCAGAAGCAUGGUACUUGCGGAAACUUUCUUUCCCUCUUGGCGACCGGUCAGCGAAGUUAUAUCCUCGGGGAUACCCACCGAUAAAUGCUUCAGGAAACACAACCAGUUGGGAUCCCAGUGCAGCUGCUUCUUUCAAAAACCUCUCAGCCUUAUCUGCUCUCAAAAUCACAUUGCAAGAAGUAAAUUAAUUGGUUGAAUGGAGAGAAUGAAAAUUAACUUUUAAGAGAUCCCGAAUGACUUUUUGGUUGCUGAGAAAACUCAAGGAAAAACAGACCUAGAUGAAACUUGAAACUCUCAUAUUUUCAGCUGUUUUGUAACUAAGAAAAGAGAAACCACCUCAACUCAACUCAUCAAAAUAAUUGUAAAAGCAGUAAUUCCUUGAUUGGCAGCUGAAAAUAUGAUCAGGGUUCAAUCAUCCUUUUCUUUUUUUCAGUCUCUGAGAAACCAAUUAGAUCACAUAUUCCAUUACACAAGUUGCACAAUUGAAAGAAAUGGUACGUUACCUAGAGUGGCAGGAGUAUCAUAAAAGAUACUAGAAGCUUGAACAACGGUGGCUCUAACAGUUGAAGACAUUGCAGAAAAUUGUAUGUUUUUUCGUUUCCCCUUUGUUUGAGGAUUCCUCACACUGCGUUCAGUAUAUAUAUUGCCCAUGACAUUGUGGACCAGCCACUUGACUUAUACAAAUUGAAAAUGACUGAGUCAUCUGUGAAAAGCAAUUUAAGAUAACAUUCAAAAUUAAUAAGCUUUAAUUUUUAUUUAUAUAUAUAUAUACAUAAUCUACAAGUUGUUAUCAUUAUAUUUGAAUAAAAAGAGGGACCCGCCCACAUGCAUGGAUUCCAUCCAUCUAGCACACAGAUAAAUUGUCUUUAGUGGCGGCUGAGGCUUUCUAUGACUUAUACCAUAUAUCUAUACACCCCAGUAUAUAGCUAAAAACUGGGUAAUGUAUUGGCCCCUACCUAAAAUUAUUGAUUGAUUCAAUGACAGCUAUCUGAGAAAAAUAAAAAAGGGAGAACUAUUCUUACGCUUGCCUUGAUUUAAGCAAAUAUACUUUUAAUUAGGAAUUCUAAUUUUCAUAUUUUACCCCAAACAGAUAAUCAAUAAAAUUAUUCUCCAAAUAUGUAUUUUAAUAGCAACAAAAAUGAGAAUUCCAUAAUUAUCCCUUUUAAAAUCUUUAAUAUGACAAGUCGUAAUUUAAUGUGUUUGGUAGCUCUCCUUUUUCUUUUUUUCUCCUCUACAUCACUUUCUCCAUAUAAUGUCUUUGAUAUCCUCUCCAUAUCAUGUUGUUGAUAUCCUACCUUUGACAUUUUUUUUUAUCUAUGUGUUGAAGUGACUACACUUUUAGAUUUCUUUUCACUCUUUUAAUAUUUUCAUAUAUAUUUAUUAACUUUAAUAAAUUUUUGAAAACAUUAAACAUAAAAUUAUAAUAUAUGAUAAAUAAUUAAUGAUAACAAAUUAAAUAUAAAUAUAAGUAUGAAAUGGACAAAAAAUAAAAAAUUUAUCCUACAAAUAAUAGACUAUAUAGUUUAAAAUAUUAGUUAUAAUAAUAUAUUUGAUACUUUAGAGUUUAGAUUAAAAAAUUAUGUUUUAUUUUUUAGAGGUUAGCAUAUAAUAUUUCCAUUAAACAAAGAUUUUUUUAUAUGAAUCCUAAAUAAAAUGUUUAUUUAUUUUGCAAAUUCUUAUCAUAUGCGAUAUAUAUAUAUAUAUAUAUCAUGUUAUUUAUAAUUUUUAUUAUUUUGUGUCAAAAUCACAGUCAAUGAUGAUAAUUUUAGUUAGUAUAGAGCUCUUAAAAGGAUGAUAUGAUGUAACAAAUAUGAAGUUAUUAAUUAUUUACUGAUAUUCUGGUUUUACUUUUAUUAAUCCUUAUUCCAUACAUUAUAUUUUAUGAGCAUCCUAGUUUGACAUUUCUUAUACUAUACAUGGCUUAGGUGCAUUAGAAGUUGCACGGAAGAUCCAAGUUAUAGAUUCCUUUUUUAAUUCAAUAUUUUAAAAAAAAAAUUAUACUUUCAGUCAAUGUCUCAUAUUUCAAACACGUACACACUCUAGAAUUUCUCGAAUUGUAGUCUAGAAUGUCAACUUAGUGUUUGAUGAAAAAAGGUAUAAACAAAUAUAUGAAAAAAGUAAUCAACAAGCAUAGGAUUCUAUUUGAAUAAAAAAGAGCCACUUACAUGCAUUGAUAAAGGAAACUCCAACUCAGCUAGCAUACAAUCCAUGCCAAAGCAGAAUCUUUACGUAAGAAGUUGAUAAUGCAAUUUGCCAGGAAGGAAAACUACUCUCCAUAUUUGUAAUGUGGAAAAUCAAGGUUGGAAGGAAAUUUUCACUUACUUAUUCUGUAUAAUAUUCCCUUUUUUUUUUUUUUUUGUAAAGAAAGUAUGUAUUGUUUAUUUAUUUUUUAGAAAACAAUUAGUAAAGUGUGGUGCGAAUUCAACCUUUCAAAAAUAGUUUCUAUUCUUCAUGGUAUCGGAGCUAGUUAAUCUAAAACAAUCCAAAGCUUCCAUGGAAACCCCAGAAAAUGUUCUUAGCAUUCAGGCUUUUCAUCAAUGCUCGAGCCUCAUCUCCAUCAAACUGAAUAUGUCCAAUCUCCUUUUGUGGCACUCACAAGUUCUUCCUCUUGUGCGAAGCCUUGGAUUAGUCCAUCAUCUCUCUGAAAAUAGACACGCAUAAGAGGGGAUAAUGGAUAGUGAAACAAAGGAGACCUAUGAUUAGUCAAUAGAGACAUGGUCUCACAAUGAUGAUCUACUUACCUCCUGGCUUCUUGGACCCAUGACAGAAGAAGUGAUUCUUUUAUUGGAUGGAACAGAGAUUGCCUAUGAUGUUUGGAACUCUCUGGAAGAAAAACUCCUUCCAAUGACCAAAGAGAAGGAUAUGCAAUUGACCAAUAGACUCCGAGGGCUGAAGAAAGGCACAAGGUCCCUUGAUGAAUAUCUAAGGGAGUUCAAAGAAAUUUUUGAUGCAUUAGCUACAGUUAGAAAACCAGUAAGUGACCUAGACAAAGUUUUUCAACUAGCUCAAGGUCUCAUAACUAAAUACAUGGAUUUUCGGGUGGCCAUGUUAUCAAAGCCACCAUAUCCCUCUUACAAUCAAUUUGUUCUGGCUCUACAAGGGCAUGAACAAAUGAUUAUGAUAGAAAAUGAAGAGAACAAAGAGUCAAUAAACCAUGAACAAGCCUAUUUUACCCAAUGAGGAAGACGAAGAAAUCAAGGAGGAAGAUUUCUUUCUAGAGGUCAUGACUUCAUUCUAGCAAGACGAUUCAAUCACAAUGCUACCAAUGACCAAAGGCAGAAUGUUCAUCCCAACACCAGAAAUCCAAGAAAUAGCUUCAACAACCAGCUUCCACCAGAACAAAAACUCCAAAAAUCUAAAGGUACUCUUAUUUACCAAAUUUUUAAUAAAGCUAACCAUUCAGCUUUGGAUUGCUAGAACAGAUUCAACUAUUUGUAUCAAUCAGAAGAGAUUCCUCAAGCUUUGGCUGCUAUGGCUCUAAAUGAAGAAGAUAAGGAUCCUAAUUUUUAUGUGGACUCGAGAGCAAAAACCCAUAUAACAAAUGACCUAGGUAAGAUUACCCAAGUAAUUCCAUAUAAAGGGCAUGAUGCAAUUUUUGUUGGAAAUAGAGAAGCUGUAAGAAUCUCACAAAUUGGUGAAGCUAGACUAAAAACUAAACAUAUAGAUCUAAAGCUUAAAAAAUUAUUGGUUAUUCCAAAAAUUAAGAAAAAAUUGUUAUCCAUUGGACAACGUACCUCUGAUAACCCAUGCUCCAUAGAAUUCUCAUCAACUAGUUUUGUCAUUAAGGAUCAACUUCAACAAGUGCUAGCUAGAGGAACUAAGAAGAGAGGUCUCUAUGCAUUGGAGGAAAAUGUGAUUCAAGCCAUGAUAGUUACUAGGUCUAGCAAGGCACCAUAAGAAGUGUGGCAUCAACGCAUGGGGAAUCUGCAAACAAAAUCUAUAAAGCUUCUACAAGAUAAGAAUUUCAUUGAAGUAUCUAGUUGGAUGAAAUCAACAAUAGUUUGUGUUAGUUUUCAAUUAGGAAAAAGUUGUAAAGUUUCUUUUGGCUUAAAAAAUAAAAUUUCCAGCAAUCUUCUUGAAAAAAUUCAUUGUGACUUAUGGGGACUUGCACCAAAUAAUUCAACUCAAGGAUACAAGUAUUAUGUUGUCUUUAUUGAUGAUCAUACUCACUAUACAUGGCUUUAUCCCUUGAGAAGAAAAUCAAAUUUCUAUGAAUGUUUUUUGAAGUUUCAAAAUCUGGUUGAGAAUCAACUUGAAAGAUAGAUAAAAAUCUUCCAAAGUGAUGGUGGAGGUGAGUUUCAAUCAAUUAAAUUUCAAAAUCACCUAAGCAAGUGUGGAAUUUUGCAACGAGUCUCAUGCCCAUGAACUCCAGAACAAAAUGGGGUUGUAGAGAGAAAGCAUAAACACAUUGUUGAAAUGGGUUUAACAAUGCUUUUCAAUGCCAAAUUACCAUUGAGUCUAUGGGUAGAUGCAUUCCAUACUGUCGUAUACCUUAUUAAUCGACUGCCUUCCAUGGUGUUGAAAAUGUAGAGUCCAUUCUUUAUGUUUUUCAAACAAUAUCCAGAAUAUAGGAGCUUGAGAAUUUUUUGUUGUCGAUGUUUUCCAUACCUUUGAGACUACGGGAAGAAUAAAUUCUCACCUAAGAUAUCUCCAUGUGUUUUUAUUGGAUAUAGCUCUCUACACAAGGGUUAUAGAUGCUUGCAUCCUUCAACUAAAAGAGUUUACAUAUCUCAUCAUGUCAUCUUCAAUGAAAAUUGCUUUCCUUAUGCUAACUCUCUUGUUAAGAAAAAUCAUUUACAGAUUCCUAUAGAAAUGGUAUCAUUCUCAACUUCAGAUGUUUUUUGUGAGACUUAAAAAAUGGAUCACCAAACUAAGUCUUGGAAGGAGAACACUGCUAACCAAUCAAGCAACUCCAAGAAGUUCAACCAUUGGUCAUGCACUACUAGGUAAAGAAACUGGUUUAGUGUUGACGGAAGAAUUUCUACUAGUUGUAUUACUAACCAAAAUACAAAAGCAUCAUGUGUUAAUCCGACUGGAACUCCCACUACUAUUACUGUUGAAAUUUCCACUAUUGUUACUAGUAAAAAUGACCAUAAUACCGUCAUUACUACUGAAACUCCCACUGAUGUUGCUCUUGGUUCUAGUGGCCACAAUUUCAACACUGCAACUACUAUUGGAACACUCUCCUAGAUUGAGUCUACUAGUAGCUACAAGCCUGCCAAUGUUAGUAAUUUUCCUUAUAUCAGUAAGCACCUAGUAGUUGAUCUCUCUUUCCCUUAAAAAUGGCAGAAAAAUGAGCAUGUUGGUUCAUCUCCGCAAAACAAAUCCACCAGUCACAGUGUUGAUGAUGAAGUUCCUGAUAUUAGCAAGCAAAUUGUUGUUGACAUCUCUUCUCCUCAGGGCUAACACAUAGAUAACAAAGAAACUCAUAUGAUCACCAGAAGUAAACUCAAGAAUGAUCCCAGUUUAAAGUCUCAAAUGGUUACUUUUGUUGCCAUAAGAAGUAAUAUUAGUGAGCCAAAAACAUAUUGUACAACAUUGAAAAUUCCCUAUUGGUUCAAACAAUGCAAGAGGAAAUUAAGGAUUUAAUCCAAAAUCGAACAUGGGAUUUGGUUCCUAGGCCUCCAACUGCAAAUAUUGUGGGUUCUAAAUGGGUGUUUAAAACAAAGCUAAAGGAAGAUGGAACCAUAGAUAGAUACAAAGCACAAUUAGUUGCUAGAGAUUUUUCUCAAAUACCGGGUUUGGACUUUGGAGAGACCUUCAGCCUAGUUAUAAAGCAUACUAUAAUCAGAUUGAUCCUUUCAUUAUCAGUAACCUUGGGGUGGACAAUGAGGCAAUCAGAUGUUAAGAAUGCCUUCAUACAUGGGUUUCUAAAGGAAAAAGUACUCAUGGAACAACCUCCAGGAUUUAUAAACAAGGACUUUCUGAAUCAUGUCUACAAAUUGAAUUGUUCUCUUUAUAGCCUUAAGCAAGCUCCAAGGGCCUAGUUAAAUAAACUAUUUCAAUGUCUUCUUCAUCUGGGGUUUUACUGUGGUAAAAUAGACUCGUCUUUAUUUAUUCUUCGCAAAGGUCAGUCUAUUGUUUUGCUACUUAUCUAUGUUGAUGAUAUUAUAGUCACAGGCAAUGAUAACAACAUCAUUAGUGACCUCAUCAGCACCCUGAGUAGUGAAUUUUCUCUCAAGGACUUAGGAUUUUUGCAUUAUUUUUUGGGAUUGGAGGUUAAAUAUCUUCUUAAUGGGUUGUUUCUUUCUCAAACAAAGUACACUAGAGAUCUCCUAGAGCACACAAAAAUGAUGGAGUGUACUCAUAUCAACACAUCCAUGGCUCUUAAGUCCAUCAUCACACCUUCUGAUGAACAACCUAUUGAUCCUACAUGAUAUAGGUAACUUGUUGGAUUCCCCUAAUAUUUAACCUUCACAAGGCUUGAUUUUGUGCAUGCAGUAAACAAGGCCUACCAACAUUUCCAAGCACCCACUAAAGUUGACUUGCAAGCUGUCAAACGCAUCCUUAGAUAUUUGAAGGAAACAAUGGAGCAUGGAAUCAGGUUUUUCAAGCAAAGUUCGCUUCGUCUCACUGGUUUUUGUGAUGCUGAUUGGGCAGGAUGCACAAACACAAGAAGAAGCACAUCUAGGUAUUAUAUUUUUCUAGGAGCCAAUUGUAUCUCAUGGUCCUCAAAGCGACAACCUACAAUUUCUAGAUCAAGCACCGAGGCCAAAUAUCGAUCCCUUGCGUCCAGUGCUGCAGAAAUAACUCGGCUUACUUUCCUUCUCCAUGAUAUUGGCAUUCAACUAUGUGAACCUUCUCAAUUUCUAUGCGAUAACCUCAGUGCCCUUCACAUGACAGUACAUCUCGUCUUCCAUGCAUGGUCCAAGCAUAUUGAGUUGGACUAUCAUUUUAUUCGGAAAAAAAGUUGCAAGUGGAGUUUUGAUUACUUGUUUCCUUCCAUCGUCCUUACAAGUAGCUGAUAUAUUCACAAAGACACUCCCUAAGACUUCAUUCCAAGUCUUUCGAUUCAAGCUAGGAGUGCACAAGUUACCACUCACUAGCUUGCAGGGGGCUAAUAAAGGAAAGUCAAACUCAACUAGCAUACAAUCCAUGCCAAAGCAAUCUUUACGUGAGAAGUUAGUAAUGCAAUCUGCUAGGUAGGAAAACUACUCUCAAUAUUUGUAAUGUGGAAAAUCAAGGCUGGAAGGAAAUCUUCACUUACCUGUUCUGUAUAAUAUUCCCUUUUCUAUGCAAAUAAAGUAUGUAUUGUUUAUUUAUUUUUUAGAAAAAAUCAGUAAAGCGUGGUACAAAUUCAAUCUUUCAAAAAUAGUUUAUGUUCUUCAUGCAUGGAUAAUAAAUCCCAUGGAUAAAUUGUAUUUAGCAGCGGCUGAAGCUUUCUAUAUGACUAAAGAGAAAAAAAGUCAUUAAAAAACUAAUUGCCAUGUGACUACGUCUACCAGUAGAUAGUUGAGAACAAGGUCUAACUCUUAACCUUUUGUACUACCUUUACAAAGGAACACAAAAUUGAGAGAUUCAAAGGCAACUAUAGUAUAAAUAUUGUUUCAUAAAUUACUUUUCAAAUUUAAUUUGAUAACAAAAAUUUAGAAUACAAAAGUAUGAAAAAUUUGUUCCAUUCCCAAAAUUUUUGCAAAUAAAAUUUUAAAGUAAUAAAUUAACACCAUGACUCUUUUCACAUCUUAUUCUCCUUUCUAUCAAAGAAAUGAUAGUAAUAAUCUUAUCUAUAAAUUUUAAAUGAGGCAAGAUCAUUGAAUUUUUAUUUUCUUUUAUUUUCUUGUUAUGUAAUUAUCAAACACAUUUUUUUUUUAAGACAAAAAAAAAUUAGACUGAAGAAAUAUAUUUUUGCCCUGAUUUAGUCACUUGGAUUGCAAUUCGAAGGAUGGAAAUAAAAGUGUAUUCUUGGAGUUAAAGAUCAAUUGAAAGCUUAAAGCGGCUUGUUCUCGAAUGAAUUUAAUGAAUGACGAAGAAUACAUGUGUUGUAAUUUUUUGGAUUUGUAGGGGAAUUUUAUGAAGCUCUUUUCUCUUUGUCAGGCUUCUUUUUUUGUAUGAUUUUUUUUCUUCAUCAUUUUCAUUCAAGGAAGUCGCAUAUAUUUAGAGAUGAAAUUAAAAAAUUAAAUUUAGAAUUCCUAAGAUUUGAUUACUUAAUUAAAAAAAAUUGGUUUCUUGAUUUUAGCAACUUGUCUCCUCUAUUAAGGAAGUUUGCUAAUAAGAGAAUAUUUAAUUAUCAUUUUCUUUUGACUUCAAUUAGAAGAUUUGAUUCGUUUGUUCAUAAAAUUUGAAAACAAAAAAAAAAAUUAUUUCUAUUUUUUUAUUUCAAUUGUUUAAUUUAAUUUGAUUUUGGAAGACUUUAUUUUAUAGUUUUCCAAAUUUUGUUACAUGUCAUUUUUUGAAUUGCAUGUUACAUAUUCAAUAUACAUGACCCAUCACUUAUUAAGCAUAAAUUUCGUUGAGCUAAGGAGUUACAAUUUUGAAGACUAAUUUGAUAGUAUUUUAAUCCACUAAAAUUUUUUAUGUCUACAAAUGCCCCGUCUUCAAGACAAACACACACAUGCAUUGUCAUGUAUAAAAGAUGAGUCUUGAAGUUAGCAUUUUGAAUCUUUAAUAUCCUUCUUUGAUAUUUUUUUUUUCAAAGAAAUAUUUUAAUAGGAAAUUUCCUAUUUCAAAAUACCUUUCUUCAACUUUUUCCAAAAACGACUUUAUUUUCUUCCUUUUUUUCUACCUGGUAUCAAGGAAAGACUUUGUGUUAAUGGGAAAGUUUCUUAUUUGAACAUAUAUUUGCUUUUCUCAUGGUAUUUUCACUUCCAAUUUAUCAUCCUACAAGAAGUCCUUCACCCUUGGUCGAUUGUAUCUUAGACUUGAUCACAUGCCUUUAACUUGUAAUUCUUGCUCCACUUUAUUUAUUUUAUUUUAUUUUAUUUUAUUUUUAAAAAAGAAUACAAUGUAUAUGAGCAAGACCUUGAGCAAGAGGAGCAAGGUGGAGGGUGGAGCAUGAGCUAGCCUUAGGGUAAGACCUUGAGCAAGAGAAGUAAUGUGGAGUGUAGAUCACAAACUUCUCUGGAGCAUGGUAGGCAUACCGUCACAGAAUUGUCUUCCACAUGGAGCAUGGUAGGGUUUAUACAUAUGAUAGGGUGUGCCAUCAUGUAACAAUGAAGAACAACAAUCCAUGGUGUACAAUUGGGAACAACAAUUCAUGCUAUCAAGCUUCAACAUUUUUUUUUACCCCCAUCUCCAUUUUUUCAACUUCUUUUUUUUUUUUUUGUCCUUUUUUUUUCCCUUUUUUUAAGCAUUGUUUUUAAGGAAGAAAUAGGUUUGCCAUCCCUUACUAUGAGGUCAAUAUCCAUCACUUGCAAAGACAAAUUUGCUUUUUGAUAUUUUUUCUUCUUCAAUAAUUAACUUAACAUUUUAAUAUAUAUAUAUAUAUUUUAACAAACUUGAAUAUUCAUAAUAAAAUAAAUAUUUAAUGUCUUUACUCAUCCAAAUUAGCUUGACUUGAAUACUUAGUAGAUCCAUACUUAACACCCAUGUAGACGAGCUGUAACCUUGAUGGCAGGUUGUGUUGUAUUUUCGACACUUAAUGUGCCUUAAGAGUUAAAGUCUUCUCUCAUACAAAUUAGCUUGGUUUGGAUGCACAAUGGUGUGUAACUUUUUAACACUUUAUUAAACUUGGAACCAUAUUUAACACCCACGUAGACAAGUCAUAAUCAUGACAUGGAUCACUGUUUUAUUUUUAGCUCUUAAUGUGGCUUAAAUAUUAAAUUCUUCACUCAUACAAAUUAAAUUGGGUUAGAUGCACAAUGGUGUUCAACUUGUUAACAGUUAAUUAAAAUUAGAACCAUAUUUAACACCCAUACAAACAAGUCAUAACUUUGACGUGGAGCAGUGUUGUAUCUUUGGCUUAAUGCCGCUUAAGUGUUAAAGUCUUCACUCAUAUGAAUUAGCUUCACUUAGAUGCAUAGUUGUAUUAUACUUUUUAACACUUAAUUUAAAUUUGGACCAUAUUGAAAACCCAUGUGAACAAGACAUAACCUUGUAGUGGUGUUAUAUUUUUGACACUUAAUGUAGCUUAAAUGCUAAAGUCUUCACUUCUAUGAAUUGGUUCACCUUGGAUGAAUAGUGAUGUCUAAAUUGUAAUAAUUAAAAUUGAAACCAUAUUUAACACUCAUGUAGAUAAUCAUAACUUUGACGUAAUGGCAUUGUAUUUUUGACACUUAAUGCAGCUUAGGUGCUAAAGUUUUCACUCAUGAGAAUUGGUAUGAGUUAGAUGCAUUGUGGUGUCCAACUUUUUAACACUCAAUUAAAAUUGGAACCAUAUUUAACACCAAUGUAGAUAAGUCAUAACCUUGACGUGAAGCGAUAUUGUAUUUUUGACACUAAAUGCAACUUAGGUGCUAAAGUCUUCACCCACGCAAAUUGGUUCAUCUUGGAUGCACAAUGGUGUCGAAUUUUUUUAACAUAUAAUUAAAAUUUGAACCAUAUUUGACACUCAUGUAGACAAGUCAUAACCAUGAUGUAGAGUAGUGUUGUAUUUUUAACACUUAAUAUGACUUUACUGGUAAAUUCUUUACUCAUGUGAAUUGCCUUGAUUUGGAUGCACAACUAACUUUUUAACAUUUUAUUAAAUUGGGUAUCAUAUGUGUUGUUUUUUUAACACUUAAUACGACUUUAGUGGUAAAUUCUUUACUCAUGUGAAUUGUCUUGAUUUGGAUGCACAAUGAUGCCUAACUUUUUAACAUUUUAUUAAAUUGGUAUCAUAUUUAACACCAAUGUAGACAAGUCAUAACUUUAAUGUAGAUGCGGUGUAGUAUUUUUGGCACUUAAUAUUGUUUAAGUGCUAAAGUCUUCACUCAUGUGAAUUUUCUUGGUUGAGAUGCACAAUGGUGUGUAACAUUUUAACAUUUAAUUAAAAUUGGAACCAUAUUUAACACUCGUGUAGAGAAGUCAUAACCUUGACAUGGAGUAAUAUGCAAUUUUUUUAUAUUUAAUAUGACUUAAGUGCUAAAGUUUUCACUCAUGCGAAUUGACUUGACUUGGAUGCAUAGUGAUGUCUAACAUUUUAACACUUAAUUAAAAUUAGAGCUAUAUUUAAUAAUCAUGUGGACAAGAAAUAACUUUGACGUGAAACAAUAUUGUAAUUUUGACACUUAAUGUUGCUUAAAUGCCAAAGUCUUCACUCAUACAUAUUGACUUAGCUUGGAUGAAAAGUGGUAUCCAACUUUUUGACACUUUCUUAAAUUUGGAAUUAUGUUUAACAUCAAUAUAGACAAGUAAUAACCUUGACGCAGAGUGAUGUUAUAUUUUUAGCACUUAAUAUAGCUUAAGUGCUAAAAUAUCCACUUCUAAGAAUUGACUUGGCUUGGAUGCAUAAUGGUGUCCUACUUUUUAACACUUAAUUGAAAGUGAAAUCAUAUUUAACACCCAUUGUAUGCUAGUCGUAAACUUGAUAUAGAGCAUUGUGCAACUUUUUAACACUUAAUGCGACUUAAAGUGCUAAAGCCUUUACUCAUAUGAAUUAAUUGAACUUAGAUGCACAUUUGUUUCCAACUUUUUAAUACAUAAUUAAAAUUAAAACCAUAUUUAAAAACCAUGUAGACAAAGACAUAAUCUUAACAUGGAGCUAUGUAUAACUCUUAACACUUAAUUAAAAUUGAGAUUACACUUAACAACCACAUAUUCCUCCUAUUUUUCAAUUUUUUCUUGUGGUGAUGAUUGAACUUAACUAGUUUGUCCAAGUUGCCUAUAUACCCUUAACAGAGAGGGAAUCAAGUCAAACUUAGUUCAAAGUAUUUCUUUUAAUCUCUAACUUUUGCCAAGGCUAAUGAUUUUAAUCUUACAAGCUUGUCUUAACUUUUGACCAUAUAUGUAGUCUUUUUAGGUUUCAAUUUAACGGCCUAUAUAUGACUUGUACAAAUUGAAAAUGACUUCAAUCAUGUGUAAAAAAUAAUAAAAGAUAUUCAUUCCUAGUUUUAGGGCAACGAAAAAUAGUUGAUCCUUUUUUAUAUUAUUAUUAUUGUUGUUGUUAUUAUAAUUAUUAUUUCACCUUACAAAAAGACCUUCUGCAAUUAAUAUUUUAUACAUAUAUAUAUAUAUAUAUUUUAUCUUUUAUAUAUUUAGUUUUCAUAGUAUUUUUUAAUUCAAUAUAUAUAUUUUUUAAAUAUCUAUACUUUCGGUCAAUGUCUCAAAUUUAAAGCACGUGCAUGCUCUAGAAAUUCUCAAGUUGUAGGCUUGUGGCCUACAAUGUCAACUUAGAGUUUGAUGAAAAAGCGCAUAAACAAAGACAAAAAAAUUAAUCUACAAGUACUUGGAUUCUAUUUGAAUAAAAAAGAGCCACCCACAUGCAUGGAAUAAAUAUAUAUCCCAUGGAUUAGUUGUAUUUAGCCACGGCUGAAGCUUUCCACUAUGACUUAAAAAAAAAAAAAAAGAGGAUAAUGCCAUUAAAAAACUGAUUGCUACGUGGGUAUGCCUGCCAGUAGAUGGCUGAAAACUAAGUUCUAUUCUUUUCAAUAGUUGAGAGAUUCAAUGGCAACUAUCGUAUAAACAAUGUUUCAUAAAUUACUUUUAAAUUUUGACAGCAAAGACUAAAAAUGUAAAACCAUAAAAAAUUUGUUCCAUUCCCAAAUUUUUAAAAAUAAAAUUGAAAAUAAUAUAUUAACGCCCAUGACUGUUUUCACAUCUUAUUCUCAUUUCUAUCAAUGCAAUCAUCGUAAGCAUCUUAUCUAGAAAUAUGGCCUAGAGCCAUAGAGCUGCCUUUUCUUUAGUCCUAGAGCCAUUUCAUGAGCUAAUAGUAGUCUUUCCUUAGCAUUUCCAGCCCAAAGCUCCCAUUUCCUUAGGCCUAGAGACGUUUUCAGCCCAGAGCCGCUGUUUCUUUCGGCCUAUAACCAUUUUCAGCCUGAAGCUGCCUUUCUCUAGCAUUUUCAGCCCAAAGCUUCCUUUCCUUGGCAUAUUAGCCCGAAGCUUCUAUUUCUUUAGGCCUGGAGCCAUUUCAACCCAGAACUGUCAUUUCUUCUAAAUAGCUUCUCUUUUAAAAGACUUCAGUUUGUCUUUCUAGUCACAAAAUUUAAGGCUUUGUUCCAGGUUUGAAGAAGCUGGUAAAAAUCUGGCUGUUGACUAAGCUCAACUAAAAAACAGUAAAGCUUGCUGACCUGGGUAAUAAAUAACAGCUAUCUUGGCAGUAUUGUUAGUUAGUUAGAGGUUUUUUUUUUACUAUUAUAAAAGGUGCAGACUUGGGAAAACUGAAAUAAGGUAUUCAAUUGUACAGAAUAGAGAGCAAGAAAAGCAGAGAGCUUUGAAAUCCAUAACCACAGGUCUGUUUCGGUUUUCCUAUAGAGAAAAGAAAGAAACAGAGGUGAGGAGGGUUCUUGGGGAAAGCCUAUAAGUUCUUUGUUUUUUAUUCUUGUGUAAAUUCUGGUUGGUACAAUUUAAUAAAGGCUUCAGGAAAUCAGUGUGAAUGUAGAUCAAGUUGAUCGAACCACGAUAAUUCUCUUGUGUUCUUGAUCUUGGUUGAUUGUCUACAAGCUGUUUGAUUUUAUUCCUAAGAGAAGUUCUUGCAAACUGGUUGUCUUUUUCUGGUUUAGUUUCUGCUCUAAUAGUCCCUAAUUCAAGACUGGCUUUUCUCAACAGCAUGGUUUGAAACACAUAAUUUUCACCAUUCAAAUGCAAAACAAUUAACUAAUUUCAAAUGCUAUGUGUUGUUUCCUUCUAAUUUCCCCUUUAUUUUUUUUUCUCUCCUAUUUUCCUUCAAAUUUUUGGAAAACCAAACAGAGCCUAAAAGAAAAGAUAAUUUUACUUAUUUUGAAAGUUGUUUCAUGUUAAUUUAAUGAAGCAUUUAUAAUAUUAAGAUCGCCCUUUCAUAAUCAUGAGGUAACCUUAGUUUCAACUUCUACAAGAGGCUAAAUGAAAAAAGCUAUCACAGAGAAGAAGGCCUCAGCCAAUGAGUGGAAAAUACAAUUUUAUUAAUACUUGAUAUCAAAAAAAAGAAAAAAAAAAAAAAGGAUGAUUUUACUUUCAAACCAAGGAUUUAUUUAUGUUGAAGUGCAGUCUCCAUAUGCACAUGUGACUGCAUUUACAGGAUAAAGAAAGACAAGGAAAUUAACAAUGUUGGACUUACUGGAAAAUCAUACAAAUUAUUGAAGGAGGACCUUAGCUAGGCUAACUGUCUCCUAAAUUGCCCAUCUUUUAUAUAUCUUUGCAAUCAUCCAUCUCAUCAUCAGCUUUGAUUUUAGAUGGUGAGGAUGUGAAAGUAACAGGAAGCAGUGGACGAUUGUUCACAGUGAGGCUUAGCACAUCAGCUCUCGAAUAAUGUCCUACCACAUCGAACUGGAACUUUGCUUUAGGAAUCUCUCCACGAACAUCUGCAUAUCAAGUGAUCAUCAAAAUAUUUGAUCAGCCCGUGAUAAAUAUCAUAGAGUAUCAAGUCUUCCAUGAAACCAUGUUUGCAGUCCUUUUAAACCUAAAGAAUUGACUCAUUUGCCUUAUCUGCAUACUGAAAUAUUUGGAUAUACAAUUGGAGAAGUUAGGGCCAUACCAAGAUCAGCUGUGAAGAGGCCUUCUCCUUCAUAAUUUGGUCCUGCUAGAAUUUCGCCAUGGGGCGAAAUGAUGACACUACCUCCAGCCCAAACAAUAGAAUCUGGAGUGACAUCUUCUUCUGUAGGACUGUAAAGAUACUCAGGUGGAGGUGGGUAAUCUUUCCUCCGACAGAACUGGAUGGGUGAAAGAACAUAGCAUCCACCCUCAAUAGCGAUGUGUCUCAUUGUGGCUACCCAUUUAUCCCCGGAAUCGGCAGUAGGAGCACAAUAUAUCUCAAUACCUAUAUAUAUGAACAUUGGUAUUCUGUGAUCAAUCAAUCCCAUAUCAAAGCCACAAUGUAUUUCAAGACUGCUUAGAUUAAAACCCUAAUAAUGUAAAAGGGUGCUGGAGGUCCUAUUUGGUAAUUGUCUUCGGAACAGUUUUGAGAAAUAGUUUUUGAAAGUUGUUCUUUAAUAGUUUAUAAAACAUAAGAAUAUUUGAAACCUAAAAUAUAUUCAACUUAUUAAAAAUAAUUUUUAUAUUUAAUACUUUAUUUUUAAAUAUUCUUCAUAUUUAUAUAAUUAUUUUUUAAAACAACCUUAAAAACAAAUGAAAACAAUGAAGAAAAAAGUUUAAAAAAUAUUAUCUGAAAACAUUUUGUUUUAUGUUUCUAAGAAAAAACAAAAAGCGGUAUUCUAAUUGUCAAUUGUGUUUUCCUAAAUUUUUUUUGGAUAACAAAAGAUUCCUCUAAAAUAUAAUUGUGAAACAAAGCCAAACUAUUUCAAGCCAAACCAUACUAGUUAAUGAAGAAAAAAAAAUGGUAAAAGAUGUACCUUUGCCAUACAUUGAUGUCCUGAAAAGAGGCAUUCUAUUUUCCCAACAAAUGACCGAACCAAGUUUUCCAUAUGGAGUGUCAUAAAUUGGAGUUGUCGAGCAAUCUCCGAAACCCCAGAAGAGCCGCUCCCAAUAUGUUGGCAUGAGUUUCCUAUGUUUUCCAAGGUAAUUGCCUUCAGGAUCAAAGAAGAGAACAGUGCAAUACAAUGUGUAUCCAUCUCUCUCAACAACACCUGUCACUAAGUAGACUUUGUAUUUCGCAGCCAUUGAUGCCAAUCUAUCAACUUCAGGUCCUGAAAAUACAUUAAUAUGAGAUCAAAGAUGAGACAUGUAAGCUGAUGGUUCAUCACAAAGCAGCAUAAGUAGAUUUUGUUUCAAUAACUUAUUUAAGUGGUUCAGUCCUCUAGCUAUUUAAGGGAGAAAGAGAGGGGUAACUGACCCGGCACAUUAAUGGCAGAAGCAUGGUACUUGCGGAAGCUUUCUUUCCCUCUAGGAGACUGGUCCGCGAAGUUGUACCCACGGGGAUACCCACCGAUAAAUGCCUCAGGAAACACAACCAGUUGGGAUCCCAAUGCAGCUGCCUCUUUCAGAAACCUCUCAGCCUUAUCUGCUCCCAAAAUCACAUUGCAAGAAUUAACAAUUCAUGACUUAGGAAGUAAAUUAAUUGGUUGAAUAGAGAAUGAAAAUUCACCUCAAGAUAUCCCAAAUGACUUUUUGGUUGCUGAGAAAACUUAAGGAAAAGGAGACCUAAAUAAAACUCGAAACUCACAUAUUUUCAGCUGUUUUGUAACUAAGAAAAAAGAAACCACCUCAACCAACUCAUCCAAAUAAUUAUUGUACAAGCAGUAAUUCCUUGAUUGGCAGCUGAAAAUAUGAUCAGGGUUCAAUCAUCCCUUUCUUUCUUUCAGUUUCCCAGCAACCAAUCAGCUCACUGAUUCUCUUACAGAAGUUGCAGAAUUGAGAGAAAUGGCACGUUACCUAGAGUGGCAGGAGUAUCAUAAAAGAUACUAGAAGCUUGAACAACGGUGGCUCUAACAGUUGAAGACAUUGCAGAAAUCGUAUGUUUUUUCGUUUCCCCUUUGUUUGAGGAUUCCUCACACUGCGUUCAGUAUAUAUAUAUCGCCCAUGAACAAGAGGUUCCUCUGCCAUUACUUGAACAAGACGGAAAGGCUUUGAAAAGUCUGACUUGGUUUUCUAUACUCAUGGUGAGGUUUUAUCCUCAUCACAAAUUUUUAAGUUAUCCGCAGACAUAGUGGACCAGCCACAUGACUUGUACAAAUUGAAAAUGACUGUCACAUGGGAUUUUUUGUAAUUUUUAAAAAUAAUUCCCAAAUGUAGUGGAAAAAAUAAUUCUAAAUCUAACAUAGUUUUUGCAAGAUAGAAAAGAAAAAAAUAAAAAUCUUUAUUUCCUUUAAAAAAAAAUUAUAAUGAAAGAAUCGUCUUUUGAAAAGACAAUUUCUCAAAUUUUUUUUUAAAAAAUAAAAUCUAUCGGUUAGAAAUUGUCUCUUGAAAAUCGUCAGAGAUGAUUUUCAAAAAUUCAUUUUUUCAUUUUCUCUUUUUUUUUUUCAAUAAUAUUUUACUAAAUAAUAUAUUUAUACAAUUAUGAUUUUUUUCCUUUUAAAAAAUUAUAAUGAAAAAUUCUCUUUGGAAAAGAUGAUUUCUUAAAUUUCUAAAAAAUAAAAAUAAAAAUCUAUAGGCUAGAAAUCAUCUCUUGAAAAGACGAUUUUCGGAAAAAAAAAAAAAUUAGGGAGAAAUUGUCUCUUUCUCCAUUGAUUAAAAAAACUGGAGAAAUCUUCUCAAGAUGAUUUCUUAAAAAUAAAAAGAAACAUAGAAAAAAAAGUCAGUCAAUUUUCAAAAAUUUUGUUUUCUAUUAGGAAAUAUAUAUUUUACCAAAUAAUAUAUUUAUACAAUAAUAUAUAUAUAUAUAUAUAUAUAAAUUGAUUAAUUUUAUUUACUAAAUUUAAUAUGUAAAAAUAAUUAUAAUUAUUGAUAUAUUUAUCAACAAUAAUAUUUAUAAAAAUAUAAAUUAUGUUUAGCAUCCGAUAUUUAAAAAUAUUAUUUUAUAUUAAGUUAGACAUUAAUUUUAAAAAUAUUUUGUUCUUUAUCUUCAGUUUUAUCUUUAAAUUAAUUCCAUUAAUUGUAACUAAUAAAUUAAUUUAGUUUUAUAUUUUUAUUAUUUAUAAUAUAAAUAAUAUUUUAUCUCAUUCUCUUUUUUACUAUCUCACCUUUCUCUCACCUAUUUAUUAAUGGAAUCAAAUUGAAUAAUUUUUCAAUCAUUUUUCUCCAACAAAUUGAACAUGAGAGAUAAAUGAUUAAAAAUUAUUAAUGUCAAAUGCAUUUUUAAAGUAAAUAAUUUUUAAAUACCUCAUCAAAUAUUAUUCUUUUAUUAAAACUUACAUAAUAUAUAAUAAAUAUUUUUUAAAUACCUUGGAAACUUACAUAAUAUAUAAUAAAUAUUAUUCUUUAUUUCAAACUUAUGUUAUUUAUCAUAUAUAUUAAACAAUUUUUAAACACCUUAUAAAAUAUUAGUAUUCUUUAUUUGUUCUAACUUGCAAAUUAGACAUAAUCAAAUAUUAUAUAUUUUUUUUCAAACUUAAGAAUAUAUAAUAAAUAUUUUUUAAAUACAUUGGCAAAUAUUUUUUUUUCUUACUUACAAAAUUAAAAAUAUGUUGUACAUUAUUUCUUAUAGGUCUUAACGACAUAGUUUGGUUAAAAAAAAAAAAAAAAACUAUCAAUAAUCGUCCUAAUGUCAAGCUCAAGUUGUUUAAAAAUCGCACAAAACCUAUUAGGAGCCUUGUACACCCUUGUAUACUUGACACAUUUCUCUUGUAUAAUUAGUGUAACAUUGUACAAUGGUGCAAAUUUCAUAUCCCUCCUAAGUUGUGUCUAUAUAGGUGUGUUAACCAUGUUUCCAAUGGUUUGGUUGAGAAAAAAAUGACUUAUGGUCAAAUUUUUUUCUCCAAACAUCAUUAUUGGGAAAAUCAUUGGAAUUUCCAUGUGGAAGUUAAAUAAAGUGCAUGACAUGGGUAUACAAUCCUUGGGUGACAAGGAAAAUAAAAAAGUGGUUUAGAAUCAAUUGAAAUCUUUCACAAAUGGUAGUCUUGUAUACCCUUGUACACUUAGUAUAUUUCCCAUCUUUAAUACCUUUGUAUAGUGGCACAAAUUUCAUAUCCCUCCUAAGUUAUGUUCACAUAAGUGUGUUAGCCAUGUUUCCAAUUAUUUGGUUGAGAAAAUGUUGGAUGAAUUAGGGUCAAUUUUUUUUUCCCUAAACAUCAUUAUUGGGGAAAAUAUUGGAAGUUCCAUGUGAGAGUUAAAUAAAGUGUAUGACAUGAAUGUAUAAUCUGUGGGUAACAAGGCAAAAAAAAAAAGAAAAAAAAAGGGGUUCAUAAUUGAUUGAAAUCUUUCACAAAUGGUAGCCUUAUACACUCUUUUGCACUUAGUACAUUUCUCUUGUACAAUUAGUGUAAUACUUUUGUACAAUGGCACAAAUUUCAUCUCCUUCAUAAAUAAUGUAUCCACAUAGGUAUGUUAACCAUUUUCUCAAUGGUUUGGUUGAUAAAAUGUUGGAUGACUUAGGGUUAAAUUUUUUUCCCUAACAUCAUUGUUAGGGAAAACAUUGGAAUUUUCAUAUGAGAGUUAAAUAAAGUGUAUGACAUGAGUGUACGAUCCGUGGGUGACAAGGAAAAUAAAAAGAAGUGGUUCAAAAUUGAUUAAAAUCUAUCACAAAGGGUAGUCUUGUACACCGUUAUACACCCUUGUACACUUAGUACAUUUCCCUUGUACAGUUAAUGUAAUACCCUUAUAUAGUGGCAUAAAUUAUAUAUCCCUCCUAACUUAUGUAUUCACAUAGAUGUGUUAACUAUGUUUCCAAUGGUUUAGUUGAGAAAAUGGUGGAUGACUUAGGGUCAAAUUUUUUUCGCCAAACAUCAUUACUGUGGAAAGUAUUAAAAUUUUCAUGUAGGAGUUACAUAAAGUGUAUGACUUAGGGUCAAACUCUUUUAAAUAUUUUUAUUAUUUUCAUAUAAAAAAAUAGUACUAAACAAGGUUUUCAAUUUUCAUUUUUAAAAAUAUUUUUCAUUUUUAAUUAAAUGUAUUUUUAAAAAGAGACAAUAUAGAAAAUAAAAAUUAUUUUAAGAAAUAAAAAAAUAGAAAUAAAAACUAGAAAAAUAUUUUUAAACCAGACUUAAACAUAAUCUAUUUAAUUUUUAACUACUUGUUUUCAUCUAAAAUGAGUAAAUAUACUUUUCAACCCUUUUAUAUAAUAAAAAUUCAAUCUUUACUAUGUAUUGAUAUAAUCCACUUCCAAAAUUAAGUCAUAUGAAAACAUUUUAAUUGGAUAUUUAAAAUAAAAACUCUCCAUCCAUCCUUUUUUUUUUUUUUUCUUAUUUUGAUAAAUUUUUAAUUAAUACAAAUCAUAAAAAAAAAAAAAAAUACUUAGUAAACAAAUUUGCAACAUUUUAUAUCACUUAUUAUUAAAAGUCAUGUUCAAAUAGUUAUUAAAAUAAGGAAGGAAGAAGAUUAAAAAAAAAAUUGAACUUUUUAUUUUAUAAUAGUAAAAAAAAAAAAAAAAACUUUAAAAUACUUUUUAGUAUAAAAAAAAGAAAAGAAAAAAGAAAAUAGUGAAUAGAUUUAUUUUAAAUAGCGUUUUAAUCAUUAAAUGAUUUACUUCUAAAAAGUAAAGGAUAAUUUUUAUUUAUUUAAAUUAACAGUUUUAGAAAGUAUUUUCCAUAAUAGUUUUUGAAUUAUUAAUAUAAUUUUUGUUUAUUUAUAAUUUAAAAAUAGAAAAUAAUGUUGAUUUUUCAAUUAUUUAUAAAAGAGUUUUAAAAAACAAUGAAAAAUCCAAAAAUGGUUAAGUAAGAAAGAAUUUGUUGGUAGUGGCAUGUUAAUAGUGGUAGAAUAAUAAUAAAAAAAAAGAGUCAAAUGAUUAUUUUUGUCCAUUACUAUCUCAUAUCCUUGUAAUCAAUUAUGGGUGACAGGAGGACCUUAGCUCAAUUAUCAAGUAGAGCUAGGUCGGAAACACAAUUCUCCCAAUAAUUUCCGGGCAUGAUAAUCAUAUUUAAAUAAAAAAGAGGGAGCUGCCUACAUGCAUGGAUUCCAUUGUCUUUAGUGGUGAGUAAGGCUUUCCAAGAUCAAUACACACACACACACACACACACACACACACACACACACACACACACACACACAUAUAUAUAUAUAUAUAUAUAUAUAUAUAUAUAUAUAGAGAGAGAGAGAGGUAAAAACUAAGUCUAACCCAGGGAGGAAAAUAUCGAGUAUCGGUGGACCUUGACAUGAUAUAUGAGGGAGAAAUAUCGGUCCCUUGAUUUUUUGACAAUUUAUCGUGAAUCUUGCUGACUUUUUGGAAUUUAUCAACAUUUUACCUAUUUAUCACGAUAUUUUGGACCGGUCAAUGCGACCUCUACAGUCAAAUAAAUUCAUUUAUUUGAAUACCAAAAAUAUAAAAAUUAUCAUGAUAAUUUUCUUCAUAGUAUUUUUAAUAUCAUUAAUAUAUUAAUUAAGUAUAAAAAAUUAUACAUAUAUUAUCAUUUAUUUUAUAUCAUUUAAUACAAUGAAAUUAAAUGAAUUAUAAUUUUAAUAUUAAAUAUAUUUUUAAGUUGGACAUAUUAUAAUCAAAUAUCACAAUGUUAUUAUCAAAUAAUAUUUGAUAUAAUUUAAUAAUAAAUGUAUACUUAUGAAAUUCAUAUUUUUUAUUAGCAUAUACAAUAUUAUUAUCAAAUAUAAUAAAUUAUAUUAUAUAUAUCAAUUACAAUUCUAUUAUACUUUUAAUUUUAUUUUUAAGAGUUUUUUCUUACAUUUUUAUAAUUUCUGAUCAAUUUUAGGUUCAUCGAUAUUUUAUGUCAAAAUAUCCGUCGAUGUAUCUGUAAAAUGAAAGUACCGAUAUAUCCGUAAUUACCGAUAUUUUCAUCCUUGGUCUAACCUUGUGUAUUGGCCCUUCCAAAAUUUGAGUGAUUCAAUGGCAGCUCUAGUAAAACAUAAAAAGGAAGAACUAUGUUUACCCUCAUGUUCAUUCAAACAAAUAUAUUGUAUAGGAAUUCUAAUUUUCAUAUUUGAUCACCCCAAACACACAACCAAUAAAAUUAUUCUUUAAAUAUGUAUUUUAAUAGAAACUAAAAUGAGAAUUCUAUAAUUACCCCUUUUUAAAAUCUUUAAUAUGAAAAGUCAUAAUUUAAUGUAUUUGAUGGCUCUCACAUCUGUUUUUUUUUUUUUUUUUUUCUCCUCUACGUCACUUUCUCCAUAUAAUGUCUUUGAUAUCCUCUCCAUAUCAUGUCUUUGAUAUCCUACCUUUGGCAUUUUUAUUUAUUUAUAUAUGUUGAAGUGACAACACUUUCUCUUCCCAACCUCUUUACUUUCAUAUUUCUUUUUACUCGUUUAAUAUUUAUUAACUUUAUUUAAUUUUUUGGAAUAAAUAAAUAAUGAGAAUAAAUUAAAUAUAAAUAUAAGUAUGCAAGCAACAUAAAAUGAAAAUUUAUCCUAAAAAUCAUACACUUGAUACUUUAAAAUAUUAAUUAUAAUAUAUUUGAUAAUUUAGGAUUUCGAUUUAAAAAUUAUGUUUUAUUUUUUAGAGGCUGGGAUAUAAGAUUUCCAUUAACCAAAGAUUUUUUAUAUGAAUCCUAAAUAAUAUGUUUAUUUUGCAAAUUCUUAUCAUAUAUAAAUAAAAUAAAUAUAUUUUUAUCAUAUUAUUUUUAAUUUUUAAUAUUUUGUAUCAAAAUCACAAUUAAUGAUAGUGAUUUUGGUUAAGAUAGAGCCCUUAAAAACAUAACAUGUUGUAAAAAAUAUAGAGUUUAUUAUUUAUUUAAUGAUAUUUCAAUUUCACUUUUAUCUAUCCUUAUUUUAUGCAUUAUACCUUAUGAGCAUUCUAACUUGACAUUUUUUGCAUUGUUCAUGACUUGGGUGAAUUAAGAUUUACAUGGAACAUCCAAGUCAUGGGUUCUUAUAAGUGGAUGAUUUGUUCAUAGUCGCUUUAUGGACUUAAGCAAUCCAUUUGAUGUUGUAGUGCAUUACCUCUUAAUUUAAGGGAUGACUAGUUUUGACCAACAAGAUGGGACCCUCAUAGUGAGUGCACUAAUGUAUAUGAUUGCAUUUUAGAUAAAACCUAUGGUGAGUCAUGAUGUAAGAAUAUCAGGUACUCAUGACUUCACCAAGUUGCUAUAUCGCAUUUUCUAUCAACCUUGAAAGAAUAUUGGGUUUGUGCCAAAGUUUGUAGUGACUUUGACAUAUGGGUGAAAUCCAAAAGUGAUAAUAUAUUCCUUAUGGAUUAGGUCACUAUAAAUAGAAUUAAGUAGCAAUAAGUAUUCUCAAUAGAGGAAUCAGAAUAUCUCAUGGAGUUUGAGACAUUAUGUCCCUUUGGAUGAUCCUAAGGACACAUGAUCAUGAAAUCUAUAGUCGUAGUAAUUCCUUGAGUGGAAUUUGAAAUAUGCUCUUAUGGGUUGGAGUAUGUCAAUUGAUCACAUAAUAGGAGGAUAUGUAACUGAAGAAUGAUAGAAGUAACCUUGAAAGGCAAAUAGUAUUCACCUUAUUAGAUUAUGAACAAUACUUCAUAAAGAGACUAUAUACAAUGGAUAGUAGGUUAGGAACCCAAGUAGUGCAAUCGACUCUCUAUGGUAGGAUGUUGAGUCAACUUUAGAAUUGGAUUAUGAGGGAGCCAAUACUAUUCUAUGGGUCAUAGUGGUACCGACUCAAGUUCAUAUAUCUUAAUGGCAUAACUUAUGAGGGUUGGAUUAGUUAAUGAUUCAAUUAUGUGCAUAAGGGCAUUUUGGUAAAUAUGCAUGGCUGAAUAGGAGUUUGUUGGGACAAAGCCCUAUAAAGCAUGAUAUGAUGUAAUAGAUUAAGUUUCAUUAAUAAAUUUAUUUAUUUAUUAUUCUAGUCCCCUUGUGUUAUCCCAUUUGCAUGAAUUGGUUAUUUGAGCAUUUACGUUCAUAUCACUUGCAUUGUACAUGACUUAGGAGUAUUAAGAGUUGAAUAAAAGAUCCAAGUUAUGGAUUCUUUACAAUAUGAUAAGUGAUUAGAAGUCUAUUCAUGGAUUUAGCAAAUCUAGUAUAAACUAUAGUGUACUACUACCUACUAAUUAGAGGGAUGCCUUGUGAUGGUCAUCGGGAUAACUUUCUCAUGGUAAAUGUGUACAAUUACAUAUUAAAUAUGACCUACGAUGAAUCAUGAUAUUAGUUGUUGGAUAGUCAUUAUUACCCAAGGUUUUAUACUACAUAAAUUCUUAAGCUUAAAAGGAUAUUAAGUCUAUACUAAAAUCAAUAUGAAGUUUUGACCUCUGGUUGAGAUCCUAAUGUGGUCACAUAUUCCACAUAGAUUGGGUUAUUGAAGGAGACCGGUAACAAUAGGCAUUUUUAAUAAAGGAACCAUAAUAUCUCAUGGGAUUAAACUUCAUGGGUGAUCUUAAGGGCAUGUGAUCAGGAUAAAUGUUACUAUAGCAAUUCCUUUAGUAAAAUUUGAUAUAUGCUCUUUGUGGGAUGGAGUAUGUCAGAUGAUCACUUAAUAGGAGGAUCUAUAACUCAAGGAUUAGAAAGGUAAUCUUGAAAGGUUGAUAUCACUACCUUGUUAGAUUAUGAAUAUCAAUUCAUGGGAAGUCUACAUUGUUAGGAUAGAGCCCUUAAGAGCAUGACCUGAUUUAAUAAACUUUUGAAUUUAAUUAUUCCUUAAAAAUUUUCAAUUCACUUUUAUCUAUUCUCAUUCCAUGUAUUCUAUCUUGUAAGCAUUUUGACUUACAUCUUUUUCAUUGUACAUGACUAGAGUACAUAAGGUUAUCAAGUUGUUAUGACUUCACCAAGCUACUUCAAUAUGUUUCCUUUAGAGAAUAUUGAGUUGGUGCUAAAGUUAGUAGUGACAUUGACCUACAAGUGAGAUCAUUAGUUGAUUAUAUAUUCCUUAUGGAUUAGGUCAUUGUUUAUCGAUGCCAAUUACAAUAGGUAUUUUCAAUAGAGGCACCAUAAUAUCUCAUGGGAUUAAGACAAGUGUCCUAUUGGGUGAUCCUAAGGAGGUGUGUUUAUGUAAACUAUGGUCAUAAUAGUUUCUUAAGUGGAACUUAACAUAAACUCUUGGAGAGUUAAGAUAUGCUAGUUGAGCACAUAGUAAGAGGAUUUAUAACUCAUAGAUAGUAGAGGUAGUCUUGAGAAGAUGAUAGCUUUCACCUUGUUAGACUUUGGACACCACACUACAAGAAAAAAGGUCAUUAUUGACAUAUAUCAUCUUGACUUAAGAUAAUAUAUGUGAAGAUUGUCUAUUUAAAUGAACAAUUAUGACAUAUACAACUUAGUUUAAACCAAUAAUGACAUGUAUAAUAGUUAUUGCAUUUUUCCAUGACUUAUGAUGAUGCAACCUUGACAAAUAAUUUAUAAGUCAAUCUAUAAUUAAUAUGUUCAUAUGUCAAGGUACCGAAAUGAAAGCAAUAAUGACAUAUAUAUAUAUAUUUGCUAAAUUUUCCUUGGUUUAAUGAUAUGCAAUCUUGACUCAAAAUUUAUUAGUCAAAGUAUAGUUAAUCUUUUCUACCUAAAUAAAAGUAAUAAUGACAUAUAUGCAUUUGCUAAGUUUUUAUAUGGUUUAUAAUGAUACAACCUUAAUAGAAAUUUAUAAGUUAAUAAAAAUUCAAUAAAUUAAUAUGUUAAGAUUAGAAUCUUUGGUUGCGCCACUUUAACAUAUAAUUUGUAAGUGAAAAUAAGCCUAUUUUAUUUUAAUUUAUUAAGGUUGAGUUAUUGAAAAAGAAAAUCCUAAUUUAAGGCAAUUUUAUCAAAUUUUGGUAGUUUUUACAAGUAUAUUUAUUAUUAUUUUGAAUAGAAACUUGUGAUUAAAAAGGAUAAGAUAAUGUUUCCAUUUAAAAAAUAAUAUCAAUGUAUUGAAAACUAUAUCUAUAAUCUUAUUUUAAUAUUUUGGAUAAGAUACUAAGUUAUGUCUCUAUAUUUCUAAUUAUUGGAAUUAAAAUAUAUUGCCACUAACUUGUGUUAGGGUCUCACAAGUAUUAGGUAAUUAAAUUAUUAUUUAUGUAUUUAAUUAGACAUUAAAUCUACUAAGAAUAACUUAAUUAGUAUUUAGGCAUUCAUUAUAACUAAUUGCAGGCCCACAAAAUCAAUCCAUAGACCCAUUUCUUUUAAAAUGUUUUAAGCCCAUUUUAUUUAGUUUGGGUCCAUUACAUUUAUACUUUUUCUUGAGCCAUAAAAAAAACUCAAUAUAUAAAUUUUUUUCCUCUCUAUUCCAUUUACAGUCGCCCCAUCUACCCCAUCUACCCCAUCUUCCCUUUUUCUCUUCUUUUCUUACUUUUUUUUUUAAUUCUUUUUUCUUCUUCUUUCUUCUUUCUUUUUUCAUCCUCUCAUCCUCAUAUUCAUGGUAGACCCUACACCGCCACCUCCAUCUCCUGUGUUGUUACGAUCCAUGAGUCCUACACCCACCAUGGCACCAUCUUUCUUAUCACCAUUGUCGUUCCCAUGUUCGCUACAACUCAGACAUGCUUCCUGAUGUUUUGCCACAAUCUCGACGUGGUUGUUGUUGUUUCGCUUUAGCUCGGACGCUAUUCUUGAUGUUCCGUCUCCAUCAUAGCCACCAUUGUUGCAGCCCAUAGCCUUGGUACCUCCUGCACUACCCAUUGACUUUUGUUGGAUCACCAUCAGCACCAUCUCCAUGGUUGCCACUUCCUUCUUCAUCUUAGAGCUUCAAGAGACGUAGGUAAGUUUCCUUGGAUAUCUACAGUACUUGUUGUGGUAGUUUUAAUUUAAUUUUUAUAUGGGCUUGGGUCUCAUUUGCUUUAUAAUUGGGCUUCAAAUUAUUUGGUACAUAGGCUUGAUGUUAUAAUAUUUUAUUACUUGGGCCUUGUGUUUCACUUGGUUGAGCCCAAUAAUAAGAGUAUCAGGCACACAUAAGCAGGUUGGUUCUUUGAGAACCAUUGAGUUUUGUUGAACCUUAGGAUUUUUAAGGCCAUGCUUCACCAUUGAUUGGGCUUCAAGUAAGAGAUAAGUAUGGAAGUUGCAGUUACUGACCUUAGUGUCUCUACUCCUGCCCAUGGUUUCAACAUGUGGGUCAAUUGAGGGGUUUGGUGAAGCUCUCCAUAUCUUCAAGACCUCUCUGGUUGAAGAAUAGUCCAACGGCCAAGUGACUAUGGAAAAAACCACAUGUUUGGAGUUAAGUUAAUGUUGGAUAAGUAUUAAUGUACACACAAAAUAAUGAAAAAUCGACGUGGUUGGGGCUGAAGAGCCACAACAUCAUAUAUAUUUGGUUCUGAUGGAGGAGUUAAUUAAUUGAUAUUACCAUGAAGGAAUUUCUAGUAGUUUUAAUCUAUUUAAUCAUACCAUCUAAUUGAAAAGAUGUUUUUGUCCUUUUCUUUUUAUUUUUAAUAUUCUAGAUGAUAUUCUUUGUUAAAAAAUUUAGAAAUAAUACAUCUUUGUAAUUGAGCUAGCUACUACAAAAUUAUAAGUGCUCAUUUCAUUCAUCAUCUCAAAAUUAUGUCUAGUGGCCUCAACUUUGAGUCAGUCAUUGAGGGGCUUAAUUUUAGGAGGAGAAUUAAAAUGUUCUCUUUUUUUUUCUUCUUCUAUUUUUUUUUCUUGAAUAUCCACUGUGUUUUACAUUGAAUCUAGAAUCACAAAGUCAAUUCAAUUACAAUUGAUGAUAUUAAAGGUCAAUAGGUGUAUUCAUUUUAUCUUUGUGAUAUCUAAAGUUAGUAUAUUUAUUGUCCUAUGAAAAAAAAAUCUUUUAAUUUUUUGGUAUUUGUUACUUACUUUUCUAUUAAUUCUAUGUUUAUUCUACUAGGUAUCUAAGAAAUACAUCAAGAAGAAGACAAUGAUGUAGAAACAAAGAUCACCUCUUAUGAAGAUGAUGUUGUACUUUUCAAUUUAAGUUUGUAUAUUAUUUUAAUUGAAUGUUUUUAGCUAGAUUUUGUUUGUAUAUAGAAAAUAGAGAGUAACUUGAACAAGAUUUAUGGAAUUGUGUUCUUAAUAUUUAAUGUAUAUGUAAUAAUUUUUUUUCCUUAAAUAGUAAUUUAUUUAAAUUAUUUUAAAGACUUGAUUGUAAUUAUCAUAAUUAAAAAUAUACCAAAUUUAAUUUCAAGAUAGGUUUCAUAUGGUAUAUAACAUGUUCAUUUUCCAUUAAAAACUAAAAAUUAUAAUAAAAUAAUAUUAAAUUUUUCAUAAGUUAUAUUGACAUAUGGCUCAUGCUCAAUAUUGACAUGUGUAGUAGCAACUAUGACAUAUGCGAUACCAAACAUUGACAUAUAUAAAGCAAUUAUGAUAUAUAUAAAAUCUAACCUUGACAUAUAUAUUUAGAAAUCUUGACAUAUGUGGGAUUAAUCAUGACAUAUAUGACGUCUGACCUUGACACUUGUUGGAGUAACCUUAACAAAAGAGUAAGUUGACCUUGACAUAAGAUCAAGUAAUCUUGUCAUAUGUUAAAUUCAACAUUGACAUAAGUAAAUGAAACAUUGAUAGAUAUCAUACUAUUAAGAUUUCAUCAUUAGUGGAAAUAAAGAAAUCUUGACAUAUGGAUAUGUCAAGGUAGCUUUAGACUUUUCUUGACACUGGCAUAGAUGACAUAUACGAAUAGUAACCUAUCUUGACAGAUAUACCUUAUCUUAACGGUGAAAAACUGUCAACAAGGGCCUUUUUUCUUGUAGUGCCAGUUCAUAAGGAGACCAAAUGCAAUGGAUAGUAGGUCAUGGACUUGAGUACUUUGUAGUGGAGUGAAGUUGAUUCUAUGUAGUAAGAUGUUAAAUCAAUUUUAGAAUUGAAUUAUGAGGGAGUCAAUACUAUCCUAUUGGUCCCAAUGGUCCCUACUUGAGCUCAUAUGUCUUAUUGGUAUGGUUUAUGAGAAUUGGAUUGACUCAUGGUUCACUUUUAUGAGUAAAGGCUUUUUGGUAACUAUGCUAGGUUGCAUAGGGGUUAGUGAACAAAGUUUCUAGAUUGGGCUAAUUGAUUAAUUAAAAGACUUUGUGGGUUAGUUAAUUAAUUAUAAUCUAUUUUAGCUAGAUUAGGUGACCCAAGCCCUUAGUAGGCUCAAGUCACUUAAACCAAUUAGGGAACCUUAUAAAUACUCUUUUAGGGGUGAAGUAGUUGUCUUCUAUAAUGUAGAGAGAAUAAAGAGCCACAACUUCCUCCCUCACAACCUUCUCACUAGUUAAAUGCCAAAAUCAAGGUAUAGUCAAUGCAAUAGAAGAUCUUAGGUUUUUAAGACCUUCAACUACUUUGUUCAGAUACUUCACUGCAUGGAUUUGAUUUGGGAACAUCCAAAUCAAGGUAAAAGUUUUCUAUCUUGAUAUCUAAAUCCUAUUAUUCAUUUAAAAUGCAUGUUUCCCUUUGUGCUUAGGAUUUAAAGAAAACUUAGGAAGAUUUGCAUGUAUCUAACAUGAUCUAGGUAUAGGAAACAAAAAUAUCUAGGAUUCUUUACAAAAAUCCAGUGGAUAGUAGGUUAUAGGCCUAAACUUUAACUUAUUAUAAUUAUAUAAGAUAUUAGAGUGUAGUUGAUUCUCUUUAAUGGAGUGUUGAGUCAACGUCAAAAUUGGAUUUUAAGAGCCAAUAUUUUCCUAUGGGUUCCAGUAGUCUCCACCCGAACUCCCAUUUCAUGGUGGCACAUUUGUUUGAGGAAUUUUGUGUUUGUAGUUCACUAAUGUGCAUAAGUGGCAUUUUGGUAAAAGUAAAAAGUUGCACUAGAUCUUGUGUGCAGUAGGACUAAUUAAAUUAAUUAGAACGGAAGUGAGAUGAAGUAAGUGACCUAAGGCCAAUUUGGACUCAAGUCACUUAAGCCCAUAGGGAAGUCUAUAAAUACCACCUUAGGGGUGAGAGCUUCAAACUUUUGUCAUUUUUCUUUUAGAAAGAGAAAGCAAACCCUAACCACCUUUAAGUGAGAGAAAAAGAGAGAAGCUUUCCCUUCUCUUACGCGAAGGUUUGUUGUGAAAGAAAAGAUCGGGUGCAAGAUUAUUAGGUAAAUGACUUCUAUGACACAUUCUAGGGAUUGGAUUGAAUAUGGGAACAUCCAAAUCAUAGGAAUGAAUUCUAAUAUCUAAAUCUAGUAUAUUUUAUGGAUUUUAUAACUAUAUUUUUCCAUUGCAUUAGAUCUAGAGAAGCCUAGAGAUAGUUAGAUGGACUUUAUAUGAUCCAAGGUUAAGGAACAGAUUAAUUCGAAGUUCCCAUCGAAGUUAGUGAACAAUAUUUCUAGAUUAUUAGGUUGAUUAAUUAAUUUAAGCCCCCAAUUAGAAACCUUUUUAGUUUAAAUUAAAUGGCUCAAGUCUAAGGUAUGCUCAAGUAACUUAAGCCUAAUGGGAAGCCUUUAAAUACCUCUUGAGGGGUUAGGGUGUAGACCCACAUUUUUCACGUGCGUUCCCACUUGAUCGGCGAGACUCGCUUUUUAUUUGGUGAAAAAUUAAUUUUGGAAAAUUCGGAAUCGCCAUUUAUUUUAUUUUAUUUUAAAAGGGAAAAUAAAACAAGAAAUAAAACCCUAAAAAAUGACUUCAUAGUUUUUGGAAAAGCGUGUCUUUAAAAAACCCGAGUCUAGGUCUGAGGAUCAGGUUACUUAUUGAGAAGGUAUCUCUAGGAGGUAACACCCCUCUAAGCCCUAUAAAAGUCUCUACUGACUAAGUUAAGGGAAAUGUGACAAUUAAUUGAUUAAUUAUAGAUACCUAGGUAGGCUAGGUGAUUUCGAAAAAUAGCAUGCUAAACAAGAAAACCGAUCACAAAUCAUAAAGAAGAUUUAGGGUGCGUACCUGGACCACUUCUUAAGUGCUAUCACAAAACAUCAAAGGUUACUUUAAAUAGUAUAUCACCCAACAUGCACUUUAUCAUAAAUGAUCGAACAAUGUAACAAAAUCAAGACACCUAAGCACUAUCAAACAUAGGCAUAAUUCAUAAUGACAAUCAUAUUUAUAGAAUUUAGAAAGUGGGUGUUAGGGAGCGUACUUAGAUAGCAUAGAUAACUCAUAAUACGCUUCCUCGAGACAUGGAGGGUUAGAUAAUAAAUAAUAAAAUAAGAAAUUCUAGCAUGCUUGUUAUUUAAUUAGCAUGACAAAAAAAAUGAUCAAAGUAUACUAAAUCAUCAAUUAUCACACACAUCUUGUAUACAAUUCUUAAAAAAAAAAGAUAGAUAUGAUUACAACAAAUAGCAAGAGUGGUAGCAAAAAUAAGUUUUGAAAAGAUUUUCUUAUAUAGGGGUUUCACCAAUUCCCCAAUCGAUAUACACGAAUUUAGCCUAGAAUUAUCCAAUUUAUUUGGGACCACAAGCUUUGAUUCGUGUUUUGUUCAAAACCAAAUUUUUUAUUGAAAACUGAGAAAGAUGCGAACCGAUUAAAAAAAUGGUUGCAUAUUAUUUUAAGAGAAUGAGAUUUUGAUUCUAAAGACUCUAAAUGUACUUUUUUUUAAAUAGAUUUUCAAAGGGGUCUUUUGAGAAAAGUGUUUUGUUUUAAAAUAAAAGAAAUUAAUUUCGAAAACAACAAAACAUAGAAAACAAAAUACCAACAAAAAAAAAGGAAACAAAAAUCACAAAAUAAAGAUUUAGACAAUCAUGCCAAUUAAAGUAGUGAGAGUAGGGCCAACCUUCAUGGGUUUCCAGUGGCCUUCAAAAAAAGGAUUUGACCAACAAUCACUAAGGCAACAAAAUUAUGACUUCCUAAUCAAACAAACUAAUAAAAAUAUUAUCCAAGACUAACAUUUAGAUUUCAAAAAACACAUGAAUUAAGAUAAAAAAAAAAAAUCCAAUCAAGGAUUAAAGUCAACAAACUUAGCAUAUGGAGAUAAUAAUGUGGGAUUGAUUAAGGUAAAUUAACAUUCUAACAAAAUAUGAUAAAUCAAAAACCAAAAUUUAGCAAUCUUGAAAAUAUGAAAACAAUAACAUGCAAUUAACUAGAUUGAUUAUCUAAAAUUCCUAAAAACUCGAACUAAAUAUUAAUAGAUCAAAACCAAAAUAUGCCAUGCUCAAAAUAUGAAAAAUAAUAACACGUGAUUAACUAAAUUAAUUAGCUAAAAUUAUAAUAGUCAACUACAAAAUUGGAUAUAAAUGGAUUAAAAUCAAAAUUAACGAAAUAAAAAACGCACAAACACAUUCAAACUAAAAAUAAUUAAUACUAGAUUAAAUUAGAAUUAAAAACAUCAACAUCAUCUAAUAAGAUUGGCUAAACUAUUAAAUUGAAAUUGCAAAUACAUUUAAACUAAAGCAAAUAAAUAAAUUAGCAAAUUAAAACUAAACUACAAUCGGAAUUAAGACAAAAAAACAUGAAAUUUGUCUAAGAGGUUUGGUCAAACAAUUGAAUUAAAAUCAUGAACGCUUUCAAAUUAUAGAAUAAAUUAAAACUAAACUAGAUUGAGAUUAAACUCUAUCUAAGAAAAUUAGUUAAUUAAACUAAUAAAAUCAAAAUCAACAAUCAAAACUAAACUAAAGAAUAAAUUAAGACAAAACUAAUUGGAUUAAAAUCACAAACACAUUUAAACUAUCAUAUAGAUUAAAAUAAAUUAGCAUGGAACUAAUGAACUACAAUCACAAAAGAAGAAAAAAAAAGUCUAUUCUAAAAAAAAUGCGCAAAUUGAGAUUUAAAAGAAUUGAGCACAAAGAAUUAAUUAAAUCAAUGAACUAACAUCUAAAUUAAAAAAAAAAAAAUCUGUCAAAAACUGACCUGUGUUGUGAAAGAAAAAAUCCUCUCUUUGUGCGUCAAAGUGGCAACCCGAUCUUUGUCUGAAGUCUUCUGCUGCUCCCCAAAAACUCUUGUGCGUGUCCUUUCUGAAAAAAAAAAAAUUCCCCCUUGAUCUGUUCUCCUCCUCUUAUUUAUAUGGCAGCCCACUCCUAUGGAAUAUUUUAUUUCCUUUUUGGAGAUAUAUUUCCAACCUUAAAGGAGAUCCAAAUUUCCAAACUUCUGAUGGCACUUUCUAUUUCAAUACCCAUUGUCUCUCAAUGUUGUAGUCCCCAAUCUCCCUUCUAAAAAUGUUGUCAAAAUCUUCCCUGCCUCAUCUCUUGUCGAACCCUUGGAUCCUAUUGGCUAUUGUUGAAUCUGAGUGCAAUGUCAUUUGCAGAUGUCAUGAACAACUCAUCUAGCAAGCCUCUGCUGCCCCCUAUUGACCCUACGCCAACAAACUCAACUUCUCACAUCAUAUGUCAUUUUGUACGUGGGACUCACUGGAUNNNNNNNNNNNNNNNNNNNNNNNNNNNNNNNNNNNNNNNNNNNNNNNNNNNNNNNNNNNNNNNNNNNNNNNNNNNNNNNNNNNNNNNNNNNNNNNNNNNNCCCCCAUGGCAUUUCUUAUUCAUUCCAUCAUCAAUUCUCUCCACUUCUUAUCCUUUCUUCCAAGUGCUUGGUAUUCAAGACCGUUCAAGUCAUCAAGUGAUUUGUUGUUUCUUGUGAUUUGAAGUGCUACUAUCACAAGAAAGUGAUCGUUGUAUCCUGGGAGACGAUUGUCAACAAACCAUAAGCACCAGUGUGGGGCAAAUUUAUCUUAAGGACAUAGAGUCAAACUUUAGCCUCGAUCAACCAUUUGUACGAUUCAAUAUUUACUUACCUUCUCAUUUAUUUAUUAUAUGUAAUUAUUUGACCAUACAUUUGUGAUAAUUCCAGAAUAACAAUCUUAAGACGAAUUUCUUUUUAAUCUUUUGCUUCUGUCUAUGUUUUUAAUUCAGUUAAUAACAUGACCUUUACAAAUAUUAUUGAUACCCCUGUUGUUACACCUACUACUACCCAUGGUGAGAAACCAGAGAAAUUCACUAGGUUGGACUUCAAGCAGUGGCAACAAAAGCUGUUGUUUUAUCUCACAACACUUAACUUGGCUAAAGUGUUGCAUGAAGAUGCACCUACCUUAAAGGAGGAAGAGACUAACAAGCAAAUUGUGGCAGCAGUUGAAGCAUAGAAACAUUCAGAUUUUCUAUGCAAAAAUUACAUCCUCAAUGGACUUGACAACACGAUGUAUAAUGUGUAUAGUCAAGUGAAGACAACUAAGGAGCUGUGGGAGACUUUGGAGAAGAAAUACAAGACUGAAAAUGCUAGCAUGAAAAAAUUCAUAGUUGGUAGAUUUCUAGAUUACAAAAUGGUUGACUCCAAGACAGUGAUAAGCCAAGUCCAAGAGCUUCAAAUAAUUUUGCAUGAAUUACAUGCUGAGAAGAUGGAAUUAAGUGAGUCCUUUCAAGUUGCAGCGAUUGUUGAAAAGUUACCACCAUCUUGGAAGGACUUCAAGAAUUAUCUGAAACACAAGCGCAAGAAAAUGGGGCUUGAGGACUUGAUUGUGAGACUGAAAAUUGAGGAAGAUAUUCGUGUUUUUUAGAAGAAAGUGGGAAAACAUCCCAUGGAGUCCAAGGCAAACUUGGUGGAACCAAAGGCUAAUAAAAAGAGAAAGCACUUUGGUGAAGGUCCAAGUCAAGGAAAGAAUAAAUACAAGAAGUUUGUUGGGAAGUGUUACAUUUGUAAUAAGCAAGGCCAUAGGGCCAAGGAUUGCCGCUUGAAAGGACAAAGUAAUGAAAAUAAAACACAAGUGACUGAGGAAGAGGAGUUGGCAAACAUGCUUUCCGCAUUGGUACUGUUUGAAGCUAACAUGGUAGAUAACCCAAACGAAUGGUGGGUUGACACAAGUGCCACCCGUCAUGUUUGUGGAGAAAGAAACAUGUUCUCCACAUAUGUACCAGUCAAUGGUAGAAAUUUGAUCAUGGGAAAUUUUGCCACAUCUAGGGUUGUGGGAAUUGGAAAAGUGGUGCUAAAGAUUACUUCUAGAAAAGAACUUGUUCUCAUAUAUGUGCUACAUGUGCCUGAUAUUUGCAAGAAUCUUAUUUCUAGUUCUAUGCUUAGCGAAAAUGGGUUCAAGUUAGUUUUCGAGUCUGACAAAUUUGUAUUCAUGAAAAAUGGGAUGUAUGUGGGUAAGGGGUAUAUGACCAAUGGCCUGUUUAAGAUGAAUGUAAUGAUUGUUAAGCGUGAUUUCAAUAAUAAUAAAGCAAGUACUGCUGUUUACUUGAUUGAGUCUUUUACUUUGUGGCAUGAUAGGUUAGGACAUGUUAACAAUAAAACUUUAAAAAGGUUGAUUAACAUGAAUUUGUUGCCUUUUUUUAGCAUUGAUUUUAAACAUAAAUGUGAAGUGUGUGUGGAAGCCAAGAUGGCUAAGCCACCGUUUCAUUCAAUUCAAAGGAACACAGAACCUCUGGAUUUAAUUCAUAGUGACAUCUGUGACUUAAAGUUUAUACAAACAAGAGGAGGGAAAAGAUAUUUUAUUACCUUUAUAGAUGAUUAUACAAGAUACUUUUAUGUGUAUUUGCUAAGAAGCAAAGAUGAGGCCUUAGAUGUGUUUAAACACUACAAGAAUGAGGUUGAAAAUCAACUUAGCAGAAAGAUUAAGGCAAUAAGAAGUGAUAGAGGUGGAGAGUAUGAAGCUCCUUUUGGAGAAUUUUGUUCAGAACAUGGAAUAAUCCACCAAACUACUACUCCUUAUUCACCUCAAUCGAACGGUGUUGUUAGCGCAAGAACCGUACAUUAAAGGAAAUGAUGGAUGCUAUGUUGAUAAGUUCGGGUCCACCCCAAAACUUAUGGGGAGAAGCAAUUCUUUCUGCAAACCACAUUCUUAACAAGAUACCACAUAAGAAUAAGGAUGUAACUUCAUAUGAGUUAUAGAAGGGUCACAAACCCUCUUACAAAUAUUUGAAAGUGUGGGGGUGUUUGGCUAAAGUAGGAGUGCCUAAACCUAAACAAGUUAAGAUUGGGCCUAAAACUAUUGAUUGUGUAUUUAUUGGAUAUGCAAACAAUAGUUGUGCAUAUCGUUUUCUUGUACAUAAGUCUGACAUUCCUAAUAUACAUAAAGAUACAAUUAUUGAGUCUAAGAAUGCGUCAUUUUUUUAGAAUAUUUUUCCUUGUAAAGAAAAGCAAGAAGUAAGUUCAAAUAAGAGAACUUAUGAUACUGUAAAUGGUAAUCAUCAAAAUGAGGAAGAAAUAAGAUGCAGUUAGAGAGCCAAGAAGACAAAGUCUUUUGGCUUGGAUUAUCUAACUUACAUGUUAGAUAACGAACCCAAGACAUUCAAAGAAGCAAUGUCAACACCAGAAGCCCCAUUUUGGAAAGAGGCUAUCAAUAGUGAAAUUGAAUCCAUCAUGCAUAACCACACAUGGAAAUUGGUGGAUUUACCACCAGGAAAUAAACCUUUGGGUUGCAAAUGGAUCUUCAAGAAAAAGAUGAAGCCUGAUGGAACAAUAGAUAAGUACAAGGCUAGAUUGGAGCCAAAGGAUUUAAAUAAAAGGAAGGCCUUGAUUUCUUUGAUACAUAUUCACCAGUUACGAGAAUAACAUCUAUUAGAGUGUUAAUUGCAAUCGCAGCAUUGCAUAAUUUGGAAAUUCAUCAAAUGGAUGUUAAGACAAUCUUUUUAAAUGGGGAGUUAGAAGAAGAAAUAUAUAUGGAACAACCUGAAGGGUUUGUUGCUCCUGGACUAGAAAAAAAGGUGUGUAAGUUGAUAAAGUCCCUAUAUGGGCUAAAACAAGCACCAAAACAAUGACAUUAGAAAUUUGACAAAGUAAUGUUGUCAAAUGAUUUUAAAAUUAAUGGAUGUGAUAAAUGUGCAUAUACAAAGAAUACACAAAGUGAGUAUGUCAUUGUGUGCUUGUACGUGGAUGAUAUGUUAAUUAUUGGUAGCAAUAAUGAUGUCAUUAAAGCUACUAAGAAAAUGCUGACCAAUUAUUUUGAUAUGAAAGACAUGGGUGUCGUAGACGUGAUCUUAGGUAUAAAAAUGGCCAAGACAUCUAGUGGACUAAUAUUAUCUCAAUGUCAUUACAUUGAGAAAAUUCUUAAACGGUUUAACUAAUAUGAUGAUAGUCCAAUUAAGACACCAGUAGAUUUAAAUCUAUAUUUAGCUAAAAAUAAUGGUCGAGUAAUUGACCAGUUGGAAUAUUCUUGUAUCAUUGGUAGUUUAAUGUAUGUCAUAAACUGCACGCGUCCAGACAUAGCCUACGCAGUUAAUAAACUAAGUAGGUUCACUAAUAAUCCGGGAAAAGACCAUUGGAAGGCGUUGAUUAGGGUUCUUAGAUAUCUAAGAUACACCCUAAACUAUGGACAUCAUUAUUUAAGGUAUCCAGCCAUACUAGAAGGAUAUAGUGAUGCAAAUUAGAUAUCUGAUACAAAGGACUCAAAGUCCACAAGUGGAUAUGUAUUCACAAUUGGUGGUGGUGCGAUAUCAUGGAAGUCAUCUAAACAAACAUGUAUUGCAAGAUCAAUGAUGGAAUCUAAAUUUAUUGCUUUAGAUAAAGUAGGGGAAGAAGCAGAAUGGCUUCAUAAUUUUCUAGAAGACAUUCCAUGUUGGCCAAAACCAAUGCCUGCAAUAUGUAUACAUUGUGAUAGUCAAUCAGCGAUUGGAAGAGCACAAAGUAGCAUGUACAAUGGUAAGUCUCGACACAUCCGUCACAUACAUAAUAUUGUAAGGCAGUUACUUGUAAAUGGAAUUAUUUCCAUUGAUUAUGUUAAGUCAAAGGACAACUUGGUGGAUCCACUAACUAAAGGAUUGUCUAGAGAUCAAGUAAACUGCUCAUCGAGGGGAAUGGGAUUAAGGCUUAUCACUAAAGAGUUUCAUAAUGGAAACCUAACCUAGCUGACUAGAGAUCCCAAGACCUAGCUAGGUUCAAUGAGGAACUAAAUUAUGAAAUACUCUGUGAAGAGCACUAGGGAAAAAUAAAUUCCUACCCAUUCCUAUGGUGAAGUAGUGCUAUACAAGAUGUGUUUAGGAUAAGCUAUGCUUUUAAUGAUUCUAAUAAUUUGAAAGAGUUCAAGUGGAGUAUGGUAGAAUAUUCGCACUUGUAACGGCUAAAAUGAACACAACCGUGAGAAUCAAUGGUGAUCUGGAAAGGAAUUGUGUGAAUACUAUUGUCUUGAUUUACAUCAAUAGCUGAAUAGUUCAAGACAUCACAUUCACUGAUUAGCUAGUAAAUCCGAUAGUAUUUCACUAAGGUUCAGAGCCAUAAACUACCUAUCCUGAUGCGAUCACUUUCCAAUUUUGUAUUCUCUUGAUUGUUUAGUUUUCCAUUUGCCUUUUUUAAGUCAAUUUCCAUUCAUGUGGGGGAUUGUUGGGAUAUUUAUAGGUGAAUGGAAAUUAAGACAUACUGUUUCAAUUAGACACAACUCUUCGUAAUGGACACAACUUGUGUCAAAGGAUAUGUCAAGUAUUUAAGACACAUCUCUUCUAAGAGUCACUAGAAAACCUAUAAAUAGGGGGGCCCCAUGGCAUUUCUAAUUCAUUCCAUCAUCAAUUCUCUCCACUUCUUCUCCUUUCUUCCAGGUGCUUGGUAUUCAAGAGAGUUCAAGUCAUCAAAUGAUUCACUGUUUCUUGUGAUUUGGAGUGCUACUAUCACAAGAUAGUGAUCGUUGUAUCCUGGGAGACGAUUGUCAACAAACCGUAUGCACCAAUGCAGGGCAAAUUCGUAUUAAGGACAUAGAGUCAAACUCUAACCUCGAUCAACCGUUUGUAAGAUUCAAUAUUUACUUACCUUCUCGCUUAUUUAUUAUACAUAAUUAUUUGACCAUACAUUUGUGAUAAUUCCAAAAUAACAGUUGAAUCCUCGGCCACAGCCUUUGCGGCAGCUAGAAACAAUUCCAGAAGGAUUCGUGGAAGGACAGUUGUUGAUGUAGAUUUGGAAGUACACACAACAAGACCUCUUAAUAACCGCAACAAGCGUGGAAGAGCUCCAGAACAAUCUUGGCAUGUUCCGCUUCUGCCACCCAAGGAGCCCACCUUCAACUGUAGGAAAAGGGUCACCAUGAAAGAUACCAUCAGAAUUUAACUUCCUGCAGCCAGCUGAGUAUGAUGCCUGGGCCAAUCAUGUAAUUAUGCAUAGGCUUAAAGAUUUUCAGCGUACAAGAAGGUGGGUUAUAAAGACUGGCUUUUGGAGGAUAGAAAGAGAAAUGAAAGAUGGCUCUUGGCAUGUUAUCAGACUCUUUUAUUUUUGCCCUCACAGACGGUGAUCCUCGUCUGCACGCUCUUGAACUCCGAUAUCCGACAUCGUAUGGUGAUGCCACCUGGGCGCUGAAAUGUAUACUCCUCCUCGGAUUCUCUCAGAAACUCACCAAACAAUGGGUGAUCGAAGUAUAUCACCGACACAAGGACUCGUGGAAGUCACCGUCUUUUUGAUCCACGUACACCGCCAGAUGGCCUUUCGGAACCGUCACCGCUAGCAUCUCCUCACCCACCAGAAGGUAACCAGAGAAACGAGCCGGAUCCGAGUUCAACAAACAUGUCUUUUUGGCCUUGGUUUUGAGACGUUGACCCCAGUUGCAGAGUCGAGAAAUUGUCUUGGUCUUGCCAGUCGGUAGCCAGAGACGGUGGUACCCAAAUGGGUUUCGGUGGAAAAAACCAUCCGUAGAACUUGACGACCUGUUUUCCUAGUUUGAAGCCCCUGAUCUUUCUCAUGGUGUAAGUGUUUGGUGCGAGAGAAAAAUUCAGAAGCUAUAAAUUACCAGAAUUUUCAAAAGAAAGAAAACGGUAAGAUUUGGCUCAGGAGAAAGGUCAUGGAGCUUUUUGUCUUAAACCCUUUCUCUUCGUCAACACUUAACGGUGGCAGUGGAGAUGUGGAGGAGGAUGGGUUUUCUAUUCUGAAAACAGAUGGAUAUGGUGCGGCGGACUACUCCAGAAGUGAUGAAGUCUAUAGGCGACCCAUUGAGUUUCAAUGGCGGUGCACUACACCAACAGUUAUGAAUUUGCCUUUUUCAAUACAGAAUUUGCUUCUUCAAGAGAACGUCCAAGAAGUCUCGCUAUCGGUGUGGUGGCUCCUUUUUAUACCAGCAUCAGAAGUCACUGGAACUCCAGCUGUCACUCAUUCUCAGGCAUGGUGUGCAUGUCCUCAUGUUCACGUGUUCUUCACACCGGAUCAUUCUCUCUAGAGACUUCCAGAGAGCCUCCAAAAAAUGCCUGACCUCUAAUGCCAUGCCACCUCACGUGACAGCUCUCACCAACUUCAUCUUUUUGUUUUCACAGGAGCCUCCCAUUCCUAAAUAUGCAAUCGUCUCCUCAUGCAAAACAGAAUAAAAUAAAAUAAAAAAAAAUAAAAAAAAAGAGAAGAAACUAAUGAAAAUCAUGAGAUUGGUAAUAAAAUAAAACAUGAUUUAAAAGAAAAAAAAGAGAGACCAGAUUAUAUAAUUCCAUCAUUCAAUAAGGGGGUCGUAUGUAUAUUUAAAGUCUAAACAAUUCAAGCAAUUUUCUAUUAAGUAAAUAAAAAAUAAAAAUAAAUAAUAAAAGUAAAAAUAAAAAUGAAUAUAAUUAUCAAAUGCAUGCAAUAAUAAUAAAAAGAUUAUACAUAAAAAAGUUAAGCCUCAAUGAAGUGUCUAAGUGGGCCUAAGUGGGUGCCUAAUGAGCCAAGUGCGUCUAAGUGAACUUAAGGUGUCUAAACGAGCCUAGGGUGAGACUAGGUGGGUCUAAUUAAGUCUAACCUAAAGUGCACCUAAGUAAAACCUAAUCAAAAUCAAGACUAUCAAGGAUCAUAAUAAGGGGUCAAAUAAUCCCUCAACCAGAGUUUCCGAGGUGGCUCUAAAAAAAUGGGCUACACGAGAAGUAAUGGGCCACCAAGGAAUUGUUGUAAAGUACGGAACAAAUACCUAAUAAGACAUGUGCUAGAAUGAUAAAAUGGAGGGUCUACAUAGGGCUUCAGACUCUUAGACUUUUACUUCUUCCAUUCUCUUUUACAUGUCUAGAGAGAGAGAACCUAGCCCCUCCACUUUUCUCAAUCUCUACCAUCUAAGUAUCUAGCUUCAAGGAGAGUCAUUGAGGAGAAAACCAAUGGUUUCAUGAGAUUUUCAAUGACUACUAUGCGUUUGAGAACCUUCUUCACCACAAGGCUGUUUUGCUUCAUUGGUGGGGGAUAAGCUUAGGAAAGCAUGUAUGCACCUAACAAGAUCUAGGGAUAUAAAAUGGAGUGAUCUAUUUUUUCCUACAAUUUUAGCUUUCUUACUUGUAGUUUUAAUUGACCAUAUGUAUAGCUUUUCUUGGUUAAAAUUUUAAUUUUUUUGAAUGAUGUACAAUGCACUUAUUUUGUUUUUGAAAAGAAUGUUUUUAUUUUUCUUAAUAACGUACUUUUUUUUUUGAAGGAUAUACUUAAUUUUUUAAGAAAUGUAUUUAAUUUUUCUAAAGAAUUCACUUAUUUUUCUAAGGAAUCUAGUUAUUUUUCUUAGAGAUAUACUUAUUUUUUAACAACGUACUUGUUUUUUUUCAUAUUGUACUUCUUUUAAAAAUGUACUUAUUUAUACUAUCACAAAUAAUUGAAAUUAAUUAGCAAAUUAUACUAAAACAUUAAUGUAUAUGAUUCAUAUACAAUGUACUUAUUUUCUUAGGAAAGCAUUUUCUAAAGAAUGUUCUUAGUUUUUUUUAGGGAUGUACUUAUAUUAUUUAAGGAUAAACUUAUUUAUAUUGAUAGAAAUAAGUGAAAGUUGGUGAGAAAUUUAUGAUAAAACAUUAGUAAAUAUAAUUAAUGAUAUUCGAUAAUAAUAUACAUAAUUUAAGAAUUUAAAAUAUAUUUAAUAUUCAACAUAUAAAAGAACUUAUGAUAUAUAUAUAUUAUUUUGAUGAUUUGUAUAAUUUGAAUAAUUUUUAAAUGGAAUAUGAAAAUGAAAUAAUUAAAAUGUACAAACGUAGUCCUGUAAGCCAUUGAUUAAUGUGCUUAUCGUGAUCAAAGAUUCAGAUAAUGUAUAUUAAUUGAAAAUUUAUUAGCAAAUAAUAGUCAAACGUUAAUGUAUAUAAUUUAUAUACAAUGAACUUUUUUUUGAGGAAUGCAUUUUCUAAAGGAUAUUCUUACUUUUUGGAGGCAUGUGCUUAUUUUUUUAAGGCUAAACUUAUUUAGAUUGGAGCAAAUAAGUGAAAGUCCAUGAGAAAUUCAUGAUAAAACAUUAAUGCACAUAAUUUAUAUAUUAUGUACUCAUUUUUUAUUUUUUUAGAAAUGUACAAAUAAUGGAAAGUUCAUUAGCAAUUUAUAGUAAAAUAUUAAUGUACAUAUUUUUUUGAAGGAUGUAUAAUAUACGUAUUUUUUAAAGGAAUGUAUAUAUUUUUUUUCAAGAUAUAGUUAUUACAUACCUAAGACUACAUUUAUGUUCAUAUUGAAAUUAAAGAGCUUUCAUAAGAGAAAGUGUAGCCACUUGAUCAUAUAAAAAAAUAAAAGAAAAGAAAAACAGAAAUAAAAGGGUAUAUAUCAAACACUUUCAAUUAUGAUUUAUCAUAUCAAAGAUUUGAAAAAGGGACAAUUCAUUUAGUAGUUAUUUAAAUGCGUAUUUUAGAAAUAAUUUUAUCCAUUGUGUGUUUGGGAUGAAAUGUGAAAGUUGGAAUCCUAAAAAAUAUACUUAUAUAUUUUUUAAUUAAUGUAUGUAACCAUAGUUCUCCCAAAAUAUGGCCAGGCUUCAUCAUACUUCUGUUUUGAAAUGUUAAAAUUUAAAAAUAAUUUUUCAUGAAUCACUUUUAAAUGUUUUUUAUAGAAAAAAAUUAAAAUAUAAAGUAUGAUGUAUUUUUUCAACUUUGAAAAAUUCUCUAAACAUAUUUUUAAGUCAUAAAUUAACACCAACUUUUGUCACUUCUUAUUCUUCUAUAUCAAAAGACUAACAAUAAUCAUGUUAUUUAUACGCAUAAAAUUAAUUAAAAUCAUUUAAGAUCAUGAUUUUUUUUAAAAUUUUUGUUAUUUAAUUAUAAAAAAAUUAAUUUUUUUAAUGAGAAGAAAAAAAACAAGGCUUAAUAACCAUAUUUAACAUUUUUAAAAUAAAUAAAUAAAAGCAAAGGUAUAUCCAAAUAAUACCUCAUUUGCUCAAUUCAAUUAUCGCAUGCCCUAAGUAUCAAAGUAGUUGACUAAGAGUGAGUUUGAUAGUAACUUUAGAAAGAUUAAAACACUUCUUCGAAUUACCACCAAAUAUAUUUUAAGGCACGCAAGGAAAAGUAAUCUCUUCUAUUAUUAUUAUUAUUAUUAUAAUUAUCAUACUGCCUUAUAGAAAGGACUUCUAUAAUUCAAAAUAAUCACAUGGUAAAAAUAGAUUUUAUUUGUUUGUAUCUUAUAAUGAUCUUAUUAUAUAUAUAUAUAUAUCUUAUCCUUUAUACAUGCAUUUUUUUUUUCAGUUUUGGUCGUAUAUUUUUAAUUUAAUAUUAAAAAAAAAAUUUACGCUUUUUGUCAAUGUCUCAAAUUUCAAAUAUGUUCAUGCUCUAGAAAUUCUCAAGUUGUAGUCUUGUAGCCUAGAAUGUGAAGUGAGAGUUUGAUGAAAAACGAAAAAAACAAAGAUAUAAAAUAUAAUUUGUGAGUAAGGAUGAAAAUAUCAGUUUUGACAGAUAUAUUAGUAACUCGAUUUUAUAGAUAUCAGGGUAUAUUAGAAAAUAUUGGUAAAUAUUUUGACACAAAAUAUCAAUGAUAAAAAAUUGAUCAAAACUCAUGGAAAUUAAAAAAAAAAAAACUCUUAAACAUGAUAAAAUAAACAAUAAUAUAUUUAUUAAAGUUUUUUUUUAUUAUUGUAAAACUUAAAACACAAAAUUAUCAACAAAUAUCAAUGAAAAAUUUGAAAAAAAAAAUCAAAAUUAAUAAAAACUCAUAAAAUAUUAGUAAAAACUAAAUAUAUAUAUAUAUAUAUAUAUAUAUAUAUAUAUAUAUAUAAGAAGCAAUAAUACACAUAAUGAAGUUAUUUAUUAAAAAAAUUGAUAUAAUUUAAUAUAAUUAAUGAUAUUUGAUAACAAUAUAUCUAAUUUAAGAAUUGAAAAUAUAUUUAAUAUUCAAAAUAUAAAAGAAGUUAAUAUAUAUAUAUAUAUAUAUAUAUAUAUAUAGAUAUUAUGAUGAUGAUUCGUAUAAUUUGAAUAUUUUUUAAAUGGAAUAUGAAAAUGAAAUAAUUAAAAUUAAUUUACUUAUUAUUAUUUUAUUUUAUCAGUCUAGGAAUGCAACUAUUUUUAAUUUAUGUGUGUUGCAUAUUUAAAAAAUGUUGAACUAGCUUAGUUGGCCAAAGCCCCAUCCAUGCGCACCCGAGACCCAGGUUAAAGCCUUAGUGUUGUUUCCAUUAAAAAAUUUCAAACGUUGACCCAAUAAUUUCAAUAUUGACAUUUUCAUCCUUGUCUACAAGUACUUGUGUUGGGAUCCAUGCAAUAAUUAAUGGCGGAAAAAUAGAAAAACGAGAAAGAAGAACACAAAGAUUUAACGUGGUUCAACUAAUUACCUACGUCCACGGGAAUAGGGAAAGAUGAUUUUCACUAUGUUAAAAUUAAGGUUACAUAAAAGGGUAUUUAUACUAACCCUUAGGAAUGAAAAUUCAAAAAACACCCCUGAACCCUACACCCCUCAACCUAUCGUUCACCUCACAACAAAAGAAAUACAAGCCUGAAUGACAAAUUCCGUCGCUAUGCUGCCAUUCCACUCCACUUCGCUCCCGCAUUUUGCCCAUUUUUCUCCAUAUGUCUUUUCGAUCAAAUAUGAGCCACAUACUACAACAAUCUCCACCUUGGCAAAUAUUCACUCCCCCCUUAGGAGACAAGAAACAUUGCUUAUAACUCCACCUGGGACAAUAGGUUGGGGUAUCUCCCAUCUAGCAACUAGAGACAUUAAUCAAGUUCAAGCAAUGCUUGAACUUUUCUGUGGUAACAGGCUUUGUCAACAUGUUUGCUGUGUUCUUAGAGGUGUGGACCUUCACAAGUAACAGUUCACUAGAAGAAACCAAUUCCCUGAUCUUAUGAAACCUCACAUCUAUGUGUUUGGUCCUUGCAUGAUACACCUGGUUCUUUUCCAAAUAAAUGGCACUCUGACUGUCACAAUAUAAUUGAACUCCACCUUGUUGAAUACCCAACUCCUUAAACAAACCUGUAAGCCAUAAUGAUUCCUUUGCAACCUCAACUAUUGCCAUAUAUUCUGACUUAGUAGUAGAUAGUGCAACUAAAGACUGUAUCAUAGACUUCCAACAAAUAGGUCCCCACCAAGGGUGAAUACAUAACUUGUGGUAGACCUCCUGUCAUCUAAGUCACCUGCAUAGUCUGCAUUAACAUAUCCUCUAACUGAAGAAUCACUUUGUUGUUUGAUGAACACGAUGCCAUAGUAUAGACCCGCAUUUUUCAUGUGCGCCCCCACUCGAUCGGCGAGACUCGCUUUUUAUUGGUGAAAAAUUAAUUUUGGAAAAAAAGUCGGAGUCACCACUUAUUUUAUUUUUAUUUUAAAGGGAAAAUAAAACAAGAAAGAAAAACCCUAAAAUGUGACUCCAUAAUUUUUGGAAAAAGCAUGUCUUUGAAACACCCGAGUCUAGGUCCGGGGAUCAGGUUACUUAUUGGGAAGGUACCUCUAGGAGGUAGCACCCCUCUAAGCCCUAAAGAGGUCUCUACUGACUAAAUUGGGGGAGAUGUGGCAAUUAAUUGAUUAAUUGGGGAUACCUAGAUAGACUAAGGUGAUUUAAAAAAAUAACAUGUGAUUACUACCAAAAAGUGCUAUUUUGUAGACCUAAUUAUAAUGGUUUUAAGCACCUUUGAGUAGUAAUCAUAUUCAUUUAACCCAAUUAAUUCAUUAAGGUCCUUAGUAAUUGGUUUUAACCUUUUUGUGGCAAGUUGACAUGUUUUUAUCAGCUUAUGAAUCGAUUCAAGCAUGCCAAUUGAUGGAGGAGCUAUUUGGGUGAGUUAAGCAAGGAUUUUGUACGUUUAUAGGCUUGAAUUUCAAGUGGAAACACGAGCACAAGCAAUGGAGAAGAGGAAAACAGAGUGAAGAAAACAGCUGCAGUCUUCCUUUGAACUUUUGAAGCACUUUCCGAAGUCUAUUUUUUGUAUGCUAUAUACCAUUUGAAAGCUUAGGAAGUCAAGAAUCCAACGCUUCAAACCGUGUAUGAUUUGGAGCUGAAAUGAGGAAGAUAUGGCCUUCGGAAGGCAACUGCAUCAUGUCAAAUGACCAAUUUCGCAAGGUGAAUUUCACAUUGCGAAAAUUUCGCAAGGAGAUUUUCUUCAUGGUGCGAAAUUUUGCCACUUCGCACCAUGAAGAAACACCUUGCGAAAAUUUCGCAAGGUGGAUUUAGGCACAUUGCAAAAUUCCUUUGAAUCCCCUGUUUUGAGACGUUGUUGAUGUUAUUCCACUACCGGUUCUCCAAGAUAUUUUGCUUGAUUUUUAGCUUUGUAAAUACCUAUUUUACCCUUGUAAUCAACCAAUGAAUAGGUUGCUUUUGUAAUAGCUCUUGUAAUUUAGCUUGUUAUUGUCUUUAAAUAGAGGUGAAGAGCCUCAGACACGCAUCAUCUAAUCUUGUAACCUGUAACUUUAUAAGUUAUAAGAGCACUUUUGUUCAGAAGCUUCUUUUCUCUUUUCUUUCUCAUUUUCUUAGUAGCCAAACACCCUUGGAGGAUGAAAUCCCCAAGGAUGAGAGGCUAAAACCUUUUAGUUUCUUGAAGUAAUGGAUGCCAUGUGAAGCUCCCGUGUCAGGAUGGAGAUUUCCAAGCCAUGAAUGUAAGUAGCUGAGCGUCAUAAAUGUUUUCAUUCAAAGUAAAGCUUUUAAUCCCUCUGACUUGCUUUGAAUGGCCAAUACUUGAUAACCUUUUGGUCUCAGUGGAUUCUUAUUGUUAAAUCCACUGACGUUCAUUAGUUAUCUCCUACGAGCCAUUGUAUUGCAAGUCGAGGAGAUGACCUAUAUCAUUAAAAGGGCAUUUAUGAGGUUCAGCUACCCUUUUUGUAAGUUUUCAAGGACUAAAACUCAGUUGUUAAACUCAUACCGGUUCGGGAAGUAAGCAUCACCUUAGUUGCUUCCCCAACUCGAGGUGAAAAGUCCCAAAAUCUCCAUUUUUACACAGUGAGUUAAGCAUGACUAUCCAAAGCUUUGAGAAACUUCUUUCUCCAUCUUUUAACCUAUUUUCAAGUUAGUUUAGUUUACAACACCUUUAUCUUUUUAUGUUUUCAUCUUAACCUAAUUUUUAUUAAGAAAAGUUCACUCCAUCCUCCGAACUUCACCAGUUAAAGUAAAAACCCUUCCCAGUGUUCGAUCCUAGAGCCACUAUGCUAUAGUAGCUUUGCUACUUUAGUGUAAGGACCUUAGGUUAUAAAUUUUGUUGAUACCUUACAUGCAAGCUACCAAGAGGCGGGUUAUCAAAUGGCGCCGUUGCCGGGGAAGGUGCUACUUCACUGUGAAUAUAUCAGCCGGAGGUAACUUGUGAGACUUCUCAUGAGUAAGGUGAAUUCUAUCUCCUUUUUCAUUUACUAACUUUUUAUUUUAGUUUUAGAACAUUUUUAACUUAGUUUAGAUAAGUUUCUUUUAGCUUUUAACUUUCAUUUUUAGUUUAUUUUUCAUACUCUGUUUUUCCUUCCGCAUGCUCUGUUUUUUUUUUUUCUUUUUCUUUGUUUUGUUUGUUUGCUUUGUUCCAGCUGAAUCCGUGCAUGCCCUAUUGGAUUAGAGACCAAGAGGGAAGGUUAGUGCGGAUAGAGACUCCACGAGCUAUUGAAUUAGAGAUUAUUUUAGAAGUCAUGGAGAAUCAGCCAGAGGAUCAACAUUCACAACACGGGCAGGGGAAUGAUCCGAACUUGUAUAGGUCCAUGAGGGACAGGAUGCACCCUCCGAGGAUGAGUGCACCAUCUUGCAUCAUUCCUCCUACAGAGCAAUUGAUUAUCAGGCCACACAUCGUGCCUCUGCUUCCUACUUUCCAUGGGAUGGAAAGUGAAAAUCCAUAUGCGCACAUAAAGGAAUUCGAAGAUGUGUGCAAUACUUUUCAAGAAGGGAGAACAGCUAUUGAGCUUAUGAGGUUGAAGCUCUUUCCAUUCACAUUAAAGGACAAAGCCAAGAUAUGGCUCAAUUCCUUGAGGAUGGGAAGCAUAAGAACAUGGACAGAACUUCAAGCUGAUUUUUUGAAGAAGUUUUUCCCUACUCACAGAACAAAUGGAUUGAAGAGACAAAUCUCCAACUUCUCAGCACGUGAGAAUGAAAAAUUUUAUGAAUGCUGGGAGAGGUAUAUGGAGGCCAUCAAUGCAUGUCCUCACCACGGCUUUGAUACAUGGCUUUUGGUGAGCUAUUUUUAUGAUGGCAUGUCAUCUUCAAUGAAGCAGAUAUUGGAGACAAUGUGUGGGGGUGAUUUCAUGAGCAAGAACCCUGAGGAGGCUAUGGACUUCCUAAGUUAUGUCUCAGAGGUUUCCCGUGGAUGGGAUGAGCCCAAUAGUAGAGAAAUGGGGAAGAGGCCAGUUCAGCAAAUGUCAAGAGGGGGGAUGUACAGUCUGAGUGAAGACAUGGAGAUGAAAGCCAAGGUAGCUGCCAAUGGCUAGAAAAAUAGAGGAAAUGGAGUUGAGAAAAGUUCAUGAAGUCCAAGCUAUUUCAGAACCUCAACAACAAGCCAAUCCUUGCUCCAUCUGUCAGUCAUUUGAACAUAUGGUGGAAGAAUGUCCCACCAUUCCGGCAGCAAGAGAAAUGUUCGGGGAACAAGCUAACCUGAUUGGCCAAUGGAAGCCAAAUUCAAAUGCUCCCUAUGGCAACACGUACAACUCUAGCUGGAGGAACCACCCAAACUUUGCAUGGAAGCCAAGGCCAAACCCAUAUCAGUCACCAGCCCAAUCAAGCCAACAGAGUCAAGGUCAAUCCUCAGUUGAGCAAGCACUCGUAAGCCUUAGCAAGGUUAUGGGUGACUUUGUGAGUGAGCAAAAAUCCAUCAACUCUCAACUAAAUCAGAAGAUUGACAACGUAGAGAGUACAUUGAACAAGAAGAUAGAUGGGAUGCAUAAUGAGUUGUCUCAGAAAAUUGACAACAUCCAAUAUUCCAUCUCAAGGCUCACAAAUUUGAACACUGUCAAUGAGAAAGGGAAGUUUCCCUCUCAGCCUCACCAAAAUCCUAAGGGGAUACAUGAAGUGGAAUCCAAAGAUGAGGAUUCUUCAAAGGUGAGGGACGUGCAAGCUAUUAUCACUUUGAGAAGUGGUAAGGAAGUGCAUCAGCCGGAGCAUGAUCAGAGGAAAGCCAAAGAAGAUAAGGCUGAUAGAAAAGAAGAAAAGAAGAAUGAACAAAAGGGAAAGGAAGUUCAGAUGAAAGAAAGCAUCAUUCCUAGCAUGGAUGAGGAACCUCAAAUUCUUUUAAAGGAAGGCAUGAUGAAGAAGUACAUGCCUCCUCCAUUUCCUCAAGCCUUACGUGGGAAGAAACCGAUCAAGAAUGCUUCUGAGAUUCUUGAUGUGUUAAGACAAGUGAAGGUGAAUAUUCCUUUACUUGAUAUGAUCAAGCAAGUACCCACAUAUGCAAAGUUUUUGAAGGACUUGUGCAUUGUGAAAAGAGGACUCAAUGUUACAAAGCAAGCCUUCCUAACCGAGCAAGUGAGUGCUAUAAUCCAAUGCAAGUCUCCAAUCAAAUACAAAGAUCCGGGGUGUCCUACAAUCUCAGUCAAUAUUGGAGGAACCCAAGUGGAGAAAGCAUUGCUUGAUUUGGGGGCAAGUGUUAACUUACUUCCAUACUCUGUAUACAAGGAGCUGGGGUUGGGAGAACUCAAGCCAACAUCAAUCACCCUAUCCUUAGCUGACCGAUCAGUGAAAAUCCCCAGGGGGGUAAUAGAGGAUGUAUUGGUUCAAGUUGACAAAUUCUACUAUCCAGUAGAUUUUGUGGUGCUUGAUACGGAUCCCAUUGUCAAAGGGAUCAACUAUGUUCCAAUCAUCCUUGGAAGACCAUUCCUUGCAACAUCCAAUGCAAUCAUCAAUUGUAGGAAUGAGGUCAUGCAACUCACUUUUGGGAAUAUGACAUUGGAACUCAACAUCUUCCAUCUAUGUCAAAAGCACAUCCAUCCUGAAGAAGAUGAGGGCCCGGAAAAAGUGUGUAUGAUAGAUACCCUGGUGGAGGAGCAUUGUAAUCAGAGUAUCCUUGAUCAGUUUGAAGAGAAUUCAGAUGAAAGCCAUGAAGAUCUUGAUGAUGGGUUAGCUGAACCCAUGGGAAUGAAUGCCGUUAUGUCAAACUGGAGACAAAAGCCAGUGAUCCUCCCUUUGUUCAAGGAUGAGGAAGAGAUGAAAGAAGCUAAGGAUGCAAUCCUUAAGCUUGAAUUAAAGACCCUUCCUGCCGAGUUGAAGUAUGCUUACUUGGAGGAAGGCAAUAAAGCCCCGGUGGUAAUUUCUUCUUCUUUAACCGUUUCACAAGAGGGCAAUCUUCUGAGAAUCCUUAGAAAGCACAAGAAGGCCAUCGGAUGGCAAAUUUCUGAUUUGAAGGGGAUAAGCCCAUUGAUUUGCACGCACCAUAUUUAUAUGGAGGAGGGAGCUAAGCCAACUCGUCAGCCACAGAGAGAUUGAAUCCUCAUAUGCAAGAGGUAGUAAGGGCUGAAGUGUUGAAGCUUCUUCAAGCGGGCAUCAUUUACCCCAUUUCNAUAGCACUUGGGUGNNNNNNNNNNNNNNNNNNNNNNNNNNNNNNNNNNNNNNNNNNNNNNNNNNNNNNNNNNNNNNNNNNNNNNNNNNNNNNNNNNNNNNNNNNNNNNNNNNNNAAGCUUGAAUUAAAGACCCUUCCUGCCGAGUUGAAGUAUGCUUACUUGGAGGAAGGCAAUAAAGCCCCGGUGGUAAUUUCUUCUUCUUUAACCGUUUCACAAGAGGGCAAUCUUCUGAGAAUCCUUAGAAAGCACAAGAAGGCCAUCGGAUGGCAAAUUUCUGAUUUGAAGGGGAUAAGCCCAUUGAUUUGCACGCACCAUAUUUAUAUGGAGGAGGGAGCUAAGCCAACUCGUCAGCCACAGAGGAGAUUGAAUCCUCAUAUGCAAGAGGUAGUAAGGGCUGAAGUGUUGAAGCUUCUUCAAGCGGGCAUCAUUUACCCCAUUUCGGAUAGCACUUGGGUGAGUCCAACCCAAGUUGUUCCAAAGAAGUCCGGGAUAACCAUAGUCAAGGGAGAAAAUGGAGAUGAAGUGUCCACACGCCUCACAACUGGUUGGAGGGUGUGCAUUGACUACAGGAAGCUGAACGCAGUAACGAGAAAGGAUCACUUCCCUUUACCUUUCAUGGAUCAAGUCCUUGAGAGAGUAUCUGGGCAUCCUUUUUAUUGCUUCUUGGAUGGGUAUUCCGGGUAUUUUCAAAUAGAGAUUGAUGUGGAGGACCAGGAGAAGACUACCUUCACUUGUCCAUUCGGCACCUAUGCUUAUAGGCGGAUGCCUUUUGGAUUAUGCAACGCUCCUGCUACCUUCCAAAGAUGCAUGCUUAGCAUCUUCAGUGACAUGGUUGAACGAAUCAUGGAAGUCUUCAUGGAUGACAUAACUGUGUAUGGGACUUCUUUUGAGGAUUGUUUGUCACAUCUUAAAGAUGUUUUGAAAAGAUGCAUAGAGAAAGACCUUGUACUCAAUUGGGAGAAGUGCCAUUUUAUGGUAAAUCAAGGUAUUGUUCUUGGGCACGUAAUCUCAAAGAAGGGUAUAGAGGUAGAUAGAGCUAAGGUAGAACUAAUUGUGAAGUUGCCACCUCCCACCAAUGUAAAAGGAAUAAGGCAAUUCCUUGGGCAUGCCGGGUUCUAUAGGAGGUUUAUAAAGGAUUUUUCCAAGAUUGCCAAACCUCUUUGUGAAUUAUUGGUGAAGGAUGCCAAGUUUGAGUGGGAUGAUAAAUGUCAAAGGAGUUUUGAGCUUCUUAAGCAAUUCUUGACAUCAGCGCCCAUUGUGAGAGCACCAAAUUGGGAGUUGCCAUUUGAAGUGAUGUGUGACUCAAGUGAUUAUGCUAUUGGGGCUGUUUUGGGACAAAGAGAAGAUGGCAAACCUUAUGUGAUCUACUAUGCAAGCAAGUCUUUGAAUGAUGCUCAAAAGAAUUACACCACCACUGAGAAUGAAUUACUUGUUGUGGUGUAUGCUUUGGAUAAGUUCAGAGCUUAUUUGAUAGGGUCUUCCAUUGUGGUAUUCACGGAUCAUUCAGCUUUGAAGUAUUUGCUAACCAAGCAAGACGCCAAGGCUAGGUUGAUUAGGUGGAUACUUUUGCUUCAAGAGUUCAACCUCCAGAUCAGAGAUAAGAAAGGUGUUGAGAAUGUGGUAGCUGACCACUUGUCAAGGCUCAACAUUGCUCAUGACACCCAUGGACUUCCCAUAAAUGAUGAUUUCCCUGAGGAAUCCUUGAUGCUUGUGGAGGAAGUGCCAUGGUUUGCACACAUUGCCAAUUACUUGGUCUCGGGAGAAAUACCAAGUGAAUGGAGCUCUCAGGACAAGAAGAAUUUCUUUGCCAAGGUCCAUGCAUAUUAUUGGGAGGAGCCUUUUCUCUUCAAAUAUUGUGCGGACCAAAUUAUAAGGAAGUGUGUGCCUGAACAAGAGAAGCAUGGGAUCCUAUCUCAUUGCCAUGGGAAUGCAUGUGGAGGCCACUUUGCCUCUCAAAAGACGGCAAUGAGAGUUCUUCAAUCGGGCUUUUGGUGGCCCUCACUUUUUAAGGAUGCCCAUGAGGUAAGUAAAGGAUGUGAUAAGUGCCAAAGACUAGGCAAGCUUUCAAGGAGAAACAUGAUGCCUUUGAACCCCAUCUUGAUAGUGGAUCUUUUUUAUGUUUGGGGCAUAGACUUCAUGGGACCUUUCCCUAUGUCUUUUGGCCACUCCUACAUCUUGGUAGGAGUUGAUUAUGUUUCAAAGUGGGUUGAAGCUAUACCCUGUAGAACCAAUGAUCACAAAGUGGUUCUCAAAUUCCUAAAAGAAAACAUCUUCUCGAGGUUUGGAGUGCCUAAAGCAAUCAUCAGUGAUGGAGGCACUCACUUUUGCAACAAGCCCUUUGAAGCUCUUUUGGCCAAGUACGGAGUUAAGCAUAAGGUAGCUACACCUUAUCAUCCUCAGACGAGUGGCCAAGUAGAGCUAGCCAACCGGGAAAUUAAGAACAUCUUGAUGAAGGUGGUGAACACCAAUAGGAAAGAUUGGUCUGUUAGGCUCCUUGAUUCCCUAUGGGCGUAUAGGACGGCUUAUAAGACUAUCCUUGGGAUGUCACCAUACCGUCUUGUUUAUGGCAAAGCUUGCCAUCUUCCUGUUGAGAUUGAGUUCAAGGCAUGGUGGGCCAUUAAAAAGCUCAACAUGGAUUUAACUAAGGCUGGGCUAAAGAGGAGUUUGGAUUUGAAUGAGCUUGAGGAAUUAAGAAAUGAUGCCUAUCUCAACUCAAAAAUAGCUAAGGAAAAGCUAAAGAGAUGGCAUGAUCAGUUGGUGACCAAGAAAGAAUUUUUCAAGGGACAAAGAGUCUUGCUAUAUGACUCUAAGCUUCACCUAUUUCCGGGAAAGCUCAAAUCAAGGUGGGUAGGGCCUUUUGUCAUCCACCAAGUACACUCACAUGGAGUAAUUGAGUUACUCAACUCAAAUAGUGCAAAGACCUUCAAGGUAAAUGGGCAAAGACUCAAGCCCUACAUCGAGCCAUUUUCCCGUGACAAGGAGGUACUCAUCCUCCAUGACCCAUCACAUCCUUGAGAAAGUGUGGUAAGUUGAUGAGCUUAGCAUGAAAAGCUAAGUGCUCAUCUCUUUUUGUUUUAGUUUUAGUAUUACAUUCUUGUUUACUUUGCAUUUUUAAUACUUUUGCACAUAUUUUGUUUAGGUUUCUUGGUUUUGAUUUUGAUUUUUUUAUGUUUUUAAUGGAGCUUUGAUGUCCAAUAGCAGGUACGAAAGCUCACAAGCUCACAAAUGUGGAGAGAAAGGUGAAAUAGGGGAGAAAUAUAUCUAAGUCCAAGCUUAAAAGCCCAUUUCGCAACUCAAAAAGUGAGUUGCGAAAAUUUUGCAAGGUGAAUUUCACCUUGCGAAAUGCACAUUUUGGCAAGAUGCAAAAUGCAACCUCUCGAGAUUGCACUUUCGCAAGGAGUAACCAGUGCGAAAAUUUUCGCAAGUCAUUUUUCACCUUGCGAAAUUGUUUUCAAAGCAAAUAUCAAAGUGCAACCUCUCGGGAUUGGUUUUUAAGGGGAGUAGCCAGUGCGAAAAUUUGGCAAGGUGAAUUUUCACCUUGCGAAAUUUUUUCUUCAUGCUUACCAAGGUUUUGAUUCUUUUUAAAUUCAUUUUCACAGCUAUCCUGGACCAGCACUCCGCCAUGCUAUCUCAGAUCCACCAUCACCUGGGCAUAUCACCUCCUCCACCUCAGGAGCCACAUCCAUGAUUGGAUAUUUCUAUCUCCAUUUUGUAUUUGUUUUUUGUAGAUGUACAUGUUUUAUAUUCUGAGAUUGUAUGUACCUCAUGCUUCUAUCUUGUACUCAACUCUCUCAGUUUAUAUAAGCAUCAUUUUUUGUAUAUUAUUUCCUCUCUCACGUUUCUUAUGGUUUUUGAAUCAUGUGGAUGCACUCACACGCCUUGAAUACCACAUCACCAUAAGGUAUAUCAUUCCUUCCUUGUAUUUUUCGAUAGAAACAUUGGGGACAAUGUUCAUCUCGGUUGGGGGGAGAGUUGAGGAAGUAAGUAUUUCCUAUUCUAGUUAGUUAUUUUGUUGAUUUAGUAGUUGUUGCCCUUUUUCAAAAUUUUUUUGUUUCAUUCUCUAUGGUUGUUAAAGAUAAUUUCUCAAAAUAAAAUAGGAUAAGUCGAGUUUUAACUUAAUUACUUAAGUCUUAGAGUUUGUUUUAUGCUUUCAAAGUUGAUAAUCUAUUGAAGCCCUCUUUGAUUUCGAACUUAUUUCUUCCAUUUCAAGCUUUACACACACCAUGCACAUUAGAUCCCGGAUUUAUGAUGUAAAACUUUCUCACCCUCUAAGCUUAGGAAAAUUUUGACUUGGUUUAUUACUUAACCUCUUUUUAAUAAUGUUGGGACACCUCAAAAAGACCAAUGAGUCUUAGAAAAAGAAAAAGAGAAAAAGAAAAAAGAAAAGAGAAAAAGAAAAAGAAAAAGAGAAUAAGCUUCUAUUCUUUCCUUGAAACCUAAGCAUGAUCCGAAGGGGUGGCGAAAGCCUUUAAAACCCGAUGCCCUAAACCUUGAUUGGUUGGGAGUCAUCGAUCCUCUGCUUGCUACAUAGGUGAAUUGGUUAAGUUUAGUGAGUAAAAAGAAUUGUGAAUAAGAAGGUGCGUUCCUAACCUAUUAAGAGUUGGUUAAUUUUGCCAAUGUCCGAGAAAAGCUUAGGUUAGGGGGAGAGGAUAGUUGUGCAUACUAUAUCCGGAAGCUAAUCUCAUUAACACUUAGCUCAUUAUGGAAGAGUUUGAUCCGGAACCUUGAGAGUAGAGAUUCUUUUGAUACUUAAUUGCAUAAUCUCCACUCUUUGUACUUUUUGUUUAAGUUUUAGCUUUGACAACUCCUAUUGCAUUUUGAAUCUUCGUAUCUUUAGUUCACCAUGUGAGAUGUGUUUUGAUUUCAGUCAUGCCACUCAAUUAUUUUUUGGAGUGAUUUGCAUGAUCCCUUUUAUGUAUAUUAUUAUAGUUUACUUAGUUUUUAUCUCCUCCAUUGCUAAGGGACUAGCAAUGAGUCGGUUGGGGGGUGUGAUUACUACCAAAAAGUGCUAUUUUGUAGACCUAAUUAUAAUGGUUUUAAGCACCUUUGAGUAGUAAUCAUAUUCAUUUAACCCAAUUAAUUCAUUAAGGUCCUUAGUAAUUGGUUUUAACCUUUUUGUGGCAAGUUGACAUGUUUUUAUCAGCUUAUGAAUCGAUUCAAGCAUGCCAAUUGAUGGAGGAGCUAUUUGGGUGAGUUAAGCAAGGAUUUUGUACGUUUAUAGGCUUGAAUUUCAAGUGGAAACACGAGCACAAGCAAUGGAGAAGAGGAAAACAGAGUGAAGAAAACAGCUGCAGUCUUCCUUUGAACUUUUGAAGCACUUUCCGAAGUCCAUUUUUUGCAUGCUAUAUACCAUUUGAAAGCUUAGGAAGUCAAGAAUCCAACGCUUCAAACCGUGUAUGAUUUGGAGCUGAAAUGAGGAAGAUAUGGCCUUAGGAAGGAAACUGCAUCAUGUCAAAUGACCAAUUUCGCAAGGUGAAUUUCACAUUGCGAAAAUUUCGCAAGGAGAUUUUCUUCAUGGUGCGAAAUUUUGCCACUUCGCACCAUGAAGAAACACCUUGCGAAAAUUUCGCAAGGUGGAUUUAGGCACAUUGCGAAAUUCCUUUGAAUCCCCUGUUUUGAGACGUUGUUGAUGUUAUUCCACUACCGGUUCUCCAAGAUAUUUUGCUUGAUUUUUAGCUUUGUAAAUACCUAUUUUACCCUUGUAAUCAACCAAUGAAUAGGUUGCUUUUGUAAUAGCUCUUGUAAUUUAGCUUGUUAUUGUCUUUAAAUAGAGGUGAAGAGCCUCAGACACGCAUCAUCUAAUCUUGUAACCUGUAACUUUAUAAGUUAUAAGAGCACUUUUGUUCAGAAGCUUCUUUUCUCUUUUCUUUCUCAUUUUCUUAGUAGCCAAACACCCUUGGAGGAUGAAAUCCCCAAGGAUGAGAGGCUAAAACCUUUUAGUUUCUUGAAGUAAUGGAUGCCAUGUGAAGCUCCCGUGUCAGGAUGGAGAUUUCCAAGCCAUGAAUGUAAGUAGCUGAGCGUCAUAAAUGUUUUCAUUCAAAGUAAAGCUUUUAAUCCCUCUGACUUGCUUUGAAUGGCCAAUACUUGAUAACCUUUUGGUCUCAGUGGAUUCUUAUUGUUAGAUCCACUGACGUUCAUUAGUUAUCUCCUACGAGCCAUUGUAUUGCAAGUCGAGGAGAUGACCUAUAUCAUUAAAAGGGCAUUUAUGAGGUUCAGCUACCCUUUUUGUAAGUUUUCAAGGACUAAAACUCAGUUGUUAAACUCAUACCGGUUCGGGAAGUAAGCAUCACCUUAGUUGCUUCCCCAACUCGAGGUGAAAAGUCCCAAAAUCUCCAUUUUUACACAGUGAGUUAAGCAUGGCUAUCCAAAGCUUUGAGAAACUUCUUUCUCCAUCUUUUAACCUAUUUUCAAGUUAGUUUAGUUUACAACACCUUUAUCUUUUUAUGUUUUCAUCUUAACCUAAUUUUUAUUAAGAAAAGUUCACUCCAUCCUCCGAACUUCACCAGUUAAAGUAAAAACCCUUCCCAGUGUUCGAUCCUAGAGCCACUAUGCUAUAGUAGCUUUGUUACUUUAGUGUAAGGACCUUAGGUAUAAAUUUUGUUGAUACCCUUACAUGCCAAGCUACCAAGAGGCGGGUUAUCAACAUGCCAAAUAGGAUCAAAUUACAAUAAAGGAGAGUUAGGGUGCAUACCUGGAUGGCUUCUCAAAUGCUAUCAUGAAACAUAAAAGUUAGUAUAGAGAUACAUCACACAACAUGUGCUUUUGUCAAAGAUAAUCAAGCAAGCAUCAAAUAUAUAUCAAGGCAAUAAAACAGGAUGGCAAGCAUGGGCAUAGUACGCAAUGACAAUCAUAUUCAUAGGGUUUAGAAAGUGGGUAUUAGGGAACGUACCUGGAUAGCAUAGAUAACUUGUAACGUGCUUCCAUAAAACAGGAGAGGUUAGAUAGCAAACAAUAAAAUAAGAAGUCCUAGCAUGCUUGUUAUCUAAUUAGCAUAGAAAAAAAAAAAAUUAUCACAGUAUACAAAACCAUCAAUUAUCACUAAUAUCUUCUAUAUAAUUUCUAAAAAAUAAAUAGACAUGAGUUCAUCAAAUAACAAAGGGGGCAACAAAGAUGAGUUUUGAAAAUUUUCCUUAUGUAGGGGUUUCACCAAUUCCCCGAUUGAUAUACACGAAUUUAGCCCAGAAUUAUCCCAUUUAUGUGGGACCACAAGCUUUGAUUCAUGUUUGAUUUCAAACCAAAAUUUUCGUUAAAAAUCGAGAAAGAUGCAAAUCGAUCAAAAAAAUGGUUGCAUAUUAUUUUAAGAAAAUGGGGUUUUUGAUUCUAAGGACUCUAAAUGAAUUUUUAAAAUAGGUUUUUAUAAGGAAAAUUUUGAGAAAAGUAUUUUAUUUUAAAAUAAGAGAAAUUAAUUUGAGAACAAUAAAACAUAUGAGAAACAUUGUACCAAGCAAAACAAAUAGAAACAAAAUCAUAAAGUAAAAUUUUUGGCAACCAAGCAAACUGAAAUGGUGUGAAUGGAGGCCAAUCUUCACAAUUUUCCAAUGGCCUCCAUGAAUCAAAUAUAAACGAACAAAUGUCAAAGAAAAUAACUAAACAGCCUUAGAUCAAAUAAAGUCAACCAGAUAUCAAUCAAGAACUAACAAAGAUUAGUCAAGCCCAUAAAUUGAGGAUAUAAUCAAUAAUUAAAUUAGAUUAGUCAAACACACAAACCUAUGAUUAAGGUAAUGUUAAAUAUAGUACCAUAAGAACUUACAAUUCUAAAACACUUGAAUUGAGUAAGGAUCAAUCAGGAACUAGAGCUUAACACACUUAAAACAUGGAUAUAAUGACAAGGGGUCAGAUAAAUUAAAUAAUUAAAAUUCUAAAGACUCAUAAAACAAAUAUGAUGAAUCAAAAAUAAUAAUAAUAAUAAAAAUAAAAAAUAACUGAAAUUAAUAAACAUAGUGAUAAUGAUAUAGAACCAAAUGAAUUAAUCACCUAAAAACCUAAAGCAUCACAUGAAUCAACUAAGAUGAAAAUAAAAAAAAAAAGAAUAAAAUAACAUGAUGAUAAUGACAUAGAAUCAAAUAAAUUAAUCCAUUAAAAUUUUAAAGCAUCACACGAAUUAAUUAGGAUGAACCCAUGAACUAAAAUUAAAUAAAACAAGAUGAUGAUGACAUAAAACCAAAUAAAUUAAUCGACUAAAACUUGAGAGACUCGAAAACUUAAUAGAGUAAAAAAUUAGCAAACAAAGCCCUAACUUUCAAUCUAAAAAAAAAACUAAUAAACUAAUGGAUAAAAAAAAAAGAAAUCAAAAACUCAAGAACAAGGAAACUCACUUACCUUUGGAAGAUGCAGCCUACUCGCUUUGGGGAUCAAUGGCGUUCAUGGUUCUCUUGAAGAUACCAUGAAGAUCUUUAUGGAAAUUGAGGCAUGGACCCCUUAAAAUGCAACCUGCUGCCACUUUUCCUUCAAAAAAUCUCACCAUCUAAAAGUGCAACUUGCUUCCAUUUUUCUUUCAAAAAAAUCUCACCCCCUCAAAAUGCAACUUGCUGCCACUUUUUUUUUUAAACAAAUCUCACCCUAAAGUGGCAAUCUGCUGCCACUUUUCUUUUAAAAAAUCUCACCCUAAAGUAGCAGUCUGCUGCCACUUUCCUUUCAAAAAAAAUUCACCCUAAAGUGGCAGCCUACUGCCACUUUCCUUUCAAAAAAAAAACUCACCUUAAAGUAGCAGCCUGCUGCCACUUUUCUUUCAAAAAAAACUUCACCCUAAAGUGGCAGCCUUGGAGAAUCCCCACUGUACGGUUGUGUUCCAAAAAAAUUGAAUGCUGCCACUUUUCUUUUCAUCAAACUCAUAGUGCGCCCCAUGGAGAUUAAUAGAAAUCCCUUUUCCUCAUUUUGGAUGGUCACGCCCUCUCUCCUAUAGUGCAUGUGCAGAUCCAAGGAUGCAGCCCGUGAAGUGAUGUAACGAUUCCUAUUGAGUCUGUUAGUGUUGCCAAACCAGAAAGUACCCAAUUAUGAAUGUCCAGAAGAUGCUGAGGACAUGCAUGUCUUCCGACAAUGAUGUCAGUUCAGGACAGCGAUAAAUUUGAAGACGUUAGUAAAGGGAGGCUGUCCAUUGAGUGUGAUAAUGUUAUCAAAUUUAGGGCAGCAAUUUGAAUCCCUGAAUAGAGAUAGCUUCCAAGGCUUCAAGUGGGGUGAGAUGUUGAAUCACUUGUGAUAGAGAGAUUAAGCUACUAGCACAUCACUGAGAGAAUAUUAAUCUAUGACAAUUCCCACUUUCGAGUUGCUUUAGAGAAGUAAGGCGUCACAACUACAUUACCAUCUAGUAUUUUGCUUUGACUUGGCAACACUUACAUCUUUUUCAAUCAUGCACGGGGCUGUUUUGAAGUCCAAAAGUGCAAGUCGUUUUUGGAUGGCGGCUGGUUCUUGUUUGCUGUUCCUUGAGAUCAGUUUUAUUGCCAAUCAGAAUGAUGAGAAUGGUCUUAUCAGCGUGACCACGUGACUCUUCCAACCAUCGGGGUAUGUGGUCAAAACUUUGGCGUUUAGUUAUGUCGUAAACCAGCAUUGCGUCAACAGCACUCCUGUAAUACGCACUUGUAACGGCUCCGUGUCGUUCUUGGCCAGUAGUGUCCCAGAUCUGAGCCUUGACACUCUUGCGUCGGAUGACGAGGGUUCGAGUCUGGGACUCAACCCCGGUUGUAGCCUUGGAAUCCAAACUGAACUCGUUCCUAGCGAACCGAGUUUACGACUUGCCCACUUCGGUGUCUCCGAUCAUAACCACUUUGAAAACGUAGUUGAUCUUUUGGCUCGAAUUGCCAUAGCUUCCACCACUCGCCAUCACCGCACCACUCCGUUCUCUCUCUCUUGAACACUCUCUGUCUGGAUUCAAGAUCAGUCACAGCCUUCCUUUUCCCAUCCUCAAUUCUGUCCGCUGGGAAACCGAAUUGCCACCAUCAAACAGUUGGUUCCUUGCAGCCGCUGAAGCUUGUCAGCAUCACCAAGAGACCAACCAAUUGGGUUGUAGGAGAAGUCAAUCUGUUUCCAUGUAAUCUGAUCCCAAACUCCAAUCCCAUACACGUGGCUUCAAUCUUUACCGCUAGCAAUAAUCCUAUAAUCUGAAUUAAAACCCAGAGCUCCGACAAUUUCCUUUCUUUAUGGCAGCCAGAUUUGGAUCCGAUCUCGACUCUCCUUUGAGAUUAAGCAAUUUAUCAAUGUAUAAUCAGGCCGCUGUGGACAAAUCCAUGCUUGGUAGUCAUGCUUAUUGAUGAUAGUCUAGAGAUGUGGAAAUCAAACAAUUCUGAUGAACCCUCUCCCAUGCGUGAUGAGGCCGAUGAUGUGUUAUUCCAGAUUCAUCUCCGGAGAUCCCUCUAAUUAGAACGUUCAGAAUCCCCCAGAAACGAGAGCUCUCCUUGCGGUCUCCUUCUCCAGCAGCGUUCAUCCCUCCCCCCCUUUUUUUUUAUAUGCUUCACGAACUUCAUCACAUGAAUUACCACAAUCAUCAUCCGUCACUUCUGCUCCAUAGCAUGAACCACAAUAUUUUCCAUUGCGUUCAAGCCUGCCACCAUGUCCUUGUAAUAGCUUCUCAAUCCGGGGCCACCAAUUCCAUCUUGCCUAACUGCUACCACAUUACCAUGGGCGUCAAUGGAGAGAGAGUUUUGACCAGCAUGGGCGCUCGUACCAUUGGAGAUGCAGCCUUGAAGAUUCCCCCAGUGUGACCUGCUGCUGGUGCGUGUCUUCUAUGGAAUCUGUGCUGCGUGCUGGUCCUCUUGAUGGUGAGGAAUACGGCUGUGUGCUUGUCGUCUCCCUCCUAGUGGCAGCCCCCCACUUUGAGAGAAUUUGUGGCCGCUCCUUCCUAGAGAAUCCCUUAGAUGUUUCGUUUCAUCAUUUUAGCCGGAUCCAUUGCAAGCAAGGAAAUUCAUUGAUGAUUUGCUCCCCUUUUUAGGAAAGAAAGCUCAGAAUUCUGAUGCAUGUGUAGAAGCUUUGCAACUUAUUCGAGAUAUUAUACCAGUUUCAGUGAGUGAAACUUCUCCAAAAAUCUUGAAUGUCGUUUCUUCUCUGCUAAUUUCUGCUGGACUGGAUAUACGUUUGGUUAUUUGUGGCCUUCUUGGUGAUCUUGCUGAAACUGACCCUUAGGUACUCUCUGUGGCAAAUCCCAUAAAUGAAUUGGAUGUGACCUCUGUUACGGAAACGAGUGGCCUGGAUUAUGACACCAUAGUUUAUGCUUAUGAAAAGAUUAGCAUGGAGUUCUUUAAUAAUAUCUCAAAGAAUCAGGCACUGGUCAUUUUGUCGCGUUGUAUAUAUGAUAUGUCAUCCAAUGAACUGAUCUUAAGGCAUAAUGCAUAUAGGUUAUUGGUCUCUUCUGCUGAACUCUCCGUCCAAAUUCCUAAACUUGAAGUGAAGAGUGACCAUGAAACGCCCGAAGCAAUAAUAACAUUCAUAGCUGAUGGUUGUUGGAUUUAAGCAUGUAUUCAGCGCAUGAUAAACAAAUUCCUUUUGAAGCAUAUGGCAGAUGUAAUGGGCAAGGAAAAUUUUGUUCAGAAGGAAUGGGUUGAUUUACUGAGAGAAAUGGUGCUGAAGCUUCUAGAGGUGCUAAAUCUUCACUCAUUCAGGAUCUUGUAUUGUCUGAAUGUGUUAAUAAAAUUGGACCAAUGGAAGAUGCUGUGAAGGCUCUAUUUGCCUAUGGGCUCCAUCUAACUAGUCGGUAUAGGUUUUCUGAAUGAGAUGACCAUGGGAAUGGCCAAAUUUGGGAUUUCCGUAAGGUAAGAUUACAGUUAUUGCAGUUUAGAGACAGGCUGAAGACAUUUCUUGGGAUAAAUAUGGGUAGGUUCUCCGUGAAGGAAUACAACAAAUUUCGCAUUAUGCUUAUCAAUGAAGCUGCUGCUGCACUUGCUGAGAGUGGAAAAAUUGGGGCCUUAAACCUCCUUUUCAAGCGUCAUCCUUAUACACUCACUCCUUCCAUGUUGGAAAUUUUAGCUGCUGUCCCUGAAAUAAUUCAAGUUCAAACAUAUGGGCAACUCCCUCCUGGGAGGUCUCCUCCUACCAGUUUUGCUCUGAGGGAAAAAGAUUGGGUUGAAUGUGAAAGGAUGGUAGGCUUUAUCAACAGAUUACCCGAGGAUAAAGAGGGCAGCAUUCGCAUCAAAACUGAACCCAUUGCGAGGCAGAUCUUGGGAUUCUCUUGGCCAUAAGCUGAUGAAUUUUCUAGUUGAUACAAGUGCUGAAAUUUUUAUUGGUCAGACCGUUGACCUCAAAGAGCAGCAAAAUGCUCUUGGAAUCAGUCAGGAACACAUUGAAAGCGCUGCAUCACUGGAGGAUUAUGCUACCAUGAAUCCAGCCAAUUAUUUCACCUUUGUCUCCCAUAGUGCUAGAAGGUACUCUACCAAGAGGUUCUGGAACGCUCAAAUAUUUUAAGUGGAGGAUUCUAAUGCUUCAAUAGCACUCACCCUAUGACGAAUACUCAGUUUAUGAUGAAAGAGUGGAGUUUCUGGCAUCCACCUAUGCACCGAAUGCAGAAUCAAUAUUUGCUCCUCUCAUAGGAACAAACGGUUUUCACAACAAAGCAAGUGAUCAAGAUGAUGCAGGCUGCAAGAAUUUCCCGAAAGAAUUGCAAAUGGCCAGACUAGACGAUGAAGCUGUUCUCCAAAAACUGAGGCAAAUGCCAUUGGAAGUGGGAAAAUUGAAACAGAAUUUAUAAUGCUCUCCUUCCCUCAUGUUCAAAGGCUGAUCUGAACAAUACUGGAGUCGCCUAUGCAGCCAUGCUAGACAUUAGAAGCUUUAUGAGGUUACAAUAAAACCAUUAACUGUACACAUAAGUUCAUUUGCAAGAAUUGGGAACCAAUUUAGAAGGUCAAGUAUAUUCGCUGUCAACAAGAAUGAUGCCCUCCGAUUUAAGAUCUCUACUGAGGAGGAACCCAGUUUGAUCAAAAUUCUAGGAUCAAACAACAGAGUCAAAGUCAAAUCAAGAGCAACGUUCCAACUUGUCAUGAAGACCAAGAAUAGUAAUUGCUUUUGAGCAAGCAGUGAAAUUAUUUGCAAUCAGACAAUCAUCUUCUUCUUCAAGAAAUGCUGUAAUGAAAUUCUUACCAGUUGUGUCUGAUUCUUCAAAACAUGAAGUUAGCAAACAGAUUGUUCAUAUAUAAUGUCAGUUGGCAUAAAUGUAGUGUUCAAUCACCAAGCCACAAAGAUGAUACAACCGAACAGUUGCAGCAGGAAAACUUGGUUGUUUAUUCAAAAUCAAGUAAAUCUCUAGGUCCCUCAUACCACGAUUGCUCCCAAUCUUUAGGUCUUGGCGUAGACAAUUCCUUCCUUGUCUAUGUGGACAGAACAAUGCUUGCUGUUCUAGUUGUUGUCUUUCACCAUGGUCUGUAGAAAAAAUGUCCAGAAAAACAACUAAUGAUCAGUAGAAGUGUAAAAGGGAAGAAAGAAAACUACUGCUAGAUUGGAUCAGUCAUCUUCUUCAUUAGAUCAUUACAAACAGUUGGCUUUGAAAAAUUUGAAGUUAAUCAACUACAAUCAUGACAGAUAUUUAUUUUUCCUAAAAGAAUGUAAAUGUAUGGUUGCUCUUUGAGUACAGCUCUCUACAGCACAAAAAUAAACAAAUACUGUGGUCAAAGCUGUCAAUCAAAAUCCCCCUAUCCAGAAUGCAUGGCAAUGGCUGAUCCAAAUGGCCAUGUACUAGUACACUUACUAAGAUUUCCUUCAAGAAUCAUGUACAAGUGACCACCACUGUUCUCGGUGUCCAGAGGCAGUUUUCCAUACUCAUCUCCUUCUCCAUGAGGCUCAUGUAGUUAUUGGAAGGAUUCAAUAAAUAAUCUCGAAACCCAUGAGCGUUUUUGGCCCAAAGAAAUUCAGCAUAUGACAUAAUUUCGUGUAUAUAUAUAUAUGGAGAGAGAGAGAGAGAGAGGAAAAGUUUAUGAAAUAACCAUGAUUACUAGACGGGAAAAGUGUGUUUUCAUCUUUUGAUAUGACUAUAUCAGUAAAUGAGUACCAACUUUUCCAUCUCAUAGUUUGUGAAUGGAUCAUAGACUGAAAAUGAAUUAUAUGUAAUCUACUUAAUUUACCAAAGGUAAUGAAAUCUAAUUUACAAUCAAAUUAAUUAAGACACUAGGAUACCAAUCACUACUAUACGUACAUAAAUCAUAUUACAUUUCUGUAACAUUACUUUUCUUCAAUACUUCCCCUGAUCAAGUUACAUAUCAAGAACUGAAAAAAUUAUAAGGCAAUCAAAUGAAACAAACCAAGAAAACAACAAUAUUAAAAGAGUUAUGAAAUAUCACCAGAUGAGAUCCAACAGUAAAUUAAGAAACUUUAUACAAUCUUGCUUACCUUAGGGCCAUGUCUGGAGGAGUUCCAAUUGUAGGCCUAGGGCCAAUGUUGAUAGGCACAUGCCCAGAUCUUAAAAACCCUCAAGAUGAACAGUAGCAGCUACUCUAGGCGCUCCUACUGCACAGGCAAAAAACAAGUUAGUCAAUGUUUCUUGGCUAUUGGCUUUGGCUUGGACCUUGGUGGUUAUGUCAAUUUUAGAUAAAUAUGUUAAUAAUCCAAUGACUAUAUUCCAAGAUUGAUGAUAUAUAUGCAAUAUAUCAAUUUGGAAAUGCUGAUAUAAACAUUUAAGGAAUUUAAAUUAGUCAAUUUUCAACAAUCUAGCAUUCAAAAGUGUACAAAAUGAUUAUAACUUGAAAGUUUGAAUAUAAACUGAGGUACAAUAUUCCUAGAGGCUCAAGUCUCCCUAGAACAAGGCAUCACAUCACAUAUUGAUGUGGCCUUAUGUUUGAGGUAAGCACCUUAUCUACUGGCGAGUUCAUCCUUAAUAAGCUUUUUGCAAGAAAAUGGAGACCUAAAAUUACUCUAAUACUUCUUUUCUUGAAUAUUAAAUUUUCUUAAAAGUGUUAUCGAUUAUCAAACAUUUAUAUCAAUGGUGGAAACUAGUUUGCUACCAAAGUGAAGGUCAAAGUCCUAAUUAUCAUUUUGCUAAACAAUGUAAUAUAGUAUUAUACAAUUAUUGCUUUUAAAAGAAAAUUUACAAGCCACCCAGCAAAAUUUAUGAUUAUACCUUUUUCCAACUUCACUCACGCCAUUGAGCUUUAUAAUUUGAUGAAACAAGCCUAAAUCAAAAAACUAUACAAAAAAAAUAAAGAAUCGGAGAAAACAAACCUGUAAGCACUAAAUUUUGUACUUUAAAAGAGGAAAUAGGAUGCCAAUUGUAGGUUUAAUUUAAAGAAACCUUAAAAAAUAUUUUUAAAAUUAUAGGAAAACCCCCGUAGCUUAGAAAAGAUUGGGGCGAACAGUCUACCUUUUGGCGAUGUUCACAUCUUGAGAGGAAUGACUUCUUUCUUAGUAGAUCUGAUGAUGGUGUUGAUCUUUAGGAAGAGAUGAUUAGAAGGCUACGUCGAAUUUUAGUGAGUGAGAGAUAAAGGAACACCCAAAACCUUAAAGCAAAAAAGGAAUUAAUAACUCAAAUAGAUUCCAUUUUUUCCUUAUGACGUGCUUACCUUAGUAAGGUUUUUAUGGCAGUGAUACCAUUUGGAUAAUUAAGUCAUUGAUUUUGAUGGAUCUUUUCCAUUUGAAUUUUUAAUAUAUAAACUUAAUCUUUUUACUUGGGGUAAUAUAUUUGGUAUUUUAGGAUUUACUUUUUAAUAAUAUGCUUUUAGUAGAUGGUUUAACUAUGUCCUAGUGUAAUAAGUAGUCUUGCAUUACAUUAUCUACUAUGGAGUAGGAGUGUGUUGCUUGUUCAAGGGAUGUAUGGGAAGUUGUUUAUUUGAUGAUAUACUUUCAACACUUAGAGUCACGACUUGAGCUAAUAAGUUUAUCAAGAUCUAAGCAUUGAUGGUGUUGCUACUCUAUUGUAUGCAAGGAUUCAAUUAGUCACAUUGUAGGACAAAACACUUAUAGACAAUUGAUUCUACUACAUUCAAGAUAUUGUUGCUUAAGGGGAGGUAGAGUCAAAACAAGUAGACAAUUGAUACAACUACACACACAACAUAGAGACAAAACACAUGAAUAAUACUAUGGUUGAAUAAAUUAAUUGGAUGAUGAGAUGAUAAUUAUUUUGUCAUCAACAUAGUGAACAACAUAAAUUAAAAUCUUGAAAUGUCACCUUAGCCAACCUAGUAGAAAUGAUUCAUCAAAAUAUUUGAAUGUGAGAUCUUAAAUUGGUGUUUGACCAAUAAAUAUGGUAAUAAACAUAUAUUAAGUAUAUAUGAAGUGACCAAGCUAAGAUUUGUAUCAUGUUAUUGUAGGGAAUCCCGAAUCUCUUUGUUCCUUAUCCUAUGAUUAGGCUAGGUACAUGCGAAUCUUUCUAAGUUUUUCUAAAUCGUAUGAACAAUGGGAAAAUUAUGUUUUAAAAUAAUAACAAGAUUUAGAAUUUGCAUUAGAAAACAUUACCUUAGAUUUGGAUGUUCCCAAAUCUAAUUCACGUAGUAAAGGAGAAGAUCGAAGUUUUCAGAGGUCUUGAACACCCAAGAUCUUCCACCAGAUGACUUUUCCUUGAUUUUAGAUCUUAAUUGGUGAGAAGGAAGGAAGACUAAAAAGGCUAUGGUUCUCUCUCUCUUUGAAUAGUGAAAGAUGGCUCACUUCAAAAAAGUAAUGAAAACCUUAUCAUUUAAGGGGUAUUUAUAGGGUUCCCUAAUUGGGUGUAAGUGACUUAAGCAUACUAAAGGCUUGAAUCAUUUAAUUUCACUCAAAAUGAGUCUUAAUUGAUUAAUUAACCUAACGUAGUUAUCUAAUUAAUUAAUUAGCUAAAUCUGGAGACUUUGUUCACUUACCCCUAUGCAACCUUGCAUAGUUACCAAAACACCUUUAUACGCAAAAGUGAACCAAGAGUUGUGUCAUCAAGGUAUAUGAGCUUAGGUGGAGACCAUUGAGACCUAUAGGACAGUACUAGCUACCCCAAAAUCUAAUUUUGAAGUUGAUUUAACGUUCCACUAUAGAGAAUCAAUUGCACUAUAAUACCUUAUGUAAAUAACAAUGAGAUGCUAAGUGGUCGAGCCCAUGACUUAUUAUCCAUUGCAUUCAAUCUCCCUAUGAACUGGUGUUUGUAGUCUAAUAAGGUCAAAACUAUCAACCUUUCAAGACUACCUCUACUAUCUUUGAAUUACAAAUCCUCUUAUUAUGUAUUUAAUUGAUAUAUCUUAACUCUCCAAGAGUCUAUGUCAAGUUCCAUUUAAGAAACUACUAUGACCAUAGUUUACAUGAACAUACCUCCUUAGGAUCACUUAAGGGGACACUCUAUCUCAAUCCUCUUAGAUUUCAUGGUACUUCUAUUACAAAUACUCAUUGUUAUAGACUUGCAUCAAUAGUGAACCAAUCCAUAAGGAACAUAUGAUUAGCUUACGAUUUCAUUAGUAGGUCAAAGUCACUACUAACUUUAACACAAAUUCUAUAUUCUCUCAAGGUUAAGAGAUAAAACAAUGAAGCAACUUGGUGAAAUCAUGACUAUUUGAUAGCUUUAUGUCAUAAUUCACCAUAAGUCUUGUCUGAUGUGUAACCAUACACAUUAGUAUACUCACCAUGGAAAACCCAUCCUGAUAACCAAGACCAACCAUUCCUCUAAUUAUGAAGUAGCGUACUAUAACCUCUAAUGGGUUACUUAGGCCUAUGAAUCGGUUGUGAACAAGUCAUCUACUUACAAUGAAUCCAUUUCUUGAAUUUUUUUUUGCAACUCUUAAUGCACUCAAGUCCUGUACAAUACAAGAUAUGUAUAUCAAAAUGCUUACAAGGUAUAAUGUAUAGGAUUAGGAUAAAUAAAAGUGAACUAAAAAUUUAUUAAUAAAUAAUAAAAUUUUAAAUUUAUUACAUCAUAUCAUGCUUUUAUGAAACCUUUAAAAUACUAAGAGCACCCUUUCAUAAUCAUGAAUUUAACUUUAGUUUCAACUUCUAUCAAAGGCUAAAUGAGAAAAGCUAUCAUAGAGGAGGCCUCAGCCAAUGGGUAAGAUGCACUGUUAUACCAAACAAUAAGUGGAAAAUGAAAUUUUAUUAAUACUUGAGACAAAGGAAGAUUUUACACUCAAACCAAGCAUUUAUUUAUAAUGAAGUGCAGUCUCCAUACGCACAUGUGGACUUAUUGGAAAAUCAUACAAAUUAUUGAAGGACGACCUUAGCUAGGCUAACAGUCUCCUAAAUAGGCCAUCUUUUAUAUGUCUUUGCAUUCAUCCAUCUCCUCAUUGUCUUUGAUUUUAGAUGGUGAGGAUGUGAAAGUAACAGGAAGCGGUGGACGAUUGUUCACAGUGAGGCUUAGCACAUCAGCUCUCGAAUAAUGUCCUACCACAUCGAACUGGAACUUUGCUUUAGGAAUCUCUCCACGAACAUCUACAUAUCAAGUGAUCAUAAAAAUAUUUCAUCAGUCUAUGAUAAAUAUCAUAGAAUAUCAAGUCUUCGAGAAAACUAAGUUUGCAGUCCUCUUAAACCUAAAGAAUCGACUCAUUUGUCUUAUUUGCAUACUGAAAUAUUUGGAUAUAUAACUGGAGAAGUUAGGGCCAUACCAAGAUCAGCUGUGAAGAGGCCUUCUCCUUCAUAAUUCGGUCCUGUUAGAAUUUCCCCAUGGGUCGAAAUGAUGACACUACCUCCAGCCCAAACAAUAGAAUCUGGAGUGACAUCUUCUUCUGUAGGACUGUAAAGAUACUCAGGUGGAGGUGGGUAAUCUUUCCUUUUCCAUUUUUAAAAAUAAUAAAAGCAAAGGUGUUUCAAAACAAUACCUCAUUUGCUCAAUUAAUUAUCACAUUUCCUAAGUACAAAAGUAGGCAAGUGAAUUUUUGCUCAAGUUACAAUAAUGCUCCAAAUCCUUAUCCAAGACUUUGAUCCUAUUUCACAAUUGUUUUUUAAAACAGUUUUUUUCUUGGGAGAAUUACCCAAAGGGGUGGGUUAGAAAAAAUAAUGACUAUGAAGGCUCACUCUUUUAGAAGACAAUUUUACCCUUUAAUAUGUUUUUUAUAUUAUUUAUAAAUAAAUUGAGAUUGUCAAUGAUGUGGGGCUCAUACAUAAUGAUAAGUACAAGUUGAUAAAUGAUGUGGGACUCAUACAUGAUGAUAAGUACAUGUUGAUAGGCAAUCAACGGUACAUUUUUCAACUUGAAAAAAUUGUUAUCACUUUUGAACAAUUAACUAUUUAAAAAUUUGUUAUUUUUUUUUAAAUUGAGAUUUUUUAAAGAACCUUAUAAAAAAAAUAAUUUUUAAUAUCUCAUAAAUAAAAACCAUAUCCUAAAGUUAUUAUAUCAUUUUAUAUAUAAAACAUACAAUUAAAAACUUUGUUAUCAUAAUAUAAUAAAUAAUUAUUUUUUACGAGCACUCAUCAAUUGAAUAAUAUAUAAAUAUUCAAUUGACUAACACACACCUAUUAAAUGGAAUAACUCACAAUUAUUCAUUGGGUAAUAUAGCACGUGAAAAAAUUAAAUAAAAAUAAAUUACAUUAUGUUAUAAUAUAUUGUAAUGAUAGUGUAUUUAUAUUGUAAGUAUAAUGCAUUUAUGUCGUACCUAUAUUUUAUUAUAAAAGUAAUAAUUUUAAAAAUGUUUAUUCAUACCCUAUUGGUAUUAACACAUCGUAUUAAUAUAUUAACAACAUUUAUUUAGUGUUUUGAAAUUAUUUAAUAAUUUUUGUAUAUAUAUAUAUAUAAACUACGUGAAUUCAAAUUAGUAUUUCAUUUGAUUUCAGAAAUUAUUUAUGAUAUAGGUAUGUUGUGAAAUAUGGUAUGAUCAUACAAAGUUACCAUUUUCAUAAAAAAAUUCAUAAAUUUCUUAAUUAGGUUUUAUUGUAAUGUAUUGUAAUGUAAGUGUAUUUAUAUUGUAAUUAUAACAUAUUUUUGUUGUACUUGUAUUGUAUAAUAAAAGUAAUAAUCUUAAGGAUCACCUUUUAUACCUUAUUAAUAUUCAACAUAUCAAAUAUAUUAACAUCAUCCACUCGAUACAUUGAGAAAAAAAAUUUAUAUAAAAAUUUAAAUAAAAAAAAACACUAUGCAAAGGAAAAAAAAUCAUAUAAAUUUUUUUAAAUUAUUUUAUUAUAAAAAUAAAAAAUGAUUAAACAUUUUCUAUCAUUUUCUUAUUAUUUUUAGAGAAUUUGAAUGAAAAAUUAAACAUUUUAUCUUCCUUAAAUUUAAUACAAAAACAUAAUUUAUCAAUUUAAACUUAUAAUAUAUAUAUAUAUAUAUAUGAAAAAAUCAUCAUUUUUAUUAUAUAAUUAUAAAACUUAUUUUUUUCUUCAUAAAAUUAAAAAUUAGAAUAAAAAUAAAAAAAGGUAAAAAAACAAUAAAUGAUAUUUUGAAAAUAUUUUUUAAAAGUAUUUUUGUUUUAAAUAGUAAAUUUAAAUAACAAAUUAUAUAUAAUUGUAAGGGUUAAACCCAAAAUUUUGAUUUAAAAUUUAAAUAUCAAUAAUUACAAUAAAUGUGGGACCCAUGUACCAUAAAUGUAUUAACAAAUAAAGUGAAGUGCUUUAAAUGUUUUGAAUUUUAAAAGUUUUAGUUAAAGGACAGUUUUGGUAUAUUAAGCUUACUAAAGUCCUCCCCAAUAAUUAUUAAAAGAUACCACCCUUUCUAGUAAUUGUUUUGCCCAGCCUACCCUUUUGGAUAAUUCUCCCUUUUUUCUUCUCUACAACAAAAAAAAAAAAUGUGUUUGAGAAUUGGAAAAUAAGGUGUUUUAAAAAAAACAUAUGUUAGUUGUUUUUAGUUUUUCUUCAUUAGCUUUUUUGACGGUUGUUUAAAAAAAAUAAUUAUAUAAAUAUGAAGAAUUAUUAAAAAUAUAAUAUUAUAGACAAAAGUUAUUUUAAAAUUAUAUGCACGAGUUUUGGAAAGUCUUGCAAAAUAAGCAAAACUAUAGGAAAAAUAUGCAAAUAAAAAAUUGUAUUAAAAUCAUCAAGGGCGCACAAUAUUUGUGGAAAAAUAUUCUUUGCCGAAGAAUAUUUUUUAAAGAUCAAUUGAAAGCCUAAAGCAGCUUUUUCCCAAUUGAAUUUAUUGAAUGGUGAAGAACACGUGUGUUGCAAUUUUUUGGAUUUGUAGAGCGUAUUUUAUAAAGCUUUUUUCUCUUUGUGAACCUUCUUUUCAUAUGUGAAAUUGUUUUAUUUUUUUUUAUCAUUUUCAUUGAAGGAAGUUGCUGAUAUUUACAGAUAAAAUUAAAAAAAUUAAUUUUAGAAUUUCUAAGAUUUGAUUACUUAAUUAAAAAAAAAAAAUUGGUUUCUUGAUUUUAGCAACUUGUCUUCUUCAUUUAAGGAAGUUUGCUAACAAGAGCAUAUUUACUUCUCAUUUUCUUUUGACUUCAAUUGGAAGACUUGUUUCAUUUGUUUACAAAAUUUGCCAACAAGAAAAUAUUUAUUUCUAAUUCUCUUUUGAUUUCAAUUGUUUGAUUUGAUUUGAUUUUGCAAGACUUUAUUUUAUAGCCUUCCAAAUUUCGCUACAUGUCAUUUUUUGAAUUGAAUGCCACGUGUUCAAUAUAUAUGACUCGUCACUUAUUAAGCCCAAAUUUUGUUGAUCUAAGGAGUUACAAUUUUGAAGACUAAUUUGGUAGUAUUUUAAUCCACUAAAAUUUUUUAUGUCUACAAAUGCCCCCUCUUCAAAACAGAUCACACACAUGCAUUAUCAUGUAUAAGAAGUGAGUCUUGAAGUUAGCCUUUUGAAUCUUCAAUAUCCUUCUUUGAUUUUUUUUUUUCGAAGAAAUAUUUAAAUAGGAAAUUUCCUAUUCAAAAUACUUUUCUUCAACUUUUUUCGAACACUGUUUUAUUUAUUUAUUUAUUUUUCUACCUUGUAUCAAAGAAAAACCUUGUGUUAAUGGGAAAGCUUCUUAUUUGAACAUCUAUUUUCUUUUCUCAUGGUAUUUUCACUUCCAAUUUGUCAUCCUACAAGAAGUCCUUCACCCUAGCUGGUUCAAUUGCAUCUUAGACUUGGUCACAUGCCUUUAACUUGUAAUUCUUCCUCCACUUUCUUUUUUUUUGUUUAAAAAAUAGUACAAUAUAUUUGAGCAAGACCAUAAGCAAGAGAAUAGAGGUGGUGAAUGGAGCACCAACUAACCUUAGGGCAAGAUCUUGAGCAAGAGAAGUAAGGUGGAGAGUAGAGCACAAACUUCUCUAAAGCAUGGUAGGCAUACCGUCAUGGAGUUGUCUUCUGCAUGGAGCAUGGUAGGGUAUUAUAUAUAUGAUAGGGUGGGCCAUCAUGUAACAAUGAAGAACAACAAUCCAUGGUGUACAAUUGGGAACAACAAUUCAUGCUAUCAAGCUUCAACCUUUUGUUAUUUUUUGUUUUUUUUUUAAUCCCUAUCUCUACCCCCGACUCCAAUUUUUUUUUCAAGUUUCUAGAUUCCUUUUUAUUCUUUCUCAUUUUAUUUUUUUCAACUCCUUUUUUUUUCCUCCCUUUUUAACCAUUGUUUUUAAGGAAGAAAUAGAUUCACCAUCCCUUACCACGAGGUCAAUCUCCAUCGCUUGCAAAGACAAAUUUGCUUUUUGGUGUUUUUUUUUCUUCAAAAAUUAUCUUAACAUUUUAAGAUAUAUAUAUAUAUUUAUAUAUUUAACAAACUUAAAUAUCCAUAAUAAAAUAAAUAUUUAAGGCUCUUGACUUAUUUAAAUUGGCUUGACUUGGAUACUUAGUGGAACCAUACUUAACACCCAUGUAGAUGAGCUAUAAUCUUGAUGGCAUGUUGUGUUAUAUUUUCGACACUUAAUGUGGCUUAAGAGUUAAAGUCUUCACUCAUGAAAAUUAGCUUGGUUUGGAUGCACAAUGGUCUCUAACUUCUUAAUGCUUAAUUAAACUUGGAACCAUAUUUAACACCCAUGUAGACAAGUCAUAAUCAUGACAUAGAGCACUAUUUUAUUUUAACUCUUAAUAUGACUUAAAUAUUAAAGUCUUCACUCAUACAAAUUAACUUGGGUUAGAUGCACAAUGGUGUUCAACUUGGUAAUAGUUAAUUAAAAUUGAAACAUUUAACACCCAUGUAAACAAGUCAUAACUUUGACAUGGAACAAUGUCGUAUUUUUAGCUUAAUGUCGCUUAAGUAUUAAAGUCUUCACUGAUGUAAAUUAGCUUGUCUCAGAUGCAUAAUAGCAUUCAACUUUUUAACACUUAAUUUAAAUUCAGACCAUAUUGAAAACCCAUGUGGACAAGACAUAAUGAGAAAAUAAAGGGCUAAUCUAAAUAGAUAAAAAUACCCAACAGGGAAGGAGGGGGGUGAAAUGGAGUUUAAAAAAAAAAAAAUUAAACACAAUAAAAUUAAGUACAAGAAGCACAAAUAUAAAGAGAUAAGUUAUAGAAAGCAAACUCAGAUUUAUGGUGGUUUGACACUUCCUUGCCUACAUCCACUCUCCUCAAGCUCCUAACCGAGUGAGGGUUCCACAUAUACUUAAAGCUUCAACCAAACUUCUAAUCACUUUUUACACUUAGAUUUUGGCUCCAAUGGGCUCUUACACAUUCGCUUCAAGUCUCUACUCACUUGAAGGUUUUAACACUCAAUUAACAAGUUUGAAACUUUCAACCUAGCUCAACAAUGGCUCAAAUACAACUCAAGGCUAGGAUGAAUCACAAAGGUGCAUUAAAGAAUAUUCAAAUGAAGAUUUAAUGCACUAAGAAAAGAAUGAGAGCUUUUAUGGCAAGAACAAGUAGGUAAACAAAUCAAUGUAGGUGUUCUCUUACUCAUAAAUGAAGUGAAAUUCUCAAUUUAUAGGUUUCUAAUCUCAGAAGCCAAAAAACCAAAAAGUAACCUCAAUCGAUUGAGUUGGGGGUUGACCGGUUCACUAGCCGUUAGAGCAUUAAAUGUGUGGCAGGUGAUCGUUACCCUCGACCGGACCUCGACUGGGAAGGCAAAUCUCUCGACUAGGAAAGAAAGGUUAUUGGAAGAGAAAGAAGGUUUUUUGCAUCUUUUGACCAGACCUCAACCGGGAAGGAGCAAUCGAUCAACCAGUACCCUAGCCAGUUGAGCUGGUUGGCUAGUGCCUCUACCGAUUCACCAUUUUUUACUCGAAAACCUAUCUUUUUCUGGUCUUUUUUUGCUUCUAACACUUAAACAAGGUCUUUAGGUAAAAUAAUAUGUCAAUUUUGAAACGUUUUGCCUAAGGUUCAUUUGAUAGAACUCGGAUUUUGAUGGAAAUGUGACUUGAAUGCAUAAACUGAGUUUUCAAAGAUGCAUGAAAUGAUAUGAAAAUCCUAAGUACACCCAUGCAUUCAUUUUACAUAGUUUUCUAUGAUUAAAAAGUAUUUCAAAAGUCUUGAUCUUGCAUCCAUUAGGUCAUUUGAUGAAUUUCCAAAUUAAUAUAUGAAAUUCUUUAUAAUUCAAACCAUUUAGUAACUUAACCAUGGUUUGUUAUCAUCAAAACAUGAUUAGGAGAACCCUUGGGCUAACACAUAACAUUGUAGCAAUGUUAUAUUUUUGACACUUAAUGCAGUUUAAGUUCUGAAAUCUUCAUUUCUAUGAAUUGGUUCGCCUUGGAUGCAUAGUGGUGUCUAAAUUAUAAUACUUAAUUAAAAUUGAAACCAUAUUUAACACUCAUGUAGACAAGUCAUAACUUUGACAUGGAGUGGCAUUGCAUUUUCGACACUUAAUGCGACUUAGGUGCUAAAGUUUUCACUCAUGAGAGUUGGUAUGGGUUGGAUGCAUUGUGGUGUCCAACUUUUUAACACUUAAUUAAAAUUGGAACCAUAUUUAACACUAUCUAGAUAAGUCAUAACCUUGACGUGAAGCGAUAUUGUAUUUUCAACACUUAAUGCAACUUAGGUGCUAAAGUCUUCACCCAUGCAAAUUAGUUCAUCUUGAAUGUACAAUGGUGUCCCAUUUUUUAACAUAUAAUUAAAAUUGGAACCAAAUUUGACACUUAUGUAGACUAGUCUAGCCAUGAUGUAAAGUAGUGUUCUAUUUUUAAAACUUAAUGCAGCUUCAAUGGUAAAGUUUUUACUCAUGUGAAUUGGCUUGAUUUGGAUGCACAAUGAUGCCUAACUUUUUAACAUUUUAUUAAAUUUGGUAUCAUAUUUAACACCUAUGUAGACAAGUCAUAACCUUAAUGUAGAGGUGCAGUAAUAUUUUUGGUACUUAAUGUCGCUUAAGUGCUAAAGUCUUCACUCAUUUGAAUUUUUUGGUUGGGACGAACAAAGGUCUCUAACAUUUGAGCAUUUAAUUAAAAUCAGAAUCAUAUUUAACACUCAUGUAAAAAAGUCAUAACCUUGACACAUAGUAAUAUGCAAUGUUUUAACAUUUAAUACAACUUAAGUGCUAAAGUUUUCACUCAUGUGAAUUGGCUUGGCUUGGAUGCAUAAUGGUGUCUAACAUUUUAACACUUAAAUUAAAAUUAGAGUUAUAUUUAAUAAUCAUGUAGACAAGUCAUAACCUUGACGAGAAGCAGUAUUGUAAUUUUGACACUUCAUGUUGCUUAAAUGCUAAAGGCUUCACUCAUGCAUAUUGACUUAGCUUGGAUGAACAAUGGUAGCUAACUUUUUAACACUUUAUCAAAUUUGGAAUUAUGGUUAGCAUCCAUGUAGAAGAGUAAUAAACUUGAUGCAGAGUGAUGUUAUAUUUUUGGUACUUAAUAUAGCUUAAAUACUAAAAUCUUCACUUCUAAGAAUUAACUUGGCUUGGAUGCAUAGUGGUGUCCUACUUUUUAACACUUAAUUGAAAGUGAAAUCAUAUUUAACAUCCAUUGUAUACUAGUCAUAAACUUGAUAUAGAGCAGUGUGCAAUUUUUUAAUAUUUAAUGCAACUUAGGUGUUAAAGUCUUUACUCAUAUGAAUUAACUAAACUUAGAUGCACAUUCGUUUCCAACUUUUUAAUACCUAAUUAAAAUUAAAACCAUAUUUAAAAACCAUGUAGACAAAGACAUAAUCUUAACAUGGAGCAGUGUAUAACUCUUAGCACUUAAUUAAAAUUGGGAUUACACUUCAUAACCACAUAUUCCUCCUCCUAUUUUUCAAUUUUUUCUUGUGGUGAUGAUUGAACUCAACUAGUUUGUCCAAGUUACCCACAUACCCUUAACAGAGAAGAGAUCAAGUCAAACCUAGUUCAAAGUAUUUUUUUUUAAUAUCUAACUUUUGCCAAGGCUAAUGAUUUUAAUCUUGAAAGCUUGUCUUAACUUUUGACUAUAUAUGUAGUGUUUUCAAGUUUCAAUUUAGCGGCCUAUGAAUUGUACAAAUUGAAAAUGACUUCACUUAUGUGUAAAAAAUAAUAAAAGAUAUUCAUUCAUAGUUUUAGGGCAAUGAAAAGUAAUCGAUCCUUUUUUGCAUUAUUAUUAUUAUUGUUGUUGUUGUUGUUAUAAUUAUUAUAUUACCUUAGAAAAAGACCUUUUCCAAUUAAUCUUUUAUAUAUAUAUAUAAUCUUUUAUACAUGAUUUUUCUUAGUUUUCAUAGUAUUUUUAAAUUUAAUAAUUUUUUUUUUUAUAAAAAAAUAUCUAUACUUUCGGUCAAUGUCUCAAAUGUCUCAAAUUUUAUUACGUACGUGCUCCAGGAAGUCUCAAGUUGUAGGCUUGUUGCCUACAACUUGAGUUUGAUGAAAAAGCGCAUAAACAAAGACAAAAAAUUUAAUCUACAAGUACUUGGAUUCUAUUUGAAUAUAAAAAGAGCCACUCAUAUGCAUGGAUUAAAUAUAUGCCCCAUGGAUAAGUUGUACUUAGCCAUGGCUGAAGCUUUCCACUAUGACUUAAAGGGAAAAAAAAGAGAGGAGAAUAAUGUCAUUAAAAAACUGAUUGCCGUGUGGCUAUGCCUGCCAGUAGAUGGCUGAAAACUAGUUCUAUUCUUUUGUUUUGGCCUCUACUAAUUAACCAUAAUUGAGAGAUUCAAUGGCAACUAUCGUAUAAACAAUGUUUCAUAAAUUACUUUUAAAUUUUGACAGCAAAGACUCAAAAUGUAAAACCAUAAAAAAUUUGUUCUAUUCCCAAAUUUUUUAAAAUAAAUUUUAAAAUAAUAAAUUAAUGCCCAUGACUGUUUUCACAUCUUAUUCUCAUUUCUAUCAAUGCAAUAAUUGUAAUCAUCUUAUCUAUUAACAUGGCCUAGAGCCAUUUCAGCUAAGAGUAGUCUUUCCUUAGCAUUUCCGGUCCAAAGCUUCCAUUUCUUUAGGCCUAGAGGCAUUUUCAGUCCAGAGCUGCUGUUUCUUUCGGCCUAUAACCAUUUUCAGCCUGAAGCUGCCUUUCUUUAGCAUUUUCAGCCCAGAGCUACCUUUCCUUGGCAUAUCAGCCAAAAGCUUCUAUUUCUUUAGGCCUGGAGCCAUUUCAACACAACAUUGGUUUCUUUGGCCGGGCCUUGAGCCCUUUUCAACCCAGAACUGUCAUUUCUUCUAAAUAACUUCUCUUUUGAAAAACUUCAAUUUGCCCUUUUCAAGAAGCUGGUAAAAAUCUUCUAUUUAGCAUUUCGACAGUGAAUCGAAUUCACAUAGAAAAUAAAAAGGAAAAAAAAAGUCUUGAUGGCAUAAACUAGGACAUGACCGGGAUAGUUUGAAAUACAUAAUUUUCUCCAUUCAAAUGCAAAACAUAUUAAAAGAACAUUUGGCACGAUUUUAUGAAGCGAUUCUAUCUUUUCUAAUACUUCAAAGAUAAAUUUUUUUGAAGUAUUAGAAAAAUUAGAAAUAUUUCUUAAAAUCACUACCCUUAAUUAUAUUUAGAUACUUUAACCAUUUCAAAUGCUACAUGUUUCCUUCUACAUUUCCUCUUUAUUUUGUUUUUCUUUUACAUUUUUCCUCAAAUUUUUUAAAAACCAAACAUAGCCUAAAAGAAAAGAUAAUUUUACUUAUUUUGAAAGUUCUUUAUAUAUAUAGUUUAUAUGGAAACUUGUUUCAUGUUAAUUUAAUAAAGCAUUUAUAAUAUUGAGAUCGCUCUUUCAUAAUCAUAAAUUAACCUUUAGUUUCAACUUCUACAAGAGGCUAAAUGAAAAAAGCUAUCACAGAGGAGGCCUCAGCCAAUGAGUCAGAUGCACUGUUGUACCAAACAAUAGGUGGAAAAUACAAUUUUAUUAAGACUCUGAGACAACAAAAAUAAAAAUAAAUAAAGGAUGAUUUUACACUCAAAACAAGGAUUUAUUUAUAAUGAAGUAGAGUCUCCAUAUGCACAUAUGACUGCAUUUACAGCAUAAACAAAGACAAGGAAAUUAACAAAUGUUGAACUUAUUGGAAAAUCAUACAAAUUAUUGAAGGAGGACCUUAGCUAAGCUAACUGUCUCCUAAAUUGCCCAUCUUUUAUAUAUCUUUGCAUUCAUCCGUCUCAUCAUCGUCUUUGAUUUUAGAUGGUGAGGAUGUGAAAGUAACAGGAAGCAGUGGACGAUUGUUCACAGUGAGGCUUAGCACAUCAGCUCUCGAAUAAUGUCCUACCACAUCAAACUGGAACUUUGCUUUAGGAAUCUCUCCACGAA